CAUAUUAUUUAAUCAUGUUAUUUAAAAUUAUGAAAAAUAUACAAUUAAUUUAUUUAUUUUUAAAUUAAUUUUAAAUAAUACUAUAAAAAAUUUCAACAUCUUUUUAGAAAAAAGAGAGAGAGAAUAUAGGUUAGAAAGAGAGAACAUAAUUAAAGAAAUAGGAAGAGAAAUAGAGUCGAGGUUAGAGAGAAUGAAAGGGUUGAGAUUUUAGAAAAAGAGGGAGAGAAAUAGCUUAGUUUAGAGAGAGAAAAAGAGUUGAAGUUUAGAGAGAAAAAGAUAAGUUUAGAGAGAGAUAUGAGGUUAGGGUGUAAAGAAAAAUAAUACCAACUAGCCAGCGGGUGGGAAGAAAGAAAAAGAUUAGACAUAUUAUAAUUACUCCAAUCCAUUAAUAUAAGGAUAACCACCAUCCCCCAAAGGAAUGAAAUUAGUACUUUGGGAUGCAUCUCAUUCCCAAGUAAAUCUAGUAUUAUCAACUAGAUUACUUAAUACGUUUAGCCAAACACCGUCAUAUUUUUUUAUUCCUAUUGGAUUACUAUGAAUCUUAAAAAGAUAGCGCGAACCAAACGCACCCUAAGAGUUAUGCAUUCUUUACGAAAAAUUCCAGCAACUUAACUCACAACAGAAUGACAUCGAAAUAAAAGUAAAUAACAGAGUAGUAAAUUAAAAGUUCUUAUGAAAGAGAUAACAAAGGAGGAAAAGAGAAUAUGACAAAAGGCAGACGGAAGAUUAGAGCAUUAAAAAGAGGUACCAAUGAACUCUUGGUCCCUUUGACGUUUGUAAAGCUGAUUAUUUAAGGCAUUAAAAGCAUCCGUUAUCAGAACAGCCGGUCGUACAAAAGAUUCUAGGACAGUCCCAUUCAAGUGCCUGAAAAGAAUUACGGUGGCCACAACUUUUGCUCUUAGAAGAAAGUAGUUUCAUAAGGUAUAGCUUUUAUGCAGGUAAAAUAAAGGCAAGUCCAACCGUUCUUUUCGAUGGUUGAAGUCAACUGCAUAUAUGACAUCCUCUCCAUCCUUUGUAAUCUUCCAAACAGUACCUCCCAGAAGAUGGCCAGCCACAUGAGGAGCAAUAACAAUCCCUUCUCCUUUAUCUAUUAAGGCAAAAUGAGUAACACAUCUCAAAUGUAAAGCUGAAUAUUAACAGAUUAGUACAACUUUACUAACCAGAGAGAUGGUAGUUCUGUGAGUAUUUCAAUCUAGUAACAUUUUGGAAAGCAGCAUCUAUAUCAUCCAGACUAAACAAAUCAAAAUCUGAAAUUUGCUGCAGAAUCCAAGCUCAAAAAGGUUAAAGCCCACAAGAUGACAUAAAAGUAAUCAAAAUACAAAACAGAUACAAAAAUUUUGAUGUGCAAUAAUUCAGAACGUAGGCAACUUCUCUAGUAUGAGAGAGAAAAGGAUGAAGUCAACUUUGCAAGAGGUAUAUUUGGAAGUAGUUGAACUCCCAACGAACUAAGUGACAAAGAACUCAACCUCUACCAGAACCUUAGGAAUUUAAUUAAUGGAAAUUUGAAGUUCGACAGAAGAUACUAAUUAUUUAUUUAUAUACAUACUGCUUAAAAUAGUAACUUCUGUAUACUUGAUCAAACUGCCCAUCCGUGGUAUUUCAGUGUAGAUAAGCAGGAUUAACAUGGAAUUUACAGAAAACUUACUAUUUCUGACAGAAAAAGAAACUGCUGUGUAGAUACAUAAGGCUAAUGGAACGUUAUCAGGAGCUUACUCUUCGAGAAAGGUAGUGAUCAUACAUGGUCAAAAGACCAAGUCUAUAGACAGGUUCUGUCGAAUAAACAGGAGCAGAGAGUCCGAGAUGUUUCAUAGCAUACGGCAAGGCGCCUAGGUGAAGAAUGUCAGGAUGUGAUAGCAAAACGGCAUCAACUUUUGAUGCUACCCUGAAAUAAGAUUCAUCAUAAAUAAUAGCAGAAUGUCAAUUAUCUAGCAAAGAUACAGUGGCAUAGUCAACGUAUGAUUGUCAAUUAUCAAGCUGAGAAACACCGACAUAGUGAACAUAUGAUUUGAAUAUGACAAAAUUAGAUGACAUUUACAAUGGAGGAUGUCGAUAUAGAGAUAAUUCACUCGAACACAAUGAUAUAAGGCUUUUACUUCACUUUCUUCUAUCAUUUUUCAAAUUCAAUGUAUCACAACAUGUUAUGCAAGUCCUUGUAACAACUUUCAUCAUGUUAGCUUGAGGUUUAAAACAAUUUUUUAAAACUGAAGUGAUGUAAAGCAGACGUAUUACACAAACUUUCACAUCUCGAAGACAUUAUACAAGAGAGCAAGAAAAUAUAGGGAAAAUAUUAUGGUAUAGGGUAUUAUCGAAGAAAUACUACAAUAUAGAUGCUUUUACUGGCUGCCCACGUUCCAUUCCUGAUGUAUCAUAUCCAAGAAUUGACCACACAAACCAUGAUCAAUUUUAAGAUUCAGCGGCCUUCCUGAAGAUUACUACAUGAGGAUAGCAAUUCAAAUGCGCCCCCUCGGCUCCUCUUGUGUUGAAAUAUGGGAAAUUUCAUUUAGCAAUUGUUAAAAAAUGGGCCUUUACUUUAGAAUCAUAUAUUGAAAGAAUUAUUGAAACAAGUCAAAUUGUGACAUAAAUCUGAUGCAAUUGUAGUGCUUAUCGUACAUAUUUUAUAUUCUUGCUAAGUUCUUGGGACUGUGCACCUCUAGGUCUUCUCCUCCACCAAGGUAUUUAACACCAAUUAUUAGUGUUUCCUAAGAAUGAAGAAUAAUUUGUCUACAGCAUUGCACUUAAUCCUUGGGGAUGCUUAGAUUAUCGAGUUUGUACCAUAGGCUCCAUUCAACAAAAUUCAUGCAUCGAAUAACCAGAAAACACACACAUCUCCAUAAUUUCAACACAAGGGUGUUUCUUAAUCACUUCAACCUAAUUUUGGACGCCGAAACCAUCCAAGAUCGCAUCUCCAAAAAAGGAAUUACCUUUCCCCACGACGGAAAGCGCAUUAUCGAUGCCUAAUUUCCUACCUACGCAGGAAAACACGCAUUUACCUGAUUUUCACCUAGAGAUCAUACGUUCGACACUCUUUCGCCCGGAUUCAUCGCCUACUAGGGUUCUUGAUCGAAAAGGAGAUCGAAUUGAAGGAGUGAAAAGGGGAAAGGAAAGAGGAUGGUACGAAUCGAAUACCUAGAGAGGGGUUGGAGGAGGUUGAGGUCGAAGAGGUCGUUCCACCCACAAUCCAUGAGGAAGUUGAAGCCAUCGAUGGACAAGAGGUAGCACAGCGGGUUCUCGCCGUAUACGCCGCACAGGGGAGUCACCUGGACCGAAGUCCCCAUUGGAGAGAGAGAGAGAGAGAGAGAGAGAGAGAGAGAGAGAGAGGAAUGAGGAGUCGGCGACGAUAUGCGAGGCCGAGAAGGGGAGAGGGAGAGAGCAAAGUGAGGAGUCGGCGCCGAGAAUCGGCGGGAUAUUAUACAGAGAGAGAGAGAGAGAGANNNNNNNNNNUUUUUUUUUUUUUUUUUUUUUUUUGGUAGUGAGCGCGGUCCGAAAUGCUAGUCUUUUCUUUCUACAGGCCCUCCUCCCUCGUUCUCGCGAUAUCUAGGAUUUAUUUACUUUAAAACAAAAUUUAUUGCUUUUUAGUGAAAAGUUAAAAGGAGAGCGCGAUAAAACUAACAAAAAAAAAACAAUUGACUUUUGCAGGGAAGAUGUUGUAGGAUUGUAACCUACUUUGAAUUGUGAAUCAGUUUCCUUCUCCUAAUUAGCAAGGUUUCAAGCCUUAAUUUGUCCGAAAAUUGAUUGUCAAAAUAUAUAUCUAUUAAUGGGCUUUGUUUUCAUUUACUAUCUUGUCUUGUGUAAGAAUUCAUCGAUCUUUUGCGACAGCAAUGAAAUGAGCGGAUUGCAUUUGGCUGCUGACAUUUAUCUCAUUAUUGAUGAGCGUAACAAAAUUUAUCUAAGUGGAAAAUUUUUCUCGACUAAGAGAGAACCUUUAUUUGUGUUUGAAUAUGAAUUUUCCAUUAAAAUCUUUCAAAGUAAUAGAUAUAUUUUAAAAUUUUUUGUCAUAUGUAUUUCGACAGUAUGUUUAGACAAUGUCAAACAUCUUUCAAAUAAAAGCCCCUAGAUUAUUAUUUCCUUAUUGCAAAACACGUCCAAAUUUUAAAUUUUAAAACUUGAAUUGUAGGGCCAUUUUUGACAAAUAACCCUCAUAAAAAUUGGCGUAUGCUGCUUUAUGUGGCGGGCACACGGUAUUCUUUAGUAAAAGGCGAAAGAAUAGUUCGCUCUGUGCCCACCACGCAGCUGCGUGAAUUUCACUUCAUGGGGAAGGGAACAUCAUAUACAACGCCGCUGCUCUCAAGUUCGUAGCGUAGUCAAUGUGGGACUAAUUUUCGGGAUCUGGUAAGAAUCUAGAUUAAAUAUUUCUUUUGUUUCUAACUCACACGUCAAAAUGUCAUCGUGUCUGGGUGGUGUAGUUGGUCAUCACGCUAGUCUCACACACUAGAGGUCCCCGGUUCGAACCCGGGCUCAGACAAACUUCUUUUUAUGUUCCUUUUUUACAACGUUGUUUUAAGUUUUGUUUUAAACAUCUUCUAUUUGGAAACCACUACGUUGUUUUAAGUUCUGUUUCAAACCUCUUCUAUUCAGAAAACCAUAUUCCUUUUCUCUAUCGUCGACCAUAAAUUGUUGCUUCAAUCUCUACCUACCAUAAAAUUGCAUAUUCAAUCUGCAGAAUUCUUGAUCUACAGUUUUUGGAUGGCCAAAAAUAUGCCUUUGCUUUGCUAGCGCUAGUAAAUAUGGUGAUACUCCGCCGAGGAUGUACAAAGGUCAAAAUGGGUAAAAACCCACAAAAACAGAGGAUAUUAAGAGAGAGUUUAUAAGGUACGGGGUUUUUAGAGUGCCCACAGGUAAGAAUCAAAAGAAAAUAGCUCUGCUUUGCGCCUCACUAGUAAAUGGCGCCUUCUUCUUUCUAUUGCUGAAAAAUCAAGCAUGGCCAAUUAAAUUUGAAACAGUUGGAAAAAUUACUCUGAAAGGUUUACUAUUAUGAGGAGACAAAUACAAAAGGCCCCGAAAAAUUAUCAUACCAAUCAUUUUCUCUUUCCCAUGUAAACAGAAACAACAGAGAGUGAAACCAAUGUACAGCAAAGCAGAAUUAACGGCCGCAGCAAUAAACAGUUUGCAUUAGAAGGAUGAUAAGGAGUUACUGUCACAUGUGGAACAUUUGAGAAUACAUUUCUUUGUAACUGCAGUAGCGUAAAUUAAGUAAGACGGAAAAUUUCACAUUUUUGUUCUGCUGACUAAUACAUCUUUUCCCUUGGCUGGGCAGUAGGGUCACACCUGACAAAAAUGAGUAAAAUGUUUGUUACAGUUGGUUGAAGUAAUAGAACAUGUCCAUGUCACUCUUAAGAGUUAAGGCAAGAGACCCACAACCGACAAGUUUUUUCUUCUACGGCGAAAUAAUUGUACCAAAGUACCAUCCUAAUAAGUGCACAUUUAUGUCCAUUGAAAGGCUAUUACCUAUCAACAUUAACUAGACGUAAUUUUCCUACACAGAAGCUCGAAUAUAAAGCUUUUACAAAUGUAGUCCUUUUUUUAACUAAACCGUUGGGAGAACAAUCUUUAAAGUCUAGAAAAUAUCCACCAAGAAAGUAUCUCUCAGGUAAGAAUAAAUUAGUACAACAUUGCAUAUCCAUAUAAGAAGCUCUCAAGCAAAUAUGUUAAAAGUAGAGCUAAACACAAAUGAUACACCUGUUUCCUUUAGUUAAAAUUACCGAAGAAUAUGAGAUUACACCUUAGUUGCACAAGCGGAGUUCAAACCUCCAUUUGACGGGCUUUGUCGUUUGAAAUUGGACUUGAUCCUUCCCAUAGUUCCCUCAAUUCAUUUUUUAGCCAUGAAAGAAACAUAACAGGCCCCAGAGUCGAAGGCACCUGUAGUCAUGGAAUGAGUCAGGAAGCAGGAUUUCCAACUAAAUUGAGAAAGUGAAACACAGUUUGAUUUUGCUUAAUUUAAAGAGCAAACCAUGUAUAAGUAAAAAGGUACUAGAAAAUAAAACAAUAGAUAAAUUGAAAAUAAACAUGUUCUCUUGAAAAAGGAACUACUGUAAUACUACUUCAAUGCCUCCGUGAAAGGCACUUGAAUGCCCAGAAAAAAGAAAAAAAAAAAUCAGAACAAAGUGGUGAAAAAAAUGGUGUAGAAAAAGUUUUGGUAUUAACAUAACACUAGAUAACACUCACCAGAUAAAGAAGAGCAGGUUGAGGAGACUGAUACAAGAUACCGGCAGCUAAUGCAGUUAUCAGGCCAACUGCAUACCCUGAUAGAGCAUACCACACAUACUUUUGCCUUUUUGUGGAACAUUUCUCUGAUGAAAUAGCAAUAUCCCUACUCUUUUGGUGGUCGAAGCAGAACACCAAAGCCAGAAGCAUUCCAGGAAUAGCCUACACGAACAAAUUUGAGGUGGUAAAUAUCAGGCAGCAUUAUUGCCAAGCUGCUUAUGUAAUUGUAAUCAAAUAAAAGCAUAAGUUGGAGCAACACAGUUUAAAAGCCUGAGGAAACAAGAGAGGAUUGAUCCCUCCAAUUGAAGGAGGCAGUUCACUAUUCAAAUGGAACUAGUUUGUUCCCAGUUGGCAGUGCAAUUGUUAUUGCGGGUCUCAUAGUUGCAAUCCACUAUGUGGGAAGAGCUGAUAGAUAAACUUAGAGCCAUGAAAACAUUCAUACGUAACAAUAAUUGAGUAAAACAACAUGUAGUUCAAAUGAUCCAGAUGCCACAUGAUUGCAUUAGUAGUAUGACUGUAGCUCUAAUGAUCUAGCUGUUACAUAAUUGUGUUAGCAAUAUGACUUGAUUACCACUAGACGAUCAGAAAAUAACUUAUUAACUAUAGUAUCUUAUACGAGUUAAGAGUAAGCAAAUUCUUCUUUCUACUCAAUGAGCUGCUCAUUAUUCCAAAUGGCAGAAUCAGUAUUGCAAUUAGAUUUGGGGUAGAUAGUUUUUACAUUCAACCAUUCUAGAGCUAUCUAACUCUCAAAAAGACAUACUGUUAAACCUGAAACAGAAAAUAGUACAUACCAUGUCUCCAAGGCCCAGCAUCAUGUACUCUCCAGCACUGUUUCCAGGAACUAUCCCACCCAACAAAUUUCUGGGGAAAACAAGCUUAACGGGUAGCUCCAACUUCUUCGUUAUAAGCUGCAAGCCAGGGAGGCUCAAGCUGUUCGCCACUGUGUGAACCGGAUUGGACGCCUUCUGAGUUGCAACCGAGACCAUGACAUUUGCUCCGAAGAACCUCUCCGAGAAAAAUACCCAAAAAAUAUCAUAGACGAACAAACAGACAAGGAGCAGCGCGCAGACCUUAACAUUGGGCAAUCUCACAUGGCUAACAAAAGCUAUACAUAUAGAGAUGCCAAGUAAAUUAUUCAGAACCCAAUGCCCAGAGACUAGCCAAGCCACCACAGUUCCUAUACAAAAUAGCAGUAAAAUCCCUUGCGUUCUUGUAAACGACUUGGAACAGCACCUCGACACAAAUGGGUCCAUUAAAUUAAAUUGGGAUUUGAGAUAAGCAACAUAAGGGGAGAAGCAGAAGUAAAGGGCGGAGGCCGAGGCGACGGCCGUGAAAGCAGUAACAAAGUGGGAUACAGAGGAGAAUAGAUAGAACAUCAAGAGAAGGCUACAAGAGCUUGCGAUGGGGAUCAUAAGCGCUUGUGAUCGGUCUAAGGUGAUGGAUGCUUCUGAAAAAUCCAGAUUCCGCUCCAUCUCUUUGCCGUGAUCUAGGGCACGAGAAGCCGAUGCAUAGGUCACAAAAACUGCCGUUGCAAUGAGGGUCAGAGAGGCCGGUUCGAGCAAGUACAUAAGCUUCCAUACUGACUCCAUAAUGGUAAAUUAACACAAAAAAUUCCACCUUUUUCUCUGAUUUCUCUAUAAAAAAAAAAAAAUCAGCAGAUUCAAAGGAGCCUCUUCAGUUAGUGUUUCGCUAUAAGAAGCUUUCGAUAGUAGCUUGCAUUCCUACGAACAGAAAAAACGCCCUAGAAGACGAUCUCCCCAAAUAAAUGUCUCUGCGAGCAAAUAGCACUAUGAGUAAAAGAUCGAGAGGUCCAAGACCAAAACUUUUUAACUAGCUCACAAAAUAAUCCCCUAUUAAGGGGUAAAAUACAAUCAAUUGCACUUUUCGUAGAACUCCAUGUAAGUAUCCAUCAAAUGAAUCUACCGAAAAACUCAAUUUUGUGCUAAAGCGACAGCUUUUACAAAAAAUUAAUGCCCUAAGGGCGAUGAGAACCCAAAUCUAAACUAUCUGAGUGGGAAAAAGAAGGAUCUGAACAAAUAUCUACCUCUAAAUCUGCGAAUCGACGAUUUCUCCCUGCCUUCGCCAGCAUAAUAAUAAAAAACUCAACCUGAUUCGCGGAAUCGAGGAGGAAUCGUGGGUUCGGGAUUGGGGUUUGGGAUGGAGUAAUAGAGCACGAGUGGAGUCAACGAAGGAUCCCUCUCCCCCGCUCCUUGCUCUAAGAGGAGGAGGAGAAUAGAGAGAGAGAGAGGAGAGAGGAGAGAGGAGAGAGGAGAGAGAGGGUACGACGACGACGACCACCUAGUAGAGCACGAUUUGACCUAAGAUUUGAGGAGGAGAGACCUUCGAUUUGAGAGAAAGAGCGACGGGUUAGGGAGUGAUAUUCCCACCACUAUAAUCACGAUUAUUUUAUUUGAUGUAACCGUGAUAUGUCACGGUCACGGGGAACAUUAGCUCCAAUCCUAGGUUAGGUUUAUUCUUUGUUCUUGCAUUAAUACUCAAGGCAACUUAAAUUUAAUACUUAAUUCCUUUUAAGUAAAAUUAAUAUUUUACAAAUAUUUAGAUGGUGGGACGAGUGUAAUAAUAUAAUACAAAUGAAACUAUGAGGCACUUAUACAAUAAUAGAAACACCUAUGUACAAAUCAUUAUUUUAGGCUAUUGGAUUUGCCCUAAAAAUUAUUUUGCAAUAUUUUUAGACUCUGUUCAAAAUUAUUAUCUGGUUUGAAUUUCUUAAGGCAAAUUCUUGCUAAGAUUUGAGAUACUACACAUCUUUUCUAUUAUUUAAUAAGAAUUUAUAUAUAAAUAGUCUCACAUCGCAUGACAAAUAAGAGAAUAAAAGGUUGAUAUAUUAACUAGUGGAAUUAAACUUAAUCGGCUUGAGUCUUUAAAUUGAAUAGAUUUUAUUAGAUAUAUCAUAUUCUUAGAUUUUUAUUAAGUGAUAUCAAAAUCAGCUUAAAUUUUUAGACUGAAUGAAUUUUAUUAAAUACAUUGUAUCUUUAGGCUCAUGUAGGUGUGGGCUAAAUUCAAAACUCGCUAACAUUGCUUUCUAAAUAGAGAUAGGAUUUGCGGGUUGUGCCAAUUCACGAUUUCCAAGGAAAAAUAUAUAAAAUUUUCACAAAAGUUUGAGCACUUAAUUUGUGGUUUAAUUUGUAGUGUAGCGGCUAUUGCCCAGCUCUUUGCUUUGUUUUCAUUUUAGCAACCUAAUAAGCCGAGGAGGUGGAGCCACAGAGAAAAGAAGCAAAAGAGAGCACAAAAGAUGGAGUACAUUGGUAAUAAACUUCAUAAUAUGAUAGUACCAAAAUUAAAAAAAGUUUAUGUUUUAGGGGGAAAAAAAAAAACCUAACUCGUGAGAAAUUGAGAUGCAAUAAAGAACAGCGCACAAAAUGCACAGUAACAUAACUCUUCAAUCGUCUACAAAAUGCUGUUAACACUUAUAAACCUACGCCGAUCCGAUCCGGGGGACGCAUAAGAUCAAACAUCUGAUAGCUCAGUGGGGUGCUCCUGACCCGUAGAGCUGUAGAUAGACCUCGUAGUUAGUAUAGGAGAAUCAGCCGUAGUUUGCAAACAACUUCCACUAUCCUGUUUUUUCGUUUUUUGUCUCUGUCUUCUUUGAGGCCUUGAUGUCUCACCCAUGUUGCUUAUUUCAUCUACUUAUUGAAUGAAGCGGGUAGCAUGCUAUCUUUUUCUCAAAAAAAAAAAAAAAAAAAACACUUAUAAACCUACAACUAUAUGACUUAUUAGACUAAUAAUGAUGAGGAUCAAUGAUUAACCACGCGAGCUAAUCAGUUCAUCUUUUCAAUGCUUACAACAAGCUGCAUUAUUGCGGCAUGUUCAAUUUUAAUUAUAUUCACUAAUAACUAAUAAAUUUUAACAAGCAAUUGAAAUAGCAAACUUUUGGUUGGUAGACAUAUUUUUAAAACAUUAGGGUGGGAAUCAGAGUCAUAAAGCACAAAGUCUUAUUAUAUCACUAGCCUUUAGACAUCAGUAAGGCUAGUAUUUCAAUAAUAAUUAAUAAGUGCACAACACUGGACCUGCUUUAGAAGUUACUCAUGUUACCUACAGUUCCAGGUCAUUAUAGGUGUUCUACUGGGUAAAUAUCUAUAGCUAGGGACCAUCUAACCACCCUUUAAAACACUGGAAAGAUGCAUGGUGACAUUUAAAUUUCGUCCUCUCCGUAAUUAAAUGUGAUAAUCUGAUGAUUAAAAGAUAUAAAAAAAAAUAGAAAAAACGCGAACAACAUCAUCAGGAAGCUUAACAUUAUUGGGGAGCUUCACACUUAAGUUUUUUUUUUUUUUUUUUUUUUUUCGCCUGAUGCAAUACAUAGUAGACUUACGGCUUUUGCUUUCACCAAUGAAAGCUCACACUCAGGUAGAAAUGUAGCAUUUUCCGAGUAAAAACUCUAAUUCUUUGUCAGAAAUAUUAAAUUUCAUCUUUAAAUGAGUUACUGUAUGCAGGUUAUCUUCUACUACCUAGUUCUGUGAAGCUUGUGUGUACAAUCUAUAAAUUAUUUAUGUAUUGCCUUCUUCAUUAGAAAUUUCAUUUCAUCAUAUUAUAGUGAGAGGAACCAAAAAAACGAAAAAAAAAAAAGAAAGAAAGACUGAAAAUCAAACCAUGUGAAUUGUACAGAAAAUUCCUAGAAGGUGCUUUCCAAUCAAUAUUAUUUAUCAUCUAAACUGAAGCAUAGGAGCAAUUAAUUAUUACAAGAGCAGAGAGAUCUCUAAUGUCAAAAUAUAAAACAAAAUUUUCCUUUUGCAAAUUACAUGAAAUUUUCACUUCAUGAGGAAGUCUCAGAAGAAGAAGAAGAAGAAGAAGAAGAAGAAGAAGAAGACUUUUUUAAAGAGCAGGAUGAUCUGAAGGCUUCGAUUUGUGCCUGACAUUUUACAUAGUCUCCUUUGUUUUCCUCCAAGCAUUUUCUAAGUGCUUCUACAUCACAUGGUGAUAGUUUUUUCACACCAUUUGUGGGUUUCUCAGCAUUCAUAUCCUUCACCAAAUCAAUCUGCUGAAAACAUAUGAAAAAUAUAGAUGUAUGUUGUUAUACAUAAUUUCAUGGGUUUCGAAGUUCACAAAAUAAAUGGUGAUUUUUUUGUUUUCUGGUACAAAUUAGGGCAAAAAUCCUCUACAUCUAAAGACUAAUUAUCCCUAUCAAAAAUAAUGUAGAAAUGCGAUGCAUUUGAUUCAUCAGAAAUGGGAUUGAUAAACAAAAGCUAUCAUUGCUUGAAAUUAGAUAAAUUAGGGAAAGAAAAAAAAAUUGUAACAAAAAAAAUCGUAUCUUCGGAAUCUGAAUUUAUAAAAGAAAAGGAACCCUAAUUAAACGAAUACAAAAUUAUGAAUCGAAUUAGAACAUAAAAAAUUAACCAAAUAGCAAAAUAAAAAAGAGAAAAAAAAAAAGGAAGAAGAGAUGCAAAUACCUAUUUCUCGUUCCUACGUAAAAAACCCUAAUUUGAGCUUCGCUUCGUUUUGGUGAUCGAUCCUUUCUUUUUUGAGAAAAAAAGGGAACAUGUAUCUUUUUACAAAAUGAUCCCUGCACUUUGUAUAUUUGCCUACUAUGGACGAAGGAGACUUUUUGGUAAAUUCGGUUUUGGUGUAUAGUGUAUACAAUGAUAUUGCACUUGUAUCCCUCAAGAUGUGUAUAUUUACAUAUGUAUCUCUAAAAGUUUGUAUUAAGAAAAUAAUUUCAUUUAAUCUGUAAAAAAAAACUUAAAUAUUUUAACCUUUUCCUUUAUCUUUUAAAUAUCUGACAAAAGGUUAUUUAGAUAAAUAAUAUAUAAAUCUUAGUAAUCAUUAAACAGUGAAAAGUUUUAAGGAGCAUACACAAUAUUAUUAACAUUAGGAAAAGAUAACUCGGCAACCGUUAAUAUCUGUAAGGAUAUAUACGCAAAUUCUCCAAUAAACAAAGACAAAUAACGAAUAGAAAUUGGAUUUUCCCAUUAGAAACCCUUCUACCCCAAUACGUGUAGGAGAAGCCUCACUGCCGAUAAUUAGGUACUCUGUUCGUGGGUUUGGAGAAUUAUGGUUAGGGUUUCUCUUUUAUCUUUUCUCUCUAGUUGAUUUUACGGCCCUAAUUUUUCGGAUUCCAAAUCUCCAGGGUUUUGAUCUCGUCGUUGUUUGAUCGUGAUCUCGAAUACCCGAACAAUGCCCGCGGAAUCGAGCGUGAAAGCGCCUCCGAAGGUGGUGAAGCUCGAUAGAGCCUUGAAGCUCGUAAGAGUCACUUUUUGCUCCACUUGUGAUUUUGAUUUUUAUGUUUUGCUACUGUAGAAGUUGUUCUUUGCGUGCUUCUGUGGAAGGGAGAGACGGUGUAAUUAGAUACUGUUAAUCUUUCUUUCUUUUUUUUUUCCUUUGGAGCAUUACAGAUUUGUAAUUUCUGAGCUUUUGCAUUGUCUCUUUGAGCACCUAAGGUGUUUGACACAAUGCUUUCACAGCGAUUGAGUUUAAACUUUACAGUGGAAGCAUGUUUUCGUAAGUCGCACUAAGGGUCUAUUUUGCCAUGUUGUAGGGUGUACUAUAGUUAUAUAAUAUUUGCUUGAGGCAUGAUAUAAAAAUUGUUUCAACAAUUUUUUUGCAGCGAGAAGAGCUCUAAAUUAAAACUUCUAUUUUAAGCCCCAAAAUUUUACUACUCUUUCCUGUUUCAGCAAGAAUUUCACAUUUUCUGUUAUAGUUGAAAAUAGUUGUGAAUGCCUUUGCAAGAGAAUUUUACUGAUUUAUCUCCAUGCGAGUACUCAUCGGAAUUAUAAUUUUUCAGGCUGAAUCAUGGGUGAGCAAGAUGAGCCCAUCGGCACCGGAUGAACCAGAGGAACCCAGAGUAGAGGCUCGCCAUCCGAGGUUUCUAUACUUACUAGAUAUUUUUCUUUGACAUGUUCAAAUUUUGUGUAUUAUUAUGUUCUUGUUGGACUUGCAAAAGCUGUUUUGUUAAUGUAUUCGAAGGUUGGGUCUAGGAGCCAAAGCGCCACUGAAUGUAAAAGCUGCAGCUUUGACUGAUCCAGUCGAGAGGAAAUUGUUUCAGAAGGUGAAGGCAAAGAGGAGAAAAUCCUCUCCAGAUACAAGCAAAACAAGCCAUGCUGAAGAGAAUGAGGCUAGCAAUGAUGAAACAGAUGAACCUGAAAGCAGAACAAGUGCUUUCGUGAAAAAGAGGGCGGCGCCUGUGAGUUCCUCUUCACUAGUUAAGAAGAGCAAAUGAGUUUUUGUUACUCUGUUUAGUAGAAUCUCUGUUGUACUAUAUUUCUGUUAGCAUUAAAUUAAGAAUUAUAUUGCUUUCAAGUGUUUUCUUUGAUUUUUCUCCUGCCAUUGAUAAAUACUGUCAUUUCACUUUUUGCUGUUGAGGGUAACACUGAUCCGUCAGCAUUGCUAAACUUUGAUGUGAAAAUGUUUUUCCAAUUAUCGUAUCUAAUACGCAAUUUCAACAUUUUGAUUACCGGAAAAGAUUAAGACUGCAUAAACUCGUGCUCAAGCAACUUAAUUAUCGCCAUCAUCAUAGCAGUGAUACAAGAGAAACAUAGACACAAAUACAAAAAGGAACAUAAAUGUAGGGCUGCGAAAGAACCUUCAGAUUCUGAUACGCAAAAGAGCCUCCAUUUCAGGCAGCCUUUUCCCGCUCCUCAAAGAAGCACUUCUUGUGGCAGCAGACUGGGUGAUCCUAAAGCCCCGCCACGGCCAGCAGAUGUGCCUCACUCUUCGACGGCCACUGCCGCUUCCCUCCUUUCUGCCACGGUCUGUUUCUUCAUCCAACUGCUUCGUUAGCUCUUCGAUCCGAUCCUGCAACCCUGCAGACCGGCUGUCGGCCAGCCGGAGGCAGGUUUCGGCUGCGGCUUGCGCUGCCAUUGCAGUGGCAGCGAGCUUCUCCUUCAGCUGCAGCUUGUUGUUUGCCAUGUCCAGUCCUUCCCUUGUCCUUUUGAGCUCUUCUCUCAACAAAGCAACCUACAAAAACACAAAAGAACCAUUUCAUUUAGUAAUUAUUAUUCAGAUUAAGAUCCCAGGCGAAAUGUUGGCUUCAAUUUUUUACAAACUGUUGUUUUACUGCAAGAAGCCUUUCCAUUUCUAUGAAAACUUAAAUAACCAAGGAGUUGAAGACCAACUUCCAGUAUCAAUAUUACCUAAACGACGGUCGGAUGCCUAAAUAAAAUUCAGUUGAAUAGUUCAACAAAUUGGUAAUUUAGCAAUAGGGAUCCCAUCUCAGUUGAAUAACUCAGUAGGUAAAAUCCUAGGAGUACCUCUUCAUCGCGUUCCCUGAUCGCAGCUUUUCCGGCUUCUACUUCCAGCUCGCAUGCCACCUUCCAUCUCGCAACCUCCUCUCCUGCUGCUGCAAUUUCCACCUUGUGCUCUUCAACCUUUCAAGUGGUUAAAAAAGAAUUCAAGCAUUUAUCCAUAUUGUGAUUCGCAAAUGUUAAUAAAAAAUUAUUACACUGUGAGUCAGCAGAUUUUCUCUUUCUUCCAAAUCUGUAAUGUAUUGUUCAUACUCAGUUAUCUUUUGAGCCUGCCCUACUGAAAGAGCUUGCAAAUGCUCGCAAUCUGAUCUGGAGAAUGGCAUACAAUCAGACCAGUGUUAGCAGACAGAGAAAUUUUUUUUUUCUGAAAGAAAGGAAAAGAGAGAAGUUAGUUUCAAACAAUAUUAUAAAAACUGAAUUAUGUGCUUAUGCUAACUGGUGCAUGUGCAUAUAUGACAGAUCAAAACUAUCAGAAAGUAAUCUUCAGGAUGAGAAGAGACUACAUGAUAUCAUGAUAACAUUAGGAGUUUGCGCUGCAAAAAUCAUUGAAUGUUUUACCUGGACUCUUCCAAAGCUCGUCUUAGAUCGCUGAUUUCAAGCCGUAGAUUCUUCAUUAUCUUUUCAACUGUCGAAGACUAAUUAACAGAAAUUCCAGCAAAAGAGCUAAUUGGUUAAAGAUAAACCUAAAAUGUAUGAUGUUAUUAUUUAACAUGGUAGAAAGAAACUAGACAUCCAUUCACAAAAGAACUAAACGAAACUAUAAUGGUAUAAAUUCUGAAGAGUUACAUCCAUGAUGCAUAACAUAAAUAAAACUUCCUUCUUACUGAAAGUGGCAUAUCCACAGUUCACAUACAUUGAAAAUGUUUAAACAAGUGUUUUUUUUCAUCAUACUAGUAUAACAUUAGAGCAAAAGAAAGGAGACAAGGAAAACUCGAACAUAUCAUAUGGUUACAAAUUUUCAAUUGAGACAUACACUGCAUGAUUUUAGUUCUCAUAGGAAAGCUUUGUUAAUUGAGCAGAUGAGAUGCAGAGUUUAGAUGAAUAAAGUGUUUUACCAGAGUACCAACGUCCUCUUCGCCUUCACUCGCAUCUGAUUUGGUGCUCGCAUUAUCAGGAUGCGACUCCCCGCCCAUCACCCCCAUAAAGUACCCGAACCCCACCUUCUGCAACCCCUUCUCAGCUAUUUGCAGAAUCGCGCCCUUUCUCUGCUCCCCGCUUUCCUUCAACCUACUGAGACUUCGCUCCACCGCCUCCUUUUCCUUAACAGAUACUCUUAGCAGGUUACUGAUAUCUCUGUUCUCUUCCGUCAAGUUUCGAACGGUGUCCUCCAAUUCCUUUUUCACUUUCCGUUUCAUCUCAUCGCACUCGAUAAUUCUCGAUUCGACUUCCAUUCCAAGCUCCCAAGUAGAGUGGAUCUCCAACACCAAAAUCUCUAAUUCAUCGUCCAAAUCGGAUUUGAUCUCUCGACUCCUAUCAAAUUUGUCCUCACAAACCCUAUCGCCAAUCCUCUCCAAGAUCUCCCGGACUGAUCGGACCGAGCUGAGAGCCCCUGACAAAACCCGAUCUCGCUUCUUCUGUUCCUCAAUCAGGUUGGAAACCCCUACGCUAGAUAUCUCAAUCUCACUCUCGAGAUCCCUUCUCUUCUUCGCUCGCGCCUCCUCCUGCUCCUUGGGAGCAACCUCAACCUCGAGGAGCUUAAUCUGGAGCUCGUCCCGUUCCCUCGACGCCUCCUCCAGCGCUCGAGAGAUAUCGCGACUGCUCGCGCGGAGAUCACCUAGGGUUUCCUCCGUCGCCAUAGAUCUGGACUGGAGCUCGGUGAGGAGGGUAUCGUCAGAGAGAUUAGGGUUAGUGUUCUUCCCGAUCGGAGAGAGAUCGGGAGCUCGAUCCGGGGAUGGAAUCGCCAUGGUUUCAAGGAUCCAAGCGGUAAAAGGAGAUUAGUGUUUUCGGGGGCCAUUAGCGAAAGCGGAGGAGGAAAUCGUGGAUUUUUGGGGGAGAGGAGAAGACAACUACCAGUCAGAGCAGAUGAGGAGGCGAGCGGAAGCUGAAGCCGAAGCCAUGUUUUUGGCGGGAAGAGUAGGUGAUAUGAGUGGCAUAGUGGGCCCCUCUGGGCGGUGGGUCCUUGCUCGGACCGGGUCCACCACGUCAGCAUAGAAGCGGCUGCGAUUUGGAUGUGGUCCGUUACUCCAAAUUGAGAUCAUAUAGAUUUACAAUAUUUUGAAAAACUUAUUGCCUAAUAAUAAAUAAUAAAUAUAUCAAGUAAUACAAAAAAUCAAUUUGCUUAAAUAAAGAUGAAUAGGAUAUUCAUAAGCAAAUUUGAUGGAAAAAAUGUUGUGCAUUGGAUCCGCUAUCUUCGUCCCUUAAUGUUGUGGAAUUAAUAUCGGUACCUUCUUUGAGACGAAAUUACCGCGCUACGAGCUAACAAAGCCCUGCCGAUGCUGUAAGGGUGUGUUUGAGUGCUUCUCCUCCACUGCGUUUUCGCGUGGGGAGUACAAAGAUAUACACGGAAACAAGUGCACCACAUGGGUUUGUUCUCUCCAACCCAUUAAGUUAUUAGUUGCUGUUUGGCACAGUCCCAUUAGUGUAAGUGUACUCACUACAACAACUUAAUUAAAAAACUAUAUAAAUAUCUUUAAGUGCUUAGCAAUUUUCGAACAAAUAACGAUAAGAUCUACGAUUUCUUAUUACUGUCUCAAACCAUUAGAAGAGAAAAACCAACAACUCAGGCGUUAAUAAUGCCAAUAACAACCAAUAACGCAAGAGUAUUUUUAUUUAUUUGUUAUUUGUUUAUUUUAUUUUAUGUUUUCUUAUUUAAGAUUUCCCACGCUCUCGACUUUUGCCGGCAAUUAAUGGGGUCCGCCUGCCUCCACUCCAACACUCCGCCGGGCGACGGCUGCUGAUUCCUCCGCGCCAAAAAACCUCUCUCUCUCUCUCUCUCUCUCUCUCUCUCUCUCCCCACCAUCGAAGCUCCCCCUCCCCCUCUUCCCCAAGUACAAGUACAACCCCCUCCUCUCCUCUUUGUUUUCCACAUGGUGGUGGUGGUGGUGGUACUGUGGCAGUAGUAAUACUAGUACUCUUCCUCUCCUCUCCUCUCCCCCUUUCUCUAUAACCUUAUUAAGCGCGCGCUCUCUCUCUCUCUCUCUCUCUCUCUCACACACACACACACACAUACACACAUACACACAUACUACCAUUAUUAUUCCCUUCUCAUUCCCCGUCUACACAGCUCACCACUUCACAACACUACCAUGGCUCUCCACCUCUUCUCCUCCCUCCUACCUCCCCACAAGCCCCUACUCUCCUCUCCUCGCCACCACCCGCUUUUGCUCCCCCACGUCUCCUCCUCCUCCUCCUCUCACCACACCGCGGGGGAGAGAGCCCUUGUGUUGGAGCAACCCCCUUUUGAACUCGAACCAAUCCCCAAAACCGCUUCUUUCAAUGAGGAGCCGCCCAAAGAUCGCCCUUUUGGUGUUCCUCGGGGCCGAAUCGAAGAGCCCGAGUUCCGGAUGACCCUAUCCGAGCUCGUAAAUGCCGCCGGGAUUCGGCGGCCCGUGGCAGUUUACGGCGAUCCGCAUGUUUCGGUUACCGGCGUUCAGAAUGACUCGAGGAAGGUGAUUCCCGGAGACCUUUUUGUUUGCUGUGUUGGGUGUAAAACUGAUGGGCAUCUUUACAUCACGGAUGCCGUCCGAAAGGGAGCUGUCGCGGUGCUCUCCUCAAAGGAGGUUCAUUUAGAUUUGAUGCCACAUUGUGGGGCUCUUGUCGUAGUGCAGAGCACUAACUCUGUUCUCCCUGUAAUUGCCGCCGCGUUUUAUAAGAACCCGUCAAGGAAAAUGUCGGUGGUUGGGAUCACCGGAACGAACGGCAAAACGACUACGUCGCACUUGGCGAGGGCAAUUUAUGAAGCUAUGGGGCUGAGGACAGGAAUGCUGGGGACCGUAGGAUACUAUAUUAACGGAAACACGCAGUUAGAAGAAGCCCAAAAUACGACCCCUGAUGCAGUUGCGGUUCAGAAAUUGAUGGCUAAAAUGGUGCACAAUGGGGCUAAAGCAGUGGUAAUGGAGGCUUCUUCUCACGGGCUCGCACUCGGAAGGUGCGACGAAGUAGAUUUCGAUGUCGCAGUGUUCACGAAUCUAACAAGAGACCACUUCGAUUUCCAUAGAACUGAACAGGAGUAUAGGAAAAGCAAAGCCAAACUUUUCUCAAAGAUGGUUGAUCCUCAACGGCAUGUUAAAAUUGUAAACAUUGAUGACCCGAAUGCAAAAUUUUUCAUAGCUCAGGGGAACAGAGGAGUACCUGUUUUGACCUUUGCGGUAGAGAAUAAGAAUGCAGAUAUUUACCCCCUUAAGUUUGAGCUUUCGUUGACGACGACAAAGGUUUUGAUCAAAACACCAAAUGACGUACUACAAAUCUCUUCGCGGUUGAUCGGGAGGCACAAUGUUUAUAAUAUCCUUGCAGCAGCAGCUGUGGGUAUUGCUGUCGGUGCCUCAGGUGAGGAGAUUGCUAGAGGAAUCGAAGGAGUCGAUGGUGUUUCGGGUAGGUUUGAAUCGAUAGACGUGGGCCGUCAACCUUUUGGAGUUAUAGUUGAUUUCGCACACACUCCAGAUGCUUUGUCUAAAUUACUGGAUACCGUUAGAGAGCUAGGUGCAAGGAGAAUCAUCACAGGUAUGCUGCUUUUACUCUUAAGCCUGUUUGAAGAAUGGAUUAGUUAGUCUAUCAGAAAAGAAUGGAUUAGUUAUAGCUGAAGUUUGAUUUUGUUCUCUGAUGCACCAUAUUUAGUCGUCGGUUGUGCCGGCGAAAGUGACAAAGGGAAGCGACCAAUUAUGACAGAACUUGCUGUCGACAAAAGCGAAGUCGUCAUUUUGACAUCAGACAACCCGAAAACCGAGAAUCCAUGUAUGAAUCCUGAAUAUAUAUAUACUUUCCAAUUUAAUCAAAGUUCUUUCAGAUUGAACGAGCACAAGUUAUACUGUCGAGUAACUAAGUAGGGAUCUUUUGGAUGUCAAUUUCUCAAUACAUUUUAACAGUGAACAUCUUGGAUGAUAUGUUGGCCGGUGUCGGAUGGACCAUGCAUGACUAUGUACAUUACUGUAAGAAUGAUUACUACCCGCCUCUUCCGAACGGCCAUAGACUUUUUGUUCAUGACAACAGAAGAGUAGCAGUGCGGGCUGCUAUAGCUAUGGCAGAGAAAGGGGAUAUAGUUGUAAGUUGUUCUUUUUCUUUGUUUAAUCUUCAGCCAAUCUUAGGUGCGAGUUUCUUUUGCAUAGCUGUGUCCUUAUGUGUAUAGAUUACGGUGGAAAUGCAUGUUGAAGAGCAUGCUUAGGUGCCCUUUUUGAAAUCAACUUAAUCUCCUGGGUUUCCACUAUAUAUUUCUUUUAUUGAUCACAUUAAUUUAAACUUGGACAAUUGGCCAAUGAAAGAAUUUUCCGUGGCGAUAGCAUUUUUCUCUUACGAAUGCCAUCCCUUCCUUAUUAAGAUGCAUCUGAUCUUUAUUUAAUUUUGUUUGAGCCGAGCAAGUUGUAUAAUUUUUAAUUGUUUUGAGUGAUCCUUUUCAGUUUCUUAACAGACAUUAUCAAGAAAUAACUGAAAUUUUUCGCGUGGCAAUGCAAUUUUGCUCUCUGACAUGGGUCUCAUAUUGCAGGUUGUGGCAGGCAGAGGGCACGAAGACUAUCAAUUACAAGGUCAUAAGAAGAUACAUCUUGAUGACAGGGAAGAAUGUAGGGAAGCUUUGCAUUAUAUCAACAAGUUGCAUCGGGCAGGGUUGGGAAAAAGAAUUCCGACGGUGGUAAGUUAAAAAGUGGUGAAUUUACUGCAAUUUUGCCAUGCUCCUGCAAUUUACCUCACAUUACCAAGAUGUUUUCUUAAAGAGGCUUUAUCCUGUUAGUCAAUUUGUACAUCUUGUUUGCAUCAUUGGAAUAUCAUGUUACCUCUAGUAUUCUCAGAAUUCUGUUCUGUUUCUUCUUAUUCUCCUGAAUAGAGAGCCUUUGUACAUAAUGCCCCUAUCAGUUCAUGGCAAUUUCCUUCUUGCUUUCUAGCCGACUACCGGCCGGAUAUCAGAUAAUCUACUGCUAGGAAAAGUCUCAGUUUCCGAGAUUAGAAUGUUUUGUGGUUAAAUUCGUUAGACGAAGCAUAUCUUAAAAGCCAAUUCCCUUUUGAAGUAGAGGAUACAUAAACAUUUUAUGUUAGUUUGCCUUUCUGUAUUUAUUUGCUUGCUGAUUAAAUUCGCAAAUGUACUUUAAUCUCUAAUUAUCGACUACUCUAAGCUUGUCAAUACUGGUCGUCAAACAAAGACCAGUUAAAGAAAGCACUCACUCAUCUUUACAUAGAUUGCCGAUGAGAUCAUUGAGUUCUCCUUAGCUACUUGAAGUUGCUUGUACUAUGUUAAUAAUACUAACAACUUCUGAACAGAACUUUGUCUCUCUGUUUCACUAUUUCUCCACAGGUCAUCAGAGAGCCUCUUUUGUCCUUCCAUGAAGAUGUCGAGGCUCGGCCUGUAACACCGAAGCGAGACGAGUCAUUUUCUGCUUCGCCUGUUCAUUGAUUGCACCCUCAGUGUCAGCAGUUUCUCAUGUUUGUCUUGUCAACGACAUUUCUGCCGGUAAGCAUGAAUUGUACAAGUAAUGUUUAAGUCCUAUAUUUGUUUACAGAAAAAAUAAUUUAUUUUAAUGUUAAUGUGCAGAAAAGUCACUUGUAAAUUAGUGAGAAGUGCCUUUUCGUUUAAUUUCCAACAUUUAAUGUGGAUUUUUUAUUUGCUUGCACCACUGAAUAAUCGACAAUCCUAGGCUCUUAUGUUUAUUUUUGUUAUUUUCAAAUGAAUAGGCAAUCAAACAUGAGUUCUCUCUUUUUCCUUCAGUUUCCCCCCUCUUUUAAGUUCUGAAGCUUAUCUUAGCCGUAUAUAUUCUGCUAAACCUGAGGUCCAGAAAUAUUUUGAUCUUCUAUGUAGGUACUUGAAUUCUGCUAAAAGAAAAAUAUAUACACAUGCCCGUACCUCUUUUAUUUUCGUUUUUUUUUAAUGUUAAACAUUCCAAGCAAAGACUAACCACCACUGUUUAUAGCAGUUGAUUGUUAUCCUCCGGCUUCUCAGGUUAGAUCUAGCACCCAAGCAAUUUCAAGGCAUUGAAAUGUAUUUUAAAACUCCUGUUUGGCCCAACUAAAGUUGCUCAAAGGUGGCCUGAACUGGCUUAAAUGGGCUGUAAAUGGGCUGGACUGUGGCCCAGUCACACUAGUAGAACUAUCCAUGUUUGGUUCAAAAAGACAAAAAUCUAGGCAGGUGGAAGGAUACUCUUUUGGCUAUUACUAUUAUUAUUAUAUCCCUUAUUUACAAAAUUUGUCCUUUUUUCAAUUAUUUCAAACAAAAUAAUUGAAAUUUUCUUAAAUUAUUGAAAAAAAAUAAAAGAAAAGAUGUUGUCGGUGGUUCUCUUCUUGGGAGAACGAGACGAGGCCUGUGGCCAACGCAUUAGCAAUAAUCUCAAUAAUAAUCUCUAGCCUCUAGGCAAAGACACGAACGCCUUGUAAAGCGGAAAAAAAAAGGGCCACUUAUUUGAACACUCAGAUUCAAAAAACAAAACAAUAAAUCAUCUAACUUUACAAUUAUUUUGAUCAAUUAUUUUUUUUUAUGAAUUAUAGUUAAUUUGAUUCAAAAAAAAUUUAAAUGAUUGGUUGAAGUAAUCACUAAAUUAUGUCUUUACCUUAGGGUUUAUUGUGUGUUGAAAACUAUCCACUGCUACUGAACCAAAUUAAAAUGAUAUAUAUAUAUAUAUAUAUAUAUAUGUAUAUAUAUAUAUAUAUAUAUAUCUUCGUUUUUCAAACAAAUCACAAAAAGAUUAUAUUGUAACUGAAUUGAAUUGAGUUUCUAUGAAUUUAAAAGCACCAAAUCAUUGGCACUUAUAGAUUUUCGAUUUUUGAAUGAAGAUUUGUAGGAUUAAAAUAAUAGAACUCUCCUAGGGUUGAGUGAAUGAUUGCUAGAAUAGCAUAAUCUAAGAGAUAAAAUUGGUCAAAAAGAUAUAUUUAGUGGUGAAAAAAUUACAAGCACCAAAUACUUUUAAAAGCACUAUAGCCAAACUCAACUGAAUUAUUGUAUUCUCUAACAUUUAACAUAAUUUAACUAGUGUGCUUUUCCUUCCUUUAUUUGACUUCUAAUUUAGACUCUAUAAAUAUGUCAAACUCUCCUUGUUGGUCUCAAACACCUCCUCCAUGGCUCCUCUUCCUCACUCUCUCAAUCUCUCUUUCUCACUUCCACCUCAAAUUCUCUUCUCCUCCUCCCCUCCAUCACUCCCCCUCACCCUCAAUUCCCACUCCAAAUCCCACCUCAAUUUCUCCAAACCCUACUCCCUAUUCCCCAAACCCCAACACCACCACAAAAAACCAACCAAAAUGCUCCUCAAAUCCAUACCCAACACAAAACCAAUCUCUAUCUCUGACACCCCCCACUCCAUGACCCUUUCCGAGCUCCUAAGCAAAGCCAACGCUACUCCUAUCUCAAUUCAUGGAGAUACACAGGUACCAAUCACAGGGAUUCAACACAAUUCUAAGGAGAUUAGCCCUGGCGAUCUAUUUGUUUGUUGUUUUGGGUCGAAAACCGACGGCCAUUUGUAUAUUACUGAAGCUUGUGAGAAAGGAGCUUCAGCUGUUGUGGUUACUGAGGUAGUUAAUGUUGAAGAGGAGGCCUUACAUUGUUGUAGAGCCCUUGUAAUAGUGGAGGACACCAAUUCGAUCCUCCCUCGCCUUGCCGCCUCCUUCUUCGGCCACCCGUCGAAGCGGCUCUCCGUCGUCGGGAUCACCGGCACCAACGGUAAAACCACGACGACCCAUCUGGUCAAAUCGGUGUUCGAAGCAAUGGGAUCGAAAUCGGGGAUGUUGGGAACACUUGGUUACUGUAUUGAUGAAGAUAACAAGUUGGAAGCAGUUAACACAACACCUGAUGCCUUGACCAUUCAGAGACUGAUGGCGGAAAUGGCGCGGAACAGGGCCGAUGCCAUCGUGAUGGAGGCUUCGUCGCAUGGGCUGGAAUUGGGGAGGUGCGACGAGAUUGACUUCGACGUCGCGGUGUUCACCAACCUUACACGAGACCACUUAGAUUUCCAUGUAACCGAAGAGCGGUACAGAGAGAGCAAGCUCAAGCUGUUCGACAAAAUGCUCGAUCCAGAUAAGCAUAGAAAAGUUGUGAACAUUGAUGAUCCAAAUGCGUCGUAUUUUAUCGCGCGGGGUAAUGCAGACGUACCUCUUGUGACCUUUGGAAUGGAUAGCAAAAAUUGCGACGUGCGACCUCUGGGGCUCGAGAUUUCUUUGUUUGGGACGAAGCUUUCGAUUAGUACACCAAAGGGAGUAGUAGAAAUCAACUCUGCGUUGGUGGGUCGGUACAAUGUGUACAACAUUCUUGCUGCAGUUUCUGUUGGGAUCGCAGUUGGGGGGCAAUUAGAGGAGAUUAAGAGGGGGAUUGAGGGGUUAGCUGGAGUUCCGGGCCGGUGUGAAUUGAUCGAUGAAGGUCAAAACUUCGGAGUUAUUGUCGACUAUGCGCAUACGCCGGAUGCUUUGUCAAGACUUUUGGAUGCCAUGAGAGAGCUCGCUCCGAAGAGAAUCAUAACUGGUUCGCGAUCUACUGAUCUGUUUUAUGCAGACUAUUCAUAAGCACAGUUAUUUUCCUUACUGAUGAAACUUCUCUUCUGAAUUUCCCACUUCCAGUUUUCGGGUGUGGCGGCCAACGAGAUAGCGGAAAGAGACCGCUCAUGACCCGAAUUGCUACCAACAAAAGCGAUGUUGUUAUUCUAACCUCUGACAAUCCCAGGAAUGAAGAUCCAUGUAAGCAUUCUAUGUUUCAGUAAUGUAGUCAGAAACCACAAAAACUAUCUUACAGUAAAUAUCUAAUCUUAAAUUUUGAAUAUGGGGUUCCUAAUUCUCCAAGGUAUUGUGCUUGUGUAUGGUUAGUGAAUAUCUUGGAAGGCAUGUUAGCUGGUGUUGGAUGGACCAUACAAGAUUAUGUGCAACUUACUCAUGACAAGAAUUAUGCGCAGCUUAACAAUGGGUGUCAGCUUCUUGUCCAUGAUCUCAGAAGAGUUGCUCUGCAAGCUGCCAUUGCCAUGGGAAAGGAAGGAGACAUUAUCGUAAUAUAUCUUACUCCAACCUUCUUCCUAUAUCAUUCUCACUUUCUAAAUAUGUGAAGAAUAAAUGUUUCUCAAUACAUGAGAAGAUUGGUUAAACUCAACCAACACUGUUCUUGUGUGUGUGUGUGUCUGUGUGUGUGUUAUUUCUCAUUGUGAGAACAAGAGUUUUUGCCAAAAACUGACAGAAAAUCAAAAAAAAAUGCAAGUUCUAUAGGAGAUCCUUUCUCAUACUUUCUGCUACGUUUUCUUCUCUGCCUUGUGAAAAUUUUGGUGCUGUAGGUUGUUGCAGGGAAAGGCCACGAAACAUAUCAAAUCGAAGGUGAAACGCGGAAAUUCUUUGACGACAGAGAAGAGUGCCGAGAAGCUCUGCGUUACGUCCGCGAGUUGAAGAAAGCAGGAAUAGACAUCAGUGAACUUUCAUGGGGGGUAAAUAGGCAAUUGUUCUUUUCUAUUUAAUACCUACUGUAAUUUCGAAUCGGAUUCAAUUUUGAUGCAUAAAUCCCACAAGUAAACAUUUUGAUUCAAGCUAAACUACUGUAUGUUUACUGCAGGUUACAGGAUAGGCACUUUUCUUCAUAGAUGAAUUAACCUAUCCCAUUCAAAAGUUUUUAAGUACUCUCUUUCUCUCUCAUAUUAACUUAGUUCACAUUAUUAUUUUUUUGAUAAUAAUAAUUAUUUUACAUUAACUAUUUUGUGUGUUUUGUGUGUUAUGUGCUUUUGCACUAUGCAGGUUAAAAUCAAAAUCAACUGAAACUGCCGUGGUGCUCUUCUUGGACAGAGAAUGUGUGGUUUCUUUUCUUUUUUUUUUCCUAUAUUUUUUGUUCCUUCUUGUGUAUAAAAUGUAUAGGUUCUUUAAGAAAUGUUUAUUUACAACGGUGAGAAUAAGGGUAUUUCUCUAAUGCCACUGGAACCUUGUAAUCUGCAACUGCUUCAAAAUCAGAAAAGGACGUUCAUAUAUAAGAAUCUUCUUUUCCAAGUUACUGAACGGAAGAGAAAAAAUAUAGAUAAAAGCGUAUAAAACUUAUCUGAACUAUAAACCAUAUUUAGCGCAGUUGUUAAAGAUUUGAGGUUGGUAUCUGAAAUUCCAAGUUUGAAGCCUAUACGCUUCACAUUCCCUUCCUUUUUCUCGAAAAUAAAUAAAUAAACAAAUAAUUAUUGCAUAUUCCAGCCCCAAAAUGCUUCUUCCCAGUAUAUAGCUAUAUCCGCUCUUCUCAUUUUCCUUUUAAGAAGCAAAAUAAAGUUAGGUUCAACUUUAAUUUAUUUGAAAUAAAUAAUAUUCUAUUUGUUAUUAAAUUGAGUUGAGUCCAUAUGAACUAAGGAUUCAAAUUUGAUUCUGAAACUCUUGUGUAAUUUACCCGAGCUUGAGCCUAUGUAGCUUGCAUUAAGUUUGUUUGCACCUCCACAACAAAAAAAAGUGAAGGCACUAAUUGUCAACUAUCGUAUUAUUAAACAAAACCACGGGAAAGCUUCACUUUUGAUGCAGUAGUAUACAUAAUAUGAAGAUUCUUUAAAUUAUCUUUUUAUUGAUUUAUACAUAUAGUCUAAAAAUAUUAUAUAUUCAUUUACAUAUAAUAUCACAUAUAAUUCCACGGUAAAUAAAUUAAGUUUGAUUGUUGUCUCUUUUUUUUUUGACAAGAAUAAAUUAAAGACGCGAAAAUCACAUUACAACUUCCAUUUCAUUACCCGGACAGCGUAGGCCUAAUCAACUGUUCUAUUGGGGGAAAAAAGAAGAAGCAUAAACACAAAAGCAAAACAUGCUAUAUCCAUUAUGCCUAUCAAAAACACCUCUCUUUUAUGCUUCUUAGAAUGGCUAAAAGAAAAAGGCAUAGAGUAACUGCUUCAAAAAGAAAAGCACUUCUCAGCUCCUAAAGGUUAGUUAGAGCAUUCCAAAUAUUUGCUUUUAUCCUAUAGUAUCAUUGCUAGUGAAGCUACUAAUCCAACUCUUUAAUGGUGAACUAGUGUUGUAAAGCAAAUCAUAUAUAAUUCCCUCCUAUUUUCCGUAAUUAUUUUCCCUGUAGUUUUCUAGUUGUAUGUAGAGAGGCGAGGAGGAGAGAUGGGUCUUAGUGGAGAAAUCAAAGAAGAAAGAAUGGAAGCAAGUAAAAGCGAACCUUUUCGGAGAUCGGAAGCCACGGAGGUGAUCCAUAUUGCUGUCGGAAAGAAUUAUCGUGCAGAGAAACAGAACUUGAAGUGGGUACCAGAGAACUUCCCGCGGGCUAGGAUUUUUAUCAUCCAUGUUCCUUGGCCUUCCAAGUAGAUGCCCUUCAGAAAGUUUUUGAACCUAUCGAGCAAAAUAUCGAACAUAUGUACUGUUGUUAGUUUUUCAGUUGCUUCAUUCUUUCCGAAUUAAUCUGAGUUUUAGAAAAUUUUGGUUAAAAGAUAAGAACACAAAUAAGAAGUGUCAAAAAAGAAAAAAGCAAAAUUACUUGAGAUAUCAUUCUUGGUGUUGAUAGAAUCCUCAUACAUAAUAUCUUUGAUCACCGAAAAAUAUUACCAAAAUUGAAUCUAAGUUAUGCUAGCGCCAAAAGCAUGGAAGAAUUCUGUAGUAUCUGUAGCAGAUGGAUGAUAGCAAAAGGAGGAAAAGAGAAAAAAAAAAACAAGAGAGAAAAAAAGAUUGAUGCUACUUUACAAAGCAUCUGGAAUGAACUGUAAAGUGCUGAUCUCUUAUUAAUGCUAACAAAUGUAGAGACACGAAGGAUCACAAAAAUGAGGUUGAGAAAUGGCUUACCAAUGAACUACUUAAGGUUUCUAUUCUGAAAAAUUAAUCUUUAAAAUAGAAGCAAGAUGUAAAGUUUAGGAAUGAAGUAUGGUAGGCAAAGAAACAGAGGAAAAGGCAAACUCAUCAAAAGUAGCCCUGCAGAAUAUUUGCAUGCCUAAUUUUAAGAUUUUGUGUGAUACAUAUGGAUUAAGCAGCUUGAUCUACAUAGUCACCUACUAUACAUCAACUGUAAGGUAUGUUCUUUAAGUAUGCUUCAAUCUUUUAUAAUCCCAAGACAUUACUAAGUUUGGUUCUCUCUAAUAAUAUUAGCAGUGGGUACCAAAAUAUCAUACGUAUUAGCAAACGAGGCAGAAAGAGCAUUGCAUCGAAUAAGGCAGAAAGAAGAAAUGGCACAACUGUUAUGUCAAUACAAAGCAUCGUGUAUAAAUAGAAAGGUCGAAACUAGUCCGAUUCAUUUGUGCUCGGUACUUUACAAUCUAAUAUACUUUGUUUGCUAUUUCAAGAAAAGGAACUGCACUAUGCUGAAUAUAUAAUCUGCGGUAAAUAUCACUAGGUGUUUAGAUGAUAAUGGUGAUGAUGUCAAAAUAGAUUUAGCACAUGCAGUACUAUUGUAUAUUGUAUAAUAUUAUUAUUCUACAAGAUAGUAUAAUUAUUAUCAUUCUACAAGAUAUUUGGUGAGAAACAUCCCAUCUUUUAAGAGGUUUAAAUUGAGUCUUACAACUUUCUCCAUGAUGCAGGUUGAUAUGCAACAUAUCGAUGUCAGAGAUUUUUGAAUGGAAAAUCAAGAAAGCAGUCGAAAAUUAAAGAAGACUCAACUUGUAUUACAAACAAACAAAAAGUAAACCUUCAGAGAUGUUUGGUAUUGCUGCCAUUUUUUGUCUUUACAAACAAAAAUUCUCUGUGGUUGGAUGUGCCGCUGGUUGGACUUUCCCGCUCUUGUCAUCACUGGCAAGCUUACAAUGCAACCGUGAAUAGAAUGCUAAAGGGUAUCUUCUUCUUCAAAAAAAAAAAUUUGAAGUUUGCUACCAAGUUCUGCUAUUUGUCACAACCAACACCAUAAUUGAAUAGACCGUGAACACUCCAACCUCCGCGAGCACUCUCUAUUACACAGAGUUUGUGUUUUAAAAACAAAAAACAAUUGGCAACAACACCAAAUAAGGCAUUAAAAUCCAACUUAUGUAAGUUACUGGUGGUGGGAAAUUAGAACAAGGUAUGACGAAGUUUGCACAUGCACAUGCAUAUGCAUGGAUGUACAGGGAUCCAAGUUGCUGUGUGUUACAAUAUGGCAUGUAAAUUUAUGAGUUAGCGUGAAUAACUUCAUUACAGAUAUCUGAAGUGAGCAUGACUUUAUCAUGCUCCUUUUCUUUUCUUUUCUUUCUUUCAGGCUUGCUUCAAAACAAGAUGGAUAUAUGUAUACAUAUUUUAAGCACCUUUCGUGCGAUUGUGUCUAUCUAUUCACAAUACUGGGGAGAAAAAAAAACCAGUAGCAAUUUGGAAACAGCUUGCAAAAAUUACAACGAUAAUAGGGAAGGGAUUAUGAAUACACAGCAGGAAUUUGCAAACAAAUAUAAAUACGGCUUCUUUCAUCAAAGCAAAAGCAAUACUACAACUUUUCCCUCCUUUUCAAGUAUCAAGAGGUGGAAUCUACAACAAAACACACCUAUAUUGUAUCAAUUUGUUCAGUCAUUAUACACAAACCGUAACAGAGUUAAUUGAUAAAAAAGUAUUCAUACCCACCAAAAAUUGUAAAAACAUAUUUACUUUUAUCUUGAAAGAUCCGAAGAAAUGUAAUUUCCACACUAAUCAGCAGAAUAAAUGUACUCAUUGGAUUCAUAUACUAAAAUCGAAUCACCGAAACCAAAAAAACUAAGUAAAAUUUGGAUUUCUAAACACCAAAAAGUUACACACCAAAGAAAAAAGGAGAUCACAAUUUUAACAAUGAAUCAACUUAGUCUAUCGCAAACUAAGAGAAACUACAUGCAUUCCGUUCUAAAAUCGAACACUUAAAAUAAUAAUAAUUUGGAUUUCUAAACACCAAAAUAGUUACAGGGAAAAGAAAAGGUGAUUACAAUUUUAACUAUGAAUCAAUUAAAUCAAUCGCAAGUAAUGGGAAAAAAAAAAAGAAAAAGGUACAAUCGGUCCAAAAACUAAGCUUAAAUUGAAAAGGAGAAGGUAAAAGCGCUUACCAAUAAAUUAGGGUUUGAAGGGCGCGAAUGGAGAAGGAAAUAAGCUAAACAGGUCAAUAAAAAAAAUAUAUAUAAAUUAAAAAACCACUCAAAAGAAGAAAAAAAAAAAUUGGUAAAUGUAAAAGCGCUUACCAAUAAAUUAGGGCGUUUGAAAGGUGCGAAUGGGAGAAGAAAAUAGCUAAACAGGACAAUUAAAAAAAUUUUAAAAAAUGAAAAUAAAAAAUCAACUCCAAAUAUCAGAGACAGGUUUCGAUCCUGUGACCUGUGGGUUAUGGGCCCACCACGCUUCCGCUGCGCCACUCUGAUUUGAUAAAAAUGUUUGAAAUUUAUUUUAGUUAACUUUAAAAAUAUGCUAUUGAUCAGGCAUUUUCGAAAUCAAUGUAAUAAUAAUCUUACCUGAUCGACCUAUUUGUUAGAUUGGCUCUUUCACUUUGUUCUUAGCUUACAUUAGUAGUUUGAUGACGAUGCUAUGCCGCAUUUUGAACUGGUUGUUCUGCAUUUUAAAAACUAUUAUCAAAUAAUUUGUAAUUUUGCACGCGGGUGUAGUCGAUAAAAAGGAAAAGAAUGAAUGAAGAUGGAAAUUUUUAGAAGAGUAUUGCAAUUAUCAACUAGAUGUUGGAGACAGGCACGAUAUUGCUCCCUCUUGAACGUCAGAAGUUUCAAUAGGUUUUAUUAGUGUCGCACUUGGUGGCUCUGAGCAUGCUUAGAACUGAAAUAGCUUUAAAAAAUUAAUCUGUUAGAAAAUGGAGUUUAAAUAUUUUUAUAUUUUAACAUUUUCCUCACGUUUGAACUUGUGAUUUUUUAUAAGACUCAUAAUAUGGAGCUGAAUUAAAUAGAAAAGAAUUAAUAAUGUUCGGAGUCUAACGUAACUAGAACUUAAAACCUCAUACUCUAAUAUCAUGAUAAAUUAUAUGAAAUAAUCGUUAUACUCUGAAAAUCAAAGUUGUUAGAAAAUUGUGUUUAAAUAUUUUUGCCCUGUCAUCAAUUAUAAAUGAAAAUCGUAUUGCUUUUCGUGGAGCAGAAGCUGAACAUCCUACUUGAUCUCUCCGCUCUUCUCUCCAAUUCUGAUUGGCACUAGUGUGCGCGAUUGAAUGCCCUGAAACAUUUACUUAAGGGGCAAUUGCUUAUAUAGAGGAAUGUUGCAAUAAAUGUGUUACAUGAAUCUGAACUUAGAAGCGGUCUUCUAUAAUUUAGAAAAGUUCUGUUUUGGUAGACGUUUUUGGAUAGGCUUGUCUCUUUCCUUUUCAAAUUGUUGUGAUCCACAGAUGUUAUUUUCUGCCUGUAUUAUAGUUUAAACAUUUUUGCUAUUUUCUUACAGGCUUUUGUUAUUGUGUUAAGUGUUUCAGGUAAAAUUUCUUUCAUGUCGAUGUAAAUGAAAUGAUAUGAUUUUUUUCAUUUUUGCAUUGCUUCUGCAGUGAUUCGAACAACUAUCAGCAACGAAUUGUGUUUCUAUAAUCGACGAUCCCUAGAGCGGGGCUUUGAUUCAGGGUUUGUAGAGCAUUUGUUUUGCUUAUGCUUUUGGCGACAUCGAUUUUUAGCAGAGCAUUUAACAAUCACUGGUAUUCAAUAUUUCUGCUGUAGUACCAAGCACAACGAGGCCCAUGCCACAUUGAACAUUGUCGAAUGGCGCGUAAGUUUCUAUGUUGUGUGUAAGGGGGCAUUACAUUACGCAUAAGACAGAUUAAAAAAAUAUUUUUAAUAUAAAAAAUAUUUUUUCGCUUAUUUAGUUUGAUAUUGUAAAAUUAUUUUUACGAUUUAGAAACACUAUAAAAUUUUUAUAUUUUUGUUGUUUUUUGACGAAAAAUAAAAAUUCAAACUGCAUAAAUUUUUUUAUUUAUUUUUUCACUAAAAUUUUUAAAAAUAUGUAUUAAACUUUUUUUUUUUUUCUACAAAUCAAAUACUAUAAAAUAUAAGAAAAUUUUGACCAAAUUUUUUAUUUGUCUAAAUUUUCGUACCCACUUCUCGAUUAUGGCCCAAGCAUGGCUCCACAUCGAAGGCCCACUUGGGAGGCUAAAUGUAGUGUAAGUUGCUAUCAAUCACAUCGAUCCAUUUAUUAGCCUCAAACGUACGAGUAAAGCAUGGGAAAUUCAAGUCACGUGGUACAAUGAUCGGCCAUCCACGUGUCGGCCUGUAACUGGCUGGUCGGUUCGACGCAUGUCGUGGUGCCUCGGACUUGGGAGAAAUUCUAGUAUGCAGCGCGUACACCACGUCACCUUUAUCACCGGCCAAUAAUAGCGCGACACCUCAGCAGCCAAUUAAAUUGAGAAGAAAAAUCAAACAGCACUAACGCCGUUUCCCUAGCAAUUUGAAAUUAUCGAAAAUUGGUGCCCGAGUUUUAGCGGGAGUUUUUAAUCUCUCUCUCUCUCUCUCUCUCUCUCUCACAGAUUAGUCCAUGAAAAAAGGGGGGAAAAAAUUUCCAUCGAGAUAACCCAGACACUCUGCUUCCCCGUUGCUUGCCGAGGCCACCAUUGAUGCCACCGUCGCAGACGACGACUCCGGCUGCACCGAUGACUUUAUGAUGCCAGUCUAAUUGCCGCCGCCGACGUUCUCGCACGACGCCCCUCUUGCUCAGUAAUGCUUACCGACUCCGACCGCGUCCUCCACUUUAAUUUGCUUGCCACCGAGUUCCACUGGCUCCUUCGUAAUUUUCUUUUCCUUCUCAAUGCUCCUUUGUAAUUUUUUUUCCCUUUCCAUCUAAUUUAUAUUCUCUACAUAAGUAGGCUGUACUUAUUGUGCAUGUUUUUCUUUAAAAAAAAAACCUAUUUUUUAAUUCUUAGGAAUGCACCAAGUAAUACUAAUUUGGAUGAAGAUAUUAGUAAAGUGUAUGAAGAAAACCGUCAACUUCAUCGCAUUUUAAAAUUACAGAGUAUUUUGAAACAAUUUUUUUCCCCUAUCAUUGACACAUGCAUCAACUUUUCAUAUUUUGGAUCCAAUAAUUUUAAUCUAAAAAUUAAAAAUUUUACUAAAUUUAGCUAUGAUUCGAUUAAAUUUAUAACUUUUUUUUUUAAUAUUUUCAAAUUUGUUGAGCAACAUGAGCUGCUAGUUUGCAAGCAAAGUAGUCAAUUAAAAGUCCUAAUUAGUAUUAAUUCGUAGCAUUUUAGCUAAUAAAGUAUGAUGUUCUUUAGCUCUUUUGCAAACUGAAACUCAAUCUUUCUCCAUCAUAGGUUGAAUGGCUGCAUCAAUUAGGAAUCAUGUCAUGGUCGACAAAACGAAUGAUAACAGCAUCUGGGAGUAUAUAAAUAUAGAUGCUUAUGAUAAAAAACUUGAAGUGGGUAUAAUAGUUAAUUCUGAAGACGAAGCUUACAAUCUCUACAAUGAAUAUGCAUUGAGGAAGGGUUUUAGCAUAAGAAAAGGAAACAAACGAUUAGUCGAUGGGGUUCUCCGACAACGAGAAUAUGUGUGCUCCAAAGCAGGAUUUUCUGAUUCUAAAGAUCCUUGUAACUUAAAAGGGAUAAAUCGAUUAGUAACAAGAACGGGAUGUACGGCUAGAGUUCGAUUCAGUAUAAAAAGUGGUGCUUGGGAAGUCACUCAUUUUAAUGAUAUGCACAAUCACGAGUUUGCAAAACAAGAGGAAAGACAAUUUACGAUCUGGUAGGAGAAUGCUAGAUUCUCAUGCAGCUGUUAUUUCCUCUAUGGUACAAGCAGGCAUAAAACCAAUAAAAUCAUACUCUUAUUUAGCCAAACAGGUUGGGGGGACACAAAAUGUUGGAUUUACUAAGAAAGAUUGUUAUAAUUUCUUGCAUACCGCAAGAAAAGUGAUGAUUGAAGCAGGCGACGGACAAAGUGUCAUUAAUUACUUUAAGCAUAGACAAUUGGAAGAUCCUAUGUUUUUUUAUUCUGUGCAGGUAGACCAAGAGAAUCNAAGAAUAAAUUAGCUUAUUCUAGGCCAAGUAUUGAACACAGUAUAUAGUAUAUAACUCAAUCGCUUUUACUUCUUCGUGCUCAGAUAUAUAUGUUAACUGGGCUACUAUCGAUAGUAAAUUACUCGAUUUAUUACUAAUUUAUUUUUAAUGAUAGAGCUUACAAAUUGACGAUCGGUAUCAUUGAAUAUGAUCUAAACUAUUUAAAUUAUCUAAAAAUCAAAUUUUAUAAUUCUUUGACAUCACUAACUGAACGAUCAAAGGGUCACAAAAUCUAUAAUUUUAAUGACCGAUAUGGUGUGUUUGCUCGUUUAACGGUAUAGAAGAGUUCAAAUUAACUAAAUUUUUGUUAAAAAAUUCUUUAAACUAUUUAAAAUAAGAUCUAGACUCUAGAUCUCAAAUAUAAAAAUUGUAUCAUCACUUUUCGAAGGAUAUUCAUUUCCAACCAUUCAUUCUUCUGUUCAGUUGAUGGACAAGAGAACAAUAUCGAAAAUGUGUGAAAUUUGAUUUUCAGAUAGUUUAAAUAGUUUAGAUCAUGUUUAACGGUGCUGAUUAUCAAUUUGGAAUUAUGAAAGCAUGCAUGAUAGCAUAUCUAUUCCCGAGCUUUUUUUCGAUAUAUCUCUUGCACAUCCUGCAUGAAGAAUUAUGAAAGCAUGCAUGAUAGCAUAUCUACGUACGACGAUUUAAUCCAAAAUAAUUUAUUUAUAUUAUUUUUAUAAGACUUAGAACGCGCACCCUAAAAACAUAGCACAUAGUCAUAAUCAGCAUUCAAAUUUCUUCAUGAUAAACUACUACUAGUGGUUUGAUCUGCUAAGAAGCACACACAAAAAAAAAAAAAAAAAACCCUGCAAUGUCAUGCUAUAUAUUGAGAAAGGGGCAUUUACGUAAUAAUAACAAAGAAGAAAGACGAACGGAAUGUAGCCGUUAGCUGCGUGGAAAACGGAGCACAUCUUUUGACGCGAAUGUCCAAUGGCGAUUCAAAGCCGUCGCUUUCCUCGACAGCGAGGAUCCUCCCAUCCGUUUUGAUUAACCUUGUUGCUCUUGCGGAACGUUUCUAAAGUAAGUGAUAAAAAAUUUGAUGAUUAAUAUUUAAGAUCUAAAUUUAAAUUUUAAUUAAUUUAUAUUUUUAAUUAAAUUUAUUAUUAAAUAAAAUAAACGAAGCAGAUAGCGUGUUAUCUAUUUCUUAAAAAAAAAUUCUUGUUGCUCUCAUUAUAACUAGAAUAAAAAUCCUUUUCAAAUGUGAUUUUGUUAUCAAGAUAUAGCUUUUUAUCCGUAUUAAAAAAAAAAAAAAAGAAAAACUCCACUCCUACACCCCUAAAGAAUAUAGGAUAUACACUCCACUUAUUAAGAGCGAGAAUGUGAGGUAUACUUUUUUUAGUCUGUAUUCAUCUAAGGGUGGGAUGAAUGUACUCUACUAGUUACAUUCUUUUUUUGGAUGGAUAGGGUAUCCUACAUCACUUUGGAGGUGUAUAAUAAGUAUUAUUUAAAAAAAAAUAUCAAACUAAUUAGAGAGUACUAAGAGGAAAAAUAUAUAUAUAUAGGCUACAUAUGGAAAGCAAGGGAAGAGAACUUUUCUCUAUUAUGUGAAACAGGUCACAAGCCCCAAAAGAGGGGAAAGUGGGUGGAUUAGGAAAUAAAGAAACUCUUUGCACAACAACUUACUAUUAUAAUAUCAAAAUCUAUAAUUGAAAUUUUUGUAGUAAUUAAGAGCACUUGAGAUUCCUCCUCAAUAAUGUUGUUAUUAAGAAAACCUUAGGUUUGUAAGCUGACCAUUACAACUUAUGGAUUGGUCGUCUCCGGUGCAAGUGACAAAAAGCUUGAUAAUUGAUAUUUGAGAUUGUAAGUUUAAAAUUUAGUUGUUUUAUAUUUUCAACUAAAGUUAUUUCUAAAAAUUAUAUAAACAAAGCGGUAGCAUGCCACAAUUCUUUUCAAAUAACUAAUGAAUUAUUAAUUUGAUUAUUUAGAGUAAGUUUUUAGUCAAAAUAUUAUUCAGAAAGAUAAAAAUGUUUCCAAACUAGCUAGCUUUUAAUAUAGUGAAAAAAAUUUAAGCCAAUUUUUACUCUUGCUUUUAGUGGUGGUAAUUUUUAGGGAAAUAAAUGUUUAGUAAAUCAUUGGAUUAAAAGAAAUGUACGUAGUGAGAAGCCCAAAUAAGCAUCCAAAAAUAAUUUGACUAGAAACCAUGAUUCAAAAAAUUUUGUUAAAAAUAUAUUUAAUAUUUUUAAAAUUAUUCUACUUAUAUAACAUUUAUGUAAAAAUUUGAUCUAAAACAAAUAUAAUUUCCAUAUCACAAAUAAGUUCACUAAUUUAUUUGGCCGUAAAAAUUCUUAACCUUUCGUGUUUAAUAUAGUUGACUAAGCGGUUGAUGAUUACUCAUCCGAGAUUUUAAGUUUAAAGUUUAAUUACAGUUUAUUUUUAAAAAUAAAUUAAAUUAUAUAAAAAAGCUGAAAAUAAAAUUAAAAAAAAAGACCCGAGACAGGUAGGUGAUAAUGUGAUAUCACAAAAGAUAAGACCAAACCGACCACACCACCCUGUCCACAUCACAUCGGCCUAUACCCUCUCCAGAACCAUCUCUAAACCACCUACCUAACCCCAAAAACUUUUUUAAUUAGCACAUAACCCUAUCCUAUUACUGUUGAUACGGAGAUAAUUAUUAGCACGCACCUUACCUCACCACAAACAAAGUCCUUUUUUUUUCUUUUUUUUUUGUCCUUUGGGUGGAGCCAUGGAGGGUGGGGGUAAUAAUGUGUGGAUGGUCCCCGUACAAUCUUGAUAUAGGAGCUUGAUACAGAUUCUUUUUUCACAUAAUGUACUUUAGUUCUCUGAAAAAAUUUAGUUUCUUAUCGUACAAAUUAUUUUUUUAAUUACACUUAAAAGUAAAUUAAAAUAAAUAACUUGCCUUAAAAUGAAGAAAAAAAUAAUUAUAUUUUUAGAAAAAUUAGAUUUUCCGACCAUUAGAAAUGUUUAAAAAUUAAAAUGUCUAAAAAUACUAAAUAAUACUGUAAGAUAUAUAAUUUGAUCGAUAAAUUACUAUACUAAUACUAUUUUUACAUUAAAAUUCUCGUCAAUAACUUUCAUCUACAGCCAAUCUAGAAACUCUAUAGACUGCAAAUAUUUUUAUAAAAAAGAAUAUAAUUCUUUUACUGUAGUAGAUUUUUUUUGUUUUUUGGUGCCCAAAAAGUGUUAAAAGAAGCUGGAGCGGAGGACGCAAUUAAGCACCACGCCAAACUAAUUAAAAGGACCAUUUUGGCCAAUAUUGCGAUUGUGUAGCAGUGUAGGGGCACUUGCAUAAUAAAUUUCACCCUUUUUCCAUCAAGAGCACAGACAAAAAAAAAAAAAAAAAAAACAAGACAACACAGCGCUUCUAUAAAGUAGCACUCCUCAUCAUCAGUCGCACUCCAUCUUCUCACAAGCCCACUCCUCCUCCUCCUCCUCCUCCUCCUCCUCACCUAGCUAGCUUCGUCCCCUCACUCUUUUUGAAGUACUCAAACUGAUCAGGAAUAUUAUCAUCAGGUGAGAGGGAAUAUAUUAAGAGUAAAAAAGAAUAUACAGUACUAGUAAGAAAUAAAAUGGAAGGUAAAGAAGAGGACGUGCGGGUGGGGGCGAACAAGUUUCCGGAGCGGCAGCCGAUCGGGACGGCGGCGCAGAGCCAGGAGGAGGGGAAGGACUACAAGGAGCCGCCGCCGGCGCCGCUGUUCGAGCCCGGGGAGCUGGCGUCCUGGUCCUUCUACCGCGCCGGCAUCGCCGAGUUCAUGGCCACCUUCCUCUUCCUCUACAUCACCAUCCUCACCGUCAUGGGCGUCAACAACUCCCCCUCCAAGUGCUCCACCGUCGGCAUCCAGGGCAUCGCCUGGGCCUUCGGCGGCAUGAUCUUCGCCCUCGUCUACUGCACCGCCGGCAUCUCCGGUACCUUAUCUAAUUCAUUCAUUACAUUCAUUCAUUUAUUCUUUCGCUCGCUCGCUCGCUCGCUCGCUCUGAUACCAUGUUGAAAGAAAAAAUAUUAUUGGUAUAGGUGGGCACAUCAACCCAGCGGUGACGUUUGGGCUGCUGCUGGCGAGGAAGCUGUCGUUGACGAGGGCUCUGUUCUACAUGGUGAUGCAGUGCCUUGGGGCGAUAUGCGGGGCUGGGGUUGUGAAGGGGUUCCGGAAGGGGCUCUACGAGGGCAGUGGGGGCGGGGCCAAUGUUGUCGCCCCUGGAUACACCAAAGGAGACGGCCUCGGUGCUGAGAUCGUCGGCACCUUCAUCCUCGUCUACACCGUUUUCUCUGCCACUGAUGCCAAAAGGAAUGCUAGGGACUCCCAUGUCCCCGUAAGUACUACUGCUGUUGCUUCUACUUCUACUAUUAAAGUUCUGUUGUGAAAUAACCGGUGUACUUUAACUAAAAUUUAAUUUUCUGAGUUCAACGGUUAUUUCAUAGCCCCUUAGAAUAAAAGGUUCUGAACUGAGCUCGAGUCAUAUUAAUUAAGCUCCUAUCAUUAUUAAUUUUUUUUGUUUAAUUUAAGUUCACGAUCACAUAGCUUCAACUUUUAAAGUAACUAAAAAUGGUUCCUGAAGACGUUUUUUUUUUUUUGGACAGAAAAUAAUUUGUUUACCUGUAAAAUUGUUUUCUGGUCUUUUUUCCCAGAACCAAAUAACCUUGUAUAGUUGUAUUCUCUCUCUCUCUCUCUCUCUCUCUCUCUCUCUCUCUCUCUCUCUCUCUCUCUCUCUCUCUCGAGAAAUUCUACACUGUGACACUUGUACUACGCCAUCAAUAACAAGUCAAUCAUUUUUUUUAAUAAAAGUAUAAUAAAAAUAUUUUUUAUAAUUAUGAUUGAACAUAUAUUUCUAAAAGGAGAUAUUUGAUUGGUUUGUUACGACACGUCACCAAUAUACCGGUUGUAUUCUAGAAUUUUUCCUCUCUCAGGCACAAAAGAAAAUAUAGAAUUCAUAUGUGAAUUAUAAAUUAUUUUGAUUCAAUUUUAACCAAUUUUUUAAAUUUUUUAAGUUUAGCACUUAUCCGGGUUUUCAAUUUGUAAUAUUUCAAGUUAUUUGAUGACUUUGCUGAUACAAAUUUUGAACUGAUUGGUUACUUGAAUAAUAAACUUGUAGUUGUAUGAAUUAUAUUAAAUAUAUUAAUUAAAAUCAUAAAAUUUUAAAAUUAAAGAGUCAUUAACUUACUUAAAUUAAAUAAAUAAAUUUUUUUUAGAGAUUUCUAAUUCAGAUCAAAUAGAUAAUAGCUGAGAAAAGUUUCCAUACAAAUUUUAACUCUUUUUUAUAUUGUUGCUUAGCAGCUUUUAUGCCUAUUUUUCCAGUGUUUGUACAAAAAAACAAAAUUUAGAUUUAGAUGUUGUUUGGUUUUCUAUGCUUAUGUUUUUUUUUUUUUUUUGGAGAACUUAAAUUCCAUGCGAUCAAUAUAUAGUCUGUAUGUUUGCAGGAUUUGUUUAAUAAGAGCCAACCAAGUGUAAAGAAGUGGCAUUCAAUUACGUAAAAUUUUAGUUUUAAACGAAAAAAAAGAAAGCCAUACAAAGAUCUAAGAAUUUUAAUUCUAAUUGAAUUUCCUGAACCUUCUAGAAAGUUUUUUUUUUUUUUUACUUAUUUGUGGUUUUAUUUUUUAGUUUUUAUUUAUUAUUUAUUUUUAUUUUUUUUUGUGCAGAUCCUUGCUCCCUUGCCUAUUGGGUUUGCUGUGUUCCUGGUUCACUUGGCCACCAUCCCCAUCACUGGCACAGGCAUCAACCCUGCUAGAAGCCUUGGAGCUGCAAUUAUCUACAAUAGGCCUCAUGCUUGGCAUGACCAUGUAAACAUUAAUUUCUUGCCUCAAUUUUUUUUUUUAAACCAAAAAAAAAAAAGAAGAAUCAAUUAAGAAACCUAACUUUUACUUAGUUUUAACCCUUUUGUUUUGUUUUGUUUUGCUAUUUUUCAGUGGAUUUUCUGGGUGGGACCAUUCAUUGGAGCUGCACUUGCUGCAAUUUACCAUGUUGUUGUGAUCAGGGCCAUUCCAUUCAAAAGCAGGGCUUAAAACUUUAGUCCACCCCACUCAUGCCACCUUUGUUUUAAACUUUAUGUUUGUGGCUUGUUCCUAAUUGUAUCCUCGUUAUCUUAUCUUAUCUUAUCUUAUCAUCCAUCAUGAGUUUGAGCUUUUACUUUAUCCUCUCUCUCCUUCUCCUCAGCAACUUGAGUUUAUGUCCUCAUGUAUUUCAUCAUCAUCAUCAUCAUCUAUGUGGCUGGUUUUCAAUCAAGUGUGUACAUUAUUAUUAUUAUGUAAUGCUGUUACCAGAAGUGCUUUUUUAAAUUAGCAGCUUCUAGUGUAUAUUCUCUCUCUCUAUAGCCUUAUCUGUCUACCUACUAUCCAGUGGCAUGUACUAAUUAUAUAUUAUUAUUGAGAUAAUAAAAGUUUAAUGUGUGGAUCAGAGGGAGUAUGUUGACCUGUUUAUUUAAGAUGGUGAUAGUGGGAGUUGGUGAUGGGAGUGGUGGACAGUGAUGACACAUAUCAUUGCAAAAUUUACCCUAAAGUAUUUUUAAAAAAAGUCCCUACUUUUGUGGUCAUGUGUGUAUAGAUUAGAUAAAUUAUGUCACACCAGAAAUUUGUGAUGGAGAUUGAUUAUCCAUCCAUCAAAGGGUCCUCAUUAGGAGGUGUCUUGGGGUGCGGAGAAAUUGUGCCCCAAAUCAAGCAGAAGAGAAGUGAUUUUAAUGGUUUCCUAUUUAACAAACUUAUAUACUUUUUCUCACGUUUGAAUGCGAAAUUUUUUUGAAGUUCGAGACGUAAAUCUAAGUUAAAUUUUUAAAAGUUAGAUAAAAAUUAAUAUAAAAUAUUGUGAAUUCUUCUGCUCCAAUGCCAGAUAAAAUCAUGUAAACCAACCUUUUCUUUCUAGAAACUUAGAACUGUUGGAAAAUUAUUUUUUAUUUACCAUCAACACAUAUCACAAAAGUAUUUGGAAGAGAGUGUUUCUGUUAGUAUCAGGGUAUAGAUACAAGUUUUUAGGAGGUAGAUGAAAAUCUGAGGUCUUAUAGAAACAUAUGCACAAAUAUGUGAUUUUGCAGGAAUUUACAUGUAAUUAUAUAUGUGAGGGAAAUUUAGGACAAACUUUUUUUUAUUUUUUGGGAUAAAUGUUGCAUCUUAUCGACUUUAUUCAUUAUUUUCAAUUAUGAUUUUUUUUUUUUAGAAUAAAGAUAGACCGCUACUUGCAUAAUUCAUUUAGUAAAUAAAUUUAGCUAUGUGAAGUGAGGCGUCAAUGCCUCAAAGAAGGAAAAAGGUCAAAAGAAAGAAAAAGUAAAAAUUCCGCGCUAGAUCAUCCACCACAUUGCCGGCAUCAAAAUCCGUGUCUUCAGAGCAUCUUGAGUACCCCUCCUUUGUAACUCCUCCCAAACAAUCUGGACAUCCUCGGUAAAGAGAAGAACUUGAAAUCUCUCAAGGUUGAAGGUAACGACACUUGCUACCAACAGGUGAUUCACUGUCUCGAAAGUAAUGCUGCAUAUUAUACAUUUUCCAACCAUUUCUUACGAAUUUAGUUGAAAAUAAAUAAUAACUAAUCUUCAAAUUGGAGGCACCAGAUACCUACUAUCAAAUCUUUUAUAAGCGUAUAAUUUACGCCAAACUUGUUAGGUGAAAACCUUGGGUGGGAGCCCACCAUCACAUGAGGACUUCUUUGUCCUUUUCUUUUUCCAUUUUUUUUUUUAAAUACUUUUUCUUUUGAGAGAGAGAGAGAGAGCUUUUGAGAGAGAGAGAGAGAGAGAGAGAGAGAGAGAGAGAGAGAGAGAGAGAGAGAGAGGGGGGGGGAAAGAAAGUUCUUUGGGGACAUGGUCUAUGUGCCUACAGUGGAGUGUUUGGAAGCAUUCUUUUUCUUUUUUUUCCCCUUCUUUUUUUUUCGUUCCACCGAAAAGCAAGUGGGACUGUAGGACGCCUCUGUUUAUCUCAGCCUUUAAACCAGUAGCUACAAUGAGGCCAUGUGAGUGGGGAAAAUAGAAAGUUAGCUUAUUAGUGGAUAGUACUUGUGUGUUAGUUAUGCAAACACAAAAAAAAUAUUUAAAUAUUUUUUUGAUAGUUUUCGAAAUACUUUAAAAUGCCGAUUUGUUUUUCUUUCGUAACAGAUCAUAUUAUGUUGUGCCGUUUUCUGAUUAGAUGUAUGCAUGUUAUGUUGAUUCUCAAUUUUUUUUUUUCACUAUUUCGUGAAUCCUAGGGUUCAAUUAUUUUUCGCCUGUUACUCCUAUGAGAUAUGAAAAAUGAUCUUUCUCUUUAAUUGUAGACCUCUUUUUAAAAUUUUUGAAUAAUUUAAAUUCACCCUAUAUGCGGUUAGGACUGCAAAAAAGAAUUUUUCCUAAACAUUAGAGAGAUCCUUGACGAGACAAACUAAGAUAUUCUUGUUAAAUUAAAAUAGAAAAUCUAGUUGGGAUUUAUCCGCACCGUAAAAUCGUGUCUAUCGUGUAAAGACACACGAAUUUCAAAAAGCAACGUAACAAGGGCGAAUUUGACGAUUCUCGAAAUAGAAGCUAAUUUUACCACACUGGUGAUUGGACCACGAAAUCGCCUCGGAAAUCGUGCCGGAUUGUCUUUCAAUUUCCCGUGAUCCGGCCCACCAGGGGCCCAAGCCCAAAAUCACUCACCGAUUCCCCACGCUGUUAAUGGGCCCGGCCAAGUUUUCGAUGGACCUGUUGGGCCUAUAUCAGCCCACCGUAGUUAUGCUCGAUAUCUUGGGCCGUUUUAGACCCGAGAUGGGGCUGAGUUGUACGGGUGGUCUCCCCGGGUUCAUUCACGCCCGGGUUGUGCCUUGUUUGUUACGUAGAUAGUGAGAACCAUGACUUUUGCGUCCAUUUAGUAGUUUUCGUAACAUUAUGCUACUAGGAAUCAACGUCCAAAAAAUAUUUUCGUCGAAAAUAUAUACUCGGUGGGGAGUGGAUUCGCACCAUGCCGAAGAAAAAAAUGAAAAGAAAAGAAAAGGUCAUUCGAUCAAUGUCACGCAAAUUGCUUUUCUUGUCGUCAGUUGACGAGUUUAUAGACUCAUCAUUCUUAAUGCAUGAUCAGUAUAUUUUUAUAUAAUAAAAUUUAUAAUAUUCAAUAGACAAAAUGUAUAAUUGAAUAUUAAAAAUAAAAAAAUUAUUUUUAAGAAAUUUUUUAACACUAGUUUUGAGUUAUUAUAGGUUAACAUAUUUCAAGGGCCGUGGGUAAAGUUAGUUAAAUUGCUCGCUACGUUAGUACGAUGUAUGUAGAUUUUUAUUUUAUUAAUAUAUUAAUAUACGAUACCAAAGCGCAUUAUCCGCCCUUUUGAGGAAACCGCGCUCUCUUUUCCUUUUACUUUCACGAAGAAGAAGAAGAAGAAGAAAUACCCUAACCCUAGAAUGUGGCCGUUUAGUAGGAAGGGGCCUUCGGGGUUUUCAUGGUACUCCACGGCCGAGGAGGUCACGGAGGGGAUCGAUGGCUCCGGCCUCACCGCGAUCGUCACAGGUUCGAUUCCGCCCUCAAUCGAUCGUUAUACGGUUUAUUUGUCGAUCUUAUGCAGGAUUUGGAUCAGUUGUUUUAGUAGUUGUUUCACAAAUUGUUCGUUAUUUAGCGUUCGGAUGCUGAUACCCACUUCGAUUUGCUGUUCCUACCCGCGUUUUGCUAUUUUUGGCUUAAGUUUUGAGUGUUUCUGUGAUGAUGUCUGAAAAUAUUAGAGCAAUUAGGGCUUAUAAUCUAGGAUAAGCUGUUUAUUUACAGGUAAUUCAUAUAUAUUUACAUGCUUAUUAGUGAAAAAGAGGCCUAUAGAUGGACCAGAAGCAUCAUACAUUGAGUUUAUAAUGUUCUUCAGGAUUAUAUGUCCUUGUUUUCUACUUUCCUAAUGAGUGCUAAUGAGUCAUUUGAUCUAUUUCCAGUUAUCUUAGUUAUGACUUAUGAAUCCAUGCAAAAUUAGAAAUUUUUGCUAGUAUAGAUGCAACUAAAGAAAGAGGACAACUUUGGAGUUCGAUGCAUCCAUCUAAGUUACCUUAACAGAGCUGGGAGGAGUAAAGUAGCAAAUUUGAUUACAUUUUUAUUAUGGAUAUAUGUUCUAGCUGCUGUAUAGCUUAGAUUGACCAUUUUUUCAGGGGCAUCAAGUGGAAUUGGCACUGAAACAGCUCGUGUUCUUGCGAAGCGUGGUGUUCAUGUGGUCAUGGCUGUUAGGAAUGUAACAUCUGGUAACAAUGUGAAAGAGGAGAUUUUAAAGGAGAUACCCUCUGCCAAACUUGAUGUAAUGGAGUUGGAUCUCACGUCGAAGGCAUCGGUUAGGAAGUUUGCUUCAGAAUUCAAAUCUCAGAAUCUACCGCUAAAUGUGCUCAUGUGAGAAAUUCUUAAAUGUAAAAAUCACUGGAAGAAUUAACUUGGCGACUGCUAUAUUAUUUGAAUAUAACUAAGGGCCUGUUUCAUGCGGCUAGAGCUUCCAAACAACUACAGAAGUGUUAUUAAGUACACCAAUUGGAUGAAGCGCUAGCUGUUGCUGCUCAGAGUAGUGAAACUUUAGAAGCCAGGAACCAAGUUUUCUUUUCUUUUUUUGUUUUAUUAUCUGUUGUUCUAUUUUAAUGCGCUAGUUGGAGGAUAUAUGAAAGUGGUACCUUCUUCCUUUUACUGUUAACAGUAACAAUGCAGGAGUUAUGGCAACUCCUUUUUCGCUUUCACAAGAUGGUAUAGAGCUGCAAUUUGCAACUAAUCAUAUAGGUACGUGCUCUUUUUUUUUCAUCUUAAUUUUUUUAUCAUUAAACAGUAAGUUGCUUUUUCCUUUUUUUUUGAGCUAUUCUAAGUUCCAGAAUAUAUAUAUGAAGCUUUGUUCCAUAUCAUGAAAUAUUUUCUUUGCUCACCAACAAUUUUUUUGGCUUUUUUUUUGGAGUAUUCUAGCUUUCAAAAAUUCUAAGAUUCAUUAACUCGGAAUGAUUUCAUAGCGGAAAUCUGAAGAUAUGUGAUAUACUAAAAUGCUAUCUUUUGCAGGUCAUUUUCUUUUAACAAAUCUUCUUCUGGAGAACUUGAAGAACACAGCUCGUGAAUCUGAAGUGGAAGGAAGGAUUGUCAAUGUCUCAUCUGAGGGACAUAGAUUUUCCUACGGGGAAGGGAUUCGGUUUGAUAAGAUCAACGACCCAUCUAGGUACACAAAAACUAUGUUUUAGUGCAUCCUUCUAACAUAAAGUCAAAACCAGUGAGGUUACUGAUCUUCUUGCUCUAAUAUGUUCAUCUACAGCUAUAGCAGUCUCGGUGCAUAUGGGCAAUCAAAGCUUGCAAACAUUUUACAUGCCAAUGAACUUUCCAGGCGCUUUAAGGUACCUAUCAGGGAGAGUUGGGUCUAUAUAUGAUACCUUGGUUGAUUAAUAUUCUCUUUUUUAAAUACCUUGUCCUAGUUUGUACCCAUCAUAUACACAUGCUGAAAGGGCCGGACUGGUCUACUUAACAUGUUUGAACAGAAAAACAGUUUUCUUAGCAGAAACUAAAGUCAAUACAUUAUGAUUUUCACAAGAUGAAUGCAGUUAAUCUUUGUCUUGUUAUCGAUCAAUAUAAUAAACUGAAAGAUCACAUAGAGUUCUCAGUGAACUUCUCUGAGAUAGUUUUCCUAUACUAUGUUCAACGCCUUCCUAAAGAUUUAGCUGUGUUUAGCUGCUAUGUCAUUUCAGAGAGAUGAUGUGGAAAUUACAUAGCAGAUGAUUCAUCUACUGUGUCGAGCCGAGUUUUAUUUAUUUAUUUCAGAGAGAUGAUGUGGAAAUUACAUAGCAGAUGAUUCAUCUGCUGUGUCAGAGCCGAGUUUUAUUUGUUUUUAUGGUUGAUUACAGUGAUUAUACUUUUGAGUGUAUUAAUUGCAGGAUCCAUUAAUAAAGUUGUCUCUUAUAAAGCUUUUAUCACUAUUUUCCACAGGAGGAAGGGGUGGAGAUUACUGCAAAUUCUCUUCAUCCAGGAUCAAUUAUCACAAAUCUUCUGCGCUACCACAGUUUUCUAGAUUGUAAAUUAUCUGUACUCUGUAUACUCAAUUCAUGCAUAUAUUCUCUUUAGUAAUUCCCAAUAGUUAGCUUAUAUUCUAUGGUAUCUGGAUUCCCCUGUGAUAUAAUGUCCAAAGGUUGUUUUUUCUCUUUUUCCCCCCUAGCUGCUGAUACGCAGAGAUGCUGUUGAAUGAUAACCAAUAUAUACCUCCAUUCUUUAUUGUUAGCAAAUGAUUAUCUCAUAUGUUUGCCUGAUAUAGUGCACUCUUACAAGAUUAUUAAGUAACCAAUAACCUAAUCUUCUCUACCAUACACUCUUCAUCUGUGCUUCACGAGAAACAAAAUCCUAACUUAUUUUAGGAGGAUAUCAUGUAUGACAAUAAUUGCUUUACUGUGUGUAAAUCUCUCAUGGUCUUUUCCAGUGGUAGCGUAGAUAUAACUGUUUCCAUUAAACAGAAAUGCAUUAGACAUUUUUAAGCAUCUGUAUGCUGAUGCAUGGAUAGGUUAGUCUAUUGCUUACAUGAUAUCCAUGUGUAGAAUAACUUUUCUGUUGCACUUCUAGUUAUAAUUCUAUCUGUCGAAAUUGAAGCUGACUAACCCUACAUUUGCAUGCAGUUCUUCACCGGACGGCUGGAAAACUAGUAUUGAAAAAUGCUCAGCAGGUUAGCACGUAUACUACAUAUCCUGCAAAACCAAUGAAUUGUGUUUGCGCAUCUUCACUAAAUUAUACCAUGCACUAUCCUGAAAUUUCGAGUGCCAUAGUUUUGUAAUAAGCUUUCACUCAUGCAACCAGGUUAUACAUUCUGAUGCUAUUUAAACUACUUAUUUAUCGAGAUGAUAUUGCAAUAUUUAAUUUGACGGUACAUUCCAAUUCAACUGCUCUAUAUUUUUGAAAUUUCUGUCAUUAACAGGGGGCGGCGACCACAUGCUACGUAGCGUUGCAUUCUCAAGUGAAAGGAGUGACGGGGAAGUAUUUCAGCGACAGCAACUUAUAUGAGCCGAGCGCCAAAGCGAAGGACGCUGAUCUGGCGAAGAAACUCUGGGACUUCAGCAUGGAUUUGAUCAGCUGAAACAAUCGCUGCAACCUUAAAUUCAACCUUCGAUUUCUUAAUGCUUUUGGAGAUGUAAAAUUUGACUGUUUAUCAGAAAGCGAUUAGCAACUAUCGAUACCAUUAAUGAGAUGAGGAACCUCAGCAAUACUGCACGGUGAUAUAAAACGUUCCGCGUUGAAACUGCAGUGUGUGAAAGAAAUCUUUUUUCUUUUUUUUAAUUCUAUGCAUCCUUUUCACUACCUCUGGUUUUAAGUAGGAGUUGAUUAUUGUUUGGGUUGCUUUGAUGGCGUUGGUUAUAUAUUUUUCUUCUAAGGGAAUAUUUGACUGGGUGUAGAAUUGAACCGAAAAUUAUUUUCGGCUCGAAAAAUAACUAUACGAGCGUUUGGUUGCUUGCAAAAUAGACUUUUGUGCAAAAAAUUUUUAUAGAUUUUGCUGAAAAAUUUAUUUUUCAUCCACUGUCCUAGAAAAAUAUAUAACUAAUAUAUAUGUUAGUAAUUAUUUAAAAUACUUUUAUAUAAUCAAACAAUAGAAAAGAAAAAAUAUUCUUUAUUUUUUUUCCUACAAAUCAAAUAUGUCGAGUCUGAAAUCCUUAUUUUUACAAUAAAUUCAACAUAAAAAGGUGUAAAAUUUUCUUUUUAUUUACAAUAAACCAAACAUUAAAAAACAUAUAAUUUUUUUUCCAUUAAAAACUAUUUUUUUCCGUGAAAAAGUAUUUGUUACACUUUUAUGUGGAACCAAACAAUUCGUAACAUGAAACAUUAUAGUGAUUAUUCCCAAAAUUUAUCAUGUAGAAUGGUCGAAGUUUCAAAGGAUCUGGGACUUGUAUAAAAGAAUAAUGCGAGUAAAUAUUAUUUUGUUUUCUCGGAUAAUUUCCGUAUAAUUUGGGAUACCUUCCAACUGAAGCACAGGCUUUGCGCAGGUGAUCGUCAUCCAUCUAGCUAACCACAACACGUGAGUGCGAUAAGCCGAUAACAUGUGCAUGCGCCAUGGUUUUUAUAUUUGAAGAACGCUUUAGUCCCACAUCGACUAGCGACUACUCUUCCCACUCGCCAGCAUGUAUAAGAUGGGUGGGGAGUGGACCGUAUAUCCAUACUUACCUGGACGGGGUCUAUGGGCGAUCAGAAAGGUCCAUGGCCUGGGCCCGCGGCCCACAUUGCACUUUGUGGGUGCGCUGGCCUACCAUCUCCCCAAGAGGGAGAGUGGACGUCAUAAUUUGUGGUAGAAGGGGGUACGCGCAACGCGCGGCCCCUGCCAAUUUAAAAUAUUUAAAUUUUGAAAAAAAAUUCACUUGCCAUUUUAAAAUAUUUAAAUUUUGAAAAGAAAUUUAUCUUAAAAAGUACUUUGAAUUUAAAGUAACGGUCAAAAUUUUUUAAUAUAUUUUAUUGAGUUACUAUGUUUUGAGUAGUGAGAUUUUUAACCCAGCUUAUAUAUGACUAUGGAUUUAAAAUGCCACAUUUAAUUAGCUAUAAAAUUAAUUUGCAACUAAUCAUAUUUUAAAAAAGAUUGUAGGUCGCAAGAUGAGGACAAUAAAGAUUAAUGAAAUGAUUAUAGUGGUAAUAAUCGAAGUAUUGGUUCCUCAGAUUACUUGAAACGCGUAAUAGCACCGCCGUGGCCCAUAUCCUCGGGGUUCACCGGCCCAUGACCGGCCCAGUUAAACUCUGGCCCAGUUCUUCAAACCGAUUGGUUGGACCCACUAACACGGAAUAUUAUGUCCUCAUCCUGGUCCAUAAGGUCAGAUUUGGACCGGGCCCAUGCUCCCAUCCUUAACCGUAACAAUGGCAGGUGGUUCACGGGUGAGGUGUUGGGUUCGGGUCACGAAAUUGACAAAUGCGGGCCCCGCUUGUCCGUUACGGCCUUAAAACCGUUACACAAAUUACCACCCUCAGAUCACCAAUCAUCAAACGCCAUCAUAACGAUCCCACACAGAUACUCACGUGGCAACAGCUCGGCCGUUGCUGGGACAGUUUUAUUCCCAGAUGGAGAAACACCGAAGUGUUACAUCGGAGAUUUUUUUUUUUUUUUUUUGCGCUUCUUUUCCGCGCUUUUGGAAAAAGAGGCGGAAUUAGUGUGGGAGUGGAUGUGUGCACGAGGAAACCCCUCCAUUUAUUAUCCUCUCCCUCCUCCUCGACGUCCUCGUCCUCUCCCCUCUCCUCUCUCCUCUUUUGCUUCUAUGACGAGUAAUCCCCGAUAGGUGGUAUUCCAUCUAGGGUUUCACUCCGAUCUCCAAGCUCGUUUCCUUUCCAAUGGCGAUGGGGGCCGUGCUCUCCAGUAGAAGCUUCGUUUCUCCUCUCGUCUCAGGUUUGGUCUCAAACCAUCCGUCUCUUCGUGUUUCGGUUUGAAGCGUAGGAAAGUUCAAAUAUCGUGUCCUUUAUGGUGUUAUGCGUUGAGAUGUGUAGUAGGAUUAUUGGGUCACGUAUGGAUGCUGGUGUCCAGUAAAUGAGGGCCUAAUUAGUAACUUUAAUUGGUUGAGUUAAUUGGGAGAAAGUCGAAUUGAUUUGAUUUUGCUUGCAUCUACUGAUAAAUUUCGUGCCUCGAAUUAGUUAGGAUGGUAAUUUUUUAUUGCAGUAGUUGUGAAAUUUGAAGCUUGGUUCAUGUUAACCCUGUAUGACCUUUUCAGAAGAGGAGGCUUUUCGUGCUUAUGCGAAGCUAGUAAUUAGCCAUCAUUUUUAAAUUGGUGACAGCUAACGGGUUGAACUUGUGAAGAAGCUCCCCCUUAAAGAAUUGACUAAGUUUUUCAAUUAGCUUUUGGCAAGUUGGUGUCAGAUUGUGGUAGGAAAAGCUGCAUUAGGGAGAGAGGGCUUGCUAUAAAGAUUUAAAAAUUUGUCCCCAUCUUUCAGGCACUAAAAAGCCCAAUCCAAAUAAAGUUUUUUUAACAGCAUUCAGAAACAGCAGUUUGUUUUGGCAAAAAUCGACGGUAGUUGACUUUAUAAAUUUUGUUUUGAUUCGUGACCAUUCUCAGAGCGAAGUACUUGGCCAUCACCAAAAACCAAAUAAGUGGGUCAACUUGCUCACAAUUAUUAAAGAUUAAAUGCUAUUAUCCAUGUCCUACAUAUGUUCUGCAAUUGAUGCCUCAUGCUUGGAGAUGUCAACUUGACGUUUUUGAAGGUUUGGGACUCGUGGUGACUAGUCUGGAUGCGUAAAGUGCUAAUCAAACUUAUGGUCUGGCUAUUUCUAGUCAGUUUGGCAUUCAUAACAUGUGUGCAUGUUCGGUUCAAGCAUGCUAGUUACAUGAUAUUGCAUCUCUCUUUCCUGGUUAAUGUAUUAUACUGAUUUGUAGAAUUUUACUUUCUUAUUUCAAUCUUUUAUCAUGUGAGCACAGCUGUUAUCAAAAUUAAACAACUCGCGUUACUUAAAGGCAUUAGCUCGAAUGAUGAGAUUUUAUGAUUUGUAAUGGAGGACAUGUCACUUGGAUUCUAGCAAAGUUCAUAAACUUGAAGGUAUCUAUGCAGGAAAAGAGUAUCGCUUGAAACGGACUACUGCACAUGAUAGAAAAGCACAUUCCCCAUCUUCUGCAGAGCAAUUUGUGUGGGGUGGGAUUUAUAUCUUGUCUGCUCGAAGAGAAGACUCCUAUAUUGCUAGGAGUUCCUUCUUCCCAAGUCGUAUAUCUUGUACUUUAGGCAACACUAUCAUGAUGAAGAGACUUGUAUCACUUGGCGAGCUACGAUACCCUCUAUCAAAUUCUUUAGGGAAUGGAUCUACUGGAAAGAUGCCUAAUAUCAAUUUCAAGAGAAGACUUCGGGCAAGAACAGAAUGCUUUAUUUCUUCAGAUCCGACAAAUAAUAGUUGGAUACAACAAGGAAAGUUGAACAAUAUUGGCAGAUACCGGUUGGCAAUUAGAACUCGUGCCGACUUCAAAUCAGAGCAGUAUGAAAUAACAGGACCACAACCUGAGUCAUUUAGUUCUUCAGAAGCAUCAAGUGAAGCAGUUUUACCUGGAGGAAAUGUGAGGGAUGUAUCUAGAUGGUGGGAGCAGUUUCCUAAACGUUGGUUGAUCGUGCUCUUAUGUUUUUUUGCAUUCCUGCUCUGCAAUAUGGAUCGUGUAAGUUUGUUAUUGUAUACCAUACACUUGUUGACAAUACCAGUAGUCGUAACUUCAAAAGAAGAUCCAUUUGGCAGCCUUUUAUGUAGAUUGCCGCAGUCUUUGAUAGUUUCUUCUUUUCUUUUUCUGAAGCUGGUCAAGUGUGGUGCAGGUAAAUAUGAGCAUUGCAAUCCUUCCAAUGUCGGCAGAGUUUAAUUGGAAUCCAGCAACUGUUGGCUUAAUUCAAUCAUCUUUCUUUUGGGGCUAUCUUCUUACUCAGGUCUAUCUUCAUUCCUUCCUUUCCUUUUUUCUCUCAUACAGAUGAAAAAUACGUAGGCACGCACACCCUUUUACUGGGGAUUGACAGACACUUGAUCGUCCUCGAUUUUCAAGAAUUAUGUCUGCUUCCAGUAAGGUUGUAGUGAGGGGGCACAUAAAACAUAGAGAAUGAUCAUAUUCUGAUCACUUAUAGUCUGUUACAAACUUUCAGGACAGUAAAUUUUUUUUUUAUUGAGCAAUUUUUUGCUGAAUAUUUUGUCUUCAAUUCUAAGACUAAUCACAUGAAUUAACCAUUUUUUUUUCUUCCAUCAAUGCUUUCAAUUCUUUGUACCUGGUAGUUCUUACCUAAGGUGUAUUUUCUGAAAUUUUUGAGAAAAGGUAGGGGCAAAGAGCCUCUGCCCAGUUCAUACCUAAUGUGUAUUGUACUGCCAUGGACAUCCCUUUUUACAUUGUUGGGUUUCUGGUGUCGACAGAUCGUCGGAGGUAUUUGGGCCGACAAGAUUGGCGGCAAGGUAGUGUUGGGCUUUGGAGUUGUAUGGUGGUCAAUCGCGACAAUACUUACCCCACUGGCUGCCAAGAUAGGCCUUCCCUUUCUACUUAUUAUGCGUGCUUUUAUGGGGAUUGGUGAGGUUGGUUUCUUCUUUCACCUUGACCUUUUGAUUGUUACACCUAGAGGACAAUCAUUUUAGGACCUGUCAGAAAGUUGAAGGGGAUAAUGCUGUUCUCAGUUUGUUGACUUGUCCUCUCUGAUAUUUGAUACCUGUCAGAUCAUUUUAUAAGUAUCUUUAUAAUGUAAUGUCAUUUGUAGUUGACGCAGCUGCUCUUUUCUUGGAUUAUAAAAUUUUCUGCUCUUCAUUUUGAUGCCUAUGUAUAAUAUAUCAACGAGGCAAUUUAUUUCCUUGCAGGGUGUUGCUAUGCCUGCUAUGAAUAACAUACUCUCCAAAUGGAUUCCAGUUUCAGAAAGGAGCAGAUCGCUUGCAUUAGUCUAUAGCGGGAUGUACCUUGGUUCUGUCACAGGACUGGCAUUGUCACCAAUUCUAAUCCACAGAUUUGGAUGGUCUUCUGUUUUUUAUGCAUUUGGGUCCCUUGGAAGUAUCUGGUUUGCUCUGUGGCAAUUAAAAGUAAGCCAUGAUUUUUAUUUGCUUCUGACCUUCUGAUAACUCAUAAUCUAGCAAUCUGCCGACUUUCUAUCCAUUAUGCAUUUCGAGUCCCUCAAAUGUUUCUGGUUCUUAUUUGGCCAGUUGAAGUAGGGCUUUAAUUUAUUUUACACUUAUUAAUUUGAUUUCUCUUUAGGCGCACAGCUCUCCACAAGAAGAUCCAGAGCUUAGUUCAGUUGAAAAACAGCUCAUCUUAGGGGGAAAUGUGCUGAAAGAACCUGUUACCUCUAUACCAUGGAGACUAAUUCUAUCGAAGGCUCCAGUGUGGGCCCUCAUAAUAUCACACUUUUGUCAUAACUGGGGCACUUUUAUCCUUUUAACAUGGAUGCCCACAUAUUACAAUCAGGUGAUUGCUAUUUCAUGGUUCUGGAUGUUUGUGUUGUUUCUUUAUCAAACUCAUAGGGAGUGUUUAACAGAAAACAUUGUCUCCCUUACUCUUGAUGCUUGUCAAUAACUAUAAAAUUAUCUUUUUCUUAGUAUUGUAUAUAACUAAUAAUUGCAAAAGUCAAUGUUCAAUUGAUUGUACUCAGGUGUUGAAGUUUAAUCUUACGGAAUCUGGGCUAUUCUGUGUGUUACCAUGGUUAACCAUGGCUGUCUUUGCGAACAUAGGAGGGUGGAUUGCAGACACAUUAGUUGCAAAAGGACUUUCAAUAACAACUGUUCGUAAAGUAAGUUUUUUAUGCUAUCGAAUUUUUAUCUUAUGCAGACAAUGGUGGUAGUGCUUGAUCUCAUUUUAUAUAUUAUUGAAUGGUCCUUUUGUCCCAGCAAACUAAAUUUUUUUUAGGUGUGUACAAGCUCAUCUUUGUGCAAACUGUUGUGUAAUGCUUGAAAUGAUUUUGCCAUACAAGUUACUUAAAAUUUUACCCACCCAUUCGUUUUCACUCUUCAGACAUAAAAUAGCAUACUUCUGAUUGUAAAGUUCACUUUGGAUCGUCAAUCAUCAUUCCUUGAUAUCUGGAAUUUCUUAAUAUUUCAUUAUCUACUUUAUCUAUCUAGGAGAAUACUGCGAUCAAAACAGCUGCAAGUGUGAAUUUCUGGUGCUGAGGUUGAUUUUAAUUUGCUGCCUCAUUGCAGAUAAUGCAAUCAAUUGGCUUUCUUGGUCCAGCUUUCUUCUUGACACUGCUCAGCCAUGUCCGUACACCAGCUUUGGCUGUGCUUUGUAUGGCAUGCAGUCAGGUUUGAUUUGCUUAAUAGCUUUCUUAUAAAAAAAAAUUAUUUGCUAUUUGUUGAGAUUUUAUAUAAUGCCUGGCAUUGUUGCUGUUUCGUUUUAUGAAGUCCUCAUUUCUCUUUCCUCAGUUCUUCUUGAAUGAUCCAUUUUCUUUCAAAGAGCAAAGUUUCUUUUAGGGAACUGUAUUUGAAUCAAGUUAUUUGACUUGAUAUUAUUUACUUAUAGCCGGUGCAUUCUUGAUAUUAUUUGGUUGGUUUUUAAGGCAAAGUUUUCUUUUUUCUUUUCCAGGGCAGUGAUGCAUUUUCACAAUCUGGUCUUUAUUCCAAUCACCAGGAUAUAGGACCGCGUUAUGCAGUAUGUUCUUUCCAUUCGUUUUUGGUGCUGUCGUGCUAACGCUUACUGGCAAAAGGAUAUAAUAUUAGUCACAUGAAUAAAGGCUAUAAUAGUCAUGCUAAUGCUUGCUUCUUGAGUUCAUACAACUGAUAGUCAUUAUUAGCCGCACGUCAAGUAAAAAUGCGACGCGGUCUCUUCUGAUGCUCUUAACUGUUCUGAAUUGUCUACUUUGUAUAUAGUCAAUUGCCAAUAUAAUGAUGUGCUAGCACAUAUGAAAAACAAUUUGAUGUUUUGUAGAUUUAUAGGAAGUUUCUCGCUUAUGCCUUUCGACAAAGAAAGAGAUCUUCUUUCUUCUGCUCAUCCUUCUAAUGUAGUUGUAUCCUAAAAUGGAUAUGUUUUGAAAAUUAACAGGGAGUGCUACUAGGGUUAUCGAACACUGCUGGGGUGCUUGCAGGAGUUUUUGGCACUGCCGCGACCGGCUAUAUCCUACAAAAAGGCAAGGAAAUAGCAAAACCGAUACACAAUCUCAUUUUAAACUUAUUUAAUUUAACACUAGUUUACACAACACUUGCAUCUUUAUACUAAUAUUAUCUUUUCUUCACACCAUAUGAAUUCUACAGGCUCAUGGGAUGAUGUAUUUAAGGUGGCUGUUGCCCUCUAUAUCAUAGGCGCAUUGGUGUGGAAUAUCUUUUCAACUGGAGAGAAAGUUCUCGACUAAAACAGAAGCAAGCAGUAAAUGCUGCUAUACCAAAUCAAAGGUUUUGCUAACAUUUACAUGUGCAAAUACAAGAAUGUUGAUCAUCUUCAGCGACAAACCCUUGACAAAUUUGACUUUCGCAUUUGAAAACGAAGAGAUGUGAUGUCACAACAGCUAGAUGGCAUGGCAUGAGUAAAAUGGCAUAGUCGCAAAUAAGUAAUUGUUGCAAAAACCUAUUGCAGCUAUGAGAUGCUGCUCUCUAUGAAUGUUUUCAGCGAGUCGUCUUCUUUUUUUGCGGUUGAGGGGGUGCAAAAAAUAUACCAACCUCUGAGUUUCUAUUUUCGUUGUUUGUAAAUUUUAAAUACUCGGCCAUGCAUCUUGGCUCUAACUUGAGUUGUGAGAACAAGUCAUAGCCAUAUGCAUGUGUACUUGACAGCAUAAAGCUUCAAGAGAGUUUUAGGCCUGGGAAGCUUAAAUUAUUUUUAUGUAAUCUUUGAAGAUUUUAAUGACAGUUAAAUUUUUCAUAUCAUCUUCUAUGCAGCAGAGGGGUUAUGUUCUGUACCCUUCUGCUCAAAUUUAUGCUUAACAUGAACAGAAGCAUCACACUUUCUUUUCAUUCCUUUGUACAGUUAGAUGAGAUUGUAUCUGCAGCUAGUUAUAAUCUUCAAUUAUUCGACUUACAUUUUCAGGUGAUAGGCCUUUAAUGUGAUGCAGACGAUACCUGCGCGAACCAGAGAGCAAUUUUGGGCCUAUCCUGUUAAGGCCCAAAGUGACUUUUCUGGUUCGAAAACCUCACACGAAUAAAUUUGGGCCCAAUAGGCCUUCUCUGGUGCCCUGCUCAAUUUAGCCCCGUUAGCUAACACCCUUUACACAGUUGCAAUCUACAAAAAGCUCCGGUUCAAAAGUCGCGAUCAAGCCUCAGUUAUGCAAAUUUGAAUCAAAUAGAAGAAAAUAAAGAUAUGGAGUUCGGAGUCCGGAAAGACUUGAAACUGAUCAGAACAUCUCUCUUGUAUGCUGAAAGCUAAAAGUGUGAUAAUUUAUGUAAACAUUUUACUAUCAGGAAACUACACACACACACACACACAAAUCCUAACAUGAGAAAAAUAAAUGUAGUGUCACGCUCCAGAAACUUUAGAGGGGAAAUUAAUGAACGGAGAGAUAGCGCCAGAUGCCCAUAACAUGACUUGGGGUGAUGAUGAUGCUACAAGAUAGGGAAGUGGAUAUCUAUAGGUGGAUUCGAGGCAUUAAAAAUUGUGCAAACUUAGCCUCACAUUAUUGGUUGGGUGAUGAUGUAUUGAUGCUAACACAAUACAACGAACGAGGUGCAUAGGACAAAAGGGCAUCUCAAGGAGCAUUACUGUACACACAAACACCCGGGCCCACGGUUUGGACCCACUUUGCUUUUUAUGGCAAUUGACUAGGUUCGAUUCUUGGGUCACUUAGUCUAACCAUAACUGUUGUAGGGAACCUCAAAAGACCCCAUAUGUAUAUAUAUAUAUAUAUAUAUAUAUAUAUAUAUAUAUAUGUGCAAUUUUCUAUAUAUAACCAAUUCAUUAUCUCCAACAUGGAAUAUUAGAUUUCGAUUCUAUAAAAUCUAUUGCUGUAGGAAAAUCCAUUUUAAUACAUUUUUAUUCUAUUUUUCUUUUUCAAUACUGGUUUCUGCACGAAGCAUAAUUUGAAUUUGAAUUUUUUAGACCAGAGUGGAUGCCAGUAGUAAUUAAGUUCUGAUCUUCACAGUUGGUGGUUGCAUUCGAUAUCAUUUUGGACUUAGGAACGGAUGUGUCUUAAUCCUAACGCAGCGAUCAACUCAUGUCGGCAAAGAUAAAAUUUAUGCGACGGUGUGCAGCUUUUGGGAGGAGGGGGGGGAGGGAGUCUAUCAUGAGACAAAUUAAGCAGCAUUUAUUUGUGUAUGAUAAAACAUUUCUUAUUCGGCCUUUUAUAGCUGCUGAUAUGUUGGCUAUAUUGUAUAAAUUAAUUAUUGCAUAUCAUUUGAUUGUUAGCACAUGUCAUUAGUAGCUAGGAUCUUAGGGGUUCUAUCAUGAGACAAAUUAAGCAGCAUUUAAUUGUGUAUGAUAAAGACAUUUCUUAUUCGGCUUUUUUAUAGCUGCUGAUAUGUUGGCUUUAUUGUAUAAAUUAAUUAUUGCAUACAAUUUGAUUGUUAGCACAUGUUAUUAGCAAGGAUCCUUGCUAGCUAUGUGGCACUAUUGUCUCCGCCAUUUUUGUAGGCAUAUAUCAUUUCAUAAGAUAUUUAUUUAUUUAUUUGAGAAAACAUAUAUAGUAUGCUAUCUAUUUUAUUUUUUAAAAAUAAAUUUAGCUAAAAAAAUAUAACAGUUCGUUAGGCUUCGAACUUGAGAUCUUAGAUACCAAUCAUCAAAUUUUUUAUCACUUAUAUUAUAAAUAGUCAGUGCAAAUAUUCAUUAAUUAAUCAAUCUUUUAAUUAGUGAGGUCGAAAUAUAUAUCACUACAACAAAAACGGUCUAUAGCGACACUUUUAAAUAUAGGUACAUGUCAAAAAAGUGCUGCUAGCUAAAAUUACCGACACUUUUAAAAAGUGUUGCUAUAUGUGGGGUCGCUAGGUAUAUAGUGACAGUUAAAGAAUGUCGCUAUAACCUAAAAGAGUGCUGCUAAUUUACCAACACUUAUUUAAGCAUUUAACAACCGCCGAAACUCUAUCUCGUUGGCUGCGGUGGCCGAGGAGGACGACAGAAAAGGCUCUUCGUCUAGAAUUUCAGUAGAUUGAGUGAAGAGAGAAGAAAAGAUGGCAAUUGAUUUUUCUUUUUUUUUUUUUCUUUUCUGUUUGUAAUCGGGCCAAAUGGACUGGGUGUGAUGGGUUGAGUAGAGUAAUCUUUUAUUUUUGGUUGGAUUGGGCUUUAUAUUUAGGCAUUAGCAAAUAUUUUUUUAAAUUUUAACAUAAAUGAAAUACUUACUCAAAAGUGUCCCAAACAUAUGUCCCUAUAACUUAAUUGUGUUGUAGUAUAUGUUACCAAAUCAACAUGGGCAUGUAGGUUUCGUCACCAAACGUGAUAUGGAUGACACAACUUAAUUUGAGACUCCUCAUUGUCCGAUUACCAAAGAGUAUGAAACACAUGGGGUUUGGUGCACUCCAGAUUUCAUCUAAUAGUUACAUGCACCAACAUAUAUAGAAAUUAACAUAAAAAAUAUUAUUAAUGUGACAAGUUGUUAGUCCAAAAAGACCAUAUAUAUUUUAUUUAUUUACAUAAUAUGCAACAUCAACAACGUAUGGGACGAAUUAGCAACCAAAUCACAUGGCGACAUAAAAUCACCUAAAAUUGUAUCUCAAGUGAAUGAAAUGGUAGAAAAUAUUACUCUCAAUUUUGUACGCACGCAAAUGGAUGCAUGUGUACGUUUGAUCGACAUCCUACAUGCUAAGAGUGUUACAUAGAAUAUUUUUCACAUGUGAAAAAUUUAGUUCUAAGCCACAAAAUUGUACUCUCCCACGAUUCUGUAGAGUACCUCAAUUGCUAAUUUUUAAUGUCUUUUAUAUUUAUUAUACAUAUAAAGCGUAAGUUUUAAACAUUAAUAAAAAAAAAAUCUCAUUAGUAGGCUCGGUAAGAGGUUAAGAGGAAAAUUUUAAUUAUUACUAGUGCUACUAUUAUUGUUAUAUAUUAUUAUUUAAAUUAUACUAUAGUUUUCAAAGAUAUAUAUAUAGUUCGUACAGUGACGUACUAAAACCAAACGUAUAUAGUUUGUAUUAAUCAAUGCAUUAAAAUACGAUCAACGGUUGGCGAGUGGCGACUGAGAUAGCUCAGCUAUUUAUAUGCGUUCAUUUAUUAAUCGGUGUAUAUGGAGCUGUGGCGCGCAACACCAAAACAAAAAGCAGUUGUGGGCCCAUCAGAUGACGUGGCACCUGUAGAUGCGUUGGAUUUGGGACAUGACAGUCACAUCGAAGUGCUUUUCACUUUCCCCUUUUUUUUUUUUUUUUUUUAAACUAGAUUUGGUGGGCCCCAGUGAUGUGUUAUGUGUAUAUAUUUAUGUUUGUGCAGCUCAGAAGCAGCUGUAGCAGCAAGCGGUUUUCGUAAAUACCGGGUUUUUUGGAAAAGCGGUUUUCUAAAGCUGUUUUGGGUUUAUCUAGUCGUAAUUUGACCUAGAAUUUAGAAUACAAAAUUGGGUUUCAUCACUAACUUUUAAGUUUGUUUAGUUUAAUUAAUUUGAUGGAUCUUUUAUAGUCAACAAUUAUGAUGCAUUAUUUGCUUCAGCAAAGUUGACUGUAGUUUUUUAUGAUUCACGCACACUCGAAUUUUAAAGCAGAAAAGCGGUCUAAUGUCGAAAAUUAAAAGAACGAAAAGAUUAGAUGGUAAAUAACAAAUUCUAUAAAUUACAAAUUGAUGCGCCACAUUUCAAAUUAAUUUUAGCUACUGUGAAGGCAAAUUCUCUCAACUAAUGAAAUUUUUUUCAAUUGUUUUCAUUUUACGUUAUUUCUCAAAAAAUUUUAAAACUUUUCAACUCAAUUCGAAACUCAAUUGAUUCAAGUCAACACCAAAAGUAUCAUGGAGAAAGCUUUCUCCUUUUUAAGGGGUGGGAUAUGUACAUGCAUGUUGCCUUUGUGAAUUGUGAUGUGACAAAUUCUCUCAAGCUAGACUCCUAUAGAAUCUUUUCGUAUACGCUAAGUCCUAACCCAUGCAUGCACCCACUUGCAAAAUGUAGCAAUUAAUCUUGAAUUUAAAGAAGAGUCUUUUUAAAAAAGAAAUUUUGAAGAGUGAUUGCCUAGGCUUCACCAUGAUCGAGGCCCUAGGCAAAAAUUACCUAGAGGAAUAAGAUGCACCAAGCUCUUGCGACUCCAAAACGAUCCUCGAAGAUGUGAAUUCGAAACAAUAUUCCAAAUUUAUCCAGGACAAGUGCAAAUGAAUCUGAAUAUUUGUGACUUUCUAAUCGAACAUGCAACAUGCUGUCGAAGAAUUAUUGGUACGACAAUUGCGUUUGGCUCGACAUGGGCACGACAAUUUUAGGACAAUUUUUGUAGCAUCUAGUGUCUCAUAGGUGAUAUCCGCCGAGUACGAAAGUGAGGCCCACAAAAAGGAAGGAUCUUUUACCAAUCAAUGCCGCAACACAAAACAAAUAAGUAAAUAAAAAUACAAAAGACACUACAAGAUCUUCCAAAAGAUUAAGUCCCGAAAAAAAAGUAAGUGGCCAACAACAUUGAUAGAUAAAAGAGCUUAUUGAUGCGAAGGCUUGUUGAAUUUGUUGCUCAAAAUGAAGGUCGAUCGAUAUUGUGCAAUUUCCUUUAUUCCCAAAUCUUUUGAGUGGAGGGAUUAAGAACGAAGUGGGGCAUCAUCAACUCUAGAUCCAAUUUAAUCUCGCGUCAUACUAGAUAACAUUCCCUUUGCCCUCACUUUAUUUUAUUUUAUUUUAUUUUUUCUCUUUAGUUCAUGAUAGCAUAUAUAUAUAUAUAUUGGAGAGAUCCCUACGUAAAAAUUUUAAAAUAAAUAAACAUAGUGUACAACAAAAUGUAGGUGCCACAACUUUCUAUAGUACGCAUCUUGCUCUACUAUUCUUUUUAGGCUUUAUUUGGAUGCCCGAAUAAGUUAUUCGGUAUGAAAAUAAUUUUUUGUGUAAUUAGAGGUAAAAAUUUGAUUUUUUUUGCUUUAUAUAUGUAUAGGCAUUUGUAACUUAAUAGGAUAGAAUAUUUUAUAUACAAAAUAAUUUAUCUUAUUUAAAAAAAUAAUUUGAAGGCCGAAUAUAAUUUGAGAUAUACAUAUAUAUAUAUGUUUGACCACACUCCUAACUUUCAAUUGUAAUAAAAGAUGUUCAUAUCAAAUUAAUAAAAUAUCACUGAGUGACUUAUUUUGAUAUUCAAACAGAGCUUAAGUUUAGAGUUAUGACACUAUAUAUAUUUUUCGCAUGCAUGGGAAAAUGAUAUCUCAUAGAUGAAAUUUCUUUCGCACGGAAGAAAAGGACCACCCUAAUUAAGUAGAGAGCUGUAGUUUGAAAAUGUCAAUUAUACUUUUCAGAAGGGUUAUGUCAUAAAUAGUUUAGAGAAAUAUUUAAUAAUCCAGUUAGGAUUUUCGCCAGAAAAGUUCUAAUUUAUUUUAAAAAAUAAGAGUGUUUUCUAACUGAAUUCUCGUAGUAUCUUAUACCCUAUAUUAUAUAUAAAUAUAUAUAUAGAGGGGACUACUUACUCUGAGACCUAUAUAGGGUUUGAGAAUAUGUCUCAACGAUAAAAGGAAACAUCUCUUGUUAAUUUUGUUCAAAAACUCCACAAAAUUUUGAUGGAGCAAGUUAUUUCUUGUUAAAGUAGAAUUUUUUGGAAUGAUGAACACACUAGUUAUGUUCAUAUGUAUAUAGUUAAUAUUAUGAUAUUGAAAAGCAAUAGUAGUUUAAACAGCGUCUAUGUAUUAUAAUAAAGUGCAAUAUAUAUAUAUAGAGAGAGAGAGAGAGAGAGAGAGAGAGAGAGAGAGAGAGAGUUUUGCUAGAAUACUGUCGGUAGUAAACAGCUCGGUUUACUACUGAUUUGUUUUUGAUGAUGGAGCUUCCAAAUUGAUGAUCGGCACCGUUAAACAUGAUCUAAACUAUUUAAACUAUUUGAAAAUCCAAUUUCACACAUUUUCGAUAUUGUUCUCUUGUCCAUCAAGUAAACAGAAAAAUAAAUGACUGGAAAUGAAUAUCCUUCAAAAAGUGAUAAUACAAUUUUUAUAUUUGAGAUCUAGAGUCUAGAUCUUAUUUUAAAUAAUUUAAAGAAUUUUUAACAAAAAUUUAGUUGAUUUGAACUCUUCUAUACCGUUAAACGAGCAAACGCACCAUAUCGGCCAUUAAAAUUAUAGAUUUUGUGACCCUUUGAUCGUUCAGUUAGUGAUGUCAAAAAAUCAUGAAAUUUGAUUUCUAGAUAAUUUAAAUGGUUUAGAUCAUGUUCAACGGUGCCGAUCGUCGAUUUGGAAGCUUUAUCAUAAAAAACAAAUCGGUAGUAAAUCGAGCAGUUUACUACCGAUAGUAGUCCAGUCAAACUCUCUCUCUCUACAUAUAUAUAUAUAUAUAUAUAUAUAUAUAUAUAUGAGUCCGGUUGGGAUACUAUCGAUAGCAUGAAGUAUUUGGUGCUAUCAAGUUUUCUACCGUUAGAUUUACCUCUUUUAUCAUUUUCAUCCGUUCGAUUAUACUAUUUAACCAACCACCCACUCAACCCUAGUGGGCCCACAUUAUCCUAACCGCACAUCUUUUAAUCUAAGGGCAGAAAACUUAAUAGCACUAAAUCAUUGGUGCUAUUAAUAGUAUUCCAGCCUAGUUCUAUAUAUAUAUAUAUAUAUAUAUAUCACUACUAUUCUAAUGGAUUUUAUGCAAGUCUAAUAAGCAUCCAUUCUCCUAAAAGCAUCUUAUUAAAUAUAAUAAUAUUCUUUAUUAUGAACCACCAUAUGAUCUAGAGUUGUAAGAUACGUAGGAAUUUUCGCCUUAUGUCCAACACAAGUGGAGAGAACUCUUUAUAGUGAAUGUUUAAAUAGAGACUUCUUAAUGUUUUGUGUUCUUUUUAUACAAAUCUAAAUUCGGUGUUUGAUUUUAUAUGUUGAAUUCAACUUCUUAGAAAUGUAUGAGGAGACUCAACUAUAGAAACUGUAACUACGCCUAAAUUGGCGGCUGUUCUAGUUGAAAAGAAUAACUUGAAACAAAAUGUUAGCUUACUUUCCUAAUAACUUUUUAAAUAAAUGAAUAUAUUUUUUUCUCUACAUUGUAAAUAAUCAUACCACAUAAAAUGAUAAAAUUAAAUUGCACUUUUAAUUAUAUGUAACCAAAUAAAUUAUUUAUAUUUGCAGUGUUUCUACUACAUUCAACCAAAUAAAAUAUAUAUAAUUAUAAUUACUAUAUUUUUAACUAUAUGCAUUUAUAAUUAUAUUGUAUUGCUUAUUAUAUCCAACCAAACAGUAACAAUAUAGAGGAAAAAUUCUGUAUUGCGGUCCAUAUACUGGUAUUCCCAAAACUCAAACCUAGAUAUUAAAAUAUACAUAUGUUGCUCAACACAUAGUAAAAGAGUUCUAAAAAUUAUUAUUUAUUUUUUAAAAAAAUUAAAAUGUUGCAGAUCAUAUUUUACUUUUUAUCUUUAAUUUAUGGUCUCUUUAAUAUUUAUGGUGUCUAUGCUCGGGUCUUUGAGAUCCUCGUGUAUAGACCUUGUUGCAUCGAGCAAGUUCUUCAACGAUAAGAGUCAAAUUAGGAAACUUAUCAAGACCGUUGAGCGAUAAAUGGUUUAGGUUUGGAAUAGUCUCCAAUGUGAGACAGCGUGAUCAGACAUUUAUACAACUUUAAUUUUCGAGCAAUGACAUGAUAGAUUAUAAAUCACGCAAUCUUGCAUUAUGAAUUUUAUUGUCAUUAAGUUUUUGUACAAGGACACCUGAUUGACAUGUUAACCGCACACGUGGUAUAUAGUAAGGUUUUUCUUUUUUUCUUUUUCGACGGAGAUCAAGAGACGGGAAAUGUUAAAUGCAACUCAAUUUUUUUAGGAAUUCUAUAUUAUCACACUUGCAUUAUGUUAUUAAUAACAAAUCAAUCAUAUUUUUUUCUUUUCAAAUAAAAGUACAAUAAAAAUAUUUUUUUACAAUCAUGAUGGGACAUAUACUUCUAAAAAGAGACAUUUGAUUGGUUUGUUACGUUCUGUCGCCAAUAUAACUGUUGCAUUCUAGAUUUUUUUCUUUUUUUAUUUAUUUUUUUUUGUGUGGCUGUGGAGAGCUGAUUAGGUUCCCUCAUUCAAUUGAAGUUCGUACAUAAAAAAUUACAUAUGUUGACUCUGUCUCUUAAGAAAAAAACUUGAAAGGGCUAUUUUAUAUAUUCCCCAUAAUGUGGUUUCUAUAUAUCUACACUUUUCAUUUUUCCGGAAAAAAAGACAAAAAAAAAAACCUUAUGAGUUUAACCUGAUAGAAAUAAAUAACUUGCACCUUAUGUACGGAUUAGUUUUUUUUUAAUCAAAUUUAAGCCUAUCACACCAAGCCGAAUUAAGGUUCAAAUUUUUUAUGUUUAAUUUUAAUAUUAAUGAUUAGAUUUAUAAAGUCUAAUUGCUAUUCACUAAGCUAAUUGAAUCUUACCAAAUUCGAUGAAUCUUAUCUGAUUCUAUUAAACACUUAUUUGAGGACACUACUUCUAGUAAAUAUUUAAAAGGGAGGGAUAUGAUUGGUUUCUUAAUUUUUAGUUAGAAAUGUAGCAAGGCCCCACUUCGAUCAUUUUUGUUAGAAAUCAACUCAGUUAAAAAUAUAAAGUAUUUAGGUUUUGAAUUUGGAACAUCGAAUAUCAAUUAUUAAGUUUUUAACCAACUGUGCUCGGCAUGUUCAGUUAUGGUUGGUAUUAUGUUAAGCAUGUUGAGUCAUGAACAUUGAUCUAUAUAUUGGCCAUGUUAAAAAAGGUUUUUAUUGUUCUUACUUGUGUAUUGUAUGAUUUACCUACUCGCUCUCUCUCUUCUCUCUCUCUCAUAAAUGGCUCGAAGUAAAGUCAAACAAUAAAUGGCCAUGUCCCAAGCCCAAGGAAUUAAAUUUGUUGGUUUUUUUUAGAUCUUGGAUCAGAGGCCAACCCAGUAAUGAAUUGUUUCCCAUAAAUGUGGACAAUAGAUAAAUUUAAUCCUUUUUUUAGCCGCCUCAAUUUUUUAUUGUGCAUGCGUAGUGGAUUGUAAACGGUGUUUAGGUCAAUCGGUAUCUGAAUUUGGAGCCAAUCCAAGUUUUUUUUUUUUUAGUUCAACAAGAAGUGUAUCCUUGCUAAAAGUUCUCAAUAAAUUGGGUUAAUUUUUGUGAUUAGAUUUUACUUGAUCAAGUUCAAGAAAUUCGGCGAAAUAAUCUAUAUAUAUAUUGACCUUUUCUUUUGAUAAGAUUAACGGAGAAUUCUACUUGUUGAACUCAAUAAAAUUAAAUGAUGUCGAACACAGGGGAUGUCUCUACUAUGGCAUUACUAAAAGUUGAUUUAGUAUUUAGAAUAAAAUAGAAAUAUUUUUUCGGCGUAUCAGAUUCCUGAAAUGUUAGUUAAAAAAUCAUACAAAAGAGUUUCAUGCAUAUGGCCUCAUACUUUUUGUGCACGAGCUCUUUUCCCCAUUCCUUACUUUAUAUAGCAUUCCCACAUCGCAAAAUAUUCACCUUUAAUCAUGAUCCAUUAUCUAAAUUAAUUAGCAUUACAUAUAUAUAUAUAUAUAUAUAUAUAUAUAUAUAUUAACACGAAGGGAUACUCCUUAUCUCACCAAGCACAUGUGGAGGAGGCAGUUUUGUACUUGUCCUCAUUUGUACAAUAAAAAUUUGCACUCGUCCUACUCAGUACAACAAACUUUUAUUUUAUGUUUUACUUUUUUUUUAUUUUAAACAUGUGAAUAAUUUUUUUAAAAAGUCAGCUCCUCUUAACAUUACAUUUAUUAUUAUUAUUAUUAUUAUAAAGAAUGAAAAGCGUUCGUCAAUCUAGGUGCAACGACAGCGGUGGAGCGAAAAAUAGAAAUUAUAGUGAAAAAAUUAUUACCAUUAUUAUUAUUAUUAUUUACUCAAAUUAUUUAUAAAGGUGGAAUCUCUACUUUUGGACACGUGUCAAAACGAAACGUUCUUAUGCGUGUUUGCCGUUGUGGUGCGUUCCAGGGGAUCGGGCCAACGAUUUUGAGUCCGCGCUCAUCCGGCGUGGCGGGCUCGUGGGUCUGACCAAGUGACGGGUCAACGGAUCCACGUCGCUCACGCAAAAUACGAAAACUAUUCCCCGCACCCGGUCCAUCCGUACACCCGUGCACAGCCAAGUUAUUCGGCCUAGAUUAUCUCUCAUCCAUCUUAUCUCUACUUUCAAUCUCGUUGAUUUAUGAAUUACUAUUUUCUUCUUAAAAAAAAUUGAAUGACAGUGAUUGUUGGGUAUAUGCUUCAAUCUAUAUAAUUUUAUAAAUAUAGAGUACGAGGCUAACCUUCCGUCCAUUUCUGAUGGGUGAAAGUUGAGAGGCUAAGAAGGAUUUCGCUAUAAGUAGAUUGAAAAAUAUCCUCCAAAGCAAAAUUUAAUAAGAACUACUACAUAUUUUAUUCUAGUGUAGUUUUCCUUCGAUUUUUUUUUUUUUUUGAAGCCCCAGCUGCCUCAUCUCAUAAUCAAGUUCAUAUCCUAAAUGAAUAAAACGGUAGCAUGCUAUCUUUUCUCAAAAAAAAAAAAAAUUAUUUUCAUCCUAACACACGGAUAAGAAUGCAUCGGGUGCAUAGAAUAGUUCACACUUCCGGGAACCAAAUGCCGGGUUUUUAAGAAAGCCCUUUAUCUCUUUUAAUUAUGCUCUCAACCCCCCUCCUCCACUCGAACUCCUAUAUAUACCUCUGAUCACCUUCACCAUUCCCACCCAAUCUCCUCGGCACAUUUAUGGUUAAUUCCUCACCCAUCUCUCCACAUCAAACCAAAAUAAAACCCCUACUAUUAGUUCUCCAUCUUUUAGCAUUUCUCUGCGAUUAGCUAUUCCCUAUUCAGUCUCUCUCUCUCUCUCUCCCUGGCGUUGGCGUGAGAUUGCGGAAAUGGCAAUGGAUUUAGAAGCGGAGGGGGAGAAGAAAGAGGAGGCGGCGGAGCGGCAGUACAUGGAAGGGGUGAAGCAGCUUUGCGAGAGCGGCAUCAAGAAGGUGCCCAACAAGUACAUCUUGCCAGCCUCGGAGCGUCCUCGGGUGAACGGACGGCGCGAUACCGCCGCUCAAAACCUCAGUCUCAAGCUGCCCGUCAUUGAUCUCUCUCUGUUGCACUCGAAAGACCACGCAUCGGUUAUUCAGUCCUUGGAAAAGGCCUGCGAGGAGUACGGAUUCUUUCAGGUACUACGUUUGUUGAAGUGCUAUUUGAAUAGAACUAUUUUUAAUAUUUUUAAAAAAAAACUACUUCUCACUGUAUGAAGUUUAUAGAUAGUGAACCACGGCAUUCCGAUCGAGGUUAUAAGGGAUAUGGUCGGCGUCGUGAGGAGAUUCUUCGAGCUUCCGUUUGAGGAGAGAUCAAAGUAUAUGUCGUCCGACAUACGAAAUCCAGUUAGGUACGGGACGAGCUUCAACCAAAUGAACGACAAAGUGUUUUCUUGGAGAGACUUCCUGAAACUCAGCUGCCAUCCUAUCUCCAGCGCUCUCCCGUUUUGGCCUUCUUCUCCUGCAGACUUAAGGUAGCGCUCGCAGUACAUAUUAACUAUUUUAUUUAUUGAUUAUGAUAGAUCAAUUUAAUAAAAAAAAAUAAUUUAUAUUAUUCUAUUAUACGCACACUCAUAAAAAAGAUAAUAAAAAAAAGCAACAAUUGAAAUAUUACCCAUUAAUGAUUGUUUAGGAAACAGUACAAAAAUAGCCCUAUCAAACAAAAAGUAGGGUUGGUCUAUAGAGCAGGGUUUCUAUACUUUUAUGAGUAUAGAGCACUUCGUACUCAUAAGUUAUUUUAGAUGUUGGGAUUUUCAAAUCAACGAUCCACACCGUUAAAUAUGAUCUAGAGUAUUUAAAACUUCUAGAAAAUAAAUGUCAUAAUUUUUUGAAAUCAUUAUAAAUUCAUCAAGCGGGUAUAAAAUGAACGGUCAAAAUCGAACGACACCCUAAAAAUGGAUGAUCGGAUCAUUCAAUUUAAAACCGGAGUUAUUGAUCUUUAUUUAGGUAGUGAAUAAAAUUUUCUAUAAAAAAUUCAACCUAUUCCGAUUCUUUUUCACUGUUAAAAUAACAAAUAUCUCAUACCGGUCGUUAAAAAUUGUCAAUUUUGUGAGCUUUUGAUCGUAAGGUAAAUGAUAUCAAAAAAUUAUAAAAUUUNAAAUAACAAAUAUCUCAUACCGGUCGUUAAAAAUUGUCAAUUUUGUGAGCUUUUGAUCGUAAGGUAAAUGAUAUCAAAAAAUUAUAAAAUUUAAUUUCUAAAAGUUUUAAAUGCUCUAGAUUAUAUUUAACAGUAUGAAUCGUUAAUUCGAAAGUUCUAUCAACGAAAACAACUUAUGAGUACGAAGGCAAUCGUACUCAUAAGAGUAUAGUAGCCGAACUCUUGGCCUAUAUACCAUAUAUAUGAUCGUGUGAGCGUUGCACACUGAAAAGCCUUUAUAGGUGGAAACUGGGGUGGGUAGUUUGAUAAUUUCUAUGUACGCACCUAGAUUUGGUCGGUUUUUAAGUUUCCUGUAACUCAUUAAUUUUUGUCCCCUUCAUUUAGUAGAGUAGCAGUUCCUCUACGACACAGGAGCCAGCUUUUAUUGGAAGCAUAUAUAUAUAUUUCUCUCUUUAAGUUGUUCAAGCUUUAACCACCUUAAUUUUCUUUCCAUUUAAACUCUAUCUCUCUCUUGUUUCAAUGGUUCAGAUAAGUAAUUUACCACCUCUUUUAAAUUCUUAAUAUUCUUUUAUACAAUAUAUAUAUGUGGAUUCAAGUUGUUUUCUUUUUUCUUUUUUUUUUUUGUGUGCGCACGCACACCCUAGAAGCGAAAAAAGUAAUUAAAUUCCUCCAAACAGAUGUGCUGAAGCCAACUCAUCAGAGCCAAGUCAUAGUCAGUUGUGGGUAAUAUGGUGAUAGAAGUCGACUGCACAGAACCAAACUCACAACUUUAUACAUAAAUAAAUAUAAUAUAUUUUAAAAUACUAUUGAUAAAUCAGUAUUAAUAUAAAUAUUAUAAUUUAUUAAUGAAGAUUUGCUUUUUUUUGAAGUUAAUAUCUUAAUUUUAAUUUCAUAUUUAAAAUUUGAAAGUUUAAACCACAACAGUUAGUUGUUAUAUGUUUGGAAGAGUGAAAAAUCAACCAUAGUACAAUGAGAUGUAUUAUUAAAGUACCCAUAGUUAGUAUCUAAUAAUUUAUGAGUGAGUCCUUCUUACUUUAGCUUUUUGGACUCCAUAUCUUACUUAGAUCUUCAUGUUCCAUAUAAGGACUACACUUUUGGGUACCCUCUACUGUACCCUUAGUAUUAUAUAUAUAUAUAUAUAUUAAAUUAAAUUCGGAUAAAUUUAACGGUAAAAAAUUUGAUAGUACCAAAUAUUUCAUGCUAUUAAUAAUAUUCCAGCCGAAUUCUAUAUAUAUAUAUAUAAAAUUAAACUCAGGUAGCUAAACGAGUCGCUACUACAUGUUGUGCCAACUAAGAUAUAGAGAAGUAGUUAGUACAUCAUUAAAUUAUUUAGGCCUUUUUCGCUAUCAUAUUUAUUUUUUGUUUUCAUAAUAAAAUUUUGUAUAUUAAAAAAAAUUGUAGGAGCAAACAGCGAAUUAUUUGUAAAUUUUUCAUCCAAAGUAACAUUUACUCAGCAACAAAAAAGAUAUUUAUAAAUAAAUUUUUUUAAUUUUUUUUUUAAACAUGUAGCCAUCUAUCACUCAACCUGAUGCAUAGUAAGCUAAGGGACAAUAACAAUACCCCAAAUAAAAAAAAAAAAAUCCAGCACUUCACAUUAUAUAAAAUUAAUAUUUUUUUAAAAAAAUGACAACGAUGCCGAAAUUUUACCAGAAAUUAGUAAAUAAAGUUUGCACUCACUGUACCAUAAGAUGUAUAAUUUGACUCGAUCAAAUUGAGUGGUUUCAUUUGGAAAAAUUAGUAUAGUUAUUUAAUUCUUCAAUUUGAAAAAUUUCAAUCCUAAUUAAAAGGGUAGCUGAAUUUUGAGCAAAUCAAAGAUUAAAUAAAAACACCGUAUAGAUUCGGUCGCUUAAUUUGAUCUUUGCGUGAUUUCAACUUUGACCCACGUGAGAAUUCGAGUUGUGGAUCGAGUCAACUAUAUGGGAGAGUUUUGGACCACAACGUACAUUUUUAUUGUGAAAAUGUUUAUUUGGACCAUAAUUAGCCCCUGCUUAAUUAAAUUAAACUUAUUGAAUUAACCCUCCUUUAUUAAUCUAAUGCAGGGACAAAGCACUUUUAUAUGUCAAGGAAAUGAAGAGUUUGUUCAUGGAUCUGAUGGAAGCGAUUUUGGAGACUCUAGGAGUGAACCGUGGCGUGCUCGAAGAAUUUAGAACUGGAUCGCAUAUCCUUGUAGCGAAUUGUUAUCCGGUGUGCCCCGAACCGGGACUUACCCUCGGAAUGCCGCCCCAUUCUGACUAUGGCUUCCUCACUCUUCUCCUCCAGGACGACGUCGAGGGGCUACAAAUCCAGCACGGCGACGAAUGGGUCACCGUCGAGCCAGUCCCUGACUCUCUUGUCGUAAACAUCGGCGAUCAUUUUGAGGUAGUUAAAGUUACUUAAAUUUAAAGCUUUUACUUUUGGGUUUAGAAUAUCAUUUCAAUUUUUCGCUCUAGUUAGGAGUACUUAUUCCCUCAACAUUAAUUGCGCUCUCAAAAGUCUAAAUUUAUUGGUUUUGAAACACGAGUGUUGCUCUCAUGAUAAUUAAUUAAGCAUUUUCCUAACCAUUUUGUUCCUUACAAUUGGAGGGUAUAUUUUCAAAAUUUCUAGUUAAAUAUUUCGGAUUGAACAGUUAUUUUAGAAAUCGGGCCAAUGAACAAAUUCAUAGUCCUAAAUCGGAAUUCGAUCUUUGAAUCUCAGAUAUUCAGUAACGGGAGGUACAAGAGCGUUCUCCACCGAGUGUUGGUCAACCCUGCGAAGCUCCGAAUCUCCGUCGCAUCCCUCCACAGUCUCCCCAUCGAGCGCGUCGUCGGGCCCUCCCCCGACCUUGUCGACGACGACGACAACCCGCGGCGUUACAUGGACACGGACUUCGCCUCGUUCCUCGAUUACAUCGCCUCGUGCGAAUCGAAGCACAAGAACUUCCUCGAGUCAAGGAGGUUGACUCCUGGCAAGGCCCUCCCUGAUAGUCAACCAAUUUGACUUCUGAUUCCCUCGCCAAAAAGGCGUUGACAAUUUGAGCAUCGUAUUUUUGGGCUAUUUAAAUAUUCCGACAAAUUAAUUGAGACUACGUCAUCAUCACCAUCAUCCUCCUUUUCAAAUUAUUCAACCACUCAAUUGUAGGAGAUAAGAUCCGUAUAGUAUGUACGUAGAAAGGAGAGAGUAAGGGAUAAAAAUAUAUCUAUAAUUAAUUAUACUUGCGGUUGGAAUCCUUUUAAUUAUCUUUGUAAUAUAUAGAAAUAGGUAUAUAAAUUAAAGAUUGACCUUUAGCUUUUAUUUAUUUAUUUAUUUCGGAACAAGUAUGAUGAUUUAUGGAGUGGUUUCAUAGAGAUAGGUGGAUCAUCAUAAAGGCCGUAGACAAGACCACCAUUAUAAAUCAAUGCUAGUACUAUAGGAUAUUACUAAAUAAGAGUAAUGAUCACACAUGUGCCUAAUCAAUUUAGUUAGCAAUAUUAAUGAUUAAAAUCAAAACUAUUACCUGCAACAAUUAGGCUAAUUAACUCGCUUUCCUAAAUAUAAAAUGUACCAUAUAUGAUUGCAGCAAACGUACGUAACCAAAUGUGUCAUAAUAUGUGUCAGGCUAAUUUAUCAAUAAUAUUCAGAGAUAUUUUUGGAUGUAUACAAAACAUUAAUUAAUCUAAACAUAAAUUUUCACUAUACAUUAGUAUAAGUAUAUUGUGCUUUAUUAUAAAAGUACACGGCGGAAAAGAAAACAUAAAAAACAUUCAUUUCUUACAAAAGUAAGCAUUAAAGGAGUCAACUCCCAAGGAAGCUUCCUUAUACUGGAAAUGAUGGAAAUGUUUUCCAAGUUAUUUAUUUCUCUUUAAAAAACUAAUAGAAUGGAAAUUCUUAGUUGACUUUUUAAAGUCUUUAAAAAAAAAAAAAAAAGUUUAUCACACUAUUUGACGCACCAUUCAAACCAAGGUUCAACUAGGGCAGGCUACUUAGGAAGUUUCAUUGAAAUGGCAGUAGUGAAGAAAAGCCAAGGAAAUGCUGUGUUAUUUUUAUUAAAAUUAAAUUAAUUAAGUCAAACCUUUUCAAGAUAUGCUAUAAAAAGAACCAAUAAUUGAUCUCAUUUUGCGUAAAAUCAUCGACACGUUCUUUGCUACUAUAAUAGUUAACUAAUAGUGUCAUAUUAGGAAUAGUAAUCAUAUGGUGGCCUGUUUGGUUGGAUCGAUGCAGUUAUUAAUAUAAUAUAGUUGAAGAUGUAUGCGUUUGAAAAUAAAACAGUUACAACUACUAUAUCGUAUUUGACUGGAUGUUGUAGAAAGCAUUGUAAUUAAAAUAAUUUAUUUGGUACAAAGUUUUACUACUUUAUACAUAUGGGAUGGUGAGAUUAUUAUAAUGUAGAAUAAAAUAUAUUUUCUGUUUAAGAGAUUAAUAGGAAGGUAAGAUUAUCUUUUAUUCAAAGUUAUUUUCUCCAACUGCUUCAGCAGCUAAUACGGAGAUAAUUCGAACUACUGUGUUUUAGCCUACUCGUCCAACUUCCACAGUAGCAAUUUAAUUAAGACAACACUGAAUUUGAAAUUACAUGCAACGAACUAGGCCCUUAUACUAGAUAGAAAAAAGAAUCAUGACCCCGACCUGUAUGUAUAUAAUAUAUAUUACCAUUAAUUUUAUGUUUUAGUAUUUCUAAUUAUUUGAGCUCUUUAACAUAUGUUUAACUCCCCUCAAAAUAUGUACAUUUAAGUUUUCUCCAAUUACUCUAAAGAAUCUUUUGAAAUUGAAAAGAGUCACCGCAUUAACUUAAACAUAUGUUGUAGACGUUGAAAAUGUUGAUGAGAGCAAGCAUUAUAUUCAUACAAUUAAGUUAAAAACAAAUAUGUAUGUAUAUAUAUAUAUAUAUAUAUAUAUACACAAAGCUAAUAGGAAUGGGGGAAGUAUUAAUCAUCCAUUUAAUAUACAAAUUUGAACUCAUGUUUGAAAGAGGAAAAUUUAAUAAAAUAUUCACAUGGCCUAUCUAUAUCGGGAGAAUGGGGACCAAUCUAUUUUGUACUGCUACUGCAAAAUAGUACCUAUAUUGACUUUUCUCAUGCAUUUAUUUUUUGUACAUAUAUUAAUUGUCCACAAUAAUGCACUACUAUGCUUGGCGCCUUCAAUAUGGGGGCACUCUUGUAGCCAUAGUAUUACCAGCUAUUUGUAGAUCUUCGUGGUCCCAAGAGUAUCUUAUUCCAGAUUCACGCUUGGAUUUGCAACAGCGCAUAUAUAUAUAUAUAUAUAUUGAUUCGGAAUACUAUCGAUAGCAAAUCGGCUCCGUUUGCCACGUAUUUAUUUUCAAUGAUGGAGCCUCCAAAUCGACGAUCGACAUCGGUGAACAUGAUCUAUACCACUUAAAGUAUCUAGAAAUCAAAUUUCAUGCUUUUUAGAUAUUAUUCUCUUGUCCAUCAGGUGGGCGCAAAAAUGAACAGCUGAAUAUGAAUAUUCUCUAAAAAGUGAUGAUAGAAAUUUUAUAAUCAAGAUCGAGAGUAUAAAUCUUGUUUUAAAUAGUUUAAAAAAUUUUCUAACUAAAAUUCAAUUGAUUUGAAUAGCUCUACACCGUUAAACGUGAAAACACCUUAUAUCUACCAUUAAAAUUACAAAUUUUAAAACCCUUUGAUCAUUAGGUCGAUGAUAUCGAAAAGAUUUGAAAUUUAGUUUCUAAAUACUUCAAGUGGUAUAAAUUAUGUUCAACGGUGCCAAUCGUCGAUUCGGAGGCUCCAUCAUCGAAAACAAAUGGGUGGCAACGGAGCCCGUUUGCUACCGAUAGCCUUCCAGCUCAACUCUAUAUAUAUAUAUAAUAUAUAUUAUAUAUAUAUAUAGUAUAUAUAUAUAUAUAUAUAUAUAUAAUUGAACUGGGUUACUAUCGGUAGUAAACUGCUCGGUUUACUACUGAUUUGUCUUUUGAUGAUAGAGCUCCAAAUCGACGAUCGGGCACCGUUAAACAUGAUUAAACCAUUUAAAUAUUAGAAAAUAAUUCUCAUGAUUUUUUGGUAUCACUACUGAACGAUCAAAGAUCACAAAGAUCUAUAAUUUAAUGGCCGAUAUGGUGCGUUUGCGUCGUCUUAACAGUAUAGAAGGUUUAAAUCACUAAAUUUUUUUAGAAAAUUCUUUAAACUAUUUCAAAUAAGAUCUAGAACUCUAGAUCUCAAUAUGAAAAAUUAGUAUCAUCCAUUUUGAAGGAUCAUUAUUCAAGGCAUUCAUUUUUGUUAACUUGAUGACAAGAGAACAAUAUCGAAAAAUGUGUGAAAUUUGAUUUCCAGAUAGUUAAAUAAUUUAGAUAAUGUUAACGUGCGCGCAUCAUCAUUUGAUAGCUCUAUCAUCGAAAGCAAAUCGGGUAGUAAAACGAGCGUUACUACCGAUAUGUCAUUCUAACGCUAUCAAACUCUUUCUCUCUCAUCUCCACGGCAAUUUCUCUCGUCUCCUCUCUCUCCUCUCUCUCUCUCUCGUUCCUCUCUCUCUCUAUUAUAUAUAUAUAUAUAUAUAUAUGGUCCGUGCUACUACUACUAUUAUGAGUAGAUCGCCUCUCUACUCAUAAUGUGUUUUCGAUGAAGAGCUUUCGAAUACGACGAUCCACACGUUAAACGUUAUUUACAGUAUUAAACUUCUAGAAUACAAAUUUAUGAAUUUUUCGAAGUCAUUUACCUUAUGAUCAAGAGGUCACAAAUUUGCAUUUUUAACAGCCGUAUGGGAUAACAUUGCUAGUUAACGGUGUAGAAAAAUCAAAAUUUGUUGAAUUUUGAUAGAAAUUCUAUCACAUACUAGAUAAAGUCAAUAACUUCGAUCAUUUGAAUUAAGGAUCCGAAUCAUCUUUUUAGACGUCGUUCGAUUUAGACGGCAUUCAUUUUAUAACCCACUUGAUGCUUUAUUAUGAGUUGUCGAAAAUUUAGCUAAAUUAUUGUUCUAGAAGUUCUAAUAUGAUCUCUGAUCAUAUAUUUAACGAAAAGAGUGGAAUCGUCGAUGUCGGAAGCUCUAAUCAUUGAAAACAACUAUAGUACGAGAAGCUCAAUACUCAUAAAUAGUAUAAUAGCCAUGGCCUAUAUAUAUCAUAUAUAAUAUGAUAUACUAUAUAUAGCGAGAGAAAGAGAGAGAGAAAGAGAGAAGAGAGAGAGAAGCUGGAGCUAUACUAAUGAUAGCAAAACGUCAUUCUUCUAUCAAUUUAGAUCUUUGGAUCAACUCUUUUAAUAAUUUCUAAUCAUUUGAUUAAAUACACACUAAUAAACAGUGGGGACGACUCACCCAUAGGGGACCACUCACUCUAAUUGACUAAUAUCAUCUCCUAUCCUAACAAUUUCUCAUUCAAAGUUAAAAAAAUUUGAUAGUAAAAAAGAGUUUUUGCUAUAUAUAUAUAUAUAUAUAUUAUAUAUAUAUAUAUAUCAAUGAAUUUAGGCUACUAUAUGAAUUUGUAGUACGAGGAACUCCCGUACUAUAGGUUGUUUUCGAUCUUAGGGCGUUUCAAUUUAACAGAUCCCACACAGCUAAAUAUGAGCUACAGCAGGUAUAUGAAAGUUCUAAGAAAAAAAAUUUUAGUUUUUUUUUGAUAAUCGUUUACUUAUGAAAUAAAUAUUGUAAAAAAUAGACGGUGCGAACUAAAUACUCUUUAAAAAAUUUGAGCACCUAGACUUUUUAAAUCAAGAUUCAAGAAGUGUAACGCUAAUCUAUAUAGUUUAAAAGAAUUUUCUAUCAAAAACAUUUGACAAAAAUUAGAUUAUAGCUACAACGUUAUCUCACAAACCUCGUCAUAAUAUGCCAUUGAAAGUUGAAAUUUUGAAAUGUUUGAUCAUAAAGUAAACUAUGGCGAAAAAAUAAUAAAUUUUUAUUUCUUAGAAAACUUUAAAUACCUAGAUAGUUUCUAACGGUGUGAUCAUUGAUUUGAAUGCCCAAGAUCGAAAAAACAUACUAAUAAGUACGCGAGCUCCCGACUAUAAAUGUAUAGUAGCGACUCUUAUUAAUAUAAGUAAAAUAACUAGUAUAUAUAUAAUAUAUAUUAUAUAUAUAUAUAGUAUAUAUAUAUAUAUAUAUAUAUAUAAUUGAACUGGGUUACUAUCGGUAUAAACUCGCUCAGUUUACUACGAUUGUCUUUUAGAUAGAGCUCCAAAUCGACGAUGCGGCACGUUGAACAUGAUCUAAACCAUUUAAAUAUUAGAAAAUAAUUCUCAGAUUUUUGGUAUCACUAACUGAACGAUCAAAGGAUCACAAAAAUACUAUAAUUUUAAUGGCCGAUACUGGUGCGUUGCAUCGUUUACAACAUAUAGAAGGUUUAAAUCACUAAUUUUUUAGAAGAAUUCUUUAAACUAUUUAAAUAAGAUCUUAGACUCUAGAUCUCAAUAUAAAAAUUAAAUAUCAAUCAUUUUUGAAGGAAUCAAUUCAAGCGCAUUCAUUUUGUUAACUUGAUGACAAGAGAACAAUAUCGAAAAAUGUGUGAAAUUUGAUUUCCAAUAGUUUAAAUAAUUUAGAUAAUUGUUAACGGUCCCGACAUCAUUUGAUAGCUCUAAUCAUCGAAAGCAAUCGGUAGUAAAAGAGCCGUUACUAGCCGAUAGUAUUCUAAAGCAAAACUCUCUCUCUCAUCUCCGACGAGACAACAUCUCUCUCUCUCUAUCUCUCUCUCUCUCUCUCGUCCCUCUCUCUCUAUAUAUAUAUAUAUAUAUAUAUAAUGGUCCGUGCUACUAUACUAUUAUGAGUACGAUCGCCUCUCUACUCAUAAUUGUUUUCGAUGAUAGAGCUUUGCGAAUACGACGAUCCACACCGUUAACGUUAUUUUACAGUAUUAAAACUUCUAGAAUCAAAUUUUAUAAUUUUGCGAAGCAAUCAUUUACCUUAUGAUCAAGAGGUCAACAAAUUUGCAUUUUUAAAGCGCGGUAUGGGAUAACUUCUAGUUAACGGUGUAAAAGAAUCAAAAUUUGUUGAAUUUUUGAUAGAAAUUCUAUUCACUACUAGAUAAAGUCAAUAACUUCCGAUCUUUGAAUUGAAGGAUCCGAAUCAUACUUUUUUAGAACGUCGUUCGAUUUAGACCGUUCAUUUUAAUAACCCACUUGAUGGCUUUAUUAUGAGUUCGAAAUUUACUAAAUUAUUGUUCUAGAGUUUCAAUUACUCUGAUCAAUAUUUAACAAGAGUGGAAUCGUUCAGAUGUCGGAAGCUCUAAUCAUUGAAAACAACUUAUGAGUACGAGAGCUCCAAUACUCAUAAUAGUAUAAUAGCCAUGGCUCUAUAUAUAUAUAUAUAUAUAUAUAUACUAUAUAUAGCGAGAGAAAGAGAGAGAGAAAGAGAGAGAGCAGAGAGAGCUGGGCUAUAUAUGAUGCAAAACGUCAUUUUCUAUCAAUUUAGAUCUUUGGAUCAACUCUUUUAAUAAUUUCUAAUCAUUUGAUAAAUACAACUAUAAAUCAGUGGGGGACGACUCAACCCAAGGGGACCACUCAUCUAAUGACUAAUGAUCAUCCACAUAUCCUACAAUUUCUCAUUCAAAAGUUAAAAAUUUGAUAGUAAAGAAGAGUUUUUGCUAUAUAUAUAUAUAUAUAUAUAUAUUAUAUAUAUAUAUAUCAUAGAAUUUAGGCUACUAUACUAUUUGUAGUACGGGAACUCCCGUACUAUAGUGUUGUUUUCGAUCUUUAGGUGCGUUCAAUUAACAGUCCACACGCGUUAAAUAUGAUCUAGGGUAUAUGAAGUUCUAAGAAAAAAAAUUUAGUUUUUUUGAUAACUCGUUCUACAUUAGUAAAUAAAUAUGUCAAAAUAGACGGUGGAAUAAAUACUCUUUAAAAAAUUUGAGCAUAGACAUUUUUCAAAUCAAGAUCAAGAAUGUUAACUUAAUCUAUAUAGUUUAAAAGAAUUUUCUAUCAAAAAAUUGACAAAAAUUUAGAUUAUUCUACACCGUUAUCCCAAACCUCGUCAUAAUAGCCAUUGAAAGUUGACAAAUUUGGAAAUGUUUGAUCAUAAAGUUAAACUAUGGCGAAAAAAUAUAAAUUUUAUUUCUAGAAAACUUUAAAUACCUAGAUCAGUUUCACCGGUGUGAUAUUGAUUUGAAUGCCCCAAAGAUCGAAAACAAAUACUAUAAGUACGGGAGCUCCCGACUAUAAAUAGUAUAGAGCCGACUCUAUAUAUAUAUAUAUAUAUAUAUAUAGUUGAAAUCGCAAUGCACCUCAAAUUCAUGAAUUUGGUAGUGAUGAUGACUUUCUUGUAAAAGGAUAUUUUAUUAACAUGAGCGUCAUUUCAAGAAGUCGGCAAUGAGCUCAGGAAUAUAUGUACGACUUUUGAUGGAGACCCAAAUCUAUAACCUGAUUGUUACUUAAUAGCUCAUUGAAUCUGAAUUUUAUAACCUGAAUUUGAUAAUUUGUGACAAAACAAGUUCAGAUUGGUCGUACACUGGCACCCGUAAACAAACACACCUGGAAAUAUACAGAAUCGUGUCAAUAAAAGAAAAAAAAAUCUUACAAAAUUGGUGUUUGGAUGAGUAUUCCCAAAAAUCUCAUACGCAAAUGUUUCGUUUAUUUCAUUUAAAAAUAAACGAAGCUGGAAAUGUGAAUCAACUACGAUUCAAACUUGGGAUUUCGAAUACUAACCACCAAAUUCUUUGCCACUUGUUCUAAGGACGGUCAGUCUCAUACACAAAUGUUUUAGAAAGGUUAUACACACAUAUACCAAGUCGUGUUAUUAUAUAUAAUAGUUGGGGCAGUUCUUUAUGUAUAUUCCUCUUGAAGUGCCUAUUUUUUAGAUAUACUUUUAGAAAGUUUAAGUGAUGAGAUUUAUCCCUCUAAAGUUUCAACUUCUUUCAAAUACAUUAUUGAAUUAAAUUCGGUUAGUUUAGUGUUAAAAAGAGCCAUUACCUUACUAUAAAGCUAUAUUUGCUCUUUCAAAUAUGCUUCAUAGAAAUUAAGUUUUAAGUAAUAAAAUCUAUCUUUCGCCGACCGUCCCUAUAGAGCAAGUGGCAAAGGGCUGGGUGGUUGGUACCCGAGAUCUAAGUUCGAAUCCUAGUUGAUUCACAUUUCUAGCUAAGUUUAUUUCUAAAUGAAAUAAACGAAGCGGGUAGCGUGCUACCUAUCUCUCCCAAAAAAAAUAAAUAAAAAAAAUAAAAUAAAAUCUAUCUUUCUAGUAUUCCAACUUCUUUGUAAUGUACCAUUCAUUUCACGCGGAGGUUAGACUAAAGAUAAAGUUAAAUUAGGAUACAUACAGAAUCUGGUAAUGUAAGAGUGUAUGUAUAGAGAGAGAGUUAAAGAGAGAAGAAGAGAGUUGUGCUAAAAUACUAUUAAUAGUAUGAUACUGUCUAUUUUGUGAUCAUUGGUUGUUUAAGGUUAAGUGGGUGAUUGAUAUGGUUGUAAUAAUCCAAGAGUAAAAAAGUGGAUAGGGCGCAUAGGUAGUUAUUCCUCAAUAGUUUGUGCACCAAAAAAAAAAAAAAAAAAAAAAUAAAAAAAAUAAUCAAAGAGAGGGGGAGCUAUAGGCCUUCUCUCUCUUUACACUAGUUAAAGCCCACUCCCACAAAUUGGGCCAAACUGUAGUGGGCCGGACCAAUCUAUAUGUAAGCCUGUGCAAUACGGGCCAAAUUUGUGUAUUAGGCCCACUUAUGAUCUUUAAUGGGUUUAUCCGGAGCCUAACCUUCUAAUUGAUAAGUUUUUUUUUGUUUUUUUCCCCUCCCCAAAGGUAAAAAUAUGUAAGCAAUUCCUUAAACAACAGAGCUGGAUCACAGGCUUAUAGAGUUUUGCAAAAAAAAAAUAGCACAAUUAAUGCACAGAACUUAGCAAGUAUACAAUUAUCCUCAAAACUAAAUGUAACUAAAAUAUAUAGACGGCGGUCUUCAAAUCUAUAAAUUAGAACCAGCAAAGAGCAGGAGAGGAGACAAAUUGGUCUCUCAAACAAUCAAGUUCAUUAUCGAUUAUCAAUGCUCAGAAAAGAAAAAAAAAAAAUGAAAUCCUCGAAUCGUGCUUCUGAUCAAGGUCCUUAUCUUGAUCCUCGAUCUCAGAGGGAGAAGAAAGAAGGUAAACUUUGAAGCAAAAUAUCAGAUGAUUCUUCUUCUUCUUCUUCUUCUUCUUUUUUCAAAAAGUAUUUUUUUCAUGUUCUGUGUCACAAGAAAUAGGCAGAUUUUGUUUGGAACAAAGCUUUUGUAAUGCAUUCUCAUUAGUUUGUUGGAAAAAAAUUACUUGUUUUGGCUCAACCACAUCCACCAAAUCAGAUUAGAAAAGAGAAAAGGGAGAAACAACCAAAUAUUUUGUUAGGUGAGAGCUUACAUCUUAGCCAGAUGCUACAUAUGACUUUUGAGCAAGGAAAAAGCUUAACGAGAAUAUUAUAAUCACUAAUUAAUAAUGGUCAAUGCCGAUGAAAAAGUAGAUAAAUAUUGUUGCAUAUCAUGCAAGUAAAUUCUUGGACUUACCUUUUCCCUUUAUUUAGCAAUUAACUAGCACAUUUGAGAUUGUGAUUGUAUCGUGCUACACAUUCAAUAAUAAUCUGUUAUUCAUCUCAUCUUACUCUUCAAUUAAAAAAUAAUUUAUAAAAUAUGAAAAAAAACUGUUAUAUUCUGUGUGGUGGUUCAUGGAUGAUGUGGUGGAUUAGGUCCAGCGAAACCUCCUCCAGGUAAAUUUUUAAAUGGUAACGGAUAAAACGGUUAACGACCCUUAGGCAUUUAAUAUACCCCAGUGGCAUCCUAUGCCCGUUGAUUUAUUGCUUGGGCCCACCACGAUCAGAUCGGACGGGUGUUCGUCUCCGGAGCCAUCCCACAUUCCCACUCUAUCAAAGAUGCCGAAUAUUUUUGAUACCCUGGAGAAAGGGUAUCCUAUGUACCCUGUCGGAAAGAGUAAGUAAUAACGGAUACAUUGAAUCUAGUUAAAUUUUCUGAAACUAGAGUUUUUGCAAAAUUGUAAUAAAUGUUUAAUAUAUUUAUUCUAUCAAUAAUAAUAAUAGUAUUAUAGCAAUAAUAUUAUUGUUUGAAAUAAAAGAGUUUGAACUUUUUGAUCAGUUCUACAUAAGGCCAAAAUGAACUUAUGAUUAUAACUUAGAAGCUCAAAUUUAAAGUUUGCAAAUUGUAACCUUUUCAUUGCUUUUAAGUGUUAUGAAUGCUUAAUAUUCCAUCUUGACGAGCAAGAUUGGUUUAUAAAAUGAUCCGAUCACCACGGCACGUAAUAUGAUCGAUCAUCCUGUAAAACUUUACCAUUUUGGAGUGUUAAAUAGAAAACUUAAAAAACAUAUUUCAUGUUGGCUUAGGAAAGACCAGCAAAAUCUUGUUUCGUGGCAGAGAGCGGAUUGCACCGAAUCACAAGCGAAACCUGCGGACGUUGUUUGCUUAUUUACUUUAAGUGAUAACUAAUUGUCCCCUCUUUCAAUAGGUUGAGUUUUGAAAUUGUGGUGACAGAAGAAUUAAUUUUUUAAUUUUAAACAGAAAAUACUUCAGCUAUCCUAAUAGAAUAUUAUCUUUAUAGAAUAUUAGUGUAUUAAUUAAUAUAUUAGCUCAAAAUGUUGGGGCAAUGGCUUUGCAUGUACCAGCUAGAUGGGCCCAAAUUAAUGAGAAGUUCUACACUAUCACGCUUGCACCUCGUCAUCCGUAACAAGCCAAUCACAUUUCUUCUUUUCAAAUAAACGUACAAUAAAAAUAUUCUUUUACAAUCAUAAUAGGACAUAUAUCUUUAAAAGGAUUUAUUUGAUUGGUUUGUGAUGCCAUGUCACUAAUACACCCGGUGUAUUCUAGAAUUUUUCCAAAUUAAUGGAGGUACAACCAACUAGUUAAACGUCAAUCUAUUAUGUCGCAAAAAUAAGUAAAAAAAAAAAAAAAAAAAAAAAAAAAAAAAAAAAAUUACAGAAAACUCACAUGACCCUUGCAUUAAAANGUCGCAAAAAUAAGUAAAAAAAAAAAAAAAAAAGGAAAAAAGAAAGGAAAUUAAAAAAGAAAAGGAGAAAGAGACACAGGAGAUAAGGGUCAUAAGGUAGCUUCUAAAGGGUCCCAUUCCAGGAAAAGUAAAAAGGUUAAGAAAAUCAUCCUGGAAUUUAACAAAGCAAACAGUAGAGAGAGACAGAGAUAGGACCCAAUAGUAGAUAAGAAGAUUAAAAGAGUAAACAAAUAAAAAAAAAGGAAAAAGAAAAAGAAUUAAAAGAAUACAAAUAUAAGAAGAGCAAGAGACCAACCUAAACAACCCUUCUCUAACCCCUCUCUACCUUCUCUACUAAGCCUCUCCAUCUCUCUCACCUCUUCAUAAACACAAACAAAACACAUACCAUCCCCAUUACACUCCCACAAACCAUGUCGGCCUCUCCUGAGCUCGCUCUCCCGCCUAUCGCGACCGCCCGAUCGCAUCCGGUUCAAGACCAGGGAAGGAACGACGCUUCACCGCCGACGGUCGACGGCGACGACAGCGGGGAGUGCCGCACGCCGACUGCAGAAGCGAGUAAGCUCCCCGUGGCCGCGCGAAUUUGCCCGCCGGCCCCGCGGAAGCCCCGGAGGGUGGUGCUGUGCAAGAGAAGGCUUUCGGUGGAUUUUGAGCUCAUCAGUGUUGAAAUGGAGGAGUUGGAGAAUUUGUUUCGGGUAAACUUCGCUGGGAAUUCGAUUAACGAAAGAGAUGUGAAGCGGAGGAAGAUAUGCAUGUCAUCCACUUGAAGAUUAAAAAAGGUCAAACUUUUAUUAUGGUGAUUUAUAAGAUAUGAUAGGUUCACGAACGUGUGUAAGAUAGGGGUUUUUUUCUUUCUUUCUUUUUUUUUUUUUUGGUAUUUUUGUUCUCAUGUGGUAUAGAUAUUUGUAACAUUUAAUUACUGAAGCAGUUGAUAAUGGAAGUUGCAUGUUAAUUAACUUAGUGCGUGGGAUUUAGCAAUGGAGAGGUGAGGAUAUAUAUAUGAUUGUGUUUAAUUUGUUUUCUCCUUUGUGAUGUGUGUUAUAGCAUGAUCAUCACACAUGUUUUUUGUGUGGCCAUCAUGAAGCUGCUAUAAACCCCUAUAUAACUAUGUAUUGUGGUGCUUAAAAUGCAAGCUCACCGCGCUUCCAAAAAUUAUGCUCGAAAUUUUUAAAACAUUUUCAGAAAAAUGUGCUAAUUAAAUUGCUUGCGUGAAUUAUUGCCCUUCCACUUGCUUGUUGCACUUUAAACCUGUUAAUUAAUUUGGUCUUGUUAUAAGGUAUAUUGUUGUUUCAUAAUUAAGCUAAUAUAUAUUCAAGUAAGAGAACCACUCUUUUAACAGCAUAUAUUCUCAUUCCAUUCGCAUCUUGUCCAAGCAAAAUCAAAAGUUUCAAGUUGGAGCUUUUGUUUCUAAGGGGCCAGCUUAAUUAGAAUUAUAAUUCUCUUUUCUUGUCACAGUAUUAAGCUUAGAACUGUAUAUUUAUUGAAUACUCUAUAAAAUUUGUUAUUGCUAAUUAAGAACAAAAGAAAAAGCAGUAUAAGAGAGAAGAGAGAGAUGUAGAGAGAGGAUGAUGCAUGGUAGGUGAUGGGGAGGUGGGUGGGUUUUGGCGUUAUGCGGAUGGUCUCAUAUUGGGUGGAUCGAGUACGUUUCGAUCGCAUUGAACGAACGAAUGGAGAGGAGUAACGUGCACGACUCUCUUCUAUCUUAAUUUAACUUUCAAUAAUUAGAAACAUUACGCACGUCCGAUCUUUGACGAAGCUUUUAUCAACUUUUACAUGUUACUUUGUCCCCAUCCAUGCAUUACUUACUCCAUUAACACUCUAUUUAUAUGUCUCCUCUCGUAUUAAUAUUCAAUAUAUCAUCUUGGACGGCGCCUAGCUAUAAACAUAUAUUAUUUUGUGCAUUAAAUAACGUCCUUUUAAUUAUUUGGUACGUGAUUCAUUUAAUAUAAUACUAAAGAAGGUUUUACUUUUGUUGUUUUUUACCGCAGCGUGAACGUAGAUGAGGUGGGGACUAAACUUAGUUGAUGCUAUAUGUACAAACUGUUAUACAUACAUUAAUUUUAUGUGACUUUUUUAUCAAAAUUUUCCAAUAUUAAUAUUUUGUGUAGUAUAUUUUUUUCAUAUAAUAACAGCUAUAAUAAUAAAAGAUUAAUACGUAUUUAAUAACUUUCAUUAAAUAUAUUGCAUGGUCAUACUUAUAUGGGUCUUGAUAUAAGCGAGUCCAGAACUCUCUUGUGCGGUUGAAACUUUGGCUUGAAAAAUAGGAAAUAGUUUUUUUACAGUCGCAACGAAAACACAACAGCAUGAAUGUAGAUCAAAUCUUUCUUUUGUUGAAGAGUAUUCGUAAUCCUCAAGCCCUUUGUUAUAUUAAUAAUUUUUUUUAUCAUGAUGAGUGACUAAAUCUAUCUAAGUGCUCAAAUAAAAUUAUAAAACUUUACGAUCGUCCCCGGCUAAUGUAAGUUGUUAAUUAAAGAAUACGAUGAUUAAUAUAUGAUGUGAUUAUGAGCAUAGCGAAAUUUUUCUUUACGCAUCUAUGAUCUAAUUUUUAAUUUAUUUAAUUAGAGAUGCGGUAAAAUUAGUACACGAUAUUGCCAUCGUAACAGUAUAUAAUGUUCUGAGUUCAAAAUUAAUUUGUUUGAUAUUUUUCACUAUUUUUUUUUUUAAAAAAAUAAUGAAGCAAGAUACCAUGCUCUUUUUCUCACAAAAAAAUAACAGUAGGAAACUUCAAUAAAACCCCAAAAAAGGAAUUUAUCAAAUUUUUUUAAAAAAAUAAAUACGAAAAUACAUUUUUACAUAAAAAAAACCGGGCAAAUGCAGUUCCCUAGGGAGAAUGGAACACAGUAACGGCCGUACGAUGCGAGACCUCGUCGGACACGUGGACGUCGAUCAUGAGAUAACCCGAGGGGAUCGUGACAUGGUGUGGGGCCCACGCUUGUGCUGCGUAUUCGCGCGUUUGUAAACGGGAAGCGACAGCGACACGUGUGCCGAGUCCACAUUCCCCAAGAGCGCAUGGCCCACCAUACGUGCCAGAGGAAUCCGAGGAGCGAAACGAAUCGCGCGGUGAUUUAAAUAAUUACCCAAAAAAAAAUAAAAAAAAAAUAAUAAUUAUUGUAGGCUUAUAUAUAAAUUAUAAUCCAUGUAGACACUUCUUCUUUUUUCUUUUUUUUUCCGACGCAAAAUUCAAACCCAGUUUUUAUAACAAUAGAUUUGAGACGAUCUUUUCAUGACGUUUUAUUUUUUAAAAUUAACUAACAAUCACUUUUGACGGUCUCUAAAACAAGUGGAAAAAUAUCUAUGAUUUCAAAUUUGAAAUCAAAUUACUUUAUAUUUUUAGUUAAAUUUAUUUGUUUAAAAAAUAAUAAUUGAGACUGCAUUAAUUUUUCACUUGUCAAAUUACGCUCGCAUUUCAAAAAUAUAUAUAAGCUAAAUAAAUGAAGUUUUUUUGUUUUUUUUUUUUUUCUUUUACUUUUAUCAUAAUUAACGGAAAUUGAGAUGAACUUUUCUACGUGACCACAUGAUUAAAGCCACCUUAAAUAGCCAGAACAAGACCACAAGCAUCUUAGACCAGAACUUAGCUGUAGUAAAUGAGGUGGGGAAGGAAUAAAGCUAUAUAUCCAGGUGAACUUUGAACCCAAUUCUCUGAGGAGAGGAAUAUAAACCCAUUUAUAAAGAGUGAACACAAUAAGGACUUAAUAAAGUGGUCUUGGGUGUAAAUAGGAAAACGUUGCAAGGGCUCAGUUGCAAUAUGUAUGGCUUUUUCCUUAUAGAAGCCAAAGUGGAGGCUCUCGAGUCUCGACCUGUCAAGGAUAUAUCCCAUACAUGGACACUGCAAAAGAGGAAAAGGGAAUAGGAUAGAAGGUUGAAAAGUAGUGCUAUCUAUUUGCAGUACUAGAGAGAGAUGGGUAGGGGUGUAAUGUGGGCCGGAUCGUGCCGGCACGGCUCACAUUUUUCGUGCUGAUCCCGGCUAGGGGCCGGCCAGGCUCUGCCCGAUUUCAAAUUCGGGCCAGCCGUGCCGGGCUGGAGCUACCAACUCUCUGGCCCAGCACGGCCCUUCGGCCCGGAAGGCCCGGGCCGUGCCGGUCCGGGCUGUGCUCCGGGCCGGCCACUAAAGGAUUUUAUCCUUUAUUAUUUUUUUUAAAAUAUAUAAAAUUAAAAAAUAAACAAAUAAUUUUUUCUAUUUAAAAAUUUAAAAUUUAUAUAAUAAUUAUAAUAUAACAAAUAUUUAAAUUUUUAAAAAUAUAUAUAAUUUUUUAUAUUUUUUUGAAAAAAAAAAUUGGAGAGUGUAUUUGGUCCAAUGGACCAAAAUUAUUUGGUCCAUUGGACCAAAAACCUCCUUCUAGCAUACCUUGGGAGGAGAUCUCCUCGGAUGAAGGGCCAAGGCCCUUCUCCUCAGGAGAUCCAACCGCAAGGCUAGCCUUGGGCCUUUGGGUUCAGGCCGUGCUGGCUCAACUGGCAUAGCCCACUUGGGCCGUGCCGUGCCGAGCCACGGGUCUCCCUUCGUUCCGGCACUGCUCAGAACCGUAUCGGGCUGUGGCAGGACGAACCGUCGGGCCCAAGAAGAUUGGUUCAGCAUGGCCCAUAUAGCUGGACCGGCCUGGCCCGGCACGAUGCUACUAUAGCUGUGCCAGGCCAUGGCCCGACCGGCAGUCGUGCCAUUUUACACCCGUAGAGAUGGAUCACGUAAAAAUAAGAGAAAUACUUAGUCUAUAAUAAAAAAAGAUUAUAAUCUCUACAACCCCUCAUUCAAAAGUUGUUGAUUUUACUAACCCUUUUUAAAUUUUUACCAAAACUUAAAAAUAAAAAAAAAAGUGAUAAGAGAAGUAGAGAGAAAGUGGCUUUAGGACCAGAAGAGUCGUACCAGAGGAGUCGUAUGAUUAUAAUUCACAGUGAAUUCUGGACCUUGCACUCAUUUAGAAAUAACAGUUUGAUAAAUGGAGCGAGGACUUGAACAUAACGUGGAGGGUGUUUUUAUCGAAUAGUUUUUGAGUUGGUUUGAGCCCUUUAGCAUAGGUAUUAGAGCCUAAAAACUUAGUGUGUUUUGGGCCAAGGCCCAUAUAAAUUACUCAUAGGGUGGAUUUGGGCUCAUGUUUCAUCGGCCCAGCAAACCUAAUGGGCCUAGCCCAGUAGCUUUGUAUUCCUUGCCCAAAUCCUCUGUGUUCGAGUGAUCCAGUUGUUGCUUGUUUGUGCGCUUGAUUUGUUUUUUGUUUUUUUGUUUUUUUUCCUUUCCUUUUUCUCUGUUUACAUACUAGUCUUACUUUAGUUUUGAGAUAAACUAGCUGGUACAAAAAUAUUACCACCCAAUAAAGCUGAGUUGAGUUAGUGUGCUCGAUCGUACGUAUUUAGCAUUUAGAACUUUACUACUACUUGUGUUACAUUAUGAUUAGCUUUAAAUUUAUUGUAUUAUAUUGGUUAUAAUUUCACCGCCAUGGUUGCUAGUAAUUAAGAGCUAAGAGUUCCAGAAAAAAAACUGUUCAAACUGGACCAACUUAUCCGGUAAAAUGGAAAAAGAGAAUGAAGAAGCUACUUUGUUGUGUUAGUCAUGAUAUAUGUAACACCCCCAUCAGGAUUCAGGAACACGCACAGCGUGAAUACAUGCAUGACGUACACGAAACAAUUUGUCUUGGUUCUAAACUUAACUUGAGAGAUCAAACUGCUGUUACGAUACAACCAUUGAUAUCGAUCAGUGCUGCAGGUAAUUCAAAAGAACUCGUAAGAGUAGAUGCUUACCAAUUUUAAGAGUGUUUCCCAGCAACUCCAGUAAAAUAUAUAGUUCUACCCCCUUUACUCAAUUAAACAAGGGAGAUUAUUUCCAGUUAGGUAUCUCAAGAGUUUUGAUUACCAAUAUUUAUUGUGUCAACUAUAGAUGAAACACUUCAUCAGGAAGGCGAUUUAUUCACUUUUGAGUUUCAAGUGUUGCCGUUCGGCCUCACAAAUACAUCGGCCACAUUUUGCACAGUUCAUAAACAAGCUCUCACGUUCAUACGACGAUCAAUUUGUUGUAGUAUGAGUUGAAGAUUGUACAAAAUACAAAUACGCAGUUACAUAUAAACGCACUUUUUUUUUUUUCUUCGAGGUGACUAAAUUUUGUGUUUUGAGUUCGUACUAAUUAAUUGGCUGGCUCUGUAUUAUUAAACUUUAUAAAAAUUAAGAUUGUACCUUUUGUUAUAAUUUCGAUUUCUAAACCUGAAUUGUAGAUGGCGAUUAAUUCUUACUUGUGGUUCGUUCUCGUUCAUGAUCUGCCAAAAAAGAAACAUUUCGAGUCUAAUUCUCUUAUCCCCGGAAAUGAAACCGUCAUAGGAAUUAAGAUUAGAGUUAGAUCGGGACUCCCAUAUGUUACAUAUUUAUAUAUAAUUUGAUGUAAGAAUGUUAAAUCACGUACGUUCAUCAAGAACGUGUGGCCAGAUACAUCAUAAUCAUUAGAUCUACCGUAUUUUUAUAGAUCGACUUGAAUAGACCGACUGCAUCUUUAUAAAUCGUCUUAAAUAAAUCACAUAAACCAUAUCCAACAUAUAUAACUUGUUUUGCAAAUAAUUGCCAUUUCAAACUUCUCUGAGCUGUUACCUGACAAAAUUUGAUUGCAUUUAUCAAUUUUCAAAAUAAAAACUGGAAGAGGGCGGGUACAUGUAAUUUUAUCCAGUUGCAUGAGAGUAACGUGCAAGAGCACAGAGCCUUAUCCUUCGUACAACAAAGAAUUAUAUGCAGAAGACGCAGUGAAAGAUUACAAAAUCGCGUUUACUAUUCAAUACAUGCAACAAUUAAUUGCUCUGAUACGCACGUGCGGGAGAAAUUAGUACCUGCACAUGGUGUACGUAUAUCUACAUGUUUAAUAAAUAAUUAAUCCAAAAUUAAAAUAUGAUUAAAUUAAUGGAUAUUGUAAGAAACAUCUGGAGAUGUCAUGUAUAUAGGAAGAAAUUAAAUACUUCCUAAUUAAGAUUAACAAUGUAGAAAUAAAAUAUUAUUCACUCAUUUAUAAAUUUAAUAAUUACAGGUAUAUAAUCGACCGCCCUAACACAAGUUGCGAAGGACUUGAUGAUUAGUUAGUAUCCGAGAUUUCAAAUUUAAAAUCUAAUUGCUUCAUAUUUUCAGCUGGGUUUAUUUCUUAAAAAAAUAAAUAAAGUAGGAUGCAUGUUAUAAUUUUCCAAAAAAAGUAAUAAUUAUAAGAAUAUGUAUUAUAAAAUUAAUGCAUUUAUCCAAUUUAUAUUUUUUCAUUCAACAAUCUACCCUUCAAGUGUUUAGGAUUCUAUCGGUGAGGUGCAUGGUGCACCGGGUUCAUACAGCAACUUCUGCUUCGUGUUGUUGGCGUGACGUCAGCAAUAGCUGCAUCACCGUGGCAUGACGUGCGUGGGACACAGCUUAAUUAACAGCUAACAAUAACAUAAGCGACUCGAAUAAAUUUAACAAAAAUGCCAUGCCCUUCAAAUUCAAUAGAUAUAGAGAGUUAGAAAAAUUUUCUUUUAUUGGUUACGGAAAUUUCUCAAAAAUUUUAGUUAAAAGUAUGAAAUAAGUAUCAUUCGCAUUUAAGAUCUCGAAUAUUUAUUAUCAAGUCUUUAGCAAAAAGUGCUAAAUACAAUUAGUACAAAUAAUAUAAUUUUAUGUGCAUUUGCUUGUGUGAGCAUAGCAAAACUCUUAAUUUAAUACCUUGUUAAUUAGGAAUCAUAGAAUGCUUUUUCCAGUUCACGUGCAUUCCCCCCNACUAAUUGAGUUAUUGUAUAAUUAAACACCUUGAUCUCAAACCUUAAACCUAUAUAUAUGUACCAGCAGAUCUGAAUAUAAAUAAUUAUAUGUAUAUAAUCUGUUGAAUUUGAUGAUAUCAAAUUUACCUGUUAGUUUAUUUGGUUCGUUUUGAGUUUAAUUCAAUAACUCAAUUAGUAGACUAGUUGGUAGUUGGUUUGGACCGUAGUUAAGCUUUAGUUAACCCAUCAGCAUAUUGGACCAGAUGGAUUAUUAUGAAAGGAAUUCUCAAUUGGUAUAGUAUAUAGAAGUUCUCAUUUUGCUCUCAAAGAUUUUCUUUUCUUGUUAUAGAAAAGAGGGGUGUAUAAGAGAGAGUUGGCGAAGAAGCUUUCUUGUUUUUAUUGUUUGUUCAAAGUUUUCAAAGUUGAUUGGUGAGUAUUCGAAGAGACAUUUCAAAGUGAGAUUUGCAGAAUAUAUAGGAAGAUGCUUCAAAAAAAAGUAUAGCAAGAAAAGUUUUUCUAUUUGGUUGGUUCUAUGUCCAUUGUAAUAGAAUAGUACUUUUUAAUCAAAUCUUAUAAUCUGCUCAGUUUCAUAAUGGAUUUGAUCUUCCCGUAACCCAUGAAUGCAAUUCAGUUUCCGAUAACCACUUAAGUUUUCUUGUAUUGUUGUAGUUUUCAUUUACUCUAAUUUUUACAUUUUUUGAUUGUUGAUGAUUUAGAUCCAUCACAUUUGUUUAUUAUAUGGUUAAUUAGUAUUUUAACAGCGCGGGUUACAUCAUUAUCGCACUACAUAAUUGAUUGGUUGAUGUACAACUUUAUAAUAGUUUAUUUAAAAAUAUAUAUAUCAUUAUUUUCGAGAACUUAUUAUAUAUUAUAUAAGCAUCAAAUUGCCACAAAACUUCACGGCAUUAAAAAAUUCUAUUGUUCAUUAUAGAAGAAAACGAAUGUCCAAAUCUAUGUAUAUAUCCAGAACUAGGCUAGAAUACUAUUAAUAGUACUAAGUUAUAGGUACUAUUAGGUUUUCAGUUUUUGGAUGAAGAGAUGUGCGGUUAGGAUGAUAAUGAUCUUCUAGAAUUGAAUGAAUGGUUGAUUGAAUAGUAUAAUCUAAUGUAUGAAUAUUGUCAAAAAAAUAAAUCUAAUUAACGGUGAAAAACUCGAUAGCACCAACUAUUUGGUGUUAUUAAUAGCAUUAUAGCCAGACUCUAUAUAUCUAUAUUAAUUCUCCAAACCUUCUAAGUACAGUGUGUCAUACACUGUUGACAUCUUGGGUAUCCUCUCCAUUUGAUUUUUUGGGGAUGGUCCAUUCUAUAUAUAUACGAUUUCUCCUCCCUAGCUUUCCCUAGAGUGGUCCAUGAAUGGGAAUUGGGAAGGACCUUGUACAACUAAUCCAUUCCAUAAGCCAAAAUAGAGGGGCCCCAAAACAAAGCAACUAAUCCAUCUCCCUCUAAACGCCAUCACUGUCCCGCAAGGUUGGCUAGCUAGGACCCUUACCUCAAUCAACCAACAAAUUAUAAUUAUUGCUCGCACUCGGCACAUCUACACAUUCGUACGUAGACGUUCAAUCUCUUAUUUGCGAUUGCAGAUAAAUUAUGUUACGCGUAGUAAUUUUUAUGCUCGACAGCAUCAAACAGCUGCCAAUAUCAAAUGGACCAUAGACGAACGCACGCAUUAGGUGUAGGCAAUAACAUUGUCUAAAUUACAAUCCAUGUGGUUGGUUUGGGUUGCAUUUGUCCUUACUCCCACUUGUCAACACAAAUUAAGCGUCUAUAGUCACAAAUCCCACAUCUUUAAUAUACUCCCCCAACUAUUCCCUGCUCCACAGUAUAAAAUAAACUAACCGACCAUCCAACUAUUUGAACGUAAAAUAGAAGAAUAUUUAACUAAAACAAUAAAUAAAUAAAUAAAUAAAUGGAAUAGAAAUGAAUACAAUAAUGGAAUACAUAUAUAUAUAUAUAUAUAUAUAUAUAUGUAUGUAUAUGUACUACGGCUGUGACUGGUUACCAACAAUUAAUUAAUGUCAUCAAAUGGAAUGAAAUAAAAGCGCUUUUAAAUAACUCCACCUACGUAUUUGUGGGGAGAGAUUUUUGUGUAUUUUAUUAUCAACUAAUUAUUGAAUAAAUACAAUAAUUUGUCCUAUUAUUAUUAUUAUUAUUAUUAUUAUUAUUGUUGUUGUUGUUGUUGUUGUUGCUGUUGUAGUUGUUGGUAGUGGUUGUGGGUCUCAAGAAGCGAAGAAUGGGGCGCGGUGGGGGACGCCCUUGCGACGCCGCGAAUUCGGCAGCGACCGCGUUGCUCGGGCCGUGUCGGCGCCGACUCUGGUCUCCUCGCGCUGCGGUAUCCGCUCCCCGCUUCCCCCGGUAACCUUACCCCCCUCCGCUUUGUUAUCGUCCCCGUCUCCUCCUCCGCUCCCGCUCCCGCUCGCGCUCGCCUCGGUCGGUGUGAAGCUUGCGUCGCCGUUCCUCUUUAUCCGCACCAACUGCAACGAGAGCGCAAAUGAAAAGAAUAUUUAAUUGGUUCCGCGAAAGUGAUUUAAUACCGGAAUUCAUAUCUAUUUUUUUUUUUUUUAUUUAAUUAUUACAGUCGAAUAUAAUUUUUUUUUUUUUUUGCGUUUUUUUUUGGGGGGGGUGCUGUGAUGAAGUUGUUACAAAUGCAUGCAUGAUCGAUAUAUAUUUUUGAAUACAAUGUAGGUAGUAGCUAGGUAGGUAGGUAAAUUAAUUGAUUGAUGUAAAUAUUUUUUGAGCGAUCGAGAAAGAAGGAAAUUAAGUAAGGGAUUAAUUGGACCUUGCAGCCGAGGGAGCAGAAGCGGAAGGGGUCGAGGAGGGCGCGGGCGCAGAUCUCGCAGUAGUGCGUGGACGACGCGGCCUUCCCGGCUGCGGCGGCCCCUCCGCCGCGCGGCUGCGGGCGCUCGUUGAGGAAGAGCACCCGCGCGCUGUUGAUGACGUACGUCUGCACCCCGCCGAUGUCCAGCGCCUUCUCCACCUCCGCCACCCGCACCACGUCGUGGUACGACGACCGCCGUAUCUACACCACACCACACCCGCACACUAUACUUCUUCCUCAGUCAUUAACUAGCUACUAUAUAUUAAUUAUUUGCAGCAUCAUCAAUCAUCAUCAUCAUCAUCAUCAUCGUUGUUGUUGUACAAUGUUAUUAGUUCUCUUUAUAUAUAUAUUAAAAUAAACAAACAAACAAACAAACAAACAAUUAUAUAUAUGUAAUGAAAUUUUGACCUGGAUGACGCGGUGGCCGGGGUGGAUGUCGGAGCGGCAGUAGAAGCAGAAUGCGGGGGGCGAGGGGCGGCAGUCCAGGCAGAACAUGUUGCACUCGCUGCGCGCCGCGUCGGCGUGGUCUGGGCACGCCGAGAAGAACUGCGUCGCCAGAAGCGGCUCCAGCCACGGCGGCACCAGCGUCGCCGCCGCCGCCGCCGCCGUAGAUUCCGCCGCCGCCGCCGCCGCCGCUCUUCUCAUUGUCAUCAAUUACGCCAAUUGAUCUCCGCUCCGACGGGCCGGAGCAAUGCCGAGGCAAUGCCGGACGAAAUUCGCAAGGUUAAUCACGAGCGCCCGCUCGAACAGCAGCACAGAGGCAACGAAAAGAAGCAACAACGCAGCGGCAAGAACAACAACAACAACAACAACAACAAAAAGCCUCAGACAAAGAGGAGGAGCGGAGAUAAUAAUAAUUAAUAAUAAUAAUAAUAAUAAUAAUAAUAAAAAAUAAUAAUAAAAGUAAAAAUAAUAGAAUGGGAGGAGAAGGAAAAAGGGGCGGAUGGGAUGGAUUCUGGGCCGUUGGAUGUGUAGACGGGGCCGGGUGCGGGGGGGUUUGGCGUACGCUACUUGGGAGGUGGUGUUCUUUGCGUCGCUUCGUAGGCGCUGCUACCGUCCGCAACAACGCUACGUAAUGCCAACCUGUCAAAGAUCCGCGGCUCCCUCGCAAACACGAAACAUCCGUAGAAUGCCACACGCGUGUGUACACGUCGCCCACACCGUGAGUUUUGAUUGGUCGGGAACCGUGCGACGGUGUUCGCACGCACGCACGCACGCGUUGCGUUGCGUUGCGUUGCGCGGGGGGUGGAAAAAGUGGGGAGUAGGGAAGCGUUUGGAGAAGGGGAGAGGCUAAAAAGUCACACGUGGAGAGUGGUGGGCGCAUGUGGCGUGUGACGUGGGAUUGCCAAGUGUCGCACGGAUCUUGGGAGUUUGCGGACUCCACCUUAUGCACCGCGUACUCCUUAGCGUACCCCAAACUCCUCCCUAUACGAAAAACAAAAAAGAACAGGGAAAAAUCCUAACCCUUUUAAAAGAACAAAAAUCUAUUAGAUACCACCCCCUUGGGCAUAUUUAUUUAAUUUGGUCUCUCCCAGAGACAAAAAAAUCAUUGUUUACAAUCAGUGCGUUUGUGUAGUCCUCCUCUACUAUUCUUUUCAUUGGUCCUUAACUUGACUAAAACAAGAUAUAAAACUGAUGGGAAGCGUACAUGUUCCGAAAUGUACAAAUUCAACAAGUGCAUGCAUUAAUUUCCUCGCACAAAAUAUUCAAACUAAUACGUUUGUUAAUUCACUCCCGAUUGCAUACUUUAACAAACGCUAGCUACUUAGAAUAUAUAGUCGUAUUUAUCCAAAUAGUUUUCAUAACGGUGAUUUAAAUUCCCACAUUUGUGUUUCAAAAUUAAUAGAAAUAGUAUCUAUCUAUCUCACUGUGUUAGCUACUCUACAUAUGUAUAAGCCCAAAAAAUAAAAAACAAAAAUACAAUUGCAUUAAGAUACACAUAUUUAUAUUUGUUUCGUUGAAUUUUUGGUGUUGUCGGUGAGCUCGGUCAACGUCAAUGUAGUUUUGUAUGAAGGUGGCUUGUCAAGUGCAAGGGCCAUUUAUGAUAAGCUGUUCACCCCAAUUGGAUUUGGAUACAUUCAUCCACCCAUUUAUUAAUUUCCCCAACCCAGGCCACAAUCAAUAAUAAUUAAUAAUUAAUAAUUAAUUCGUGGGAUUGAAUUAUUGUCAUUAUUUAGUUUUCCUAGCAUUGCAUUGCAUUUGUUGGAUUACCUAAACGUCCCCACUUAUUUAUUGAUGUCCCUUUUGUUACAAAAGAUUUUGUCAUUGUGUAGGUUCCAUGCAGGGACAUAUAGCUGUGACUUAGAUAGGGGUUACGAUCUCAUACAGGGUGUCAAAUGCAACAAAUAAAUUUAGGUUCGUAUAUGGGAUUAUACAUAUUUAGUUUUCGUGCAACGAUGCAAGGUAUUAACCAUCCCGGAUUAUUGUUGGAGGAAUAUAAUGAAAUCAAGCGGUCGGGAGUUGAAACCCUGAGUGCGUUUGCACCUAAUAUUUGCCACAUGUGGACCAUUCUAUGUAUAGAUGGCCUAUAGCACUGUAGAUGCACCGUUGACGUGGAUCGGUCCAAUUGAACAAAGAUUAUAAUGCUAAGCCUGAUCGAUUUGGGAACAACUGGUCCCUAUGUGUUCUAGGCCAGCUAGGCUAAAAUUACCAACCUAUACCAAUUCCCUUUUGGAGUCAAAAAUAAUUUGGAAAGUUAUAUCAAUAUUUUCUACACUUGUGCAUGCAUCACAUUAAUGUAUGUAUAUGGCACCAAAUUAAAUGACAUUUGAUAUGCACAAUAUUAAUAGCUAGUGCACACUCAUGGCCAUCAAUGCACUAAAUAAAGUGCCUUUUUCUUUUGCUCUAUGAGAGCAUAUCUUAGCUUAACCAAAUUAAUAAUAGAAAAAGUAAAAAUUUCCUUUUUGUUUAAUGAUAACAUUUUCUAAUGUUAUUAGCUAUAAGGGCCAAAAAAUUUCAUCAGUCCAUCAAAAGGGUGCCAUUUUUACUGAUUGGUUGGUUAGGAUGUCCCCUUCAUGAAUACACAAGAUUCUACUUUUUAGUCACUUAACACCUCUAAAAUAGGAAAGCUUCCACUCACUUUUUUCGCCUGCUUCUUCACCUUUUGUGUGUUAGGAUGUUACUAUCAUCAGGGAAGUGCCAAAAGUAUCAAAAGGAGUUGGGCCAUAUUCAUUUCUCAACCAACUAAUCAUUCUCCACUUUCAUAUUCAAAAAGAAGUGAUAAUGUGUUAGGGCUCCACCCUUCAUUGUUGGACAUCAUCUUCAGCAUUUUGACCUUUCUGUUUCGAACUUGAGUACCUAUAGUUUGAGUUGAGCAACUUGAGAUUGAUUUGUCACAUUCUCACAAUGAAUAAACAAUGCUUUAGCGCAGGACGUGACUGGUAUACAUCCUCGUUAGUUUUUAGGUCACACGCGUAUCCCUCAUCUGAUUACGCUCAAUUCUCAAACUAUUAAGUGAACAUAUACAUCUGAUUAGCUAACUCAUUUACGACAAAUGUUACUUUUAUAUAUAUAUAUUUCUAACAAAACAAAUAAUGGAUAGUCUUGCUAUAUAUUAAGAUAAAUCUAAAGAUACCAAUAUUUUAUGUAUCCAUAAAGAUUCUUCAAAAAUAUUGUUAAUGGUUUUUUUUUCUUUUUUAUGUAUUCUCAGUUUCUCAUGUGUGUUGCAAGCCACAUAUUGCCCCAACCAAAUCACUUUGUCACCCACAAAAUUGAAGCCACUUUCGCAUUUACCCUCUCAAUAAAUGAUAGGCACUGAGAAUACUUUUUGCUGGAACAUUUAAUUCUUUUUAUUCCCUAGAGAUUUUUUUUAGAUCUACUCAAGUUCACAAUUCCCAAGCAAAACGUACUCCUUCGCUGUUCAAGCAGCUUUUCUCAGAGAAAUACUCGACCCAUAAUGGCUAGCCUAGUGAUAUAGUAAUAAAUUAAAUUAAUAUUAAAUAAAUUAUUUAUUUGGUACAGAUAUAAUAUUUGGUAUUCUUUAGUAUUGACAAUUAAAUUAUAUAAAUGAUAUUAACAGUAUUAUUUUUAUUGAAACUAUAUUGACAACUAAAUUUAUUGAUUUAUAAAAUUGGGCUAAAAAAUCAGGUAUUGUACGGUUUGCUGAUUGAUCCAGUACACUAAUGCAGGUUUAACGUUGCGAAUUAAUUGGACUUUAUUAGCAAAAUUGUAUGCUUAGUUAAGCUUAACUUGUUGUCCAUGUUCAAUGAAUAUAUUAUCAGGAUAUUACUUUAUUCUCAUACAACAAAUAUAUAUUGAUCAUAUUCAAAACUAUAUUUUUAUGACUUUUAUAUGAUAAAGUAAUGGAAAUAAUCACCAAAAUUAAUGAAAACUUUUUAUUUUUAUUCUGUGGCAAUUUUGGUUUUUACGAAAUUCUUAAAAUCUAAUUUUUAAAUUUUAGGAUGGCUUUAAAUUUUUUGUUUGAGAUUUGGUUGGUGGCUUUUCAGAUUUUCUUUAUUAGGAAUUUGAUUGGAAAUAAAUCCGAAAACUUGUUACUUCCUUCAGUGCUAUCUAUUUUUAAAUUUCCCCCCUUUUUUUUUUGUUUGUUUGUUUUGGAAUACCAAUGUAUAAUGUACUUGCCCAUAAUUGUGAGUUGAUACACACAAAGAGGCUUAAUUUGUUUUUUUUUCUAAAUUUCUGUUUUAUAUCUUAUAUCUUUAUAUAACACAUACACAUCAUUGUGAUCAUCAUCAUCAGUUAUGUGUAAAACAAACAGCCCACUUUGGUUUUUUCCUUUUUUUUUCUUUUUUAAAUUAUUAUUAUAGUAUAAGGAACAAAGUACUCUGUUUUCUCCCCCUGUUCUCUUUCUCUGUAGACAAAGAAAAAAAGAGGUAAAACUCAAGGCUCAUUCACCAACCCCUCCUUUUCAUUAAUUUUCUCACUGGGUACUUUUGCUGAGUCAUAUUUUCAAUUGGGUACCCAUCCUUUUCAGUAUUUGCAAUGGUAAAAAUCCCACCUUUUCUCCUCCCCCUCCUCCCUCUCUGUCUCCUCCUCUGCUUCUCUCUGCUCCACCGCGCCGAUGCCUCUGGAACUGUUGAUGGAUCCGAGCACUGGGGAUACGUUCAAGUUCGACCAAGUAAAGUUAAACUCUCCAUUUUUCUUUUCUUUUUUCUUUUUUUUUUCUUUUGCUUUAUCACCAUUGUAAUUGAUCGAGCAAAAAGGUUUUUAACUCAUCUCUGUUUUUGUCUUUUUUUUUGUUGUAUGAACAAUGCAGGAGCACACAUGUUUUGGUGGCAUUACAGAAGCCCACAUAGGAUUGAGAAUGACUCAUCUCCAUGGCCAACAGUGUUGUGGCUGCAAGGGGGACCUGUAAAAAUCUCAACUUUUUUCGUUUUUGUUUUUGUUUUUGUUUUUGUUUACAUUGAUUAAAAAGAUGACAUUUUCACCAAUCAAAACACAUAACGACGGUAAUAACAGGGGGGCUCUGGUGUCGGCUUCGGCAACUUCUUCGAGAUUGGGCCAUUAGACAACAACCUAAAGCUGCGUUCCUCGACGUGGCUUCGCAAAGCCGAUCUCCUUUUUGUGGUAUUAAAUCUCUCUCCCUCAAGAGUUCUUCUUUUACAAGCUGUUAAUGAAUGAAUCUACAUUGUAGGAUAAUCCGGUGGGAACAGGGUAUAGCUUUGUGGAGGAUACAGGGCUCUUUGUGACAAGUGAUGAGGAAGCAGCAAUUGAUUUAACCACACUUUUGAAGAAGCUCUACAACAAGCAUGAGAGCUUGCAAAAAAGUCCACUGUAUAUUGUGGCAGAGUCUUACGGAGGCAAGUUCGCGGCGACGGUCGGCGUAUCGGUUGUCAAAGCCGUUAAAGCCGGAGAAUUGAAGCUCAAACUUGGAGGUUGGUAUUUGCUCUUUUUCAAUAUCAAUCACCUUAAAGAAGUGAAAUUUAAUGGACAAAUUUACUUUGCAGGGGUUGUUUUGGGAGACAGUUGGAUUUCUCCGGAGGAUUUUGUGGUGAGUGUUCACAGUUUGAAUCAAAUUCUCCCUCCAUUUCAAUUCAAUUCUUUUGUUUUGUUUUGUUUUUUUUUUUUGUGAUUAAAUUUGUAAUAAUGAAGUUAUCAUGGGGACCUCUUCUUCUCGACGUGUCGAGGCUCGAUAAAAAUGGCGCUGAGAAUUCAAACAGCUUGGCUGAGAAGAUCACAGUUCAACUAAAGAAAGGGCUUAACCGCGACGCAGAGAGAACGUGGGGCGAGCUCGAGGAUUUUAUCGCUUCGAAUAGUAACAAUGUUGUAAGUAAUCUAUGAUCUUCUAAUCUAGCAACAUGGAAAUUUCCCCGUAGUACUCAUUAACCUUUUAUGUAACAUAAUUUACAGGACUUCUAUAAUUUCUUACAAGAUGAUGAUUCCUCUGGCUCUAUAACAACUGUGGGAUCAUAUGAAGAAUCAUUCGCGAGGCGGUACUCGCGAUAUCUUAGCAUUAAGGCGGCGUCCUCGUCCUCGUCCUCGUCGUCGGGCAAUCUCCAUGAUCUAAUGAAUGGUGCCAUUAAGGAAAAGCUGAAGAUAAUUCCCAAGAAUGUGAGGUAGUAAUCUCUACUCAAGAACCAAAAUGUGUAGAUGUUUUAAUUUACCAAAAAUUCAGUAAAGAAGAUGAGGAGGAAUUUUGCUUUGAUUGAUUGUUUCUCUGUUGCAGCUGGGGAGCACAAUCUGACGAUGUGUUUGAUGCGCUCAGAAGUGAUUUUAUGAAACCAAGGAUCAAGGAGGUAAACAAGUCAACUAUUUUAUGUUAUUUUGUUCCAUGUGUGUUUUUUUUAAAAAAAAUUAUUGUAUUCUUUUUGAAAAUCUACAUUUGCAGUUAUCAAAAUAACAAAAGAACUAAGUCAAUUGCCUAGCUAAAAUUUCUGCUUGUGAUUUUGUUGUAUUUGAUACGAUUUCGUAUUUUAUGUAGGUUGCUGAUAUUACCUAAUACCAAUUAUAGUCCUAAUAUAUAUUUAUCUGUAAAUGUAUAUAAUGAAUAGUUAUUGCUUUAUGCUUGUAGGUUGAUGAGCUUCUUUCUCAAGGUGUCAAUGUCACCAUAUAUAAUGGACAGGUACUAUUUAUUCAUUUCCAUAUUAAAAAAAAAAAAAGAAGAAAAAAGAAAAAAAAAAUUGCUUAAUUUGAAGUAUUGGAAUUGGAUUCAUGUAAUUUGUGUUUUAUGAUAUUGAAAUGAGCUUGAAAUUUUUGUGAUAGCUAAAUUAUUUUAAUGUCAAAUAUUGGAGUUUCCUUUGGUUUAGCUUAUUGCACUCUUUUUCCCUUUAUUCAUGCAUCUUAAUUGUACAAAAUUUGGUUUUCCAGUGGCUAUGACUUUAACAUACUUGCACCAUAAUGGAUGCAUGCAUCUAAGAGCAAGUAACAGGAAAAUGUGAAACUAAAACUUGUGAACAAAUUGCAAGCUAGGAGUAAGCUAUCAUUCAAGAAAAUGAUGCUCUAGUUCUUAAUCAAGGAACCAUUUAUUGCGCAAAAGUUAAAAAUUCCCUCGAAGAAUCUAAUCACAACUAAUAAUCAUUUCUGAUCAACCAUGCUGACAAAAAAUAUAUUAUAUCGAUCGUAUAGUUAACUGAUAAAAUUGGGCAUUUGUGCUUCUGUGAAGCUUGAUUUGAUCUGCGCAACCAGAGGAACAGAAGCUUGGGUUCAGAAGCUCAAGUAGGGCUACUAUUUUUUUUUUCUUAUUUUCAAAAUUAAAUUCAUAACAUAAAUUUAGGAGCGGAUAAUGGACCGCGAUUCUCAUGUUUUACGCUUUUCAGAUGGGACGGGCUGACGGAUUUCACCGGCGCGAACAGAAAGGCUUUGUAUUGUGAUGGUAAUGAAGCAGGAGCCACCAAGGGCUUUGUCAAGUCCCACAAGAACUUACAUUUUUAUUGGAUCCUCGGAGCAGGUCAUUUUGUAAGUAUUUUCUAGGAUCAUCAAAGUUUUUUCUUUAUUUUAAUUUUAACUAUUAACUUGUAAGCAUGAGUGCUUAAGUUUCCUCCCCUGAUAUGUGGUAAAAAAGAAAAAAAAAAAAAAUCUCACUGCACAUUGUAUUUCCAUUCUACAAGUAAGUGAUUACAACAAACCAUUACUAACUUCAUUUUAAUUAUCUUCUCGAGCAUACUUAUGAGAGACAACAAAGUAUGAACUUUGUCAUGCAUAUUAUGACAUGUGAUGGUACAUGUAAUAAACAAAAUUUGAACCACCCAUGAAACAAAUCAAUGCUUGUCACUCAUUGAUUUCUUGUGUGACAUCCAAACUAACUUUGUUUGACUGAGUCAGUAUCAUGUAUUAUCAGCAGUAAGAUUAAAUGCAGCAUCUGUUCCAAAGCUUGUGAUAACUAAUUCUAGGUUUGUUCCCUUUGUUGGUGGUUUCCUAUCACUUAUAGGGCUCUUUAAAUGAUUCAAUUAAUGGUCCCUCAUGUGGAGGUUGGUAACUUAGGGCAAAGAUAGAUGGACAACCCCUUAACUACAUGCCAUGGUUUACACCUCUAGUUGGAUUUAUUGUUCGAAGUUGAAUCGCGUGCGUUUUUGUUAAUAUAACAGCUUCAUUAGCUAUCAACUAUUAAUGACUAACACAAAAUCCACAAUUCUAUUGGUUCAAAACUCACUCAGAACAAGCAAUUUUGUUAAUAUAUAUAUUUCUGUACUCGUUUCUUACUAGAUCGAUCUUUAAGAUAACAAAAUAUUGGAGCUAUAUCUAAGCCCCCUUCAUUUUGUGAGAUCGUAGAUUUAAUCUGCACCUUCAGCAUGCAUUAUCUAAUACUCAUUUUAAUUGUCAGUUAUUAAUUUCACGUGCCUUUUAUAUCCAUCACGUAUGUAAGUGUAAGUAAUAAUAUAUAUAUAUUUAUGGCCCCGUAUUUACUAGUUCGAUCUUUUGAAUAACAAAUUCAACAUGAAAAUAAUUGAGAUUAACAAAAUUUCUAAGUUAAUUUAUUUUUAUUGAGUUUAAGUGGUAUUUUUGAAUACAACAGAGUUGAAGAGUUGUAGGUACAUUUUCACUGUGCCCUUUUUUUUCUUUUGGGGAGGACACUCAGUACUGGCAUUUAAAGCUGAGAGGUUGGAUUUUCUCUACAAAAGGGGUGGCAGCAAAUGAACAGCAUUUCUAUGUUAAAAAAAAAAAAAGAAGAAAACUCUGUAAAUAAUUUGAUGACCAAACACUAGAAAAUGCCCAAAAAGGACAGGAGCAGGUGGAUGUAGCAGCAAUUUAUAAUGUAGAAGGGCCAGUUCAUUGAAAAGUAUUCUAAUUGUUUUUGAUGUCUCUCAUACUGGCAGGUACCUGUGGACCAGCCUUGCAUUGCAUUGAAGAUGCUGGGUGACAUUACACAUUCUCCAGCUACUGCUUCAUCUCACUGAGGGGGUCAAAGAAAAUAAUAAAUUCUUCUGACAAAAAUAACAAUUUUUUUUUUUUUAUAGUAGAAAUGUAAGUUUGAUUGUUUGAUUGUUUGAUGGACAAAUACAUAAUUUUAUUGCUUUUCUUCUUUGGAUAUUCUUUGUGAUUGGAGGAAAAUGUGGAAAUGCUUGUCAAAGUUGGUGGCUGUCAGGCUGGACAUUGCUGGACAAACAUAGUUCUUACAGAAUAGAUUAUGGAGGAUGCAAUUUCUGUGCACUGCUUGAUCUGACCGUCCAUCUAGAUGGAGAACAAUCCCAGCAUUUUACCAAUUGACAGAUUUGGAGUGAUUUCAAGUGAUUGUAAUAAUGUAUUCGACAUAUUUGGCGGCAUGUCGCAUUGAUUGGUCUGAUUAAAUUGCCCAGAAUUAGUUUAUGAGGCCAUUUGAGCAUUUUGAGUUAUUGACGAGUUCAGAUCAGUUUUUGUGUCUUAAAAGUAGUACGUAUGUUCGGCUACAAACUUUCGGCUCUUGCAAGACUUCUUUGCCGGAAGCAGAAAUUCCAAGAGCCAAGGGAUCUGCCAACAUACUAGUUUUAAGUCAGAACUAGGAACUCUUAUGUUGGUUUAGAUUAAUAUUUGAACCUUCUAAAUAACAUAACAUCCAAAUUAAAAGAAGAGUUCAAAUAUAGUAUGCAGAUGGAUUGGUUGCUAUCAAAUAGAGCACUAAAUGUACAUGCUACAAUGUACAAUGCUACAUUGUCUACAAACACUCUCUCUCUCUCCUCUUCAUCUUCAUUUAUCUAGGACCCAAGGUAAACUUAACAAGCAUUUGCCAAAGGACCUAUACAAGAAGCAGUAAGUAAAACCAAGUUAGCCCAACUUUUUCUCUGUAGGAUAUGGGUGGCAGGAAAAUUUUUACAGUGUGGAUUAAACUGCACAGGAAAUACAUCAGAAGAGCUCUCUCCAUACAGUGACAGAAGAAAUCAUUCCCAGCCCAUUAACAUCUUUGUUACUUCCUGGACUAUCUUGCUCGGCGACACGGAGAGCUCGUGAUCCUCGCCGAGGUGAAUUCGGUACACUUCCCACUCCCUAUCACCCACAACAUGCCUCCCAAUCUCGGCCUGGUUAUACAAAUAUAUGUAUUUUAAGUAAUGCCUAGAGGGGUAUAGCAGAAAAACACAAAGUACUAGCAGAAUUACGAAGAAUGUAGAGGGGAAUCACAGUACCAAGAAGAUCGGAAUGCGAAGUAUUUUGAGGGCGAGAGUGAUGUCGUAGAAAACUAGGGGACGGCCCUUGCCGGAUAAUUCGACCGGGUUUGCCACUAUAAGCUCCAUGUCGGGCCCUCGGCUCACGAUGGUCACGCGGAGUGGCCGGAACAGCUCCAUUCUCAAGCGAGAGCACAGCGCCUGUUGCUUGUUCGGGUCGACGAUUUUCUUACCAUCUACUUGCACUGCGAACAAGUCUAUCUCGCAGUUCCCAUUUUGACUGGUAUAGAAUCGUCCGUAAGAUAUCUGACAAAAAAAGAAAAAAGAAAAAAAAGAAAACCUGUAUCUGAAUUUGCCAAAAAUAAAAAAGAUAUCAGUAACUAAAUGGAUGAAAUGGCCAUGAUAAUCCUAUCUUUGUUUGGAUUUCACUUGGUACCUUCACUAUGGCCAAGUAAAUGUAUGUUCAUGCCGUGUGUAAUACGUGCUAAAUGUCUAUUUUGCAGGGUGUAUAUGCGAAAGAAAAUAAAAAUUCAUGUGAUGUCCUGUUUACCUGUAUGUUGUAAUCCUUGAGAGUCCUCAUGAUGUCGUAGAGGAUUCCCUUGUGGUCACCACACUGGAUCUGAAUAAGUGAAUGAGCGGGACUCAGAGAGUUGUCCAUCGUGACCGAUAUGUUCUUACACGUGGACGGAGACUCUUCCCUUCGGGAUUGUUCUUCAGGAAGCUCAAGUGAGAACAUCCGAUCAGUGAUCGACGGCGGUAAGGUAGAAGAAGCUUGAACGCAAGCAGACAUGUCUGCUCCGGCUUCUUCGAUCUCGCAACUCAUCAUCGAGCCCCCUAAAACAGUUCUCAGUUGAUUACAUGCCUCCUCCCUUUGGCUCUUCAUAUGAAGUUGCUCCCUGAAGCCAAUUUUGUAUUAUUAGCAUACGAUUAUCUAAGAGUUUGAUUAAUAAAUGGACUGUUGACACAGUACAGAGAAAUAAUUUUUCUACACUAAUCUUCGAUGUAGCAACUUAGCUGUUUAACACUUCUCCAAUGAAAUAACAAGGAAAAAGAAAUGGCAUUUAAUGUACGGCGGUUUAGAUUAACAGAACCAUGAGUUAUAUAAUCCUUAUUCUUAAAGUAAAUUCUAUAACCAUUAUUCAAUUGUUAGUGCAUCAGGGGGUCCUCAACCUUAAACAACAGUUUAAUUUUGGUACUCAACCUUUAAGUUGCUACAUUGUGGUUCCUCACCUUCAUAUAUCCUCUCACAAUCUUAGUACUUCAGGUAAAAUUUUCUCUUCAAAUGGAGGAGAUCUCCGCAAGAGCUAUAUGUAACUGCCCUAAGGCAACUUUCAUAUUCACAAAAAAGAUAAGGUAAUAAUAGAAUGCAAAAGGUUAAAAGGAUCAAAUCGCAGCAAUUUAAAGGUUGAAUAGCCAAUCUGAAACCACGCUAAGAGGUCGAGAUCCCCUAGUCCAAUUGAGGCAAAGAGAAAAAUGUUAUCCACAUGUAGAAAAACAGGACAAAAUUAAACAAGGAUAAUAUACGACCUCGUGUCUGUAAUGAAGAAGAGGUCGAGAACUCGCCCAUCCGGUGUGGUGGACACCUUCACCCUCCUGAUUGUCAGCUCAAGCUCACAUAAUACUUGGGUCACAUCUGUCCACAAGCAUAUAAUUCCUUAAAUAUCUUCUUAUUAUGUGACUUCUUCUUUCUCUUCAAAAGAGGCUAAAAAAAAAAAAAAAAAAAAAAAAAAUCGCAUUCGAAACCUAGCAAUAAUAUAGAAAGAGACCUUCAACAGAGGUAACCAAACUUUAGGAACUAGUCAACACUACAGAUCUUAAGAACCCAGUAACAUCCAAUUGAAAUUGUUGCUUCUCAAUCUGAAAUUUGCUAAUUUUGUUAGAUAUCAUAACAGAAAAAAAAACACCCCCCUCUAAACUAAAGAAAAGAAGUUGAUAUACUUUGUUUUCCCCAUUACAGUAUAUAUUCAAAACCCAUAAAGGGAUAAGCUCAAAUGCUCCAAAAUCCAACAACAAAAAAAGGACCCAAAAAAGAGAGAAACAAAAUCCUAAAGAGAAAGAUGGGAAAAAAAAGUAUAUCAACUUCUUUUCUUUANAAAAAAAAAUAGAGGAAAUUUACCAUGCAAGAGAUCCAAUCGAUCAUAGCAUGAGAACUUGAGGAGAAACACCUGUGGUUGUUGCACCAUGGACACCAUCUCCGGUUGCCUUGAGAAGUAGGUUUCUAUCACCAGGGGUGAGCUCACCACGGGGCAAACCCCCAUGAGCCUCUUCUUAAGCAAACCCCACCUCGUCUCCUUCCCUCCUCUCCCCACAACCCAGAACACUAUGAAACACCACUUCCCAUCCGUGCUCAUAUCUACACGAAAUAAAAGGGGGUGGGGGAAAAAAAAAAUCUAAUUUUUAGUGAGAAAAUUGAAACUUGUGGUAAGAUUAUUUAUCAAAGUUUCCAAUCACACCAAUCUUUUGAUAAUACGGUAUCAUCGCCAAUCCGCAACUAAAAGAUCGAUACGAUGAAAACGACUCUCACGUACUGUAUUAUCCAAAAUAAUCUGAUAAAAACAGUUUAAAAAAUAGCUUUUUUUGGGGUAACAAUUUGCAGGGAUUUCGAACUGGGCAUCACAUUUUAGACACAAAGAAGGAAAUUUUAACACAAAUUGGGGACAAAGACGCAAACUUUGACACCAAAAAUCACAUCAAAAAUCAAAAUUUUUAAUUCGGAGGGAAAAGGAGGGGGGGGAAAUGGGUUCACCUCCACGGACGAUGCUCAAUCCGAAGAGGAGGAUCACACGGCAGAGAUCGCAUCCGAGCCCCGUCUUAUCGGGGCAACUAACGGUGAUCACGCUGGGCUCCCCGUCCCUCUCCGGCUCCCUGAUCAGCACCACGUCGUCGCUCGGCAUACCCAUCUCAUCAAUCCCCUCUCUCCUCCUCCUCCUCCUCCUCCUCCUCCUCCUCUUACGGCUUUUGAAGCUGCUUCUGUGCGCAGCGCUUUUGGGUUUCGCCCCCUGUUUUGUUUUGACGCGUUUCUCUCUCUCUCUCUCUCUCACUCUCUCUCCUCCUAUGGGGUGGGAGAGGAGGCUUUUGAUUCUAGUGGUGGGAUUUGGCGUGAGAUUCGAAUAUAUCCAUUAAAGAGCUCGGAGAAAACUAUGGAUCGAGAGAGAGAGAGAUAGAGAGAGAGAUGGGGAGGGGAAUCAGGGGAAGGUGCCGCAUAGAGAUCUCUCUGCGUUCGCUUUUGUCCUUAGCUGUUGUUUUCUAUCCGCUGUUUGCUAUACUCACCCCGGAUUUUUUUUUUUUUUUUUUGCUAAUUUCAUACAAGUCCUGCAAACAUAAUAAAUUACAAAUAUAUUCAUAUAAAGUUUAAUUUUUAUAUGUUAUUCCUAUAAAAAUUCUGAUGUUUUCAAAUAUAUCCCUUUGGUUUGUUACUGUUAGAAAACUAUUAGAAACUGUUUAUAUUUUCAAUUUUAUCAUUAUAAAUAUAUUUAUUCAAAAGUUAUAACAGUAUAAUAUAAAAAAAUAAAAUGUCAAAAUAAACCAGCAUUAAUACUUAAUCUAUAGUUAACUAAAUUUUUCUAAUGAAUUCUAACGGCAAUGACAUAUUUGAAAACAUCAAAACUUUUGUAGAGACAACAUAUGAAAGUUGAACUUUAUAGAAAUAUAUUUGUCAUUCACUAUAUUUGCAGGAACUUGUAUAAAAUUAACCUUUUUUUAAAAAAAAUUUCGCUUCUUCUUCUCAAUGUGCCAUUUAACUUUUGUCUCAACUAACUUAUUAGUAUAUAAAUUUUCCACUAAUUUUAAUUUUAUAUUCUAUCGCUAUCUUGAAUAAUUUUAAAAUAUCAAAAUGAGAACUAAAAAUUAAUGUGAAAUCUUACAAAAAUAGGAUCAAUAAACUAUCAAUUUAGAUAGUUCUAAUAAGAAAUACAAGUUUUUUAUUUUAUUUUCAAUUUAUUGUGUAAUUUAGGACUAUGAAAAAUGCUUUUAUAUAGAACUAGCAUAACAUUUCAAACUUAUCCAUAUGAAUUUUCAAGUGAAUUCAAUAAUUAUUCUUAAAUUUUGUAUUAUAUUAAAAUAGAGCAGAAUAAAAAUUGAUAUAAUUUUUUAUGCAAGAUAUAAUUUAUACACAGAUUAAUAUACGAAAGAAAUUUUUGAAAUCAUGAACUAUAAGUCACAAUCAAAUGUUACAGCAAAAAAAUCUUUUUUAUCUAGAGAUUGCUUUUGAAAUUUUGAAGGACUUUAGCGUUUGACUAAAAGAGUAGAAAUAUAAAAUAAUAACAGUAAAAGGAACUUAUCAAUAUUGAUAGAACAAUUCUAUUUUAUUUAUAAUUUAUGAGUUUUUGUUAUAUUGACUAUUAGUACAAAAUGUAUAAGAUAUAUUUUUAUAAAAAAGAGUACCAAUCAUAAGUUCUUUAAAAUAAGUACUUAUAUGGAAACAUCUAAAUAGGCGAUGGAUUUAAAUAAUUUCGCCACCCCAUGAAUUGCUUUGUUAGCCUUAUUUAAUAAGCUUAUUUGUAAGGAGAGAUUUGCAUUUAAAUAAUAAUUUGUACAUCAAUAAGAAGUUAAAAUCGAUAAAUAAAAGAUUACAUAGAAAAUUAUAAUAAAUUGAAGCUUAGCUUAACAAUAAAAUAAACUAGAUAGUACUCUCAACAAAUAUUGCCAAAAAAUACAAGUUUAUUUUUUUAAGAAUUAGGAGUUGGGCCUCUAAAACCAAUUUUAUGUGAAAACUUUUGUCUCUCUCCAUCCCCACUCGUGUUUUUACUAGCAAAAAUUUCAAUUACAAAUAGUAAAUGAAAACAAAAAAAUUGAAAGAAAUAAAAUUUUGCCAUAUAACAAAACACUAUUUGAUCAUCAAAUUUUCCUCAACUUUUCAUUUUUUUUAUCUUCCAUUCUUUUAAUUUUUAAAAAUCCAUCAAAUCAAUAAAAAUUAUUAUAUAGUAAGAUUUUACGCCGAAAUAAUAAAUAUUAAUUGGUGCUGAUGCAAUAAUUUAUAUUGGAAUUAACAAAUCUUUUAACAUUAAAAACUAAAUUAAAAUAAAUAAUAAAUAUAAAAAUUUUAUUAUUUAAAAAAUUAAAAAUUGAAACGAAAUUAAGAAAAAUGGAUUAAAGAUUAAUUAAUUAAUUAACUCAUCACACAGUGGAAAAAAAAAGGGAAAUUUUGGUGGGUAAGAAUAUCAUACUUGUUUAGAAAAUUAAAUACAAAGAGUAAGUGCUUCUAGAAGAGUUGGCACGUGACAGGUUGGCCCUUGACCACUUUUAGCUAAUCCCAAAAGCGCCAAUCCAACGAACUCCAAAUCGAACGGCUCUGAUUUCGUUUAGAGCACUAAGCGAGCGGUCCUGAUUAGUUCAUCAAUCGAGAGUCCACGUGGCGCGUAUCCGUGAUGUCCCAUUUGCGAGGUGAUUCGGAUCGAAGACCACUCCGACAUGUCGCUAUCAUUAAUUAUUACAUGCCCCCCUCAACUAUUUCACGUUCUGAAAAUGCGCCUUCAACUUUAUUUUUUUAAUUCGAAAAUAUACUUUUAAUUUUUUGAAUCAAAACAAUUAAUAAAUGAUAGCUAAUAAAGGUGAUGAAGAAAAUAAAAGUUUCGACUUAAUUAAUUAAAAUAAUUUAAUUUUAAAACUCACAGUUUGAACUUGCCUAUAAAAAAGGGUAAAUUUUAUUUCUAGUCUUUGGUCUUUAUUUUAUUUUAAUUUAUACAUUUUGAGGAUAUUUUAUGUUAAUCUUUAUUAUAAAGUAAAAAUUGCUUAUGGCAUCUCAUUUAUUGGUAUGUUUCAUGCACUUCAAAAUUUAUAAUUUUUUAAAUCUAUUAUAUAGUUUCACUUUAAUAGUAUAUUUUAUAUAUAGAGAGAGAGAAAAAAAAUUAUAAUUUAUUAGAUUGUAGAUUAAAAAUUAAAAGUCAAAAAAAUGUAUGUCGUAAAGAUAUACAGAUGCAGCCGGUGUAGAACUUGAAGUAAAAUUCUUUUUAAAAGUUUGGAGACGCAACAAUGUCAGAUUUUGAAAGUUUGAGGAUCUGAAACAAAACGUUAAGGGGGCUAUUUUAGAAUAGCAUAUGCUUGAGGGAUCUCAAUGCAUGUUUACCGUACUACAUCACGUAGAGGGCGUCAUCGCGCGCCACGUGUUUAUUUCGUCAUGGGCGCUCUUUUAUGUCCGAGCCGACCAGCUCCUAAUCACAUGCUACACUUUUCAUGUAUUUUAUUAUUAUUACUUGUUAUCAAUAAAGUUUCACUAAUCCAUUAUUAACUAUAUAAUAUUAUUUUAGUGCAUUAUUAACUCAGGUUUAUCCAGUGAAUAAUUACCUGAGGACUCGUGGUCAUUCUAAAACUUAAGUAGAACAGUAAAUAUAUAAAUUUUUGUUGGUAUUCGGUAGUUUUUAUUUAUAUGAUUUAGAUAUCUGGUAUUACUAUAUUAAUUUUUAUAUAAAAGAACUUUUCACCGGAUUCGCCGAAAUUUGAGCUUACCUUCAUAGUUUGAAUCUCAUUUUAAUUGGAUUUCCAUCGAAACUUAAUAGGCCGGAUUUAAUAAUUCUGAUAAUUAUUAUAUAUUUUAUAAGAAUCAGAUUUCAGUUCUUAUUUUAUUCUGUAAUAAAAAAAGACCUAAUUCAUUUAUGACUUCAUCAAGUUCUGAGUCAUGAACCAACUCACUUCAAAGUAAACAUCUCUCCCUCUUCAUGAUUGAUUGCUCUUCUUUCAUAACCAAAACUCUUAUAUCCAAAUUCUAAAUAUAACAUUUGUUUAUUCCAAUUUUUAUUUUAAUAAUAAAUUAAAUAUUUUUAAAUGAUUCGUCGUUUUACUUUUUUCAUUCUAAUAUAAUUUAAUUUAACUUUUUAUUUUCAUUCUAAUCAUGAAUCGGACGUGUUCUUAAAUUCUUCGGAAAAAAAAAGAAAAAAAAAAAAGCUACUUUCAUGUGAAUGCAUGUGGCUACGUUCUAUUCUUACUAAAUUAGCCGAAUAAAUAAUGAGCAAGAUCCCAAUAUUUAGCCGACCAAAACAAUUUAAUUAAAUGUUGAAUCUCUAGAGUGUUGUAGCUAGGAUCUCUAUCAACCUAAGACAAUUGGGGGUUUUUUUUUUUAAUUGUAUCAUAAUUAGACAAAUCAGAAGAAUUUUCAACCUAAUGCAAGUUGGUGAUGGCAACUAACCCAAAUGGCCAAAGAUUGGGACAGGAGGCCUCCCAGUACUAGUGAUCCAUAAAUGUUACUGUCCUGCCAUCUUCUAUUGUCCAAAACUAAAGCUUCAAAAAAAAAAAAAAAAAAAAAAAAAAAAAAAAAAAAAAAAAAAAAAAAUCCUUCUAUGCUUGCUCUCAAAGAUUUUCUCCAAUAUUAUUAUUGUGUCAAUAGUCACAUGCGACAUACAUCCAAAUUAGCUGAUCAACUAUAUGUACACUUUGAUUUAAAUAUCACCAGUUCAUGAAUGAUACUUUCAGAAUCACAUAAAAAAAUAUGAAAAGGCUUAUUCUAAUACAUGAACAACUUAAUAAGUAAUACAUAUUUUUGUGCACUUAAAGAGUCUCAUAGGGAUAUAACAUAAGUAUUCUCUAAAUUAUUUUUUUCAAAAUAAAAUAAAUUAUUUUAUAUGUGAAAUGUAUUAUUUUAAAAAAUUUAUGACUGCGGAAGCUUCACAAUGGACUAAAAGUAAACUCCCAAAUUACAAUUUCAAAAAGAAUAAACUUUCCUGCCGCAAAAGUUAUUUUAUAUUAGAUAACUUAUCUAACGCCAAACUGGCUAAAAAUAUUUUUCGACUUGUAUUUGUGCAAAAGAAAUGCUUUGGAUCCGCUAGAAUUAAUGUCGAUCUUAUAAACUACAGAUAUGUUGACAAACGCAUAAAGCAUCUUUUUUGGAAAAACAUGUAUACAUACAUUUCUUUUGAAUAAGUUCAUAGAUUUCAAGUGGCAAAAAAAUUUGGUAGUUGAUAUUCGAAACUCAAGUUUUAAUCCUAAUUGAUUCACAUUUUCAGCUAAGUUUAUUUCUAAUAAAAAUAAACGAAGCGAAUAGUAUGCUACCUUUCUCUCUCUCAAAAAAAAAAAGAAAAAGUUCAUAGACUCCAAGAGCCAAAAAAUCACCCUAUACACAUAUAUAAAAAUUAUUUUUCUUCAAUCGUCUUACGACCCUAUUUAUAAAUUCACGGGCGGAGAUCGUUUCCCAAUAUCUUGGAUCAGUGUCUGUGGUAACAAUUACUAGGCUAGUCGGCAAUUCUUUAGUUUAACUUAUAAGAGCAAUUACUAGGUUAGUCAACAACAUAUCGUACUUAGCGCAAGUGGCAAAGAGCUGGUGUUUGGUACCCGAGGUUCUAAGUUCGAAUCUUAAUUGAUUCACAUUUUCAACUAAGUUUAUUUCUAAAAUAAAAUAAGUGAAGCGGGUAGCAUGCUAUCAAUCUCUCAAAAUAAAAACUUAUAAGAGCAAUAUUUUAGAAAGACCGGUCAAUAAUUAAAGCACUCAGCAAGAAGAAGAGUUGCAUUGUGACAUUAGGAAUUAUUUGGAAGCAGAAAGCUAGAAAACAAAAAUUUUAUGGGUUUUACAAACUCAAUUUUAUCUCUUAGGCCAUAUUUGGAUGGAUAGUUAAAAAACUCCAUGAAAUUUUUAUUCUAUGAUUUUGGUUUAAAUGAAAUACGGAAUCCUAUAACUAUAAAAAAAUUCCACAGCUUCAUUUUUAAGCUUUUUGGAUACAUAUCAUAUAAUUCCACAGUAUUUAUAACAAUUUAAUUUCUAAAAUUUUAAAAUUUUAAAAUUCAAAAUUCAAAAUUCAAAAUUUAAAAUUUAAAAAUAAAAUUUAAAAAAUUAAAAUUCAAAAUUCAAAAUAUAAAAUUAAAAUUUAAAAUUUAAAAUUAAAAAAUUAAAUUAGAUUUUAUGUUUUAAAUUUGAAAUUUGAAAUUUGGAAUUUGAAAUUUCAAAUUUGAAAUUUGAAACUUUAAAAUUUAAAAUUUAAAGUAUACCAUUUAAACUUUAAAUUUUGAAAUUUAAAAAAUAUAUAAUUAAAAUUUUAAAUUUUAAAUUUAAUAAUUUAUAAAUUUACAUAUUUAUAAAUUUAAAAUUUAAAAUUUAAAAUUUAAGUUUAAAUUUAAAUUUUGAAAAUUAAAAAUUAAAAAUUAAAAUUAAAAUUAAAAUUUGAAAUUUGAAAUUUGAAAUUUGAACUUUUUGAAAUUUGAAAUUUGAAAGUUGAAAUUUGAAAGUUGAAAUUCGAAAUUCGAAAUUCGAAAUUCGAACUUUUCGAAAUUCGAAAUUUGAAAUUUGAAAUUCAAAAUUUGAAAUUUGAAAUUUAAAAUUUGAAAUUUGAACUUUUUAAAAUUUGAAAUUUAAAAUUUAAAAUUUAAAAUCAAAAUUAAAAUUAAAUUUUAAAAUUUUUAAAAUUUGAAAUUUAAAAUUUUAUGUUAAAAUUUAAAAUUUAAAAAUUGAUACAUCUUUAGGAGCCCAAAAGGUGGAUAUUUUUUUUUUUUGGUUAAAGUGGGUUGUAAGUUUAUUCUAUUUUUUGGAGUAUAGUAUAAUUAUACUCGUCAUUUUUUUUCUUCCAAACGCUUUAUAGGAUUAUUUUCCUACCGGCGUAACAUAGUUUAACUGUACUAUAUUUUUAAAGGUAUCCAAACGGGGCCUUAUUCUUAAAAAUGAAAAGGCGGAUCUUCGUAUAUUUAUAUGCGGGAGUUCGAAUAAUCUUACGAUUUCAGUAUCAAAGCAACUGUUGAUGCCCAGGAUCUUGUCGAUUUCACGAAUUGACCCCUUAGAUCCAAAAACACAAACAGACCCUACACAGUAAAUAAGACUAACUAAUUAUACGAUCUUACUAAUCUUAAUCCUUGGGAAUCUAAUCUAAUAAUAGUCUUUGGGUCAAUUUGUCUCCCAACGAUGUUCGCGCGGAUCUGCUGCAGAUCUUGGAGACAGGCACGUGCGAGGACGGCUGGGCGAGGAUUGUUACGUGUCCCUCCCCUCAAUCCUAUCCAUAUAUUUUGGUAUAAAAUAAUUAGAUGUUUAAUAAUAUCCAUUGUACCUAGAUUGCGAUGUGAAUAUUCUACGGCCCCUAUUUAUAGGCCCUAACACAUAUUCAAAGUUUUUUUAAAAAAACAAAUGUGUCGGUAGCGAACACGGGAAUAGAUUCUCUCAUGUUGAAGUACACAAUCCAAGCGCAACUUUUUUAUUCAGAGGAACUAAUUUAGAUCAAGAAAUUGAGUUAAACUAAGGCUUGGUUCUGGAAAUAUUGGCUCCAGGAAAAGUUUAGCUCUAGAUCAAUUUUAAUAGUUGUGGCAAUUGAAGAUCGAACUCUCAAUUUUGCAAAAUAAUAAAAGAAAUUAGAAAUAAUUCUAGUAUAAUUCUAGUAUAAUUCUGAUAUCAUAUUAUCAUUGAUGGUCUCUAAUACAAGUGAUAAAGAAUAUGAUAAUUGAUACACGAGGUUUCUAGUUCACAGCCUAAUUAUUUUUUAUUUUCAGCUAAGUCUAUUUAUUUUUUUUAAAAAAAUAAAACGGAUAGCAUGCUAACUUUUUCUAAAAAUAUAUAAUAUCAUGUUUUUUAAAACAUUAAUUUAGUAAAAAGCAAUAGAAAAAUAUAAAUGUUUACUAAUUACGUCGCAAAAUAGUGGAAAUUAGAGGAAGAGUAUACAUGAACAAAUGGGAGAAGCCCCUGCAGAUUUUAAAUCCUUUCAAUUUUACUUAAUUAGAUUCAUAAUUUAAGGGAAUUUUGAUUUGUCCGUAAUAAAAAAAAUGCUGUACAUAUAUAUAUAUAUAUAGAAGAAGUGAAUUCACCAUAAUUAAUACUAAUAAUAAUGGAUAAAGCAUAAUGAAAAAUUAAAGGAUUACGUUGUCGACGUACACCAAUCAAAUUAAGCGUUACUUAAGUAGCAAAUUACCCCCCAUUUACCCCGUUGUUUAACACCGAUCGACAAUGGUACAAGAUCGGAAAGAGAAAGGAAACUUCGUGCACGAUGAAAACGAAAGAAGAGAAGAGAAAAGCACUUCCUAAAAAGCACUUCUAAUUAAUUAGAUUUAAUUAAGAAGAAUGGUAGUGAACAUUGUUUUCGGUUGGUGUUAGUAUUUUAAUUUAGCCAUUUGGACUUUAAAGGCAAGCAAAGCUUAUUUAGGAUGUAGCUUUAGCUUUUUUAGGUUUUGCUUUGGCUUCAGCUUUUCGCAUAAGUUAAGCAGUUUGAGUGGAAGUAGGGACAUGGUGUGGACUCUCCUCGUUGGUGGUCAUAUGGUGCAACACUCAUGUGAUUGAUGUUGAUGGAAACAUUAAGCUCGAGUGGAUAGGUUUCACUUCACUAGUGAGACAAAUGUUUUAUAAAAUAUAUAUAUAUAAAAUAAUCUGAAAUAACCAUCACUGUGUAGCAUUGAGGAGUUAAUUAUCUACGGUGCAAUUUUUAAGAUCAGCAGAUUCAAAUCUCUGCAUGUGCGUUAUGAUUCCUGAGAAUCUUAAGAAUUAGGAGCCUACGCACAACUUUUAAUACUGUUUACGUUUUCUUCUUUAGAGGGCACAGAGAAUUUGGGUUCUAAACAUUUCAUGAGUAUCAUAUGCCAAGCCCAAGGCCAAUUUGUUGGGCUUGUUUCGUAGGUUUGGAUUCUCACACUGAACAAGGCUCGGCCCGAUCCAACUACGCUUCUCGCAAUAAUUAAAUUGAUUUUUGAGUUCGGUGAACUCAAAUGAAUUAGAUUUGGAAUUAAAUUUUGUUAUUAGGAACAAAAUUGUGAUGGGAUUGAAUUUCUCUCUAUAGUAAGCACGAAAAUAAAACGAUUGAUCUUUCUUAUCUUUGGGAAACUAAACAAGAGUCAUUAUUUAUACAUUUUUUCUGUCAGUAAAAGCGAUUACAGGGUACAAAUUAAUUAAUAAGUACCAAAUCAAAUAAAAUGAAAAAAAGAAAAAAAAAUCUGAAUUAAGUGGCUCGAGUGUUGCCAAUUUUACGUCAGGUACGUAGAAUGAAUGCCAUGCAUGAUGCAUGCAUGUAAGUUGUAACGAAACCCAUAUUAAUUCGUUAGCUUUAUGAUUCUCAUUAAUUUAUGCAUGGACAAAUUAUUAUUAUUAUUAUUAUUAUUAUUAUUAUUAUUAUUAUCAUCAUCAUCAAAAUAAAAAAAAAAAAGGACACCAUGCAGAAAACUUUAAUCCGCUUCCACAGGGCGAUCCUACAAUCUCUCUCCACCCCUCUUAUCUCGUAUAAAAAAUGAAGCUCCUCAUAUUUCCGUUUCCUUUCUCUCUUCUUAUUUUCUCUCUCAACCUUAAAUCUUCGCGUACAACUAUAUAAACAUAAAAAAAUAAUAAUAUAUUAAUAUUAUAGUAUAGAAAGGGGCCGGGGUUGAAGAUGGCGGGGGCGGCGGAGUUGUCGGCGGAGGUGAUGGAGAGGAUCUUCAAGCGGUUCGACGGGAACGGGGACGGAAAGAUAUCGUUGGCGGAGUUGGGGGAGGCGCUGAGCGCUCUGGGGUCGACGUCGGCCGACGAGAUCCAGCACAUGAUGGCCGAGAUCGACACCGACGGUGACGGAUACAUCGAUUUCGCCGAGUUCACCGCAUUUUGCCGCGCCAACUCCGGCCUCAUGAAGGACGUCGCCAAGGUCUUCUAAGCCUCUCCUUGAAUAGUGUGUCGUACGUUGCACCACAAAUUGUUACAUCUAUAUAUAAUUUUUUUUCAAAUUUUUUAUCUUAUUUUCUCUGCAUUUUUAAAAAAAAUGGUUGAAGAGAGUAACAUGAAUUGAAGGAACUAGUCAUAAACGUUAGAGUGAUGUGGAAAGUAUUCAGAGAUUCACCUUUUAUUAUUUGUUAUUAAUUAUUAAUUAUUAACUGUAUAAGUGACAAAAAUUGAUGUGAAAACAGAAAUAUAUAUUUGUCUUAUUUUAUAAUUUUAUUUACGUGGUAUGAAAUGUUGGGCCUGCCCAUGUCCAACCCGAAUUUGGUGGACUAAGCGGGCCCAACAUUUUCGUUCCGGAUCCGGGCAAAAUUGAUCCAUUAAUCCGUUUUGUAUUUGGGCUUUAUCCAAUUUGGGUUUAUUGGGUCAGAAAUACAGACAAUUUUAUAAGAAUAAAAUGAAUAUUUAAUUAGUUUCGAAAAUCUACUCUUCAUAGUUAUAUAUAUUUGGUUAUUAAACAAUAAUGUUUUUAUCACCACUGUCUAUUGCGGUUGGUCGGGACCCUGGGUCAUCGAUCAAGCAUUUGGGUUCGAUUUAAAAUCUUUAAGUAAGGUAUUAAUAUAUUCUCGAUUAAUUUUUGUAGAUUUUUUCAUCUCUCAAACAAUCUUAUCAACUGCAAAGGAAAAGAUAUAUUCAUAUAAACCAGCAGGUGCAAUAAUAUUUAAGCAUAUGCAUGACAAUUAAUAAUUUCCUCAUUCCAGUGAAUCAGAUUCAAAGGGAGCCACCACAAGGCCAUAACCCCAAAUGGGUACGGGUCCAUAUAUUGCUGGAUCCCAACUUGACUAAACAAGCCCUUGCCACAAAAUGGUCCUGUUAAAAUGUUACCCACCAAGGGGUUGGUAUCAUUCUCCCAGUUGAACACUUUGGAGAGAGAGAUCUUUGAUGAGGACCAACAAGGAAUCUUAGCUUGAGAUGGGACUUUAACCCCAACAAGUGGAAUCAAAACUUAUUGCCCAAAUCUGGUGUACAUGUACAAAGUAUAUUUCAUGCACCACACCCUUAAUUAAGAUCCUAUACUAAAUGCCUCAAGAAUCAAACUUAUAAUCUAGUUCAUUGAAUCGUAUUGUUGGUCAUUGUAGAUAUUUUAGAUCACAUCUAUGAGAUUAAAUUACAAAUUAUCCGUGGUGCACGCACCAAAUGUAAGCAAUAAUUUCUCCAUGUAGAUAGAUUCUAGAUGCAAUAUGAUCUUUCCUCUCUCUCUCUCUCUCUCUCUCUCUCUUUCUCAUCAAUCCCCUCUAUUGCGAUAUACCAACUUUUUCUAUCACUUGGUGAGUUGGUGGUGGGGAGAAAUGGAUGGAUAUCAUGUGUAGCAUAUAUAUCCCUUUGCGGGACAAAAAUAAAGGUCGAAGCACUACAGUGGCUUUUGUGAUCAAGUGUGUGGUCACUUUAAUUGCUACGACCUUUGACCCUUGGGCUUAUGAUUUGAAGGCGUUUGGACGCACGAGGGGAACGUAACUUGGUUGGGUUCAAUUAAUGGGCGUGGAAAAGGAAUGGUCCAAGGAAUCGUAGUUGGUUUGUUAUACGUAACUUGGACUAUUUCGUAGUGUUGUCUCCUGAAGAGUGAUGUGAAUGGAAGCAACUUGAGCAUCGGUUGGUUAUGUAUUUCUAUGAGAUUAUGGUAGUUUCUUUCUCUCAAUUAUUCGUAUGGUAUACGUGCUCUAAAAGGUUAGGAUGGAGCGCGCACGAUGGAGCCACGAGAGGGAUUGUUGCUUAAUCUAACAAAAAAUUAUGAUAUGACAAGGGUAAGGUUUCACGUGAAAAGUUUAAAUUCAGUCCCUUGUUUGAUUUGGACAUCACAUUAUCAAAGUAUCACGCGGAAUCCCAUUACCUGAUGCUUUCUUCAGAUACAUGAAGUUUUGGGCUACCGUAAGACAAUUUUUUUUUUAAUUCUUCAUUCAAAAAAAGCAGAAAAAAGAAGAAGUCCCAACCAAGGGAUUAGUCUCAUAGUGAUGAGCUGCGUCGUUACCGGAUUUCUCUUUUUAGCAACUUAAUGGAGACAGCGCGCCAACCACUACAUAAAUAUAGCAUGGUAAUAGAUAUUCGAAUAGCGGAUCUUGAUGUCAUGAGUCUAAGCCACUACAUGUGCUUCUCAUUAGAGACUCUGUGUCCUUGACUUCAGAAUCUAAAUAUAUGGACUCUUAAUUAGGAUAGAGUUGCAACUGCAAGUAUAUAUAUAUAUAUAUAGUUUGGUUACUAUACUCUUAUGAGUAUAAAUCAAUUUGUACUCAUAAUUUUUCGAUCGUUAGAUCUACUCUUUUGAUUAUUUCUACUUGUUAGAUUAUACUAUUCAACCAACUACCCACUCAAUUCUAGACAAUUACUAUCAUCCUAACCGCACGUCCCUUCAUCCAACAAUUAAAAAUUUAUGAGUACAAAAAAGUCUAUAUACUUAUAAAGUAUAGUAACCCUAGUCUAUAUAUAACUUUUUACUUCAAUUUUGAGUGAUAGAACGGAUCUUAAGUACUUCUUUCUUCCUGCAACCAGUUGAUCAACCUGUUCAACAGGUUAUAAUUAAUUUGUGCAUGUUUGUUUAGUAUCAGGCCCUAAGAUAAAUAAGGCCAAACUUGCUUCACGGCGGGUUCAUCUGUUUGAUUGGCUAGUCCACUACAAUCAAUUCAGCUUAAAAUUACAAAUUGUAUAUUACUUUACAUUUUUUUUGGAGAAAGAAAGAUAACAUGUUACCCGCUUCGUCUAUUUUUUAAAAAUAAAUUUAGUUAAAAAUAUAAAUCAAGUAGAAUUCGAACUUAGAAUCUCAGAUACCAACUACCAAACUCUUUGUAACUUAUUUUUUUUUUAUAUUUAUCCAUUUGUACACCCAACGGAAGCGUAUAUACACAUAUGUAUGUAUGUUUAUAUGUAUGUACAAUGUACAGCAUGGCGCGCGGUGAUAUAUUUUAGAUGUAAACUAACAAGAAUCAUCGAAUAUUGUGAUCAGUACACGAUAGCUAAAUACUGAUCAUAUAGUAGCAUCAUCACCCAUGCAUCCUUUAGACCUUGAAGUGAGAGGCGCAGUACAUUGACGCGGCAACCACUGUCCCCUUCUAAGCCGAUGCAAUAAUAAAUGGCCAAAAUGAGCUGGUCGAUUGAUCGUAGAGUACCGAGCAAACACGCAUGGUUUGUGUACGUUCGCACUUAAUUUGCUGCGUUGUUUUGGAGCCACAUAUAUAUAUAUAUAUACACACACGCGCGCGCAGAUACGCCCAAGAGCACGAGACGUGCCUUUAACAUUUUCUGCAAUUACCGACUGUCUCUAACGCAAGAGAUCAUAAAAGACUUAAUAAUUAAUAACAGGUUGAGAUUUCAAAUUUAAAUUUUAAUUAAUUUAUUUUUUAAAAAAUAAAUUAAAUAAAUAAUAUGUUAUUUUUCUGUCUCAAAAAGAGAACCGAACAUUUCGGGAGAUUUAGUUUCCCACCGGGCUCAAACUGAGAGAGAGAGAGAGAGAGAGAGAGAGAGAGAGGAACAUGCACUGCUGUUGCUUUUUCAUGGAUGCAUGCGAGUAUGCGACACCCCCAUCGAACCUCCCUCUCCUCGGGAUCAAGCAUGCCGUGAGGGGACAGGGAUGAGGUCGCAUGCGGAGAUUUCAUGCACACCUGCCUACACCUUGUUCACCACUUCAUCCAAGAGUUUCACUCAAAUCACAAAAUAUUUGAGUGUAAAUUUUUGAGCCAUAUAAUAAUAAAGUAAAAAUAAGCCCGGAGGUAAAACUUCUUCUUGUAAUUAUUAUGGUUUAGAAUCUCAUUCUUUUGAUUUUCGUUGCAACAUAAGCUUCGAUUUUUCCCUCACCAAAUACUAGUGUUCAAAGAGGAUAGAAUUAGACGCACGACGAAAUAUGCAUACCCUCGGUAUCUUUUAGAUGCUACAGAUUAUAAGCAUCGGAUGAUUAAAAAUUUACAAGUUUUACGAUCUCCAUGAAAGAGUUUUGGAAAGAACAAUCUGCAGUGGACUAGGUGCAGGCAAUAGUUUCUUAGAAGAAUAAAAAGGGAGGGGUGAGAGAAGAAUCUGUUCUUGGCCUUGGCUGAAGAGCCGGCCAAGCAGAAAAGUGACCAAGGGAUCUACAGCCUGCAUCCUCUUUUCCCCACAUUGAGAUCUGCAUUUACAGCUACUUAAUUGUAUGGUAUCCUCUUAACAUAUGGUUGUUGACAAAAAAAAAUUUCUUCUUCUUUUUCACUUGGAUGUUUUGUAUAAAUUCGGCUACUUAAAUUUACUAGUAAAUUAGAACAGCCAAUAUACUCUUCAUAAAUAUAGAAAUUUUUGUUUUUUUUUUUUUAUAAAAUAAAUGCAUUGAAUCUGAUCGAUUCAUCGAAUCUAUACCUAAUCGAUCUAUGUGUAACAAUAUUUUUCUGUAAAUAACACAUAUUGGCUCUUAAGAACUAUGUAUUUGCACUCAAAUCGCCUCUUCAUCACUUCUACGUCACAAGGCAUUAUGAGAAUUUUGAUGUUAAGUUAUUGGGGGGAUUAAUCAAGCAUUAAAACCUCAACUUUAUUUCUUUCUCAAUCUUUUUAUUCUUUGAUUUCCAUAAUGAUGCAAGUGACGGAUCUUAUUGAUUCAAUAUUUGAUCCUUCGUUUUGGAGAAAUAUAUAUAUAUCUUUUUAGCUCCUCAUGGUAACAGUAUGAGGAACAUUCACGGCAUAAAGAAAAGCUAUAUACAUCCACAGAUAUUAAAAAAAAGGGGCAAUUGCCUAUAUACCCUUGAAAAGUUUCCGGUUUUUUUAUUUAUCCCUCUUAGAAGGCUAAUAUUGAAAAUACCCUUCUUAUGUUCCAAGUCUUUCUAAUAUACCCCUGGAGUUAAGUUCCGUCAGUUAGCUGCUGUUAUCUCUGAAAAAUUACCAUUUUGCCCAUUCCAAUAUACCCUCGUACCGUAACUCACUUAUCUUAUAUACCCUUCAUAUACAAAAUAUUUUUCUUAUUUGCUCUUUAAAUAUCAAUUAAUUAAUUAAGCACGUUGGGAGCGAGCAAAUGAACGGAUGAGAUUGAUCGCAGCUAAACCAAUCUUAGUGGCGCGAGCAAAUGAACGGAUGAGAUCGAUCGCAGCUAAACCAAUCUUAGUGGCUGGAGGCAUAGUUAGUUAAUUCGGAUUCGGCAAAAAUUCAGUACAGAUAUAAUUCGAAUAAAAUUCGUCUUUUAAUUUUUAAAUUCGUUGAAAAAUACGGCUAAAAAAUAGAUUCGACAGUUAUUCGAAUACGUAAUAUAUACGGGUAUUAUACGUUCACCAAUUAAAGAUUCCAGAUCAAAAAUUCGGCUAUAUAAUAAAUAUAUAAUAAUUAAUAUACUAUAUAUAUUAUUAUUAUAAUUUUUAUAUAUAUAUUAAAUAUAUAUAUUUAAAAUUAUAAUAAAUAUAUAUUAAUAAUAUAUAAGAGUUAUAUAUUUAAAAAUAUUAAUAAACUUAGAUUUGUGCAGAUCAAAGGACUAAUUUAUUCCAAUUAAUCUCAGAUAUUAACUAUUCCACCCUAAUUAACUCUCCCAAUUAACUCUUCCACCCUAAUUAACUCUUCCAAUUAACUCUUCCACCAUAAUUAACUCUCUCAAUUAACUCUCCCAAUUAACUCUCCCAAUUGACCCUCGUACAGCACCCCUCCUCGUCCCCUUCCUCCGGCACCGACAGCACCCACCUCGACCACCGUCGCCACUCCAAACCUCGAGGGUGGCGACCCAUGAGGCAAUAUUGGUGAUCGGAGCUGCUGUUCCCGACAGAGGCAGAGACGAAGAACGGGUUUCUCAGCAACGAAGAAGGCGUCCACGGCGAUGGUGUCGAGGUGGAAGGCACGAUGAUGCUACCGGUGGUGAGGGAGACGAUGUCGACCCACUCACAGCGAUGUCGAAUGUGACGAGAAGGAGGAGGAGGAGGACAACGAGAUCUGCACGAAUCGUUGCGGCCCUCUUGCUCCCGGCGCCGGCAAAGGCGGCGGCGGAGGAGGAGGACGAUGAGAGCGGCGACUCGCGGGCCUUUUUUUUGUGCGAAUGAGGCGAGGCUUCUUGGGGACGAAGGUGGAGGCGGAGGAGCCGGCGCCGAGGUUGGCGGUGGCGGUGGCGGUGAGCUGCUGGCGCUCGCGGCGGCGGGCGGCGGGCGGUGAGCGGCGGACUUGAUCGAGAGUAAUAAUGUUAAGUUGGAAGAGAAAGAAAGGAUAAUUUAAGGAAAUAGUUUAAUAAGAUAGGGGUAAAAUAGGUAUUUUAAUUAGGUUUUAACUCUGGAAUACAUUUAACUCAUGUUUAACCCGAGUUAGUUUAACAGGGGAUAACUGCGGGGGUAUUUUGGAAUAACGGUGGAACAUAUGAGGGGUAUUUUAGAAAGAAAAAAAAAAGUAGGGGUAAAUCGGAUAUAUUCAAACGCAUGAAGGGUAUAUUGGCAAUUAUCCCUAAAAAAAAAAAGGGACAGUCACAUGUUAGGCUUAACCCUAGCAUUGUACCAAGAGAUCAACAAAAAACAUUCCUCAUAUCUCUUAGUUGUCAUUCCGUUUUGCUAUUGAAUCCACUUUAGUGUUAAUUAUAUAAUAAAAUCUGACAAAAACCACUGUUACCACUAUUAAUCGACAUAGUAAAAUAAUUUGAUGUGACCAAGAUCCAUGUUAAUUAAUAACAGACGAAAAGAUAAGAAUCCGAUUGGGACCAUGCACCCCGAAUUGGCCUAAUCAACCACCAACAUGAACCAUCAGUGAUAGAGAUUAAUUAAAUCGGUCCCAAGAGGCUUUUAGAGACACAUCAACUCACUGUAUUAAGUGCUUUUGCUUAAUCAAAGAACCAAAAAACAAAAAAAAAAAAAGCAGUGUCCAAGAUGUGAAAAGCACAAGCACUGUAGCAUCAAAACCAUGUGAUAGCCCUCGAUCACUAAACAAUUACUUUCAUGUGGAUACAAAUGUAUAGACGUACGCUUAUUGGAAAGGUCCCAACACUUAACAUUAGACAAUAGAGAACACAAAAAAGAAAAGCUUUGGAAGGAAUGCUUUCAUGAACUAGCGUGGGACAGGAGGUGGUGGUGAUGUUAGUGGUCUUGCUUUGUGAAUAAUGUUAUAUGUAUCUAGCUUAUAAUGUUUCUCAUAAUUAACAUUGCUAAUUAAUGAAUCAACUUUUAACAAUUCAUUUGUAUAUAUAUAUAUAUAUUUAUAGAGUAAGUCUCGUGUACUUUCAAAAGUACAAAGAUCUCCGUGCUUGUAAGUUGUUUUCGAUGAUAGGAAAUCCGAUUCGACGAUCGGCUCCGUUAAAUAUAAUCUAUCUUAUUGGAACUAUUUAGAAACCAAAUUUUAUAACUUUUUGAUAUCAUUUACCAAGCGAUCAAAAUGUCUCAAAAAUGACGAUUUUAAUGGCCGAUGUGGCACGUUUUUAAGUUCAACGGUAUACAUAGAAGUAUCCAAAUUAGAUGAAAAUUUAAUAGAAAAUUCUACUUAACAUCAAUAGUAAGACCAAUACUUGCGAUUUGAAAUUUGAGUCCUUUAUCAUUGUUUUUUAUGAGAUUUUCAUUUUCAGCCGUUCAUUUUGAGGCUACUCGUUUACUAGACAAACGAAAUCAAAAAAUUAUGAAAUUUGGUUUCUAGGUAGUUCCAACAGUGUAGAUCAUGUCUAAUAGAACCGAUCGCCAAAUCGGAUGUCCCAUUAUUAAAAACAACUUACAAAUACGGAGGCUCCCGUACUUUCGAAAGCAUAAGAGCCUGGCUAUAUAUAUAUAUAUAUAUAUAUAUAAACUUAACUAAAAUAUAAAAUACUAUAGCUUCAAAUUGUAGAAUCUCGAAUGCCAGACCAUUAAAUUCUUAGUAUCUAUACUAAGUACGAUCGGAUUUUUUUGUUGCUAGUAUUUUUAUGGCAUAGAUGAUUUAUAUAGCAUUUCAAGCUGAACGUUUCAGUACGCGCUGACUAUAAAUAAUAUACAAUAAACUUUUUAAAAACUUUAUGUAUUUGAAAUUAUUAUGCAGUGCAUUUUACUCCUGCAUACCACCGCCCUAGAGCAAGUGGCUAAAAAGGCUUAUGUUGCUACCCAGACACAUAAGUGUCGUGACUGAUUGAUUCAUUUCCGUCGGCCUUAAGUUUAAUUUCUAAAUGAAAUAAACCGAAGCGGGGGUAGCGUGCUACUAUCCUUCUCAAAAAAAAAAUUCUCCUGCAUAAUCCCAUUGGCGUGCUAUUAAUUGGAUCACUAUUACUACAAUACAAUUUCAAACUCAAAUAAUUUAAGAACAAGCUUAUUGUUAUCGAAAAUCCGGUUCAAGUUAAAAAUUCUUAGUCUAAGAUAUAUUAUACUAUAUAUAUAUAUAUAUAUUAGCUUAUAAUUAUAUAUUUAUAAGUGUUGAAUUAAUCAAAGUUGUACAACUAGUUGGGAUAGAAAUUAAUAAGUGUGAUAAGUAUAUUGAUUAUCUUCUUUGGAUAUUUUGUAAAUGAUGGUUGUCGCGAUAGAGGCGAGCAACUUGUCCUUUAAAGGAGAAGAGGUUCGGCACCUGAAAACGCCUGAGUGAGAAUUAGAGGAGAUAUAUAUUUUUUUUUAAAAAAAAAGAAAUAAAAAGAAAAAGAGUAAAUAAAGAAGAGCGGCCACGCUUGAAAAGGAUGCUUUAUUUUUUGGGGAGUGGAAGAGCAGUGGAAACAUUAGAUUAAAAAAUAUAACAUAUAUAUAUAUAUAUAUAUAUAUAUAUAUAUAUAUAUAUAUAUAUAUAUAAUAUAUGGAGAGGUAGUGGAAACAUUAAUUAUUUCAUUAGAUUAAAUUAUAUAUAUAUAGUAUAUUAUAUAUUAAUUAUAUAUAUAUAUAUGUGAGACUACUAUGCUAUCGAAAGUAUGGAGCCUUUCGUGCUUCUAGCUCGUUUCGAUGUUGCGAUUUUCGAAUCGUGAUCGGCUCUGUUAAACUUGAUCUAGAAGUAUUUGAGUACAUAGAAAAUAAAUUUUUUAUUUUUCGAUAUCAUUUGCCUAGUGAUCGAAUGGGCUCAAAAUCAACAAAUUUCAAUGGCCGUAGUGAGCGCUUUGCAAGUUUAACGGUGUAAAAAUAUUCAAAUCAGCGUGAAAUUUUGAUGAAAAUUUUUUAUACUAUAUAAAACAAGAUCAAUAUCCUUGAUUUAAAAUUUUAAUGUCAUAUUAUUACAUUUUGUAGAUUUUUAUUUUCAGCGUUGAUUUUGAGCCUUCGUUCAUUAGGCAAAUGAUAUCGUAAAAUCAUAAAAUUAUUUUCUAGGUACUUCAAAUACUCUAGAUCAACUCUAACGGAUAUAUAUAUAUAUAUAUAUAUAUAUAUAAUAUAUAUAUAUAUUAGUUGCGGCUAGGAUGCUUAUGGAAGCACGGAGGGCUCCGUGCUUUCAUUUUGUUUUCGAUGUUCGACUUUCGAAUCGACGAUCGGCUCCGUUAGAGUUGAUUUAGAGUAUUUGAAUACCUAGAAAAUAAAUUUGUGAUUUUCGAUAUCAUUUGACUAGUGACGAAGGGGCUCAAAAUCAAUAAUUUUAAUGGCCGUAGUGAGCCGGUUGCAAGUUUAACGUGUAUAGAAUAUUCAAAUUACUGAAAUUUUGAUGAAAAUUCUUUAUACCAUAUAAAACAGAUCAAUAAUUUUUAUCUAAAAUUUUAAUUCAUUUCAUCAUAUUUUGUAAGAUUUUUAUUUUCAGCCAUUGAUUUGAGCCACUUCGAUCAUUAGCAAAUGAUAAUCGAAAAAUCGCUAAAUUUAUUUCUAGAUACUUCAAAUACUCUAGAUCACUCUAACGGAGCCGAUCGUCGGUUCGAAAGUCCGACAUCGAAAAUAACUUAGAAGCACGAGGACUCCGUGCUAUCAUAAACAUACUAGUCCACUAUAUAUAUAUAUAUAUAUAUAUAUAUUAUAAUAUAUAUAUAUAUAUAUAUAUAUAGCUCGCAACGGACUAAAAUAAAUGCUUCACUCUAUAUUUUAGGAGCUUGUGAAAGUUUUUAGACCAAAAGACAAUUCUUUUGGUAAUAGUAGAAAAAGAGAACAAAUAUUAUAAAAAUAUCGAGCUCGGUAAUUCAAUAGUAAAGUGUGUUGACACUAUUACUAGUCAAAAAAAAAAAAAAGACUAAAAUUGAGUACAUUAACUAAUUACAGAUAGUUAAUUGCAUUAAAGUAACAUAUGAAUGCUUGUUUUUUUCUCUCUCCAAAGAAAAUGCAAUUAAUAGAGUACUCCUAGUAAUUAACUUGAUCUCUUUGUAGCUCUUUGGCGAGUUAUGUAGAUAAUUUUGCAAAUAUAUUUUUAAAAAAGUAUUUUUGCACUGAUGUUAAUGGUCACUUGGAAUUCUUGUUAAGUUUUUCUUUUUUUAAAAAAUAAUUUGAUGGUGUUUAGUCGUCUUCAAUGCACGUGCCUAUCAUUUCACAUGGACCAUAAAACAUAAACCAAAUCAAAAUACCACAUAAGCUAAACAACACCAACAUUCGACAAACCAAUUAAUUAAGAUCCAUCAUCAAAAAAUAUUAUUUCACAUUUUAACAGUUUGGCUCAACUUUAGCAUUUACUUUUAGCUUAUGUAAACACUGGUAGUGUAUUUGACAGAUAGAGAAAGAUAAACCUUUUGUUAUGGAGUGAAGCAUAGAAAUAAUAUUGUUGAGUCUAAAAAUAGAGUUCAAUUUGAUAUUUUUAGUUUUGUUCCAUAUAGAAUGAAAAUUUUGGAGGUGAUAAUAUAGGAGUCCAGCUUCUAUUCUCUUAAUAUGAUAAAAGUUUUUGUUCUAUCAAGUUCUUUUGUUUAAUCGAGACUCUAAAUUGAGAAUUGACACUGUUGCAAUUGAUCUACACUAUUAGAAACAUUUAGAAAUUUUGAAUUUUGUAAUUUUGAAAAAGUCCAUCAAAGAGUCAAAAAAUGAACAGUAAAAAAUAAAUAAUUUUUUAAAAAUAAAGGCUAGACUUUUUAAUUCAUGAUCAGAAUUAUCAAACGUUAUCUACGUAGUAUAAAAAAAUUUCUAUUAAAAAUUCAAGUAAUUUGAAUUGCUCUAUACCGUUAAACAAGCAAAAAGCUCAUAUGGGCCAUUAAAAACUAUAAAUUUUGCAAUCAUUUAUAUUAAAAAUUCAAGCGAUUUGAAUUGCCCUACGUGCGAGUGUACAUUGGAACCUAAUAAAAAAUUCAAAAUCAACAACAAUAUAUAUAUAUAUAUAUAUAUAUAUAGAGAGAGAGAGAGAGAGAGAGAGGCUGGUAUGCUUCUGAAAGUCCAAAUUGUUUUUAAUUUGAUCUAGAGUAUUUGAAAUAUAUAGAAAAUAAAUUUUAUGAUUUUUUAAUAUUACUUGCCUAGUGAUCGAAGGGUUAAAAAUCAAUAAUUUUAAUGACCGUGACGAACUGUUUGCAAGUUUAACGGUAUAAAAAUAUUCAAAUCGCGUGAAAUUUUGAUAGAAAAUUUUCUAUACUAUAUAAAACAAGAUCAAUAUAUUUGAUCUAAAAUUUUAACUUUAUAUCAUCACAUUUUAUAAAAUUUUUAUUUUCAGCUAUUGAUUUUGAUCUAUUUCGAUUACUAGGCAGAUGAUAUCAAAAAAUCACAAAAUUUAUUUUUUAAGUACUUCAAAUAUUUUAGAUUGAGUUUAACGGAACCAAUCGUCGAUUCGAAAGUUUCAACAUCGAAAACGAUUUGAAAAUACGAAAGGCUCCAUGCAAGUAUACCAGCCACACUUUAUAUAUAUAUAUUGCCGUCACUGGAUGUUUAAGCACAUCUCACACACCGUCCUCGAUAAAUACCAUGAUAGUGGUUGAAUAAUUGACGCCUAUUUACUCACUAAUACGUACAAAAAACAAUAGAAUUUUCAAACUAAAACUCUAAAUCACAUCUAUCUAUUGCCGAAAAUUAGAUGCGAAUCGUGAGGCAUUCGGACACACCGGGUGCAGGUAUUUCUCAGAAGGCUAAAUUAAACUUUUGUUUCUCAAACUACGGCGCAUGCUAUUUUGGCCUUUUUGGUUCGAGUUUUUUAAAUUAUUAUAAUUAAAUUUCAUAGUCUAACUUAGUUAACUAGAUAUUAAUAUAUCGAAAAAUAAAAAUAAUGAAAUAGUAUUGUGAUUAAUGAUAUGACAAUAAUUCAGGUAUCACAUUACUUCUACCGUUGCUGACUUUGUCUUCCUUUUAUUUUUUCACUUGUAUAACUUAAUUAUAAUAAUAAUAAAAUUUGAAUAAAAAAUUAUUAUAAAUAAAAAAUUGAGUAUUAUAAUAUCACCUCUCUUGUAGUGUAAUGUGUGAGGAUCAAAAGUAUAGCUUAGCCUUCUGUAGAAAGAACUGGGACUCACUCGACCCCCUCGUCCGUCCUAUCUAUAAUACCCAUCUCGCUUCAUUUAUAUUAUUUAAAAAUAAAUUUAAUUAAAAAUAUAAAUCAAUUAAAAUUAGUAUUUAAGAUUUUAAAUAUCAAUCAUCAAAUUUUUUAUCACCUGCACUAAGUACGAUCGUUAUACCUCAAUUAUUUAUGAUCUUACAUUUGUAGUGCCACAUUGGCGCCAAAUUAAUGGACCUGGUCAGGAUCAGCAUUCCCCGCCGAUUCGCUUUCCUAGUGCGCUCGAGGUUGUCGUGUCCGACCCAAUAAAGAGACCCCACCACAUUCGUACCCACGCCCCAUCACCCUCCAUCUUGUCAUAUCCCUACUUACAUGUCCACCACCCACACAUCGAUUUAAGGUUAAAAUUGUAAUUCAAAAAUGAAAACUGUUUUUUUUUUUUGAAAAAAAAAAACCUCCAAAACCUUUUUAAUUACAGGCCAUUUUAGAAAAAGUAUUGCCACAAAUUAAUUUCUCUAAAUGUUGACUCUUCUCGAUUGCUGACGUGUUAAAAAUAUACAUAGUAUAAGAGGUUUCAAAUUAUUAUUUUUUUAAAUAAUAAAGUUUGCUUGUUGAUUCUCACCAAAUGAUCAAUCAAAUUAAGUAAUUACACUCACUCACAUAGUCACAUUCUCUCUUGUAAGGGGUCAUCAAUUAAUAAACUAUGAUAUCCAUUAGAGAGAAUAAGGAGGGGUAAUUAAACUAAAUUAAAUCAGCAACAGCUGAGACAUAAUCGAACAUUCUACAGAAAGUGACAAAAAGUUUGAUGAUUGAUACUCGAGCUUCCAAAUUUGAAUUCUAAUUAAUUUACAUUUCAAACUAAGUGUAUUCCUAAAUGAAAUAAACAAAAAUUACCUUAUCUCUCUAANAAAAAAAAAAAAAACACAGCUGAGACAUAAUAACGUCUUAUUCAGAGAUUGCUCGUGGGGGCUACUGCUACUCCCCAGUCCCCUCCUCCUCACUCGUAUUUAGACCCCCCCACCACUCCUCACUUCACCACCACCACCACCACCCUCUCACCACCUUAAUCACUCAAUAUCACUCUCCUUUCAUAAGUUAAAGGAGGAAUAUAUAUAAAAAUAUAUACACGCGCGCGUGUGUGUGUAUACAUAUAUACUGACUAGGUGGUGUUAGCUGCAGCAGCGGCGGCGGUCGGUAAGAAAUGGCGGAUGCGAAUGCGAAGCAGAUAUGCGGCGUGCCGGAGAGGGUCCAGCUGCAUGUGGCCAUGCUGGCCCUCCAGUUCGGCUACGCUGGCUUCCACAUCGUGUCGCGGCUCGCGCUCAACAUGGGGAUCAGCAAGGUCGUGUUCCCGGUCUACCGGAACAUCAUCGCCUUGAUCCUCCUCAUUCCCUUCGCAUAUUUCCUCGAAAAGUACGAUCACUUUUUUUUGAGAGAUACAUAGCGUGCUACUGAGAAAUAGGAAUUAAUUAAAAUUCGAAUUUGGAAUCUCGAAUAUCAACUAUCAAAUAUUUUGUCACUUGCUUGGCGCUAGAGCUGAUCGAUAGUACAAUUACUUUCUGAUCACUGAUCACUGCAUGUACAGUAACGUACAAAUUAGUAAACAACAAGCAAAUUCAACGAAUGUAUAUAUACGCGUGACAAAAAUAUAGUUUCAUUUUAUUUUUUCUUUCAUGCAAAAAAAAAAAUGAAGUAAUAAUUCAUUAAUUACAUGUUCAAUUUAUUUUUGUAGGAAGGACAGGCCCGCCAUCACACUUAACUUCCUCGUUCAAUUCUUCCUGCUUGCGCUCUGCGGGUAAUUAAUUAAUUAACAUAUAUUUGGCACUAAUUACUCAGAUUGAUUUGAGAAUUUUAAUCUUCGUAUUUAUGUACGCAACAUAUAUAGUAUAACUGCGAACCAAGGAUUCUACUUACUGGGUUUGGACAACACUUCCCCGACCUUCGCAUCCGCGAUCCAAAACUCCGUCCCCGCCAUCACCUUCCUCAUGGCCGCUGCUCUGAGGUGACUGUUUUGCUUUAAAAGUUUAAACUAUCAGAGAACAGUAUUUUAAUUAACCUUUUUUCCGCCGCAGGAUCGAGAAGGUGCGUCUCGACCGCCGCGAUGGCAUCGCGAAGCUCGUGGGCACGCUGGCCUGCGUCGCGGGCGCGUCGGUGAUAACCCUCUACAAAGGCCCGACCAUAUUCACGCCCUCGCACAACGUAAACAGCAACAACGCCGUCGCCGCCGCCGCUGUCGAAGCGUCGGAAAAGGCGCUCCUGUGGGUGAACGAUCCCAAGGGGAAGAACUGGACGCUGGGGUGCUUGUACCUGAUCGGGCACUGCUUGUCGUGGUCGGGGUGGCUGGUGCUGCAAGCCCCCGUGCUGAAGAAGUACCCGGCGCGGCUCUCCGUCACGUCGUAUACGUGCUUCUUCGGCGUGAUACAGUUUCUGAUCAUUGCGGCGUUCAUCGAGAGAGACGCAGAGGCUUGGAUUUUCCACUCCGGCUCGGAGCUCUUCACUAUCCUCUAUGCGGUAAUAAGAGUUUUACUUGGUGUGUUUAUGUUACGUACCUGCAUGCUAGUAGUGCUUCAUGGCACAGAAGUUUUAACUUAAACUUUUUAAUUCACAAAUAAGAAUUAAUAUAGUAGUGCUUCUUCUAAUAGCACUAUUCUAAUUGCAUUUUACUCGGCCUUUUAGCAAUAUUGUUAAAUAAUUCCUUACAUAGCAGAAGUAAAAGUGAAAAGUGAAAAGUGAAGCUUAAAUGAUUAUUUGACAACCUAUUCUGAACGAGAAAAAUUUUAAAAAGAAAAUUUCUAAAUGCUCCUGGUUUUACUAUUUGGAAGCAGAAAAAAUAUUUGAAAAAAAACAGAUACAGUUAUUUCUGAGCAUAACUAAUUGCGAUCUCAUUAUGACGUGUCUAAGCUUAUAAUAUGCAGUGCUAUGAUCGGUCACAACAGCCUAAAAGUAUGCACCAACUCCAAAGGUUUCUGAAAUGGAUAUUUAGUUAAGGAAUGUCCGUAGUGAGUUGUGUUAUCUUUUUCACCUUUUUUUUUGACCCAUAUGGUGAUGGCAUAGAUGGAAAUGGACCAAACAAAUUAAAUAAAUAAUAUAUAGAAAGUUGGUGUGGCAAUUGUAUCCUUCUUUGGAAGGAGGAAAGAGAAAGAAGGGAGAGAGAGUGAGAGAGAGCUACAGGAAGUGCUCCUUUGCUUUGCUUCUCUACUUGGUCAGAAGCUUUAAAUGAAUUGGUUAAAGCUACCUUUGGACUUAGCUUUUCCACUUCAGAGGUGUGAAAUCUAAUAUUAAAACAUAUAUGUAGCAUAAAGUUGAAAUUAGUGGUAAACAUAAUGGGAUAAGCCUUUCUUUUAUGCCUUCGCUUUAACUUUAUUCAUAAUAAUACUAGCUAGUUAUAAUUACAAGUAUAAUAAAUUGCAAGGGCUCCAUUAUAUAAUCUUUUGAUGUGCAAAUGACAUCAUUAGAGGAGAAAGGAUUUCCUUUUGGUCAUGCCUACACUGUUUCACCAGAUGAAAAGAGCACCAAAAAAUUCCUCUUCAAAGGGGGCAUGUGCCAGAAUACAUACUCAUUUGUCAUCAUGCUGUACUUGCCAGAGUGUUAUGAUCACAUGGCAGCAACAGCUUCCUUUGAUUCCUCCAUGGAGUACAGCAAAUCUUUCAGGGUGUGCACCCUAGUUAUCUAGUGGAUGAGCAACUUAAUUUGGUCCCCCACAAAACAAAAAAGAAAAGGAAAAAAAAGAAGAAAGAAAUCUUACUUUUUCUAAAGUUAGGUAGAUAGAGCGCAGAAGGAUUUGAGUAGGUCUUGAGUUCGAGUCUCAUUUACAGAAACGAAAAAAAUAGAAAGAAAAAGAAAAACUAGUAGUAACAUAAUGCAUUACUUGCGUCGAGCAUCUUUACUAAGCUCAAAUAUAUAUAUGAACUCAUUUUUUAGGGUUUCAUUGCGUCUGGAGUGGCGUUCGCAGUCCAGAUAUGGUGCAUCGACCGUGGCGGUCCUGUGUUUGUGGCCGUUUAUCAACCCGUCCAGACUCUCGUCGUCGCCAUCAUGGCCUCUAUCGCUCUCGGAGAGCAAUUCUACCUCGGAGGGUACCGAAUCGAAAUAACUAAUCUAACUGCACAUAAAAUAGCAAGCAUGAAAUUUCUAAUUUGCUUCUUUUUGCUAUUGAUCUUUUUGGUGCAGGAUCAUUGGAGCCAUAUUGAUCAUAAUUGGGCUAUACUUGGUUCUCUGGGGCAAAAGUGAGGAGAGGGCAUUUGCUAUAAAAGAGGCAAUAAUUUUGGCUUCCUCAAACAGUGAAGAUAACAGCCAUAGAGCAAGUGCUGUUUCCUUCAAGGCUUCUUCCCUGAAUCAACCACUACUUCCCUCAUCUACCUCGGAAAGCGUGUGACAAGAACUAUAAUUAAUCCCUCUCUUGGAGAUCUAUGUAUGGGCUCAUGUUUAUGUUUACGCAAUAUUUAAUGUUGUGAAGAAGCAAGUUAAGAAUGGGGUUGUAGUGUGUGAGAGCAUAGACUUAGAUUUGUUUACUCAAAAGUUAACUACUACUACUAGGGUUUACUCACUGCAGUUGAUGGGUUGGUGCACAGUGAGUGCUAGAAGGAUUGUGUUGGUAGCUACUAGAUCUUUGUUCAAAAGAAGCUAUGAGGUUUGCAUUUGGUUUGUUAUGUUCUUGUCCUUUUCUCUUCCCAUGCUUGUGAGUGGCAAACUUGCAAAAGAGAAUCAAGCAUCUAUUUUGUCCUUUAGCUUGAUAUAUAUUAUUGAGUGAUUGAUAAGAUAAAAGAGUUACUGGAGAUCUACAUACAUAGAUAGGAAUAUAUAUUUCUACUUGACCAGUCCUCUCAGUUUCUGAAAAUGUUUCUCAGAAUAUUAUUAAUGAUCAUCCUAGCAUAUACAUGCAGAUCAUAGUGAGUAAUUUAGAUUUUUCGAAUUUUUGUGACCAUGUUUUCAUUUCAUUAUAUAUGAUCUCUAUUUAUUUUUGGCACACAAAGAAUAUUAUCUCACUCAUGUAAGUAUAUAUCCUUUUUCACGUCUGAAAUAACCGAACCGCUUAAUUAAUAGCUUCCAUGCAUGUAUAGGAAGCAGAUUUUUCAAAAACAUUCUGCGGAAGUAUGCGAGGCUGGUUGAUUUGUCGACAACAUUAACUUUGAGAUAUAUUAUUGCACAUACAUUACUCUAUGUCGGUUUUUCACUCCGAACACCAUUUUUUCUUAAGAUUGUAAGUGAGGAAAAAGAAAAGAGAGAAAAACAGUCAUAUGCAUUUAGAAGCAUAUAUUUAGAUGGCCCUGUUAAUGAUGAAAGGUGAGAAACACAAUGAAGCAUUAUAUAUCUUAUCUUUCACUAUUAAAUACCUAAUUGGAGGUUCCAAAGUCCCUUUGCAGUCUCUGUCACGCAUGAUCCACUAACUUGUACAAUAUUUGACCUGAACAUGACUUCUUUGUGAAGGCUCUAGAAGACCUUUGAUUCUUUGUUCUUAAUUGUGCCCCACUCAUAUUCCAGAGCAAUCAAAUGCUAUGCUUUCUUUCUUCUUCUUUUGUUUUUUGUUUCUUUAUGCAACUUUACAUAGGGGGGAAAUUUGAGGUGUCAUAUAUGGAGGGGUUAGUUAAUUUUGUGAUCUUAAGAGUGGUAUCAGUCCUCAAAGCUGGUACUUUACUAAUCAAAAUUCUAGUUUAUUAAAGAGGUUUUAAAAAGUGGUGGUGGUGUUUUGGGGUUCAGAAAAUAUUAAUAGUUGAUUUUAAUGCUAUGAUAACUAGAUUGUAUUUUGUGAUAACUAAUGCUUUAUUACCUUCAUGUACACAACAAGAUAAAGGAUAGGACAAAGAAGAGCAGGAGAAAUGUGAAAGUAUCACUGCUUUAGCCUAGCUUGUUGGCUUUAGCUGUUAAAGCUGAGAGGUCUAAUGGAAUAAUCCCAAACAAACUUGACUUGAAUUAGAUCCAAAUCACAAAUCCAGAUACGAGAUUUAGUUUUUUUUUUUUUUUUUUUUUUAGUGAUUGUUUUGUAUGGUAUUAGAGCUGGAGAUUCUGAAUUCUCUAUCAGGUGAAGACCGUUGAGGCUCUCCACGUCUUCAUGUUUUAUCAAGAAAUUCGCCAAAAUCUUUUCCAUUACUUUUUAAAUUCCCUCCAGCAAGGGAUGCUUUGCUUGCUUACAAUUCUAUAAUUUCUGUAUAAUUCAAUUUUUUUUCACUUCAUGAAUCAGGGCUUGAUCCUUAAGAUUCGCAGAUAUUAAAAAAGAAUCAUAAAAAAAAUACUUCCAUUUGAUGUAGUCUUAAUUAACAUGUACAAUUAUGAAUGCUGGUUGAAAUAAUAAGUUUUCAAAUUUAAAAACAAUUCAAAAAAGUUGGGCUUCUUAAGUGAGGCCCAAUUCCAACUUAAAUUUAUGGGCUUCGUGGACCAAGCACCACAGCAGGCCCAUAUUAAUUUAUGGCCCUGGCCCCUUUUGGGAUCACAUGGAGAUUGCGCUACCACAUUCUUUUACAUGCUUUCACUCAAACUCUAUUUUAUUUAUUAGCAUUUAAUAUACAUUCAUUCAUACCAAAUGAGUCUCUCUUCUUGUUUGGAAACAACGAAUGACACGUGUAGCGUGGACCUGGUUCACCAGUAAGCCAAAAGCCAACCCAAGUUUUUAAUCUUAGAGGUCGCAAAAUCUGAAAUAACCAAUGGAUGCAAUCUCUUGUUAUGAAGAAUCUAUCUACAUCUAAAAAAUUAUAAAGUUCAAAAAACCUUGAGGAGUAUGUUUUCUUAUUUUUAGUGGUUAUAGAGUUUCUUUUUUUUUUUUUUGAGAGAGAGAUAGGUAGCACGCUACCCGCUUCGUUUAUUUCAUUUAGAAAUAAACUUAGCUGGAAAUGUGAAUCAACUAGGAUUCAAACUUGGGCCUCGGAUACCAACUACCAAGCCCCUUACCACUUGCUCUAGGGAUGCUCUAGGGAUGGUAGUGGUUAUAGAGUUUCGAGUGUUGAAAGGUUAGUAGUCCACGGUAGACCCGGUCCUGGCAAAUGAAUUUUCCAUAGUCGGAACGUAGGCGGAACGCUCACAGCGGUCUCCAUAUGGAAUGGGUUUUAGUCCCACAUCGACUAGCGAGUGCUCUUUUCAGUCGCCAGGAUGCAUAAGAAGGGUGGGGUGUGGAUCAUUUUUCCAUACUUACCUGGACGGGGUCUAUGGGCGAUCAAGAAGGUCCAUGGCCUAGGCCCGCGGCCCGCAUUGCACUUUGUGGGUGCGCUGGCCUACCAUCUCCCCAAGUGGGAGAGUGGACGUCAUAAUUUGUGGUAGAGGGGGUACGCGCCACGCGCGGCCCCUGCCAAUUCAAAAGAUUUAAAUUUUUUAAAAUUUUAAAGUUUCAAAAGAUUAGAUAGUAUAAUUUAUAAUUUAUUUGAAAUCAUAAAUUAUUUUUAUGAAUGAAUGUUUAUUGUUUAUAAUUUUAGUUGUAUUGUUUAUUUUUUAAUUAAUUUUAAUUCUGGGGAGUAAAUAGUAUAUUUUGAUUUGAUUUUAAAAUUUAAGUGUUUCAGUUUUUGCAUGAAUAAAUUUUAAAGUUAAAAGUAUCUUCAAAUUAAACUAAGACAAUUAAAUAUUUGUUUAGCUCAAUUUUUUUUCCUGCUCUUUGGUGUUGAUCGAAACACCUUUGAUUGAGGGGUCUGUUUGCUUUACCAAAUUAAAGCAAAAUUUUGAAUCAACUAGAAUUUGAGUAAAUUUUUAUUUCACUUUUCUGUUCAAUAAAUUAAUAUUUUUUUAAAUCUUUUUUGUAAAUUAAAAGUUUUGAGUUUUAAUCGAAGAUUAGAUUUAGUAAACCAUUGAAAAAAUAUAAACAUUUACACUGAAAAUUACUUAAAUCUUUGUCCACUCUCUGAAAAACAAACAAACUCAUGAGCACUUUUCCUUGAAGUUCCCACCUUCUGGGGGCCCAAAAGGAGAAAAGCCCUUUAUCGCAAUGUUAGCAGCUGAUACCUUAUCCCCGACCCACCAAAGCCCCUAAUCUCGGCUUCUUCUCCUUCUCUCGACUCUGUCUGAUUUUCAUGGAGGAAGCAGUACUCGGCGUCGCCAUGGCCACCCACGCCAUCCUCGCCGCCGCUACCAUAUCCUUCUCCUCCCCUGCUCCUCUCCUUCCUCAUUCCUCUGCUCGCCCCUUCCACCCCGCCAUUAUCGCCCAACCCCUCAAGCUCCUCUUCCCCUCCCCCUCCGACGCCGCCGCUCCCAAGCCCCUCGCCGUGGUCGCCGCUCCCAAGCCCCUCGCCGUGGUCGCCGCCACCCAGAAGGCCGUCUCCGUCCUGAAGGGCUCCUCCCAUGUCGAGGGCCUCGUCACCCUCCUCCAGCAAGACGAUGGUCUCUCUCUCCAGCCUAAUCUCUCUCUCUCUCUCUCUCUCUCUCUCUCUAGCAUUGCUCUCCUUUGGGUUCGCUUCGUUUCAUCGUAUUGGCAAAUGGGUUUUUGCUCAAAAUUGAAGCUUUUCGUCGCUAUUGGGAAAAGUGUGAAUGGGUUUUCUCGGGAUUUUGUUCUAGCGGGAUUGAUCGAUGUGUUUGUGUUGACUAUUCAUUUCAUCAGUUUGGUUAUAUACUUGCUUAGUGUUCUGUUAGAGUAACUUCAUUGUAAGAAUAUAUGGUGAAUAUGAACAUUCUCUAACUUCGUUGUAAUUUUAGGAUGAUAAGUGAGUUAAUUUGUUAUAGUCGCUUGGUUCUUGCGUAGUUGUGUUGUGUUCUUAGCUCAUUUGUGAUGUGUUUCCAUGAAAAUUUUGAUUUCUGUUGAAUUUGCUAUAAUUUUUAAAGCAAGUUAUGAAUUAUAAUUAUAUAUAUAAUAUAUAACAAAUCAACAGGUCCUACAACAGUGUCAGUGCGCGUUACUGGACUAACCCCUGGACUUCAUGGCUUCCACCUUGUAAGCGGUUGUUAUUUUAUAUGAUUGUUUGCUGCUACUUAAAUAGAUGAUCGGCGUUCUCUAGUCAAAAUGCAUUCUUUUCUUUGUUGCAGCACGAGUAUGGCGACACCACCAAUGGCUGCAUAUCAACAGGUUUAACAUCUAUUCAACCAGUCGCUUAUACAGAUGCCAUUAUCAGCAGGUUCAGUAUUCGUUGAAUUGAUUAUAUUCUGCUGACGGAAGCUGCUCUUUAACUCGAUUUUCUUGAUGUUAUGUUGUUAUCUGAGCAGUCGAGCACAGCAUGUGGAAGUUUUCAGUAAUAAAGCAUUUGGCAAUUAAAUAGUUUGGAGCUUUGAUGUGGCAGAAGUUUCUGUAUCUGCCUCAUCCUAAGAAGAUUUUGAUGAAAAAGCUUAUAGUGCUUCUUUCAACAUCUAUGGUUGACCAUCACUUCUGCAGAAGCUCAAUUUGGGCCAAUUAGGCCCCUCAUAUCGUUAGAUUUACCAGCUUUUGCUGGAGGGGAAAAAAAGGAAAAUGUUCUUAAUGUUUCUGCAUGUAGUAUAGUACUUUUCUAAGGAAAAUGCAAUUUUGUUCACACAGGGCCACAUUUCAACCCAAGUAAUAUGACGCAUGGUGCUCCCAAAGAUGAAGUUCGUCAUGCGGGUGACCUGGGAAACAUAGUUGCCAAUGCCGAUGGUAUCACUGCAAGAGUAGUUGUAUUUUUUCUUUUUCUUUUUUUGUCCACCAUGUUGAAUUGACAUAUUUUCUUUUGGUCUAUGUUUGUUACUUUCAUGCAUAUAGGAAUAGCUGAGGCGACAAUUGUCGAUAACCAGGUAAACUUGAAUUCUAUACUUAAUAUGUUUAUAUAGAUUCUUUUCAACAUGCUCAGGCGAACCGCUUCUUUUCUUCAGAGACAAAAAAUUAAAAAACUUCUUUCUGCUUCUCAAUAAUUGCUUUCUCUGCUUGCUAAUACUUGGUUCUUUGCAAAUGUUGGAUCGGCUAAUUUUAAACCUUAGAUUCUUUUGAGUGGACCAAAUUCAGUUGUUGGAAGAGCCUUUGUGGUUCACGAGCUUGAGGAUGAUCUCGGGAAAGGUAAUGCUUGAUUUUUCAUCAACCAAGCUCCUGUUUCAUAGAAAAGCAUACAUCUGUUUUAAUUACAUAGUUCACAUUGUCCAUUCUUAUUGAGUUCUUAUUUGAAGUUUUGUUCUUUGGAUGCCUCUUGUCACAGGGGGCCAUGAGCUUAGCCUUACGACUGGAAAUGCUGGCGGACGAUUGGCCUGUGGUAUGCUAUCUAGCAACCUCUUUUUGUUGAAAUUGAUUGUUUUUUAUUUCCACUUAUAUGUCUCUGCCAAAAUAGUUCCUUAUUUUCUAGCUUUUCUUUUACAUGUAUUAAACUACUAUAAUUAUGAAAAAUUUCAAGAAGCAUGGGGUAGUGGCAUAAUUAAAAGUGAGACAAUGGCCCUAGGAUCGUGGUAAAUAUAACUCGGAUGUGGCAAUUGGAAUGAGAGUGGGAGUGUGUUUCUUGGAAUAGGAUUUAACUGAUCGGUGCUGUUGGGAAUGAUGCCUUGUCGUGGCUUAAGAGUAUACAAUACAUUAGGUGCAAUAAUGAGAUAAUGAAGGAACUGUUUAUUACAUUUUGAAAGGGAAUGCUAAACUUGAUGACCACUCUCUGAUUCCUGAAAAGAAGAAAAGAGCAAAAAGUUUCCGUGGAGGCUCUUUCAUGUACUUGAAGUCAAUAACCAAACAAAUUUUUUUUUUGCACUGAAGAAUAAUAUGGAGCUAUCCCCAUGUGAUGCACUUAAAACAAAAUGUGUAAAGCGUAGUGAAAAAUCUACGUAGCCACAGAAGUAAAACAAACCUAUACAGAAAGGGGGGGGGGGAGGUAGCCAUCACAGAAAAAAAGCUUUACCCACAGCCUGUGGCAGACAUGAGAUUUAAGGACUUGACCUGUUAAUUUACCAUUUUACAGUGAAACUAUUUCAAUCUAGCAGAGCUGUUUCUAAUUUAUCAUGUUUCAUGUUUCUCAGAAGUUAUUUAAUGUAAAGAUUAUGCUUGUGGCCGGUUUUGCAACACGGAUGCCCUUGCUGUGAUUCAGCAUUACUGUUCUUCAUACAUCAGCACUGAUGCCUGUGUUUUUGAGGGGCCACAAUUUAGAUAAUCUAUCAUACGUGAAUUUGUCUCAUUCCAACUUAUAUGGAUGCAUCUUAUAAAAAUUUUCUUUCAAACUUCGCGAGUCCGUCUACUAUACUAUUAUGAGUAUGAUCGCCCUCGUACUCAUAAUUGUUUUCGAUGAUAGAGCUUCCAAAUUGAUGAGCCACACCGUUAAAUAUUAUCUAGCGCAUUUAAAACGUCUAGAAAUCAAAUUUUAUAAUUUUUCGACAUCAUUUACCUUACGAUCAAAAGGUCACAAAAUUGACAAUUUUUAACGGCUAGUAUAGGAUAUUUGCUAGUUUAACGGUGUAAACGAAUUGAAAUUGGUUGAAUUUUUAAUAGGAAAUUUUAUUCACUACAUAGAUAAAGAUCAAUAACUCCGAUCUUAAAUUGAAGGAUCCGAUCAUCCAUUUUUAAGAUGUCGUUCGAUUUUGACCGUUCAUUUUAUACCCGCUUGAUAGACUUUAUUAUGAUUUCGAAAAAUUACGAAAUUUAUUUUCUAGAAGUUUGAAAUACUCUAGAUCAUAUUUAACAGAGUAUAUCGUCAAUUCGGAAGCUCCAUCAUUGAAAACAACUUAUGAGUACAAAGGGCUCAAUACUCAUAAGAGUAUAGUAGCCCUACUCCAAACUUCGCUCUUAGAUUGUUUGUUAUGUACGGUGAAAGCAUUGACUAUCAGCUCUUGAAACUUCGAUUCUCUAUUGAGGCAUUAACUAUUAGAGUAGAUGUAACAUUCCUUUUGUUAUUUUGCUGCAUUUACAGGUGUUGUUGGUUUGGCUCCAGUUUGAUUGAUUCAAUUCUGUGUCCGAGCUAGCUUCGUCAUGCUUGCGCUACGGAGUUGUAGUACUAUGCAUUACUUGGAUCCAACAUUCCGGCAUGUUGGGUGAGUGUUUAGUCAUGCUUUUGAUCUCUCUACUUACAUUGUCUUCCUAUGCCAUCUUUAAGCCUUCAAGAUUAGAUACAUAAGAAAAUGUAUUCAUGUGCAGCUGUAACUAUUACUGUACACUGAAUUCUGUGUACUUUUGGUAGAAAACUUUAAUCCAUAUAAAAUCAUAUUCUUGUACUUGUAGUGCUUAAAAUUAGUGGUACUUUUAUAAAAAGAAAAAAAGUAAAAACAAGUAUUAAGCAAGCAUAAAUAUAGAGAAAACUUAUCUUUGAAAAACACACAAAAGAAGCUUCUCUUCUGGUAGGUACAUAUUCCCAUGCCUUAGAGCACUUCUUUAACUUGAACACAAUCUCUUAGAAAAAUCCAACGAAGUGAAGAGGUAGGUACAACACAGCUAUAACACACUAAUGACCUUGUUUUCAUAUUUGAUAUUGAACCGUAUAUUUAAUUUUUAUGUACAAGUAACAUAAAAAGGAAUAAUACCCCAGUACCCAUAAAUCAUGUGUACAACUAAUGCUUCCUAAGCAAACCAAUUCUAAAAGAUACAGCAAAACACGUCAAGAACAUUUCAGAUAUAGCUUUGUCGGUGACAUUUUUACACUAAUCAAUUAGUUUGGGAGGGAGAUGGACACUUGUCCCAAAUUCCAUUUGAAAAUGGAUUCGAUCGUGUUUCUUAAUUUGUUUUUAUUAUUAUGCCACAUGGCGUAAUAUUGUUGAACACCGAGAAGGUCAACCACCACCAAAGUUUAUUCGGAUAAAACAAGGGUGUUUUUUUUUUUUUUUUUUUUUUUUUUUUUUUUUUUAGAGAUAGAUAACAUGCUACCCGCUUCGUUUAUAUACUUUUUUGACUAAAUUCCCAAAAAGAGAAAAACAAAAAUAAAAUCUUUCACUGCGGUCCCAUAUUUCAAUUAUUCUGAUUUUUUUAGGCAUUUUGAUACAGUGGUAAAGUGUAGGAUUAAAAUUGAUGUGACUGUUUUAUUUAAAGGAAUAAUUGAAAUAUGGGACCGCAGUGAAAGAUUUUAUUUUUGUUUUUCUCUUUUUGGGAAUUUAGUCAAAAAAGUAUAUAGUAGUUCUACUUGGGGAUAAGUUUAAUUACUAUACCAAAGCCCUGUCAAAAAUCAAAAUAUUCAACUUCUCAUUUUCCAAAUCAAAAUUUGAGGCGAGUUCGCAUAAAUUCUCCAAUACACUUCCUCAAUUUCCUCUCUACUUAAAAAUUGACUAAAUGGAAUUGUUGAAUUCCUUUAAAACACGCGUAAGGGAAUAUGACAUGAAAAAGAAUUUAAAAAAGAAAAAAAAGGGGUGGUUGACAUUCACACAAUACAAAUAACCAAAAACCGCGUGUUACCUGGGAAUGCAUUAAGAAAAAGAGAAAAGUGUUCCUCAAAAGUCCUCUUGACAACCUUAUCUCAAAGUGCUUAUCUACUCAAAAAGCAUGAUCUCACCAAUGACAAAAUCAAAUUAUUUAAAAGGUAAUUAAAUUUACUAGUGGUUUUGUUAGAUUUGGUAGUGUAUACCAGGUCUUUAGCAAAUAAAAACUACAGUCGAGGGGCCUCCGUAACAUUUGUCGCCUAAAUUGUGUUACUGUUAGUUCAAUUCAUACCCACCAGUGAGAUGCUGCUACUAAUUAUUGGAACACCAGUAGCAGCAGCCACAAGUUAAAAAGGGGGAGAUCUCUUUUCCCUUUGGUAAAGUAAAUAGUGGCUUCGCUGUUGCGCGAAGCACUUGCAACUAAAAAGGUGCUUCUUACAUAGGUACUCAAUAUUCAAUAUUUGGUAGUGAGAGUGUGCUUCGCCCCACACGCACGCGCGCACACACACACACACCCCUCCAAGUGGCUACUAGUAGAAGUGGUGGUGUUGUUGUAUGUUGACAUGCGAAUCGAUAUUUGUUUUGAGUCUCUUGGAACCACUCAAUGACUUGGAGCAUGUGGCUAUGGCUAACUCAGUCACAUGUCAACCAAUCCAACGAACGGAUGGUCGCUAUGCAAGGUAGAGAAACUAGUGCCUGUUCUUCUUAAUGCUUUUGCUUUUGAUUACAGUUAUCUUUAAUAAUAUGUUCUUUUAAUUUAAAAAGCUUGGACAGUUUUGCUGUAGUAGUAAGCAGGUUGUAGUUUUGUCACUUUUGUGUUCCAAAAAAAAAAAAGCAACGGUAACUUUGAGCUUCUGUAUCUACUGUAGAGAUAAGUUGUUAGUAGUAGAGCUUGAUAUAAUACUUCUUAUAAUAGCAUUUCUCAUACAACAUCAUCAAGCAAUUAAUAGUGUGUCCUAUAGCAAGAUCAAACUAGACCCAUUAACAUUUGAUAUUAUUUCAAUCGCUUUAUUUUAGUGCGACAUGGUACUAGCAAGUUGCCCUAUAUAGCAGUAUAUAUUGAGAGUUUGGAUACUAAGUUUCGAAUGGUAACCUAAGGGUCCAGUAUUAUUAUCUGGACCCUUAUUUGCUCAGAAAUAUAUCAAUUUGGACAUUUGCUAAGCAAGAAGUACCUAUCCAGGCCUUCAAAAGUAGAAUCUUCAGCUUGAGUAUAUUGUAAGUUGAUGAAGCUUAGUAAUUAAACUUGUAGAUCAACUUCUCUACUGUAAAGAGUAAAAUAACAAUAAUAAUAAUAAUAAAUAAUUUACAAACUAAAAGUCUAAAAUUUUUUGGUAUCACAGAAAAUGAGAAAAGAGUCCCCAAAAGCAGUUUAAGUUUUAACUUGAUGGGGCUAUCAAAAUUUUACUGCAGCUAGUAAGAAUCCUCCAUAGCUCAAAAGAGUCACAAAAGCUGCUUCUUUGAGAAUCUCAGUAUGCAGUGGAUGGUUUGGUAACCAACAUAAAUGACUUGGGUUUGCUUUAUUUAAUUAAUUAAUGGAGACUCACUUAACAACUAGCUACUAUUAAAGUAUCCAUCUCCUAAAGAGUGCCCAGCAUUGCACAUGAAGAUAAAGCACAACUGUAACAGAAAAGGUAAUGCAACCCACUUACACAUAACCAUUAAAUUAAUUAAUUAGAACUAAGCAAUAAAAAUAAUAGUAGGGUAUUAUUAUUGGUGGGUGUGAAUUAUUAAGGUAAGGUAACCACCCCCCCCACCAUGUGAAUAAUGACAAUGUCAAACACCAAACACACCCCCAUGUUUAUGGUCUUCGCACGCAAAGUCCACUCCAUACACUUACUCAAUUCUCUUUUCCUCCACACUACCAAAACGUGCACUUAAUUGACACCUAAAGCCUUUGAUAAAGUCAUCUGAACAACAGCUAUACUCGUUUCCUCUCAAAGCCUUGAAUCUUAGUUACUUCAUCAACUUGUUCUCUAUUUGGUCUAAGACUCGAAAUUAAGAUUAUUUUUGAAUCGUUAUCUAUCUAAUAUGAAUUAUUUAUCUGUUAUUAAGUUGUCUCUCGUGUUGUCUCCAUAAUACGACAACGAUCGAUGAUGUGGAAGUGUGACAUGUUGUAUUUUGAUGGCAUUAAUUGAUCAAUGUGGCACAAUGUUCAUGUGUUAGGGCCAACCCAUGUUUGAGAAGAUAAUCAUGAAGAUAAUUUUUUUUUUUUUUUUAAGGUAUGUGAGAAAAGAUGUAGAUUUAUCUAAAAAUAGAGAGAGAGAGAGAGAGAGAGAGAGAGAGAGAGUACAAGUGUGUGGGGGGCGUUAUCUAGUGGUCACCUUUUUCCAUCUCAUCUUUUUUAUUCUUUUUGCAUUAAAAUGUGAGGGGAGGGGGUUAGUUUGCUUGCAAACAAAACAAACUCGUGAGCCGAAAAAGAACCUGAUCCACGCCCCUUUCCUUCGAGGUGGAGAAAUCAACUACCACUUCCCAGACGGAGAGAGAGAGAGAGGUUUCCAUACUCUUCGUCUUUUUCUUUUUUUUUUUCUUAUCUUACACUUUACAACAAAAUACAAUAACCAAGUUUAACACUCUUGUUAAUACCGACCGUCCCUAGUACAAAUGGUAAAAGACUUAUGGUUGAUAUUCGAGAUCUCAAGUUCGAAUUUUAUCCAUCGGCUUGGUGGUUGGUAUCUGAAAUUCGAAGUUCGAAUUUUAGUUGAUUUACAUUUUUAGUUAAAUUUAUUUAAAAAAAAAAAAAAAAAUUUAGCUAAAAAUAUAAAUCAAUUAGGAUUCGAAUUUGGAACAAAAGAUACCAACCACCGAGUGCUUUGCAACAAGCGCCGAGGACGGUAGGUUAAAAAAGAAAAAAAAUAAUUUGUUGAUUCAGUAUUUAAGAAUAUUAUGGGAAACUAACAGGCUUAACAAUGAAUGAUUAAAAGAAUCCAAAGAAUCAAUGGUAAUUAAGCUGUAACAAUAAUAAUAAUUCACAUAAUAAUUCACAUAACAAGUUUUUUUUUUUUUUUUUCGGUCUAUAGAAUUCUAAGAAAUUUCACAAGUAAAUUGAAUAAAAUUCUAUGAUUAAUAAUGGCAAUCCACCAAAGCCGGGGCGAAGAAGACGAGCGCCGGCUUCGCCCCGAAGGCGAAGACGGGGGGAUUGGGGUAGCCGUUGGCGGCGGCGGGGGCGUCGUCGUCGGCCGGAGCGGGGAGGUUGAGAUCCAGCGGCAGCGGCAGCGGCGGCGGCGGCGGCGGCGGCUGCUUCUUCGCCUCCGCCGGGGGCUCCGCCGCGCUCAGCGGGCGGUGCCGCCGCAUGUGGCCGCCGAGCGCCUGCCCGGAGGCGAACUCCGACCCGCAGAUAGAGCACUCGUGAACCCUAAUUUUGUUGUUGUUGUUGUUGUUGUUGUUGUUGAUGAUGCUGUUGUUGUGGGAUGUAUUCGGCUUCGGCGGUGGAUCGAUGGAUGGGUGGAGGGGGAGGGGGAGGGGGAGGGUGAUGGGGAUGUCCUUAUCGUGCUCUCCGUCGCCGUCGUUGGGAUUGGGGUUGGGGAGAGGGGAGGCUUUGGGCUUGUCGUCGGUCCUCGGCUUCUUGUGGCUGGCGCGGUGGCCGCCGAGGGCUUGGAAAGAGGGGAAGCUCUUGUUGCACGUCUUGCACUCGUAGGCGGAGGGGGCGGCGGCGGCGGCGGAGGAGGAGUCGGCGGAGGAGCGCGGCCGGGGCGGGGAUCUCUCGGCGGGCGACGGGACGGGGGCGGCGCCGCCGUGGGCGAGGAGGAUGAGGCACUGGGCCAUGUCCUCGUCCUCAUCCGUGGCAGCGGCGGAGGUGCUGGAGCUCUCGGCGGCGGCGGCGGCGGCGGCGGCGGCGGAUGAUGACGACGAUGACGACGACGAUAGGGUUGGGGGGCGGAGGCGCUUGGUGCGCUUCCCCUUCACGAGGGCGCCGAGCAGGGAGGAGUCGACGCUAGGGUUCCCUUCUAGGGUUUCCAUUUUUGCUCCGUGAGAGAGAGAGAGAGAGAGAGAGAGAGAGAGAGAGGCGUUAUNGGAGGGGUUAGGGAGAUGUAAAAGGGUGUAACCGUUUUUGAUUUUGGGGGAGCUCACACUGGAUGGUACACACUCCUACACGGGAGUUUAAAUUAUAAAUAGAGAGAGAGAGAGAGAGAAAAGGGCGCAAGAGAAAAAUGUGGAGGGUAAAGUGGGAAAUGUGCGAGAUUAGGGGAGAAGGACAUGUGGCGUAAUUAGGUGGAAACUGGAGCGGUGUGGAGUGAACAACAAAGAGAGAGAGAGAGAGAGAGAGAGAGAGAGAGAGAGAGUGGUGUACUGGUGUGGACUGUGGAGAAAUAAAUAUUAAUUAAAAUUUUUAAUUUCUAUAGAUAGGGAGUGAGGAGAUGGGGGAGUUGGUGUUUGCUAUUUUUUGAGCAUUCUAUAGUGUGUGUACACUAGGCAUGACUAAGAUUUAUGGUUUAUUAGCAGUAGAAAUUAAAAUCUAAUCCGAAGCUUAUGUUAUUAAAAAUUAUAACUUUUAAAAAGUCCUGUAUAGUUUAGAAGCUUAUGUUAUUAAAAAUUAUAACUUUUAAAAAGUCCUGUAUAGUAUGUAAACAUUUUGACGGCCAUCCUGAUUUUGAUAUUUUUGAUCGGCUUAAAGGGAUCAGCAUUUUGUCUUAUAGUGAAAGACCAGAUCGAAUCGAGCUACAAUUGAGAUCUUCUAUAUCUAUACGCUUAAUUAAAUGAAUUAGGUGUAAUUUUCUAACGGCUUAAAAUUUUGAAAUUAAUGAUAGUGCCAAAGUUCCACAAUCUUUAGGCUACAAUGUUAGGUUAUUAUAUAGUGUACACAGAUGAUGUGCUUGUACACCAGGUGCAUGGACUUGGUUUAUCUUGUGAAGAGGGGGGAUUGGUUGGCCAAUCAUAGGUGGGGAAAUGACUCCAUAAAUGUAAGGAAGUGGACCACGAUAAAGCCAUGCUACCUCUCCUUCACUAUUCCUUGAAAACGAAUAUAUGUGUGUGUGUGUGUGUGUGUGUGUGUGUGUGUGAGAGAGAGAGAGAGAGAGAGAGAGAGAGAGAGAGAGAGAGAGAUUCGGUUGGGUGCUUUGAAGCAAACCCAUUUCUUUUGUGCAACGAUUCGUGUUGAUAGGAUUGGACUACAAGCCAAGAACCACAAGAUUUUGAGCUCAUAUUUUCCCAUUUUUAUCAUUAUUCUUUUUCCCCCUUAAAUAUAUAUAUAUAUAUAUAUAUAUAUUGUAAUAUUUUUACAAAGCUUGGGUUGGUCCCCAAUGCUAAACAAGGGGUUGAAGCAACUCCCUUAAAACUACUACUAGUAGUAAGGAUAUAGUGGGCACUGGUACUAGUGGUGCUGGUCUAAGCAACUGCCACAUUUGUGGCUACUAUGAACUCCAAUAUAUAUAUAUAUAUAUAUAUAUAUUUGUCUCCAUAUAUAUGCGCAAAAAAUAAAUAAAAGAGUAAAGUUAAUGCAUUCAUCUAUAUUUUCUGCAAGUAGUUGAUGACAAGCGAAGCAUGAUAAGAAAGUAAUGAACUAAUCGAUCUUGUUAGGUUGCAGGAACUUCUCCUUUUCUUUGGCAGAUGGGAUGUACUGUGCAUGUACGCGUCGUCCGAUAAUAAAAGCACUUAAAUAAACUAAUAUUUUCGUUAAUAUAUAGUGUAGGAACAUAUAUACAACUCUUCAAUGGUGACUUGUUCUUCUUCCGCUUUUUUUUUUUUUUUUUUGUUUUUUGCAAAGUCGGAUUAGUAUUAUUAUAAGUAGAGUGUGGUGGGUGUGCAAACUCCGUGGCAAAAGAGAGUUGUACAUAUUUGUGAUUUGUUGGGGACAAGUCAACUAGAAGUUAGGAGAUGAGUGGGGUUAAGUAGGGGAGAUACUUGGCGUAACCAAUUGUUGUUUAAUUAGUUGUGUGAGGCACGAAAGAGAAACUCCAACUUAGUUUCUUUCUCUCUUUCUCUCUCUCUCUCUCUCUCUCUAUUUGAUAUCAUAUGCUACUUAGGAGGUGGUGCAAGUAAGGGAUCGGUUGGUGGAGAGUUUGGCUAAGUCCAUUCCCUUCACUCCUCUCCAAUCCGAACUGCAUACAUAUCCUUAAUUUCUAUUACUAUAUUUAUCUGUGCAAUAGAUAUUUGUUCCUACACUAGCCCAACCUUAACUAUUAUUGGAAUAGUUAGGCUUGUUAUCCUAACUUUAUUUAUUGGUGUCACAAAUUGAUUGCCCUCGGAUCGUCAUAAAUUUCACAUCCAUUAGGUCAAAAUUUCUCUCUUUUUUUCCCACUGCUGCUCGUAAAUCAUAUGUUUACAUGUACUAUUGUUUCGUUCGAUCCAUAUGAUCGAGUCAGUAUAUAUAGCAGCUAAUUAUAAAUCCCUUCAGUUCAGUUAAUACAACAAGUUAACCUUUCACUCCUUGUCUUAAUUACAUGCCAAAUCUAACUAGGCUGUUCUUCAAUCUGCACAUAUAUAUAUAUUCUGUCCUACGUGAGGUUAAAUCGACAUCUCUCCUCUAAACUCUCAAAUUCGAACCUAGCUUAAUUGUUUUCUUAUUAUAUCAAUCUUUUUAAUGACGCAGAGUCGUCAGAGUUCGCGGGACUACUCACUUAAUUAGCUUGUGAUCCACUUCAUGCCAGCGAGUUGGUUGCAGCAAAGGAGGGGCUUCCAUUUGGGUGACAGAUAAUGUAAGCUUCCACCGUUAGCCAGAGACAGAUUCCGCGAUAAAUUAGUUCGGCAGAGAAGCUUAAAAAAUAAAUAAAGAUCCAUCCAUUAUUAGAACCAUAAUAUAAUAUAAGGAACAAAUUUAAAUAAUUAUUUGAUUAGUUAAUUAAUUAAUGAUUUGGGAUCAAGGAAACCAGUUCCCCCAUUAGAGUCCUAAUGCAUGAUUAAUAUACAGAUAAGUAUUUGGUUAUUAUUGUUGGCUCGCAAUUAGUGGCGUGGGGGUUGCCUUUUCUUAAUGUGUAACCCUUAAACCUUUGAUUAAUGGUGGGUACUCUUAUUCUUCCGAGAUGUAAUAUAUCCCAUGUACAUGUGCUCGAAUCUUAAUUUAAGGACCUGUUUGGAUACAUGAAAUUUUUUUCAAAGUACAAUUAGAUAUCUACAACAGUAUAUGUAAACUGUGAUCCACCACCAAUUCACACUUGAGCUCAGCUUUGGCCUAUAUUUACACUCUUGAGCAAGUCGGUUUUUGGGGGAUCCAUUUAAUUACUUUUUGGGUCCCCACAAGAAUCCUCUCCCUCCUUUUUAUUCUUUUGGUGAGAAUCAGAUGUUUAAUUUCCUACAAUCCAAUUCAGAGUUUACUCUCACAUCCUAUUCAGAUGUCUUAUCGUUGGGAUAUAUACUAAUCAUUUAUUAUUUUGUGUCAAAUUAUAUCCCUAUAAAUAUGCUAGGUUUACAUCGCUUUAAUUUCGUUUUAUGGUGCACUAGUUAGUUAAACAGCAGGAGUUCUUAGUAACCACAAUUAAUCUUCUUAAGUAACUUUUGGAGCUCGGAAACGUUGAGAACAAAAUGUACGUGUUUGUUGUAUUUUUGUGACACCGUAACCUUUCUUUAACGAUGGUGACCUCACACCGCACCUCAUACGUAAUCUCCGCCACCCAAAACUUUAAUUAAUUACUAACCCAUGAGACGUUUUUUUUUUCCCUUUUCACCUGCACCUUUUUCCGCUCGGAAAAGCACUUCUAGGAGCUGCACUUCUGCGUGCGUUGGAGAUCACGUGGAAAUCAUGCGAGUAAAUGGAGUGGCAUUAUAUGCACAGGGUUACUUUAGAUGAAAGUGAGUUAUACACUUUUUAAGCUUGGGUUUUUUUUUUUUUUUUUUUUUCCCCUCAUGUGAUACCCGUUUAGUUGAUUAAUUGCACCCUUUUUUUCUUUUUUUUUUUUGCUAAUUUAGUUAACAGUAGAUCUAAGCGAAUUAUCAUUCUUUAUAAGGUUUAGCUUGAAUGGUUGGACCGGUCGGGUUCUAAUAAUAUCAAUUAGACAAUGGUCAGAUUGGGUUAAGUCACGUUGUCAAUUAAUUUGUUCUCGUUCUUUGGGGGCCCGGCCCGAAGCGAGAGCAUUUUGGGCUCUAUCACGGCCUAAUUGGAUGGAUGGUCUCUGUUUGAAUGGUACAUAUUUACAAAUUACAAGCCAGUUCUAAUAGUAGAUUGGUAAAUUUCAAAAUAGUUUUUGAAUUAGAAAUUGUGAAAAUUGAGAGAUACCAAGGGUCCUAAAUAGUGAAAAUUGACUUGCCAUAAAAAUGAUUGGACAUUACUAUAAAAAUAUCAAACUUGUUUUAAUUAUAUGAAACAAUUUUUAUUCUCUAAAAACUUAAGCUAUCAGAUGAUGGUAUUUUUAUAUUUAUAUUAUAUAUCACUUAUGUGGCUUAUGACAAUCUUUUAUCAUACUAAAAGGCCAAAUAUUCUUGGAGCUCAAAUACCUUAUUUUUUGAAAUAUAUGAAUAAUGAAGGUUCGAACUAUUGAUCUCAAAUAUAAUGCUCGCGGAGUAGUCGUUGUAACUGUCCAAAACAUAUUAUUAACAUUUAGUAGGAUGGACCGACUGUCUCUAACGCAAGUGGCAAAGAAUUUGGUGAUUGAUAUCUGAUGUCCUAAGUUCGAAUCCUAGCUGAUUCACAUUUCCAGCUAAGUUUAUUUCUAGAAGAAAUAAACGAAGCGGGUAACAUGCUACCCUUCUUUCAAAAAAAAAAACAUUUAGUCGGAUGAUACGCACCAUUCAGAAAUAGUCUCAUAUACCUUGAAGUAUAGAAUUUUUACUAUUAUAAACUUGAGCCUCAUCAUAAUUUCAAGAGCGAGCCAUUCCAUUGUAAGAACCUCCAUACUUAAUCUUUAAGUACAAGGUGAGUUUGGAUAAUCUAUUUUGGGCAUGACCGCAUCGACUAUUAUCAUUCUUGGAAAAUACUCUACUCACUUGAAAUAAAAACUAUCUAAUUUUAGUAAUUCAUUAACCUCGAUCUAUUAAACACAACACUAGGGAUUAAUUAUCCAACUUCACUACAUUUAUUUCCUCACCACUUUGAUCCCUUCAUCAUCAUCUUAUAAAACAAAGAAUAUUUUUGACCCUUCGCCCACAUGUGCAAAUGGCGUUCGUGGUACUCUCAUCCUUCUUCGUGUUCGUUCUAAUUGGAGGUAAGUGUUUGGCCUCUUUAUAUAUAUUUCUACAACAUGUACGUAGUUUAUGGUUUAUUUGCUCCCCUUUGUAAUUGGUAUUAUCGAUUCUAAUAUAAAAUAACAACGUAGGAAUAGGUUAAUUGUUCACAUGGUAUAGUCCAAAUGAAUUAUUCUACAUGCGCCAGCGAAAACAGAAACAUAAAUAUAUAGCUUCAUUGAAGUGUAUAUCAAAUGCGGAGAAUCAAACGCGCGACCUUGAAGAACUGGAGAGCUAGGACAUAAUCUCCACAAUUACUGGUAUAUAUGGUUAUUCGUUGAUUAAACGCUAGAUAACAAACUAAUGUCCAUCAACGAUCAACAGUGUAAAUUUUCAUCUCAGGUUCGAAUGCGGCGACUAUAACCAUAACUAGCCAGUGCAAUUACACGAUCUGGCCCGUGAUCUGGUCGAAUCCGGGUUCGCCCGGUUUCCCCAACAUGUUCACAAGCAUCAAACUCCGCACAACCGAGUCCAAACACUUUAACAUCCCACACGGGUCGGGCUGGAUCUGGGCCCGGACCCACUGCACCAACUUCGGUAAUUCGUCGAGCACAUUUGUCUGCGCCACAGGCAACUGCCGCACCGGAGCAUUCUCCUGCGGCACAGGCCUGUCGCCGCCCAUCACCUUUGUUGAGCUCAAUAUUGGACCGUCCGGCAAACCUAACGGCGACGCGUACCAAGUCAGCGUCGCCGCGGGGUUCAACGUGCCGGUUGACGUCACCCCGCGAUAUGGACCGGAUUGUAGUAAUGCCGCGUGUGCGACGGACAUCAAUGCGGUGUGCCCGCCGGAGUUACGGGUGGUGAGGCGGGCCGGAGGGCCCACGAUCAGGUGCAUGAGCGGGUGCCAGGCCUUGGGGGACGAGGCCGACUGUUGCCUGGGCCGGUAUUGGGGGCCCGAUAAAUGCAGGCCCACUAAGUUUGCACUCAUGCUCAAGAGCCUGUGUCCCUCGGCCAAGAGCUUCGUUUACGAGAAUGCUUUUCGUUACUGCAGUGGGGGUUGGGAAUAUCUCGUGACAUUUUGUCCUGAAUAUUAGAUAAGAUGUAAUAUUUCGAUUUCAAGUGUUGUUUCCAGUUUACAGAAAAAACAUAUGGGUUAUUCAGGAAUGAUGAUGCCCCGCGUUUGAUUUUGUCCUUGGUAUUAGUUAUUCGCGCGUUCAGGUGGGUUGAUUUCGUAAAAACAAAUAGAGCUGAAAAAAUAAGAAACAAAAAAAAAAGAAUACAAAUAAAAAAAAUUGGAGAAGAAGCAGCUGCAGCUGCAGUUGAAGUAAAAAUAUAAGAAUAAAAAUAUAAAAAGAAUAGAAAAUGAAUAAGUGAAAAAUUAUAAAAAUAAUAUAUUAUUUAAAGAAAUAAUAAAAAUUGAGAAUUAAAAUAUCACAUGUCUUAUAGUUCGAGGCAUAAAUUAUAAUUAAUUAAAGUUUGAGGACUAAGCGUCACGUACCUCAUAGUUUGAAUAAGAAAAUAUAACUCAUUAAAAUUUGAGAACUUAAGUGUAGCGCGUCUUAUAGUUUGACUACCAAAAGCAUAAUUUAUCACUUUUAUAUUUUAAUUUUAUUUCAAAUGUAGACAAAGUUAAGCAUGGAUCAAUUUUGUUAUUACUUUAUGUAAUUUUUACAACUAAAUUUAUUAAAAUAAAUACUUAAUUUAAACUCCAAAUUUCUCUUUUAUUUUUUAUUGUACAAUUUAUAUUUAAUUGAUCAAUAUUAUAAAAUUUAAAUUUAUAUUCAAUACAUGCAAUGUAACUAUUUAAAAGUCAUAUAUAAAUAAUUAUAUUGUUUUAAAUUUUUAUAAGGAAAUAAAAAAAAAAUUAGAUUGAAUUAAAAGAAAAAAAAUCGGAUUCCUCAAUCCAAAUCAAAGUAUCAAAUAAAAAAAAAAGGACUUGAGCCACUCCCACCCCCACCCAACUGAGCCCCAUACUCACCCCCAACCUCACCCCCUCCCUUUGCCCCUCCAACUCCGUGCCACAUGGAUAACAAAAGUGAGGAUUCAUUAUAUGUAAUAGAUAUGUGUGUAGUAAAAGUGGGGAUUUAUUAUAUAUAAUAGAUUGAAUAAAAAAAAAAAAUCCGAUUCUUCAAUCCAAAUUAAAGUAUCAAGUAAAAAAAAAAGAACUUGGGCCACUCCCACUCCCACCCAACUGAGCCUUAUACUCACCCCCAAUCCUACCCCCUUCCCCUGCCCCUCCAGCUCCAUGCCACGUGGAUAACAAAGUGAGGAUUCAUUAUAUCUAAUCCACCUCCCACCCAACUGAGCCUUAUACUCAGCCCCAAACCCACCCCCUCCCCCUGCCUCUGCCCCUGGCCCUGCCGAGGAAUUCUACACUGUCACACUUAUACCACGUCAUCAAUAACAAACCAAUCACAUCCCUUCUUUUCAAACAAAAGUACAAUAAAAAUAUUUUUUUACAAUUGUGAUGGGACAUAUAUCUCUAAAAGAAAAAUUUUGAUUGGUUUGUGACGCCACGUCACCAAUGCACCCGAUGCAUUCUAGAAUUUUUCGCCCCUGCCCCUCUAGCUCUGUGCCGCGUGGAUAACAAAGUGAGGAUUCAUUAUAUGUAGAGUAAAUGAGUAAUAAUUCAAUACACCAUGUAAAUUUUGAUCAUUUAUUUUUUAAAUAGAUGGUUGAAAUAUAAUAUGAUUAUAAAGGCGACAUACUAUUCUGGCAUAGGUACCAUUCACCAGGUACCUAUUUAAAAGGUAUUUUGGUUUUAGAAAAAUAUUUUGGUGUACAAAACUAGUUUUAUCCAACUAAAAAUACUAUAACCUUCUCAAAUACCUACAAUAAUAGUUGGACUUUAAAUUACAACUAAACUGUAAAUUUAAAUACAAAUCAACAUAAAAAACUUAAUUAUAAAUCAAAUUCAACUUUUAAAUAUAAAACAUAAAUUUUAAAUAAAACUUUCAGUUCAAAUUCAAAAUUUUAAUUUAAAUCAAAAAUUAAAAUUUGGCUUUCAGAUUAAAANACCUAUUUAAAAGGUAUUUUGGUUUUAGAAAAAUAUUUUGGUGUACAAAACUUAAAAUUUGGCUUUCAGAUUAAAAGUGCAAGAUAGAUUCAAAAUUUAAAAGUUUAAUAUAAAUUUUGAAAUUAAAAUUUUACAUUACAGUACCAACUUCAAAACUUAAAUUUAAAUUCAAUAUUUUUUUGAGUUGGAUAACAAAUUGGGUAUUAUCUAAUAUGGUAAGUAACAAAACUAAAUAAGAUACUUAAUAUUAUAUGAUGCUAACAAAUUUAGUAUAUAUUACUAAUUUUUUUCAAUAUUGUCAUAUUAACUAAUUCAAAUCGGUAACCUGUUUAAUAGGUUACUUUAUGUAAAAUACAAUUAUACCCUUUACUAAUUAAGAGUUUGAUUUUAAUACUUAUAGUGUAUUGAAGUAUUGCUCUUAUAUAUAAUCCACUCCCCACCCAACUGAGCCUUAUACACACCCCCAAUCCCACCCCCUCCCCCUGCCCCUCUAGCUCCGUGCCACGUGGAUAACAAAAGUAAGAAUUCAUUAUAUGUAAUAGAUGUAAUAGAUAUGUGUAAUAAAAAUAAGGAUUUAUUAUAUGUAAUAGAUUGAAUUAAAAAAAUAAAUCGAUUCUUCAAUUCAAAUUAAAGUAUCAAGUAAAAAGAAAAGGACUUGGGCCACUCCCACCCCCACCCAACUGAGCCCCAUACUCACCCCCAACCCCACCCCCUUUCCCUGCUCCUCCAGCUCCUCCGUGCCACGUGGAUAACAAAAGUAAAGAUUCAUUAUAUGUAAUAGAUAUGUGUGUAACAAAAGUGAGAAUUCAUUAUAUGUAAUAGAUAUGUGUAUUUUUAUUCUCCAAUGUGUGAAAGAGAGUCCCGUCCUAGUCAUUUAUAGAAGCAAUUAAGGACCAUAAUUUAUUUGUAAUCUGCUGUAGAUAGAAAGGAGGAUACACAUUAAAUAUGCGGUAACAUGGCACACUGCUUCAAUUACAUAACGUCCAUUUCACACUUUGCAAAUGACCCAAUAAUGGCGCACCAAAUCCUUUUAAGUUAAUACUUUCUUCUUUACCAUAACCUUAUAAAUUCACAUCCUCUGCUUACUCCCCUUUUACAUUUUCACCACAACCCUCUCCUUAGCCAUUUCGCAUUUCAAAUCUCCCUUGUGUCUUCAAUGAUGGACUCUAAAGCCUUCUCCUUUCGCUUCUUCUUUUUCUUCAUAAUUUUCGAAGGUAAGGAACAAACGAAAAAGUUUAUAGCUUGUACUCGGUGCAUCUGUAUAAUACACAUUGUGCUCACGAAAAUACAGUGCAUAAAUAUAAAAGUAAAGUGGAGUGUAAAACAAUUUUGCUCAAAUUUUUGGUUCGGUCUCAGGUGCGCUUGCAGGAACACUAUUAAGUGUAAGAAACAACUGCACGUACAUAGUCUGGCCCGCGGUCUUGACGAAUCCAGACACACCCAGCCCGCCGGCAGAGUACUCGGGCUUUGAGCUCCCGGUCCAAGGGACUGCCUUCCUUCACAUGCCGGCGGGCUGGUCAGGCCUUUUGUGGGCCCGAACUCUCUGCGCCGUCAACAGCUCUGGCUCCUUCCUCUGCGCCACCGCCGACUGCCGCACGGGGCGGCUCGACUGCCGCGCUGUGCCGUCAGCCCCUGUCACGCUCAUCGAAUUCAGCCUCGGUGCGGCCGGCGGGAAAAAUGACGCAUACGACGUGUCCAUCGCCGCUGGUUUCAACGUGCCGGUCUCCGUGGAUCCACCGCCCAGGUCGCCGUCGUGCACCCCCGCGGCGUGUCCGAUGGACGUGAACGCAGUGUGCCCGCCGGAGCUGCAAAAGGUCAGCGGCGACGGGCACGUGAUCGCAUGCAUGAGCGCAUGCCAGGCCUUCAGCGACCCGGCGGACUGUUGUUUGGGCCAGUACAAGGACCCAUCCAAGUGCAAGCCCACCAAAUAUGGCCAGAUGUUUAAGCAUGCAUGUCCUAUGGCCGUGGGGUAUAUUUAUGACAAUGCUACUCGUUAUUGCCAAGGGGGUUCUGAUUAUUUGGUCACAUUUUGUCCUCAAAUGUAACUUUCCCAUUUAAACUCAUCAAGUUACAUUUCAAUUAUUCUUUGCACAGUUGGAGCAUGUCUAAAAGUGGCAAAUUUUGCUCCAUCUUCGCCGUUAUUUCUUGGUAAACUGCAUGAGGGGAACCUGACCUUAAUUUUCAGAAAAUUACACUUUGGUCACGCAACCUUUCAAUUAUUAUAAUAAAUUUUGGUCGCGAAUAAUGCAUAUGAGCUGUAAAUAUUACGACAUCUUCUACAGUUAUUUAUCCUAAUUAUUGAGAAAUUCAGUGCAUUUCAAUCAUAAACAACGACAUCUUCGAAUUUCAACAAGGAAAUUAUAUGCAGGAAAGCCAAAAUGAUGUCUCAGAAAAGGAGUUCCAUGUUAACCACAUCUCCUUUCAGCCUUCUUGUGGAGGCGGUGCCGCGAAUGGUGCCGGUGCUGCGAAUGGCGGCGCCGGCGAUGCUGCGAAUGGUGGUGGCGACGCAAAAGGCGGCGCCUGUGUUGCACCAAAGAUACCUGGAAACCAAGUCACAACAAGAAGCUCUUACUGGAUUUGAAGGAUAAAGAGAAAUGCUAAGUCCUCGGCUAUGUGAACAAGAGAGAAUGAAGCAAAGAGUUUUGUUAAUUAUGAGAAGAAUUAAUGGCUAACCACAGAGGAGAAGGUUAUCAGGCGGCGGGCGCUCCUUGGCUGGGUUGGGAUCAGGAUCGUGGACUCGCAAGUACAUCUCCUCGCCUAAGUACCAAUUCUCAAGGAUCUGCGAGCGCAGGUUCCACAUGCCCGGGUUGUCGAGGUAUGCAUAUACUGCUGUCCAUCCCUUAGGAUACACCUAAAUCCAGAAGAUAGUUAGUUUCAGGGGCAGAGAGAGAGAAAGAGAGAGAGAGAGAGAAACCUGAACGGUGGAGCGCACGACAGGAUCGAGUAAAUUGUAGGUGUCUCUUGAGGCAGGGGUCCAAUCGCCGUCACCAAAUCUUCAAAUUAACCAAAUGAUUCAAUCAGUUUGGUCCUCUUACACAAGGUGUCAAAAGUAACAUUUUAAAGUUCCUACUAUAGCUGAUUUUUUUGAUUUUUCUGUAGAAAUGAACUAACUGAAAAAUAGUAUUCAUAAGAAUGUGAUUCUUACCCAACCACAUAGAAGCCGAAACCAUCAAGAUGCCAUGAAUCCAUGAAAUCAAUUUCAUUCUUGAAAACAAUCUCCAGCCAACUCUUAUGAACUCCAGUGACCACCGAAGUCCCCAGCGCGGCUUCUUGAUUUACAGAGCUAGUUGGGAAGGCAUCAAGCUGGUAGACCCCGCUACCGUUCACAAAGUAGUCAGCAAGUUUGAGUGGGGUUGAGGGUGUCAUGUAGGAGACAUUGUUCACGGUGUAGCAGCGAUGGUUAUUCAGUUCUGCUUUAGAACCAACCAAGAUAAAUGUCUUUGAGAUAUUAGCAUGUCUCACGUUGAAUGUGCCCUGUGGGUUGGGCCUCGCAGCCCCUGCCGUCAUGUUCCACCUUCAAAACCAUAGUCAAGAAAUAGUUAACUACCUUCAUAUGAUUAAAUUUCACCGGACAUGAAAAAUAGUUGGCAUCAAAGCUUCGAAUCAAUAACUGAAGGCAAUACCUUAAUUGUUAAAUUUUUCGCAAUUUAAAGAAUUACCAUUCUUUCGUUAUAUUCGUAAUUUGAUGAUGCAGCUAAAUUUCAUUGGCAUAAAUAACACAUGCUCGAAUUUCGUAUUUGAGCAAACAAUGUUCACUCUUUCCAAGUGAAAGAGAUGAGAUUUUCUUAGCACACCUAAUUUGGCAUAUAUAGGUGAAAUUACCUGAUUGACCUCGCCUGAUCGAUGGAGAACUCGCGGUCCAACUGAUCAGGCCCCAGCGGAAGGGGUCCACUUAACUGGGCUUGCGACUUCAUGUAAUGCAGUCUCGCAAGACCAUUGAUGUUAGGGUAAUUGCUAGUAUCAAUUUGCGUUGGACUAGCCACAAUAUAAUAGUCUGAUUCCUGCUGGUUUGCCGUGAAUAAAACAGAAUACGAUUGGCCAACAUGAACAUCAAGUGAGUCCAGCACAAUCUGAUCAGUGUAGGAUCCUUCAGUCUCCACUAAAGUCAUUUGAUGGUCCUGAAUUCUGAAAUUAAAACUCAAUGCAUUUCCAACAUUUGAAAUCCUCAAGCGGUAUGUCUUCCCUGAAAAGAGAAGAAUGGGAAAAGUUAAUAAUAUAAAUACAUAAAGAAAACAAUAGAAAUAUAUAAGAUGAGAUAAUUAACUGCCCUUUUGGCCUGGCUUGUGGAAUAACUCCACUUCAAAAGGCAUUAGAAUUUACAAACCAUGUGCUUGACUAGAUUUUAAAUAAAACUGCAAAGAAAAUGUGCUUCUUUCAACUGCUCACAGUCAAAUGGAACUCCGCAAAAGCUCCAGAUAAACCAAACAAGCCCUACGUACUAAUGAAUUUUAAUAGCUGCUUAUCAGUGUAUGUGUGGGCAUGUAUCAUUUGAGAAAUUACUGCUACUUGGAUGAGACAUUUUAGCUGCUGUAUUUACAAUAGUUAUACUCACCAUUCUCCACUCUAAGGAACUCAUAUUUUCCUCCCCAAACAUUGUUAUAAGGGGCCUUUCCAUUGAUGAGAAUGUACCUUGCAGGAAUAAGACUGAAAUGCUUGCUUGAUACAAUUUGCCGAACCGCCUGCAGACAGCACUACAAACUAAAGGUCAUCCAAUUACAUAUACCUCUUGCACCCUUAGUACCAUCUAGCAGUACUGUGUUGGACAUAAAAAGGAAUCACUUUGAUCAACAAAAUGACAUAUCUUAAUGUCAAGGUAGGCGGCAACAUUCAUAGAGUAAAUCUAGAUAAAAAAGAUACAGGUCUUUUCAGAAAAUAUCUCCAACGAAUUUCAGUAACUUAUUUUUGUUUUGAUUAGACCUGCAGGUCAAUUGGCCCGUAGGCUCACAUGCUCUGAAGAUACUGCCCCGCCCAGUAAUCGAUACCGGAUCCCCAAGGUACCCUCCAGAACUCUUAGCUACUUGGGCUAGAGCUAGAUGGUAUUAACUAACUCUUUUACUUAACAACACUUACAUAGUUAAUUGGAUAAAGGAACAUACCUUGUAAGGAACAUUAUGCCAAUCCCCUACAAGGAGAUCAAAUUCUGCUUCUGGUUUGGGGAAAGGCACAGCGAUCACAUUGCGAUUGUUGACUCUAAUUGGACCGAACCCACCCGCAGCCUUUUGAAAUUUGGUCGAGAGGAAAUAGAAGAAGCUUCCGAUUUGGUCUUUCACUUGAAACACAUAUGUCCAGUUCCUACCAGGCUCUAUGGGACAGUUAGUACCAGAAACUCCAUCUUGCCAUGAGUUGAGUCUCUGUUGUAUGCCGUUCCUGCAUAAAAUAAUCUACAAUUUAGUAGGUUGUAGUUCAUUUCCCCCCUACCUUUCAAAAUUUUAGUAACAGAAAAACCUGGUUUUAAUGCAAUUGUUGCUUUCAUCUUUUAGCCCCACAUGAGUAUGAUUCAAAAAAUUUUUCUAAAUCUUGGUGAUUACGCACAACAUUAUGGAUAUAUAUGAAAAAAAAAAUGAAUUACAGAAGUCAAAGAACAUAUAUUAGCUACAGAAGGGGCUUGCUAUUGCAUAUGAUUUAAUUGGCAAAUAUACAAAAAAAAAAGAAAAAAAAGAAGUGAAGAACAACUUGGAAUAGACAGAAUUUUCUCAAAAAGUUGGAACGAACCAUACAUAUAUAAUUGGCCCUUCACUUAUAGAAAGCAUUGGAGAACAUUGUUAAUUUACACGGUAUAAGAAAAGGAAGUCUUCAAUUUCGAAGUCCCAUUAAGCUUCUAAGUAAACACUCUAUUCAUAUUCCAGAUGUGUUGGGAUACGUAAAAUGUAAUUCAUCUUUCUCUAAUAAUUAAGCUUUUUAAAAAAAUACAUACCAUGUCAUGAGCAAUGGUUCAUCAAUGUUAUUGAAGAUGUUCACAUGGAUCACGUCAUUUGUAGUUGAAUUGAUGAGGGGUCCGGGGAACAUUCCAUUAAUGGUGAUGACCUGAAUGAACGAAUUUACAGUUUUCGAUUAGCAAUUUAACACUUAAAUACGUAUAUUAUUCUAGACAAUAUAAGCAAGGAAACGAUUGUUACUGUAGAAUAUACAUACUGGUUGAUGCAUAAAAACAGGUCUAAUAUUCCAAUCAAAGGAGACAUUCCACUCAAGAAAGAUGUCAAUGGCUCCAGUUCCUGUGGCAAGAAGCGCAAGUACUGAACAUAUUACGAAAAUGCAUGGAAGGCAACACCCCAUGGCUUCGGAUAGAUUUCUUUGCUUAGAGACCUUCUCAUUAGUGCAAAAGGUGCAAGGCCCUUUAUGUUCUAUAUAUGCCAUCUGCAGUUCGUUCUUUGAGAACUGGUGGAAUUCUCCAACAAAAGAGAUGAUAAUAAGCCAAAGGACAAAAAAACACAAGAAACUCUUCCAUUCGUUAAUAACAAUGCAACAAUUAGUUAGUCUUCUAGUAAAACCGGCAAAUACUAGAUAAGCCAAUUAAGCCUGUGCUUAGAUGAAAGUCACACCUCUUAUCUUCUACAAUUUCUAGGAUAACUAAAUACGCAAUCUUGUGUAAUAAGUCUGUCCACAGUUGGCAUUAUUCUACACAGAGGAGUAUGACACUUUAUCGACUAAUGACAGAUGAAUUUCAUGGUCUCAUCAUUAGACAAAAUGAGCAUGGAGUGGGCGGAAAAGUUGGCUUAUUGACAACCUUUCUGAUCAAAUGUGCCAGCAAUGGGAGAAAGCAGGCCUUGCUAUGGUAGCAUUCUCGCAGUCACUGAGUAGCGAUAGUAUCACAAGAAUUAACAAAUUUAUGUCUUCUUUUGCACAAGCUGAGCAAGUUCUAAGAGGGGCCAAUCUAGAUUGAACCAACUAAUACACUUCUCUCAUUAAAUCAACAAUCAACUAGCCCCUCAAUUUUCUGCAGUGUGUCCCCUCUCCUGAACAACUGCAAUUAGGUUCAGAUCACAUGUCGCAAGUUUUUUUUCUGAACUAACACAUACCCACAACAUAGCGGAACAGAAGUAUAGAACAAUACCAUAGUUUUACAACCAGAAGAUCUGCCAAACAGAUAAAAUACUUAAAUUUAACAUAAGGGAAUUCACAAUGAUGAACUGUGCUUCAACUUGAAUUCAGAAUUGUCCAAGAAUUACAUUGUAAAGAUGGUAUAACUAAAAGACAAAUGUACUGAUCCUUCCAAAGACCGAAGACUGAAGUAUUGAUCUUUCCAAAGGCAUAUGCAGCCACUUCUGAAGACAAUUUCAUAUGGAUUUUCCUAGGUACAGCUACCAGAUACACCCAUAGCUUUGAAGUUUCAGCACCUUUCUAGAUCAUUGAUAUUCACAAAAAAAUAUUUAAUAAACUAGAGAUUGCAGCAGUGAUGCACUGUAUAUAACUUUUCAGCGUGCAAUAAGAUAAUAAAGAAGAUUAGAAUGCCUAGCAAAAUUACAAGUCUUAACAACAGAAAAAUCUUAACAAAAUUCCAUAAAUUUUAUCAUGGAUGGGACCAACCACAUCUCUGUGCCCAUCGAAUAGGGAGCCUAGAAGAUAGUUCUAAAAUGCAUUGAAACUAAUUCUCUUAAGAAGAAGAUGAAUAUCUCCAAAAGGCAGCUAUCUUAGAUCCUGAAAUAACACAGCCCACAAAAGACACAGUGGAGCAAUUAGAAAGUAAUCGUUAGAACACUAACCAACAGAAAAAGAGACAGUACUCAUGCAACAGAACAUCAAUUGGCUGAAAAUGCUACUAACCUCUCGGCGUAGCUAACCAUAAUACAAUAAGACCUAAAUUGUCUACAGAAACAAUUUCCAAGGAAAUUGAAGCCGAAUGUAAUUAUCUAAAACAGAUAAUUGGUAAAAGCCCUCCCAAUCCCAGCAAUACCAAAUUGUUCAGCACAAUUAGUAGCUCAGGAGCUCGUCUUACAGGUGUUGAUCCCAUCCUUGCAAUCGCUGGUGAGAUCAUUGAAUGUCUCAAUCUGCUUCUUCCCCCUCAAAAACACCUCAGUGUCUACUUCCAUCCUCAUAUAACCAUCAAACUCCACCGGAACCCCAUUAUUCAGGUUCUUCAUCUCCGUAUACCACUCGCUGUUCUCGCCCCACAAGUCCUUGAAGUCAUCGAGGAAGUGUGUCGUGUACUUAUCCUUCAGAGGGUCAAAAAAGGAUGUGCCUGGCUCAUUGGUCGCGAUGUACAGAUGCCUGCCAUCAUCGAUUUUGUUCCCAAGAGUGGCAAGCAGAGCCUCCGGCGAGGUGUCUGCCGCCAAAUUGGGCCACAGUGCAGUGUUCUUGGCCUUCUCCCCUCGCACCACAUGCACGGCAUCGAAAUCCCAGUUCAUCUUUGAUGCGAUCCCCGACACUAUAUCCAUCAACCGACGCGAUUUCCAGAGGAGGUGCCACGGGCGCUGGAUCACCGACUCUGUCUCCCCCUCGCAAACUCGAUACCAGUAGUUAUCUGGCUCCACCGAUCCAAACUUCCUCAUAAUAAGUGUAUCCUUCACUUCAGCGAGCUUCAUCGGCGUGACGUGGAAGUCCUCGACGAGGUGGAGGCUGAGCCGGUCCUUUUUCCGCCACUGCGUCCAAUCGGCCCAGAACUGGCUGUGAUUGAGAACCGAAGCGGAGUCCCUCAAAUGCUCGAAAUCGAAGUAGAAUCGAAAGUCCUUUCCCUCCUCAUCUUGCUUAGUCGAAGUAUACAUGGAAUUGAGGCAGAUGCUGAGAUCCAUGACCAGUGUUCGGUUGAGAUACUGGGCCUCGCCCAGCGAGCAGAGGAAGCUCCAGAGGUAGUGGUUCAUGCUCUUGCAGCGAUCGCCGCCGCCGACAUAGAUGAGGUACCUGCCGCGGCUGAACCCGGACUCGGACUCCACGACGGGGAGGGUGUCGUUGACGGUGUCGCCGACGACGGGGACGACGACGGCGGCGGCGCCGGCGGGCGCGGCCUCGGAGGCGGGAGGCGUGGCCGCUCCUGAAGGAGUUGAGGAGGAGGAGGCCGCGCGGGGGGAGGUAGGUGGAGAGGCUGCAGAGGCAGGGGCGGCGGCGGCGGCGUCGGCUCCGGACGCUGCGGCUGCGGGGCGAGUUGACGCGGCUGGGCCUCUAGAAGGUGGAGUACUACGCGCGGCGGUAGCUCCGGAAGGGGCUGUAGGUGAAGAUGGCGAAGCCGUUCGGGCGGGGGCCGCGGCGGCGGCGGCCGCCGUCGACGCUGUACCGCACCGCGAAGGCGGGGUUCCUGCGGUUCGCGCGGCGGAAGAUGUUCCUGAUGGCGGCGAAGCUGUAGCGGGCGAGGGGGUUAACGUGGAUGAGGCAGCGGUUCUAGCCGCUGAUGGUGAGGCCGCAGUUGCGGGCGUUCUUCUUCUUGUUCUUCGGGGCGGGGCCGUCGGGGGGGCUGCGGCUGCCGAAGCCGGGCGCCUGGCGGUCUAGCCGGNGUGGUUCAUGCUCUUGCAGCGAUCGCCGCCGCCGACAUAGAUGAGGUACCUGCCGCGGCUGAACCCGGACUCGGACUCCACGACGGGGAGGGUGUCGUUGACGGUGUCGCCGACGACGGGGACGACGACGGCGGCGGCGCCGGCGGGCGCGGCCUCGGCCGAUCUGGCGGUCCGCGGGCCGAAGCCGUCGGCGUCGGGGGGGCUGCCGGGGCGGGGCUUCUUGUUCUUCUUCUUGCGGGCGUUGACGCCGGAGUGGUAGUCGCCGAUCUUGGCGACGGAGUAGGUGCAAUUGGGGGAGCGGGCGAUGUCGAAGCGGCGGUAGUCCUUGUAGAAGGCGGCGCGCUUGGCGUCCUUGGGGCGGAAGCGCCACGCCAUGUCGCAGCUGCCGCCGGCGGCGGCGGCGCCGGGGGCGGGCUUGCCGAAGCGGUAGAAGUGGAUGUCGGGGAAGGCCUCGAUGGCGGCGCGCAUCAUGAGGUGGAAGAUCUCCGGGUCGGCGCAGUUGAGCGGGGCGUCGGCGUCGCAGGCCUCGGCUGCGGCGGCGGCGGCGGGGACGGAGACGUCGGAGAGGUGGAUGGAGGGGGGCGCGCCGGAGGAGGAGGAGUUGAGGAAGUCCUCGCCGGUGCGGAGGGCGGAGGAGUCGUCGGCGGGGAGGGUGGAGGAGGAGGUGGUGGAGGUGAGGAAGGAGGUGAGGGAGCGGGAGGGGGAGGAGUUGGGGCGGAGGAGAAGGGGGUCGUCGGGGGAGUAGGAGGCGGCGAGGAGGGUGAAGGCGAGGACCCCGAGCACGAAGAGCGCNCGCCCCCCCCGCCGCCCCAGACCCCGCGCCCCGAGUGCAUUUGUCCACUGGAGGGAGGGUCGUGCACAGUGUGGAGUGAAAGCAAGGAGAGAGAGCGAUGGGCUGUUUGGAUCUGAGGAGUCGGUUAGAUCUGGUGAUUUAGAAAGGAAUCGAGCCGACACUUUCAGUGUUUUUUUUUAUCUUCUUUUCCCCCUUCUUCGGUUUAUUAAACAAUUAUCUAUUCCAUGGUUUUACUGAGGGAGGUGGCACUGCAGUGUUUAGACGAUCUAAUUAUCUAUGCCAUGGUUUUAUUACUGAUCACUAAUGCCUAGUUACGCACUCCCUUGCUUAACUUUUAAAAUAUAAAAAGUAUUUUCAAAUAUUUUUCAGUAAGAUAAUAAUAAUUAUUAUUGGCAGAAAAAUACAAUACUCUCUGUAUAUAUUAUUAUAAGAUAAACUUUUACAUAAUACACCCCAUAAUCUAAAAUUUUAUUUUUAAAAAUUUUAAUACUAAAAUUAACAUAACAAGUGAAUAAAUAAAGCCAUUUGAAAGACUAGAAUGUAGAAUUUUAUACAUAAUUUAUGUUUAUAUAGGUGCACAAGUAGUAUUACUCUUCAUAGGGUUCGUUUAGCUCGCGUAUCUGUAUUAAAUUAUUGAUUUUUUUUUUUUUUACAUUUUAUACCGUUUCGGUAAUGCUGGUUAUUUCUUAAAAUAUGAUUACAAAUUUGGUCAGACAGGUAGGCCCCGAUUUUGUUGUCCGUGGGCCGUGGCUCCUGGGCUCAAUGUUUCAAGUUUUCAGACCGUGACAUGUCCUGGCUACACGUUAGGCCACGUGGUAGAGAUUAUAUGAUUAUCAAAAAAUUUUACUUAACUAUCCUUUUUUAUAAUAAUUUUUUUUGAUAGAAAUAGAAAUAAAAGGAAAAACUUCAAAAAUCCCCCUGGGAUUUCGUAGUUUCUUACUUUGCCCCCCUGUGGUUUAAAAUGUACCAAAUUGCCUCUCUGUGGUUUCGUUUUUAUAUUUUCAGUAGUUUUUUUGUUAAUAUUUUAUUAAUUAUAUACAAAAUACUUCAAAUACCCAUCUAGAUUUAUCAAAUAUUCACUUUAGUACCCUUUAAUUUUAACUUUAUCACUGAUUUAAGAAAAAAAAUUAAUAAAAUUGAUAAGAAAAAGAGAAAAAAGAAACCAUAGGGGGGCAAAUUGAUACAUUUUAAACCAUAGGAGGACAAAGUGAGAAACUACGAAACCACAUGGGGUUUAUUGAAGUUUUUCCGAAAUAAAACUCUAGAGCAAUUAAGUGUAAACAAUAGUUACAUGCCACAAACAAUACCUUUUUUCUUUUUUCUUUUUUCCUACCGUCACGUGCCACAAACAAUACUUUUCCGAAGUGUUCUAGUCACCAACUCGUAGAAGUUUGAAAAUCAGUAAAUAUUCUAAUAGUAACGACUGGUGCUGAGAUAUGAUUCUAAGUAGCGCCAGCAUUACUAACCAUAGAAUGACUACAUGCAUCUCAGCCCUCAAGGCACAGCUCUCCUCCUUCAAAACUAGACUAGGACCGAACAGUGUGCAUUGGCGGUAGAGCCCUUACGACUGUUUAGUGUGAAGUCAAUGUAUUCGGCACUGUGUGACGGGAGGACAAGGGACGGGCGUAGCUGCAAAAUUUGGAAGCUCUGCAUACCAUUAAAAGUUAAAGUAUUCUACUAGCUCGUCCUAAAAAAGAGACCUCUUACUGUAGAAAAUUUAUUAAAAAAAGGAUGGAUAGCAACAUUAAUUACGUGUUGCGUAGAUCUGAUGUGGAAACAGUAGACCAUCUUUUUUCUCAAUGUGUAUUCUUCAAAUUUCUUAUGGUGAUGUCGUUGGAGGAUGUCCAAACAGGAGAUUUGGGCGAAGCUGUGCAUAUUGUUUGGGACAUAUGGUGAGAAAGGAAGGGGUCACAGUCCAUGAGCGAUGGUUUAUCUGGACUAAUAGCCUGUUGGGGUGGGUCAUCUGAGAGAUCAGGAAUGGUGUUACUUUAGGAGGAAUCAGACUGAUUCAAUCCGUGGUUGCUAUAAGGUUAAACAACUGACGUCCGUGUAGAAGAAACUUUGCCCUGUGGAGAGAUACUGAUUUUUUUUUUUUUUCGUCUUAGCCCUACUUUUCAUCUCCCUAGAGGCCUUGUUGUCUCACCCAUGUAGCUAAGUUCAUCUCCUGAAUGAAUAAAGCGGGUAGUGUGCUAUCUUUUUUCUCAAAAAAGAAAUUGAGUGCUAUUCAAUAAUAAUAAAAAACAGAUGUAUUUAACUUAAUUGCAUUUUUUACAAUUCGUUUCUAACAAAAUAACCUUUAUUUUCCUUUUAUCCUCCACCGCUACAGUCUUCUUCUUCUUCAUGAUUUUUCUUUUUAAAAAAAUCACAGCCAAUUACUUGACAUUUUUUUUUAAAAAAAUAUUUAUGGCUAUGCUACCACAGAAAGAAAAAAUUAAAUUUAUAAAAUAAAAUAUUUUUAUCAUUUUGUUAUAUAAAUAUAAUUUUGUACAAUUUAGUAAAUAUUUUUUAAAAAUAUAUUUAAAUAAUAUUUUAUUAUAGAAUACUAUAUUCUGCAUUGACAUAAAAAAUAAAGCCAGUGCCACGUAGACAAAUACUACUUGUGUGUACAUCAAUUUAGGUGGCGCAUAUCUUACAACACUCAAAUCGAGGAUUAAGAUUUUUUUAUUAAAAAAUAGAAUGUGAUUAGUAUGAAACAAAAUAAUUUUGAAUAAUAAUAUUAUAUAAUAUAUAAAUCAAAAAUCGAAAAUUAACUCACAUGCUGCAUUAGUUGACUUCGUGCAACUCGGUAUUUUGAUCUGGCAUUUGAUUCGAGGUGUCAGAGAGUCGCAAGGACUUUGGGCUCUAUAGAAAAUUUUCCCUAAAAAGUUAAAAAAGUACAAAAUUUACUUCAACUAAGACUCAUCUUAAAUUGACUAUUGAACAUUUCAAAAUUUUAAUUGUAAUCUCCAAUCGUUCAAUUUAUCUCAUAUGAGUCGGUCAACAUUUUUUGGACUUUAAAUUUGGAGGACAUAGUUUAUCUCUACAGAUUUAAUUAAUAUAUAUUUUACAAUUUUCACAAUAUAAACUUAUUAAAAUAAAUAAUUAGUUUAAAUUUUAAAAUUAAAGUACUGUUUACUGACUAAAAUUAAAUAGAUUGAAAGAUUGAAUAGUAAAAUUUAAAUUUUUAAAAAUAAAUUGUCACCUUUUAUGGCCCACGGGUGGUUUAUGACACAUGCCUUACUAGUUCGGCCCCAAUAAAAGCUAAUUCACGCUAGAGAGAAUAUUUUCCGGGCCCAUGAGGAUCCGGGUCGGGUUCGUUCUGAUCGAGCCCAAAUCACCCUCGCUCCCCCGACCCCAAACCCGAUACCAUUCUAUGCGGGCGCUCGCAUGGAAGAAGUCAUUCUUCGGGUGAAGAAACGGUUUCCAUGUUUCGGUCCCACUUCCGUUUUGAACCGCCCCAGACACGCUCCUUGAAUACAAGUCUUCGAGUCUUCCUCAUUCGUCGUUCUUCGCACCUCACUUCCCCCACCUCGUCUCUUCCACCGAAGUCCACUUCCACGCGCGAUCCGAGGACGAAACCCCAUUUAUCUCGACGAGGAUCGCUCCUCCUCUUCUUCGUCACCUCGCGAGAUCGAGAUCUCCCGAUCCUCCCGAUCCCUUCUCGCCCGAUCGUUUAAUCGAUCCGUGAGGUAACGAUCCGAGCUCUCUUCACGAUCCCAUUGUCGUCUCCUAGCUCUUUCUCUUGCUAAAUUUUGAUCUAAAUCAAGUGUCUAGCUCUUAAAUUUGCUUGAUACGAUUCAGACGUUUUGUUGAGAUUAUCUUGUUCCUGUUUGUUUCAUUUGACACCAUGGAUUAUGAUCUAGGAUCGGUGUUAGAUUCAAGUGGUUUCUAUAUUAUAUACUACUUUAAGCGUGGUGAUGAUGAGUUUAUUGAUUUAGUCCUGUUUAAGUUCAUAAUCUUAUGCAAUUGUGUCAGUUGUUGUUUGUUCAUGUUUUUUUUUUUUUUUUUUUUUUUUUUUUUUUGACAUGAUGUGUAAAACUUGUACUUAAACAUUAUCAUUUCUCUGUUAAUCAUGCUCUGAGUAUGAUAGUUGUGUUUCAUCCUGUGAAACACUUGGUUUUGUUCCUUGAUGGACGAAUAUAUGUAUAUUUUUUUUACGAAGAUAAUGAUUGUACUUGUUCGUGUUUCUGGUAAUGAACUAUCUUCCAUCACAUUACUACUAUGGUGCUUACUGUUUGACAUGUCAAUGCAUGAAAUUAUGUAUUCUUUCAGUGAUCAGUAUGGGCGACAAAGAUGUUAAUGGGAGCUCUACUAUCAAUGAGCUAUUAUCCAUGGUCUCUUAUGAUCAAUGGGUUUUAGUCAAUCCCUCUGGAGUGCGCCCAUCGGGUCGUUAUAAGGUACGAGUAUUUCCUUCAUGAGUGUGCCAGUAGUGCAUAUCAUAGUGGUGUUACUUGGUUUUUUGGUUUUUAUAGUUCCUUUUCCUUUGUAUGCUGUGACUUAAUAGAAUGCUCCCUGCUUUGAUCUUCUUCAGCUAAUAUUACUACGUCCACUAGAAGCUAGGUUUUCUACUCUUCCAUUUCUACUUUAGUGUCAGGAUAUAAUAUUCUGUACGAUUCAAUGCUAACAUUUUCUCUCUUUCAAAUACAAUAGCAUGCAGCUGAAGUGGUCGAGGACAAGCUCUAUGUGAUUGGAGGGAGUCGCAAUGGCCGUUAUCUAGCUGACGUUCAGGUUACAUAUACUAACUGAAUCUUUAAUACAGUGUCUCUUUUUAUAGAUGACUAGACAUGACAACUUUCGCAGGUUUUUGAUAUCAGAAGUUUGGAAUGGUCAAAUAUAAGUGCAAACAUGGAUACAAAAUCUACUAAAUCAGAUAGUUUUGUCUCAGAUCAAGCCUUUCCGGCAUCUGCAGGGCACAGUUUGGUGGGUUUCUUUUUGUUGAAUAAUCGCAAACACUUGAUUAGUUGCAGCCAUUUUAUUUGUUGUUGAUGUUAAUACAUUCACUGAGUUCACCUGUCCUAGUUAACUCAGCAUUGUUACAUUGAACAGGUUAAAUGGGAAAAUAAGCUUGUGGUUGUUGCUGGGCAUUCCAAGGAAUCAUCAGAUACUGUCAGAGGUCUAUUUCCAACUGUAAUGCAUCGAUAUACUUCUAUCUAUUUAGGCUGACUGCGAAAAAGAAUUUGUGGAUGACAAUGGUCUCUUCAUUUGCUACAAAAAAUAGCGUCUUAAAUUGUUCGAGGCUACUAUUGUAAAUUUGUAAUGUAUCUCCUACUAAAUUACAUGGAAUGCAGUUUGGUUGCUCGAUUUAGAAACAAACAGCUGGUCUGCUGUAGAUACCUCUGGAAAAGUUCCGGUAAUUUCUAAUCUCUGCUUCUCAACAUUUAAUCAAUCACGGAACAUCAAUUUUCACUUCUCUCUGAAAACUUGAAAGCACGAGGAGGAGUUGCCAAUUCAAAAUCAAGUGAAUAUUCAAGUGCAAAAAAAAGGGACAUAACACAAAAUAUUGUGAAACAUUGAAUAUUUGAUUUACCUUUUGUGAACCAGAAAGCACGAGGAGGGCAAUCUGUGACAUUGGUUGGAUCUAGGCUUAUCAUGUUCGGUGGAGAAGAUAACAGUAGGAGGCUGUUGAAUGACCUUAAUAUUCUGAACUUGAAGACCAUGACUUGGGACUUAGCAGAAACCAAGUAAGGUUUAGUUGUUAAAACUUGUUCUAGCAACAGUUACGCUAGGGAAGGUUUCUAAGUUCCAGGAAGAUCUCUUAAGUUCCAUAUUUCCUAGUAAUUGCACAGGAAAGCAGCUCCAGCACCCAGAUUUGAUCACACAGCUGCAAUGCUUGGGAACCAAUAUCUUCUAACAUUUGGCGGUUCAUCUUAUUCUACUUGUUUCAAUGAUCUGCACAUACUUGACUUGCAAACUGUAAGUCGAAAUUUGUAUUCAUCCUUUUGUUCUAUGUCAUUCCAUAUACGCGAUUACUAAGCAACAGGUUGUGGCUGCUUGCAUUGUAAAUCAAAAUAUGAUAUAUCAAAGUUCAAGACCUUUCAUGAACUUAGAACUAGCUAAUCAAUUUUGUGAGAUCUUAUAGAAGAAUGAUGUUUCUAGGCUUUUCAGUUCUUAAGUUGAGCUUAAUCUCUUCUACAAAUGUUGGAGCUCUUUUCUUUUUCCCUUUAUCUUUUUUGUUUUCUUGAAAUGUUUGUUUCCUAUUUAUUAAUACUUAAUUGCAUUACAGAUGGAGUGGUCUCAACUAGAAAGUCAGGGUGCAUAUGUGACUCCCAGGGGUGGUCAUGCUAGCACCAUAAUUGAUGAGAAAUGGUACAUAGUUGGUGGUGGAGACAACAGAAGUGGUAAUUAUGUUUGCUAAUCAGUCUCACUAGUAGCAGUGAUGAGUUUGUUAUUCAGUUUUUCUGUUGGUUAUAGUAUCUUGUAAAAUUCUAACAAAAAGAAACUUUUCACAGGUGCUAUUGAGACCGUUGUUUUGAACACCUCCAAGUUUGUGUGGUCAGUGGCCACGAGCGUAAUGGAACGACAUCCACUUGCUAGCGAGGUUCCUAAUGUAGCCUUCUGAAUUAAUUAAGAGUGAACUUUGUAGUUACAUAAAUUGUUUGUUCACUAAAAGAAAACAUUGAAGAAAUAUAGUAUGCCAAUAUCUACAUUUUUUUUCAGCUUAAUUUCAGUUCAUUAAUCUUCCUUCUAUGAACAUAUUGCUAGUGAAAAUGUGUGCAUUCGCUCAAAUUUAUUAUUCUGAACUAAUCAUAUGCGACUGUUCAAUUGGACGAAAGAAUUUACUUUAUAAAAGCAGCAAUUCAUGUUAUGAUCAGCACCACAGUACAAAUUGCAUCAAAAGUAAACUUGUUUUUAGUAUAGAUAUCUGUGUAACUUUAUUUCAUCAGUUCUUUAAGUUGGUUGAUGUUGAUUCGUAUUUCAAGUAUCUUCAUGGAUUUUUGUUGUUUAACAGGGCCUCGCCCUUUGCUCAACUAUCGUAGAUGGAGAAAAGAUUUUGAUGGCCUUUGGUGGUUACAAUGGGAAGUACAGCAAUGAGGUAUGGAUAGCACAAAAAUUGCACUGUCUAAAUAGUGUCUCUAUAUUUAAUUUGUUUUGUUCUGUUUUCUACCACAAUAAUAAUGAAACAUUUUCCUGCAGCUUUUUGUCAUGAAACCAAAGCCAAUAAACUCAUUGCAACCUCGGCUUCUUCAAUCACCAGCUGCAGCUGCUGUAUCAGCUUCUGUCACUGCUGCGUAUGCUGUAAAUACAGCUGCUGACAAAAGCAUUGAGAUUAAGCAUCCAGAUGAAUCAAAUAUGAGGGGAGUUCAAUUCGAGAAAACUCUCAACAUUGAAAUCAAAAUUGAUGCACUAAAUGCAGAAAAGAAGAUUCUAGUGUCUAGAAUUGAAGAUGCAAGAGAUGAAAAAUUGAGACUAAAGUACAAUCUCGAAGAGAUGAACAAUUCAUAUGACGAAUUGGUAAAGGUAAGUAUUCAUCCUGGAACAGAUAUUUGUUGAUUAUUGAAGCUUCUGAUUGUUUUUGUAUUGCUAUUGAUCUAGGAACUUCAAUCAGUGCGAGGGCAACUGGCUGCUGAGAGUGCAAGAUGUACCAAACUAGAGGUUCUGGACUCUGUUCUUUUUCAGGGUGGGGGGGGGGGUGUUUGGCUAAUUUGGGGCCUCUUGAAUUUUAUAGGCUAAUUUUUAAAUUUUUGUAUUCAAUUUGUGCAGGCACAAAUUGCACCAGCCAAGAAAAGGUUGGAGUCACUUAGUUCCCUCGAGCAGGAGCUUGAAGCCCUACGGCGUGAAAAAUCUCAAGUAGAAGAAGAAAUAGCUGUUGCUCAGAGGCAAAGGUCUGGAGGUAUUUGGCAAUGGCUGACGGGAGCAGAAAACAACCUUGAAGAGUAGACACUAGAUAGUAAGUUAAUAUUUCUGUACUUUGCCCAUGCGCUAUUUUUUUGGUCAUUGAUGCUGCUGAAACCUUCUAAUUAUCUGGUUCCCUGUUUCCCCUGCAUUUUUCUGAAAUUGAGGGCCACAAUGCAGGAAACUCCUUCAAUAAUUAUCAUGACUUUCGCUUUGUUCUCUCAAAAAAAUUGUUUUCACAUUAGCUCCAUAAAAUUCUGAAACCUUCUUUUGCCCUAUUAAUAUAUGAGGAAAGUGAUAGAUUUUACCUAAUGGAACAGUAACAGGGAGGCAAAGUAAUGAAACCUGCUACUUUAAAAGGGUAAUAUAUAGGUUUCAAAAUCUCAGGGGGCAAAGUUGAAGUAUUAUAGUGGGUUUCCUGCAAUUAAACAAUCAAAUUAUGUAUUUUUCUUGUCCACUUGAUUACAUAGAACGGUCUUGUGACCAGUACAUUCUAGGAGUAAAGAACUAAAGCCAGGAAGUAAUUUGUUCUUCCAUUCCUAUAUCUCUUGCAAUAAAUAAAAGUUGAGCAGUCAUGGGGAUGACAUAGUGGAUACCAGCCUAACAUCCAUUUGCAAGACAAUGAUACUCUGAUUUCUGUAUAAUUAUCAACUGAAGCACUAACUCCAUGACAUUUUGACCCAUAGGACAAUGGUAUGAUUUAUCUCUUGAGUAUUAUAUUUAACAUCAGGCACAUACUGCUGCUGCUGGAGGGACUUGUAUGAAGAAGGAAGAUGCUACAAUUUCGAAGUGAUGGCCUGUUGGUUUUGAGCCACCAAUUGCUUCCUUAAUAUCUUUCCGGCUGCUGACCUUGGGAUACUUUCUAUGAAGGCAACCUUUCUGAUCUUCUUAUAGGGAGCCACCUGAUACGUAUUCCAGAACACAAUGGAUAAGAUAUUUAGUUAUUGGCAAAAUAUAUUUAUAACAAUUUAUAGAUAUACACCAAAUUGAGGGAUAAGGAAAAGAAUAAGUGUUUAUUCAUUGUCUGCAAUAAUAUGAUUCUCAGUUCAUACAGAUUUUUGUAUACUGAUUUAUAGGCUACUGUGAGAAAAAACUGUUGUGUAUUCAAAAUUAUUCUCUUCUUCAAAAAGCUCAACCAUCGAAUUAGUUGCUUCUUUUUUCCUAGAAUAAAAUGUGAGUAGUAGUUGGUGCAAGAAUGGAGAAGAACCUGAGAAGCAAUGAAUUGAAUGACUCCAUCGGUUGUAAGUCCACUUUGAGGUGAUUUGACCACAUAAGCCAUAGGUACUUGCCCUGUUUCCUCAUCUUCCAGCCUAUAUAUUUUUCGUCAAAUAAUGAAGAAAUUUACUGUUUAUUUUUGUUGAUUACUUUUGUGAUGAUUAUAUACUGCUGCGAAGAUAGGAGGAGAAACUCACGGGACUACUGCAGCGUCAACUAUAUGAGUAUGUGUGAGCAACAGGGCUUCCAACUCUGCAGGAGCAACCUGUAAGCAGCUCAAAAAGAUCUCAAUUAAUAAAUCUAUCGGCCUAAACCCUCCUUAUUUGUCGAAUAUUUACUGCACGUGUGGAUUAAAAUUUUGUGGUGGCAGAAAACUAGUAGUUUAGGAUUUAUUGAAAUAGUCGCUAUUGCUUCUCGAAUAGCUCUACUUUCUUGGAGGUAAAAUGUUUUGAUAGUCCCUAUAAACAAUUCAAUUACUGCAAGCUAGUCCCUACACUUCUUUAAAUGGUCAUGAACUAAUCAGCAGCGUGUGUGUAAGGUGAGGAACUAAAUGUUCACGUACCGAGACUAGUUUGGGACGUUUCCCUAGGCUGGUAAAACAACAACAAACUUGUCGUGCGCACCUGGUAACCGUUGUGCUUGAUGAGCUCCUUUAGCCGAUCUACGACGUACAAGUACCCAUCCUGGUCGACGUACACCAGAUCCCCCGUCCUCAGCCACCCGUCUCCGACCAGAGCCUCCGCCGUGGCCUCCUCGUUCCCCAGGUAUCCCUUCAUCACGGUGGGCCCCCUCAGCCACAGCUCCCCCCUCAUCCCAGGUCCCAGCUCCUCUGCCGCAGGCCCUACCACCUUUGCUUCCAUCCCCGGCAGCAGCCUCCCCACCGCUCCUGCUUUCGCUGCCACUGCAAAUGUAGCAGCCCCGCCGCUCUCCGUCAGCCCGUACCCCUCCCUCAACUCCACCCAAGGAAACUUCCUCCGGAACUCCCUCCCCGCUGCCGCACCCAGUGCCGCUGCACCCGUCCCCACCCUCCUCAGCCCCGACAUGUCGUACCCUGAUCCACUGCCACUGUAUCGGGCUAUUGCCGACACCACAGGCGGCACUGCAGGGAUGUUGGUCACCCCGUGUGCUGCCACCGCUGCCAUCGCUGCCCCAAGCUCGAACCGCGGCAUCACUACAGUGGUCGCCCCUGCCGCUGGCAGCCCUAGCGCAAAGAAUGCCAGGCCAUAUAUGUGGGACAUCGGGACGAAUCCCAGGUACACAUCAACACUGUCCCUCGCCGGCACGCUUGCCUCCGCCACCCAUCGCACCAUGGCAGUGAUCGCGAUGAGGUUGCCGUGCGUCAGCACCACCCCUUUGCUCGGUCCUGUCGUCCCCGACGAGUAGAGCACUGCCGCCACAUCGGAUUGGGCAGUCUCUGGAUGCGGGGCUGCCAUUGGGUCGCCAUCCUCCAUAAGCUCCUCCGCCGAGAGGGGCCCGUCGGAGUCUGGGGAGCGGGUGGUGAGGAGGAUGGGGAUGUCAGCAGCGGCGGCCUUGUGGGCCUCCUCCGGUGCCACGAUGGCAAACACGGCGCCGGAGUCACGGGCCUGGCGAGCGACCUCGGCGGCGGUGUUGAGGGGAUUGGCGGUGGUGAUGACCGCGCCAGCAGCAAGGACGCCGAGGAUGAUGGCAGGAUAAAGCACUGAGUUGGGAGAUAGAACAAGGACGACGUCGCCACGGCGGAGACCGAGGCCAUGGUGGAGGGCGGCAGCGAGGGAGAGGGCAGAGCAGCGGACAUGAGAGAAGGUGAGACAGCGUCCGGUGACAGAGUCGAUGAAGGCAGGCUUAUCGUCAGCGAUGCCGGGAGAGGGGAAGAGGGAGAGGACGAAGGUGGCGGCAUCGAGGGCAAGGUCAGCGGGGAUCCGGUGGCGGGGGCCGAGUCGGUGGAGGGAGCGGUAGAUGCUGGAGCGGCGGCAGAAGCCGCUCCGGGGGUCGUAGUCGGCGUCGUAGACCGGAUUGGAUUCUUCUUCGAAGGAUUCGAUGGAAGCCAUUGUCUGCGAGAAGGGCAGGAGAUGAGGCGGGGGUUUUAACGAAGUUUUAAAAUGGGCGGGGGCGGAGUUGGCAGGGUCGGGGAUGGCUUUGGAGAGUCCGUUUGGCAAGUUGUCGGAUAUAGAGAUUUGUCGUUAGUAGGUUGGCGGGUAGUCGCUAAGAUGUUUAAUUGAAGGGCCGCCCCGUGCGUGCGAUGCCUCACACCAUCGCGUGCUUCGUGUUUUUUUAAGUAGACUAGCAGGUAAAUUCGCUGCAUAAGUUGCAUGGCCUGCAGCAUAUUCUGUCCAUCGAGAUGGCUUGGCAGUCUUAUCUUUGCUAGUGCAGCCUUUCUCCGAGCUAGAUUGAUGAUCAAAAGUUCGUGAGAAGAAUUUGCUUGCCUAGCUGACACAUGACUUGACCAGUUAAUCAUUUCGCUCAAAAUUUUGAUCAUGCGUAAUCACGGAACUAAAAACAUCUCCGAUUAGCUAAAACUAAAGGUUCAAAAGUAGAUUGCGACGAAAUUAUUAUUUAAGCGGUGAAUUUCAACAUUUUAAGAAAAAUAUUUGGAACUUGAUUGUUUCCCGGUCUCCAGAAGUUAGUGGCUGUAGAUUCACUUUUAGGCUCGAGUAGAAAACCCAAGUUUGGGAUUAAGCCUCUGAGGCCUGAGAUUGUAAAGAGGGGUGGCGACGUGACUCCAAAAUUGUUGUUGCCAUAAUGCUAUGCUUAAUUGCAGGAGCGCUCCUUAAGCGGAGAGCUUGAUCUUGAUCUGGACCGUUCAUCAAUCUAAAACUUCGUGUUUUCCUUUGAUUUGUGCCGAAUUUUGAUUAGAGCUAACGCUUCUAAAAAGCCAAACCGCGUAGGAAUUGUCGUUUCAUGCAAAAGAGAACGGCUUCCUCCCUAAAGCCCCCAUGGCCACCAAUCCCUCCAAGCCCCUCAUUUCAUGAAACUUAUUACUGUGAAUAGCAAAAGCAACACGUACUCUAAACAUAGCAAACACUUAAACAAAUUACCAUUGCAUGGACAACACAUAAAUAGAUCCACAACAUGGAUGCAUGGUUUAACAGAGGCUCAUUUGCUACAUUAACAGCAAUUAUUUCUUCUCCUCCUCCUCCUCCUCCUCCACGAUGGCCGUGCUCUCGUAUUCCUUACUUCCCUUGUUGUCGAUGCUUGUGCUCUUUGUGCUUGGUUCUGGAUUCGGCGAGGCGCAAGGCAUUGUUAAUGCACGCGGGAUUCAUCCCCGCGGCCAAGUUUUGCCUCAUUUUCCCGUCAAACACAAUCACGGCAAGUUCAUGGCCGGUCCGUGGAACUUUGCUCAUGCCACCUUCUAUGGAGGCUCUGAUGGCUCCGAAACAAGAGGUAACAUAACAUGAGCUUAAUUUCUUUCUAAUGAAUUGCAUAGCAAUCACUCUGCGUCUUACAGCGUAGCUAGAAAAUAUAUAUGUACAGGAGGAGCAUGCGGGUAUGAGGACACGGUGAGCCAGGGCUACGGGCUGCAGACGGCGGCGCUGAGCGCGGCGCUGUUUAACAACGCCGAGACAUGCGGUGCGUGCUUCGAGAUCAAGUGCGUCGACGACCAGCAGUGGUGCAAGCCCGGGCAACCUUCGAUCGUCGUGACGGGGACCAACCACUGUCCCCCGAACUACUACCUCCCGAGCGACAACGGCGGCUGGUGCAACCCCCCUCGCACCCACUUCGACCUUGCCAUGCCCGCGUUCCUCCAGAUCGCCGAGUACAAGGCUGGAAUCGUCCCCGUCACCUAUCGCAGGUAACAAAAAUGUCCAUGGAAACUGGAAUGUAUGAGUUAUACAUAUACAUGUACAUGUAAAUAUUUCUUCAAAAAUAUGCGCGCGCGUAUGGUGUUUCAGGGUGCCGUGCAGAAAGGAAGGUGGGAUAAGAUUCACGAUGAAAGGGAACCGCUACUUCAACCUGAUCCUGGUGUGGAACGUGGCCGGGGCCGGGGACGUGCACGCGGUGCUCGUAAAGGGAAACAAGCUAGGGUGGACGGCGAUGACGAGAAACUGGGGCCAGUACUGGCAAACCUCCGAGGACUUGACGGGACAGUCUCUUUCGUUUCGAGUUAUCACCGGCGAUCAUCGGAAGUCCACCUCCUGGCACGUCACGCCGCGGGAUUGGCAGUUCGGACAAACCUACCAGGGCAAGAAUUUCAGAUACUAGCUAGCAGUUUCCAACUUUGCCUGCAGAUUGUCGCACUCGCACUCGCACUCGAUCUCAGCAACUAGGAAUUACUGUAAAAUCCUCAAAAUUUAGCAUUUCAUAGGUUAAUUUGUUUUGUAACUUGGGUGAUGUUGUUUCACUCAAUUAAUUUGUAUGCAAUCGUGUCCCUUCCUGUGCUUAAUUGUGUGCGCGUGUGAAUCCCCUAUCUUACUUACCCUUAUGGGAUGCAUAUAUCAUGCAAGGAAUUUCACACUUCAAAUUGUAGCUAGUGAGUUAGUUUCACAUAACAAAUAAUUUGUAGCAGUGCCAGUGAGUAAACAUUUUAUAGUUGAAAUCCAGCACAUAUCUGAUAUUUGCAAUCUAGCUUAAUUAUCAACUAUAUUUAGUUUUUAAGGCACCCAAAUUAAGCAUUCUCAAUAUGCAAUAUAUACCAAAUUAAAUUUUCUUUUGUAAAACAAAUCUCUUAUUAGUAGUGAGAUACUCCGAGUCUCUGCUUCCAUGUCGGGUCUAUAGACCGGGACCACGAAAAUAAGCUACCCCUCCGUCGCUCCAACCAAUGAGGUUUGGAUCAUCCUGUUGCGCCACGUGUCCUCCUUCGCGUCCUUACACCAACACAUAUAUAUAGUCCCAAUCCGAAGCCAAAACCAACUCCCCUCUCCUUCCCCCUCUCCCUCUCCCUUCGCUCUCACUCCACUCCCCUCUCCCUCUCUUCCUCGCCUCCUCCGCUUCCUCCAUGGCCGUGGCCGAGAUCUCCCCCUCCUCCUACGCUAAAACCCUACACUCCGACCUCUCCUCCAAACCCUCGAACCCUCUCCGCGCUCGCACCUCGCGUUGCCGCUCCGCCGCGCUCCCACCUCGCCCGGCGCCCACAAUCCGCUGCUCCGUAGCUCCCAAGUAAGGAAGGUUCUUUUUUUAAUCAUGUUCUUGCCUUUAACGGCUAAUUUGUGCCUAAUAUCUCGCUAUUUAACUCUAAUUUAGUUUGAUUUUGUGGUGGUGGGUCGCAGCCAAGUGCAAACCCUUGUUUCCCCUGCAGUUCCCACCGGCGCGGCGAGCAAAAGAGAGUGCUUUGGGGUUUUUUGCACCACGUACGAUCUUAAAGCGGUAAAGCCCUAAUCUUUGUGGUUUUUUACUUCUUUUGGAUGAAGGAAAAAACGUUUAAUCGCCAUUAAUUUUAAUUCGUAGUUAACUCAAAAGAUGAUAUCUAAUCUUUUAAUGAGAAGUUGUAGCUUUACUCUCAGUAAAAUUCCUCGAAGUUAGGUUUUUGUCAAUGCUUCAUGGUGUUGGUGGUUAAACAAUCCGGGAUCGAGAUAUUAUGUAGUUCUGUAUGCUGAUAUAGUUGCUUCUGAUUUGGUGUAGGAUGAGAAAACAAAGUCAUGGAAGAGUUUAAUUAACAUUGCAGUAUCUGGUGCAGCUGGAAUGAUAUCUAAUCAUCUACUUUUCAAAGUAAGGAAUACUUUAUAAAACGUUCUUUUCAUUGUUGAUGCCAUCUAGUUCACUAUUUUUUUGCUAUACAUUUUAGCUUCCGUAGCAUUCUGAUCGAUAUGUAAAAAUAUAUCCUCUCUAUGUUAAUAUACAUCAUCCCGUGCAAAGACGAACGGUUUGGGCAGUCUCAAAAUUGAGUUUCAUUUCACAAUUUUACUUGUGAAAGGGAAAAACUUGAUCGAAGAAUGUUUGAUCUUCCCUUUUAUUCCUGUAGCUUGCUUCUGGUGAGGUUUUCGGACCGGAUCAACCAAUAACCUUGAAGUUGUUGGGCUCUGAAAGAUCAUUUCAAGCUCUUGAAGGUAUGUGUUCUUUUCUUUAUGAAAUUAAGCUACUAUUAGGAGAGGAAGUUAGUUGUUAGUCAUGUAAUUCAUUAACCACGCAGGAUCGCGCAGCAAUUCUGGAGGGAUUUUCUUGCAUGAUUUUUCUAACCUUCUUUUCAAAUUACAAAUUCAGGGGUGGCUAUGGAGUUGGAGGACUCUCUUUACCCUUUGUUGAGGGAGGUAAGCAUAGGCAUCAAUCCAUACGAGGUGUUUCAAGACGUCGAAUGGGCACUUCUAAUAGGGGCAAAGCCACGAGGUCCUGGAAUGGAGCGAGCCGGCUUAUUAGAUAUUAAUGGGCAAAUUUUCGCUGAACAGGUGCUUUCUCGAAAUAACACAUCUGCUUAUUUAUAUAAGUAGAAAUUUAACGCAUGAUCUUUAUUUUUAUUCUAAAUUUUAUUUUCUAAUAUGAGCCGAAAUUUCAGGGAAAAGCACUCAAUGCUGUGGCCUCCCGUAACGUCAAAGUUAUAGUUGUGGGGAACCCAUGCAACACAAAGUAUGAACUGUAUAGAAAAACUUAUAAUUCCAUGAAUUUUAACUCUUUUAGGGCAUUUUGUUGUCGUGUCUUAGUUAAAUAUUGCCUUUGCCAAUUCACAACGAAUAUUUUAUGCAGUGCAUUGAUUUGUUUGAAGAAUGCACCAAAUAUACCUGCAAAGAAUUUUCAUGCCUUAACGAGGCUGGACGAAAAUAGAGCCAAAUGCCAGGUAGUUUCUAUCCUUCUUUUUCAUUAUGAUUAGGUUCUGCUGUUUUGCGGACAUACUAAUAGGGGUGAUAAGUGGUCUUAUUUCAUGUGUGAAUUUUCGCAGCUAGCCCUCAAAGCAGGUGUAUUUUAUGAUAGAGUAUCGAACGUGACAAUCUGGGGGAACCACUCAACAACGCAGGUUGCGCUAAUACUAAACUGCUAAAUUUACAUUUCUGUUUUGUUCUAGAUGGAAGUCUCUUUGUAUUGAUCAACAUACAUGUUGAAGGCAAGUGCUGCUUUUUAACUCAAACAGGUUCCUGAUUUUUUAAAUGCCAAAAUCAAUGGCAUUCCUGUUAAAGAAGUUAUCAAAGAUACCAAGUGGUUAGAGAAAGACUUCACUGAAAAUGUUCAAAAGGUACAUGCAUACCACAUUAUCACUACAAGGCAUACUAAUUUUUUUUGGUCAUGUUUUUGCCUGUGGAAGCACAAUAGAAGUCCUUUAUCUUUUUUACAAUGUAAAAUGAUUUUCAACAUACAGCGCGGAGGAGUGCUUAUUCAGAAGUGGGGCAGAUCUUCAGCUGCAUCUACCGCUGUUUCUGUUGUUGAUGCCAUACGGUCCCUGAUUAUUCCCACUCCAGAAGGCGAUUGGUUCUCCUCAGGGGUAAAUUCAUGACAGACAGAUCUUCUUGUAGGUAGUUUUAAUUUUCAAGUUGUUCUAAUUAGAAUACCAGCUUCUGUCUUCUGUCUUGCAUGAGCAUUUGUCAAAUUUUAUAUAUAAAUCACAAAAGUCAUUCCACCUCUAAAAGAGAUUACCUUUAAAAUGCUAAGUUCUUCAUUUACUUUCCUACCAAGCAGUGAAUGCCACUCCAGGAAAGAUAAUUACUCUUAACAUAUGUAGAACCUAUGUUAAUGUGUGAUAUCGUUUCUUAGUGUCACCAAUUGCUAUUAUUAUAUUCUGUAAAAUGCUGACUCCAGAGAAAAAUGACAGGUUUAUACCAACGGAAACCCUUAUGGCAUAGCGGAAGAUAUCGUGUUCAGCAUGCCGUGCAGAUCAGACGUAACUCUUUUCUUUCCUCUUCUUUUAAAUUCCUGAUACUUCUUUCAGCUUUGCACCAAGAAAUAGCAUAUCGUUUUUAUCAGGGAAACGGUGAUUAUGAGCUUGUUAAGGACGUCGUGAUUGAUGAUUACCUCAGAGGACGCAUAAAGAAGGUAGAAUUCAAUUCAAAUAUUCUAGUCGAUAAUUUGUGUGAAAGUCCGUGCAUCAAUUUUAUGUUUCAAUUGUUACAGAGCGAAGCUGAGUUGCUUGCUGAGAAAAGAUGCGUUGCUCAUCUCACCGGAGAGGUAUGUAGUAUCAUACAUCUUAAAUUGUUCAAAAUUAUCUAUUCCAUAGAUACGCAAAAUAGUUUAUGCUAUCGUCAUUUUAACAGGGUAAUGCUUACUGUGAUCUUCCUGAGGACACCAUGCUUCCUGGAGAACAGUAAGAAUAUGGCGAAUAGAACAUUUAGCGGCAGCAAUAUAAGGUCAGAAGAACAGAUCACUCAUCUAGAGAAGCUGCUGCCUCUUAUUAUGCUCUACUUCGUGUUGUACAAUAAAAGGCUUUGGUGCUUCGAUGAUGCAGAUUUUGUGCGAUAAUCGGAUCGUUGUCACGUUUCUUCCCUAUGUGACCUUUCCUUUUAUCAUUUUUAAUUACAAAUGAGGCUUCUGGGCCUCGAUUUGCUUUUGGAGCUUGUUAAGGCGUCAAUGAACUGGGCAAUUGGCAAAAUUGCCAAACAGGCUUUAAUACGAAAUGUGAUAGUAUAUAAGUAUUUAAUGCGUUUGUCCCCGUAAUGCAGAGGCUUUGAUCGGCUCAUAUAGGCUUUGAUUGGCUCAUAUACGCACACUCUUAUAUAUAACAAUAUAUAAAAAUAAUAUUAUAAGGACCUGCGGCGAUACUCAAAUAUGAAUUGGCUACAAGGUUUGACAAAUUGAAGACUUUCUCACAACACGCUCCACAAAUUCUUGUGGAUAUCUAAAUCAAAGGACCAAGUUUUUCCCGUUUUGAUGGGCAUCCAGGCUUGACACGGCAGACGAUUCGAUGCUCAGUUUGGAAGGACAGAAAUAAUUGGAGAAAGUGAAAGAACAAAAAAGAAAAAGAAAAUUAUCCUCCCCCCUGGGAUUCAAUUCUUGGAAAGAACUCCUGGAAUGAGAAGAAGAUCAACAUAGAAAAAGAAAGCGAAAAUAGACUCGAGUCUUUGAUUAUCUGGGAACUUAUAUGUGGAACUGAAGAGACAUAUAUACAUCACAAUAGUCAUCCAUUCGAAAAAUAUGAACAGCAUAAGAUAAUUCUGUACCACAUCUCUUGGCAUAUAAUAAUUUCCAUUAAGUUUCAAUCCAAAAUAGCCAAAUUUCUCAAAAUAGGACAGAGGUAAGCCCAUAAACUCCUGGCCCUAGUUGCAAAAUGCUACUAGAAAAUACGGUAGCACCAUUCAUUACAGAGUUCAAAUGAUGCAGAUGUAGUAAGCUACACAUAGGUUUCCAAGUCACCCUAUUAUUAUAGAUUUAAAGCUCACCUGGCUUAUUAUACAUGCACAUUCCUACAGCACAGCUGACCGAGAGAAUCACGGCCGAGAGAAGGAAAAAGCAGAAGCCACCACGGAGCACCGUCCAUAUGGCGCCACUGUGCAUCUUUGUUCUUGGAUCAAAGCAUAAUGAUUUUCUAGAUGUGGAACAAGACAUGAAGCAGGAGAGGAGGAAACAACCAUCUUCGCUCUUCUCCAGCGACCAGUUCUCUGCGGCGCGGGCCAAUGUUAAUUCGUUCACUUCGAUUACGCCAGCAGAGAUAUGAACGGAGCUAGCUGAGUGGUCCACGGAGAUAGGUCCAAUAGACUUCCCUGGUGCAGUAGGGAAUUCCUCAGCAAACGCGGGGGGUGCUGGGAUUGAGCCCAACAUGCUCGCGAGACGUUUUCCAAUAGAUUUAUUACUUAAUUCGUUCUUUUGAAUAUCUGCACCGUAGAAAUUGAAAAGAAAGUUUUACUUGAAAUACAAAAUACCACCAUGUACAGCCUUGCUACAAUUAUAAACUUAAUCAUACACAUAGCAGGGAAAUCAAUAUUUUCAUAGUAGCAACUACAAACAAAAACUGUACCUGAAGCAACAUUAAGAUCCUUAUUUUAUAAACUUAAUCAUACACAUAGCAAGGAAAUCAAUAUUUUCGUAAGGAGCAACUACAAACAAAAACUGUACCUGAAGCAACAUUAAGAUCCUUAUUUUCUCUGGUCAAUUUAUCAGCCUGCGGUAGCAUAGGAACGCCGGGUAUAACAUAUGAUUGUAGAGCCUUUGGCUUUGAAUCACUAUUAGUACCAUCAUCACCUUCGACCUGUAAUAAAGAAACACAUGCUGUGAACUCAGUUCAUUCGAUCAAGCUCAACAAAUAGCUUCUUGGCCAGACAAAUAAAGCAUACCUCUUGAGUCAUGCUAGAACCUUCUGCAACAUGAGGACCAACAACAUAUUCCGGCUUUUGUACAAAAUCCAGGAUAUCAAGAUUCCAAUUAUCAUCUGCCGCAUCAAAGAAUGCUGCUAGAUCCUCUAGCAUAUCAAUCCCAGAUGAACCAGCAGUGGGUGAAUUAGGAAGUUCAUUCAGUUGGAAUAAGUCAUUCUUUUCCAUUGCUAGAUUGUCACUAGGUGUAUCGUAAAACAUGGUGUUGUAGUCAGUCGGUUCACGAGAAUAACUCUCACUAGCCAGAGGCGGAUUAUUCAGCAUAACACUUGGCUGCAGAGAGUAGUUAUUCUGAUAAGAAAUGCCGUCAGUGGUGUCAAAGAACUCCUCAACAUUGAAUGGUUCUUGCAAAUCGCUUCUGCCAUCUUCUCCGCUCACAGGCUUCUGAUUAUUGAUGUCUGACCGUAAAGGCCAGGCAACCGAGUCAUCACUUGCAAAGUAGUCCAUAUUUCCAUAAUCACUAAAAUCGUUUAAUUCAACGUAACCAUUAUUCUGGCUAGAAGGACUAUGGGACCAAUGUGUGUUAGCAGCAUUCCCUUCCAAUUGGCUAUUGAGUGCUGGGCCGCUUGUAUCUCUAGGUUCAUCAAAAUACGCAGUAAUGUCAUUAAUGAAGCUCGAGUCUUUCAAAAUCUCGUCCAAUGAAAUCUCAGGAUCUUCAGGGUGUUCAGUAUUAUCCAGUACAUUAAGACCAGGGGCUGAGAGAGGAGUAAUCUCGUGUUGACUGUCCAGCUUCUGGUUCUGAAAGUAAUACGCAUUAUUAGUAUAAAUAAACAGUUUUGUCAAAGACAAACACAACUCAAAUAUUUAGUUCAUUCAAAUAUAAAAGAUAUAAAUGAAGGUAAUAAAGAUUGCAGCUGAAAAAUGUGUAAACUCUCAAAAUCAAGAUACACAUAUUGAAGACAUCUACGGGAAAGCAUAGUGGCAUCAUUUAUGAUUGCCUUGAAGUAAUAAAAAUAGCCGUACUAGCCCACAAAGCAAGUAAUGGAGAUAUACAUGAGGAAACACUAAGAAAUUUGCUAAAAGCUAGACACAUUAUAAUAAUCCUGGCAAUGCAAGAACCGCUUUGCGUGCAGCUACCACUCUCCUAAAAUAUUUCAAGGGAUAUUCUAAACAGUUUUAGCCUUCUCUUACAAAAUAAGAUAACAGUUCAUCAUCUUUUAUCCUUAAUAAAAUUCCAACUGCAAAAUACGUCAAAGUUUUUAGCCAUUUUUCACUCUAUUUAUGUUCUAAAAAAUGGAAUGAGUCAUUCCAAUCACAUGUGUAAUGGGAAAAAAUAAAGAUAUUGGAUAAAGAUAAACACCAAAAAUUGUCAGCUGAUUAUUUUCCUGAUAAUAGAACAUCCUAUACCUGAAUAUUACAAGACUAAAGUGCCCUUUAGCCCAGCUUCUGCAACAGCUCCUCUACCACAUAAGCAGAGGCCAAGCAAAUGGAAAAUAAAAUCUUAGAGCUUCUGGCUGGAUUAGGGGCCUAAACCAGCUUCUCGUUCCCAAAAACAGAAGCUCCAUAUCGGAGCUUCUCCUUCUGGCUUUAGCAUGAAGCUGUUGCAAGGAUUAUUAUGAAAAAGUUGUAAUAUCUUCUCGAACAGCUCUUUUGAAACAGCAUUUCGACAGAAGCUCCAGCACCAAAUAGGCACUGAGAGAAAGAAAUGCAAGGAGCUGGCAAAAAAGGAUCAGCUAAAAUAAGAUAAUACGACUUAGGAGCGAAAGACAACAAAAAAAGAAAAACAAUGUUGAAGAGUUUCAGUAUCAAGGGCCUAACCUCUGCAAAGUCAUUCAUCUGAAGGAAUUCAUUCUCCCCAGCAUCAUUAAACUCAUCUUCACCACCAUUUUCCACCAUAAGAGGAAGACCAUCUACCUCUUCGUCCCACUCCUCCUCAACAAAUGGUGCCCCAUACUGAGCCCCAUUCUGUGGGCCUGACCCGCUCUUCUGAAAGAUCCUGCAUACGACGUACGAAUCCUAAAAACACACAAACCCAAAUGAUUAUUAGUAUGACUGUAUGAGUAAUAACAAGAAACGAAACUCAAAAUCAACUUACAAUACUUUAGUUACUCACUCUUUGCAUGAAAGCUAAAAUUAAUCAUAAGGACCUACAAAUCAAAAUGAAAACCAUCGAAUUUUAUCUAAAGCAUAAAAACAGCCUGCGCCCGAUCAUAAAUUUGCAAAGCUAUUUAUGACACAUCAAACAAUGCCCUUACUUGAUAGUUAUGGACAGUUGACUUAGUACUACUUGAUCUCAGCAAAUAGGUUUCAGAAACUUAUAAUUUUUGCCUAUUUAGGUUUUGUAGAUCACAUUCGACGAUUCAGAUUUUGAUUUCAGAGUCUCAAGGAUUGAAAUUCACACGUGUAAAAAGUAUGUCAGUUACAAUCAGGUCAGAGAAUCCCUACACAGAACUAAUAGCUCUAUCGACCAAAUCCAUAAACUCAUGAUAAGCAAAACACCUCCUUUUGAAAUUACUAGAUCCUAUACCUGAGAAAUCCCUGCUUGAGCGAGCUCCUCGCCCUCGAUGCGGUACUCAUGCAUAACCCAAUUAGUUCUCUCGCCGCGCGGCGCUCGACCUGCGUGGAAAACUAGGGUUUUCUUCAUGCCGACGACGCGGGAUCCACGGCGAACCUCGCGGUCCUUCCCGGUGGUCUUCCAAUACCCCUGCGGCGUGGCCCGGUUCGUGCGCGCCUUGUUCGCGUGCUUGCGAUCAAGGGGGCUGAAGAAGUACCACUCCACGUCGCGGCUCCGGAUCCGCGACCUCGUGGGCAGGUCCCAUGGCUCGCACUUGUACAGGUCGACCUCGGCGAUCGCGUCGACGCGGAGGGGCCGCCCCAGGAUCUUCCUCCUAAGGUAGUAGCUCACGAGCUCCUCAUCCGUGGGGUGGAACCGGAACCCGGGCGCAAGGAGCGCCGAGGGAGGCGGCGGAGUCGAGGAUGACGAGGGGCCCCGGGUGUUCAUUCAGGGUUUCGAGAGGCGUCGUUCCAAGGGGAAUCAGAGACGAAAUUUUGGAGAUAGGGAGCUAGGUUUGAUCAAGAGGAUCGAGAACCCUAAUUGUUGGAUUUAGGGUCCAUUUUUCGAUUUGGUGGCGGAGAAGGGGACGAGGGUUUCGCUUUAGAAGAGGAGGAGAGAGACGAAGAAUACGAGGAGAGAGAGAAGACGCUGCGCUUAUUUAUUUAUUUAUUUAUUAUUUUCUAAUUUUUAUUUUUUAAGCGAAAAUUGGACGGACACCAUUCAACUACAGGGAAUUUUCAAACGCUCCCCUUAAUUUUACAUUUUGUACUAAUAUCUCAUUAAUGUUAGAUUUUUCAAUUGUGUCUGAUUCUAAUCAACUUAUUUAAUUAAAUAUCUUUAAUAUUAUUUAAUUAUGUUUUAGCAAAAUAAAAAUAAAAUAAUCAAUAACUGAUACUAAUAUCAUCAAAUUUAGUACAAUUUUUAGCUUAGAAAACUAAAAUUAAUUAGAUUAAAUUAAAAUUAUUAGAUUUGCUAAAAAAAUAAAUUAACAAUUAAUAACUGUUAAUUUUCGACUGAAAAGUGAAAACCCCCUCGAAUAAUAGAGUCGGGAAGGACCAUCUCACAGUUUCCAAUAAUUAAGGGGUCUCGGUACAUUUUCAAUACUAAAUUAAUUAAAUUCUAGUCAAAAAUUUCCCUUACCACUUUACCAGUUCCUUUACUGUACGAGGUUUGAGGAAACUUUCUAUGCGACUGAUAUAUCCACCGUCCGAUGUCCUAAGAUAGAGCGUCUUCAUUGGUCCACACAUGGACGGUUCGGAUGCAUUUUAGAUUUUGACAUCAAAGGUGGAUCUGACAGUCGCAUAGUAACUACCGUGCGAGUGUUUAGAUCGUCUACCACGCUCUUGGAGCCGUGCGGGGAGAUAAUCCACCGUUCAAUCGGUCUCCGUUAAACCUCUACCGCAUAAAAAUAAAUAAAUAGCGUCAAAACUCGUGGUCUAUUGAUGUACUGCACGUGUCCGCAUGCGUAACUCUCCGAAGAGUAUUGAGAAUGGUUUAUAAAAAGUAACAAGCAAUAAAUAAAAAAGUGUUUGGUUUGGCAACAACUACUACUUUGGGGAGUUUGUAUAAUUGUAUACAUAUAAUUAUUUUUAACGAUGGAUUUUUGAAUCGUACAGUUUAAUUUAAAAUAUUUUAAGUAUUUAUUACAUAAAUUUUACAAAUUUUUUAAUAUUAUUUAUUUAGUAAUCAAGAUGACAUAAAAUUAAUGAUUAAAAAUAAAAAUCUCAUUAAAACUUAAUAUAUAAUAUUAAAAUUAUAGAUCAAAUAUAUUAAUCUUAUUUUUAUAUAUAGUAUAAAAUUUUUUUAUGAGAACAGGUGAACUUUCGUGCUUCCAAACGCACUGCAAGUAGGCUCAUAUUAUAUUUGCUAAUACAGAAUAAUAUUUUUGAUUACCUAUAGUCAUACUAUUAAUUAAUUUAUUUAAUUAAUUUUAGAUAAUGUUAUCAAAAAUUUCAACAUCUUUUUAGAAAAAAUAGAGAGAGCUAGAGUAUCAGUUAGAGAGAGAGAGAGCAUAAUUAAAAAAAUAGAAAGAAAAAUAUAGUCGAAAUUAGAGAGAGUGAGAGAGUUGAAAUUUUAGAGAGAAAAAUAAGUUUAGAGAGAGAUAUAAGGUUAGAGUGUAAAGAAAAAUAAUAUUAAUUAGCCGGCAGGUAAAAAGAAAGAAAGAGAUUAGAUAUAUUAUGAUUAUCCCAAUUAAUUAAUAUGAGGAUACCCAUCAUCCCUUAAGGAAAUGAGAUUAGUACUUUGGGGUGAAUCAUAUUUCCAAAUGAAUCCAAUAUUAUCGACUAGAUUACUUAGUGCAUUUAGCCAAACACCGUCAUAUUUUUUUAUUCUCAUUAGAUUACUAGAAAUUUUUAAAAAAUAGCGCGAACCAAACCCGCCCAUAUAGAUAAGUUAUAAGUUAUGUGGUUAU
rnacentral:lncRNA from 1 species